rnacentral:lncRNA from 1 species
AAACCCAAUAAAUAUAACCGCCUGAAACCGCCUCAGGCAAGCGUGAAUUAUAGAAAAAAUAAUGCGGAUUUGUCAGGUCUAGGUUUUGCUAGGGUUGAUAGUGAUGGUAAUGGUGUUGGUGGUGUUGAUGAUGGUGGUAGUACAAUGGGGAAGAUUGUGGAGAAACUGAAGAAAUUUGGUUACGUUGGUGAUGGUGAUGGUGAUGAUGAUGAUGAGAGGAGAGGCUAGGAAAAGAGAGAGUGAUUGAGAAAGGGUCUAUACAGGAUAUAUUUUACGUCGAAGAAGGAUUGUUGCCGAUGCAGGAGGGUGGCUUUCAAAAGAAUCGCCGUUGGGGUUAGGAGAGGAGGUAGGGAGUGACGGAGAAGUGAAGUUUCAAUGGGAGAAGCGGAAGGAGGAGGAAGUGGAAGGGACUUGUGAAUGCAGUGCACAAGCAAUAGAGAGAUGACAAGGUCACAUUUGAACAGCUACUAUGAAGAAAACAAAUUAGUUCAUGCAAAUAUGCAUAUCAAAUAAAGAUGAUAUAAAUCUCUGUAGUGUUGCAUACAAAGAUCUUUGAGAGCCUCAAAAUAUGUGUCAAGUGAAGACUGAAUAAAGUUGCAGGUCGGGAUAAAAGAUAGUACCCUUCUCGCCUCCAUGCUAAAUUGUUUGAGCAUAAUCUUUCCCAAAUCUACACAAGAUAAAUGACAAUAUCAUUUCCUGCCAAACACCAAAAACUCCUCAAGGUCUAAACAAUGAUCAUGAUAAUCCGUAUCUAAUGUUUCUAUCAUACGCUAAAUUCUGUACAUUCAUUUUGCCACAUGGAAGCCCAAUUUCUAAAACAGCCACACAUACAUUUGUGGCGGAUGAAAGAGAGAAUUAUAUUUUAAAAAAAAAAUGAAAGAGAGUCUCAUUUAAAAGCCUAUGCUUUGAACCGCCCCGUAUAAUGUACAAAACAAACAGUCAAUAACACCCAUUUCAUUCAAUCAUCAAGGUACCCCAGAAUAGCAAUAAUAAUAGGAAUCCAACGGCCGAAUGAAAAAUAUUCACAACUGUUAAUUAUAAUGUGAGAUGGUGAAUUAAGUUUGCUUUCCAGAAACGACUGCGUUUUGAGGCUAUAAAAGCUUCUUUAGCUUGUGCUGCUCAGCUGUUUUGUAACGGAAAACAGAUUAGUCAAAACGACGGGGCUGUAGCGCGUUUUGAGUAACAGCUUAAGUAACCACGUGAGGAAGCAUGUGAUGAAACCUGAUUCAAGUUCGUUAAAGUUUGUUAACCACGUGUCAACAAACUGUACAGAAACUAAGCUAGCUAUCAAAAAAGACUAUAAAGGCUGUUUUUCAGGGAUAGUUAGAUGAUGAUUCUAGAGUCUUGUAGUGAGGGUUUUGUGAGAGAGAAAGUGUUAUCUUAUUCUCUGUAAAAUCUGUUGUAAGGCUUUGUAACGAUCUUCAUUGUUAAUUCAAUAAAACUCAUCUUGAGUCUUUUCCCGUGAAUGUAAGCUGAGCAUUCCAUGUAUUAGGAAAUUGGUUGGUGAAGCAGGACCGCAGCUAAAAUGAAAUUGUAAGAAAAUAAAGAACAAGUACAAAAAUUAGACACAAGAAAUUACAUGGUUCGGCUUUUAACCUACGUCCACGGGCGAAAACAGAAGGAAAAUAUUAUACUAGUGAAAAAGAGUUAUAAGUAUUAUAGUAUUUUAGCUCACUACCCAAAAUCCCAAUACACCCAAACUCUCAAAUCACUAAACACAUAAAACUCUCUUCUCUGCAAGAAUUAUUUCUCACAACUCUCGACUCUCUCUACAAAAUUGGAUGCAAAAUGAAAUGGGGAGCUCUGCCUUUUAUAGCCAAAAAAUGGCUAUUAAAUUAUUAUUUUUACCACUGUCUUCAUUCUUCUAUUUUCUUUUUUCUUCUUUUUCUUCAUUCCAAAUUUGAUGCUGCCAAAUUCUUCUUCUUUUUCUUUGGACGACACCAAAACCUUCAACAUUUUCUUUGGCCGGCUGUCAAAGCCAACUUUGCUUAUUCAAGGCUUCUAGAUGUUGCAACCAAUUUUGAAAUUCUCCCACUUGGAGAUCAGAUUGAGAAUCAAUCAAUCUCCAUACCAUCAUUUCUGCUUCGCCAUAAUCAUAUUGUCUACGUUUCUGCUAGGCCACAAGAGGAUAUACUCUAGAUAAACUUGUCAAUAUUGAUUGGCUUGGUCAAAACAUCUGCUAGGUUCUCUUUCGUAUGGAUUUUCUGUAAAUCCACACUUCCGUCUUCCAUUACUUCUCGAACGAAGUGAUACUGAACUCCUAUAUGCUUUAUCCUGGAAUGAAAGGCUGGAUUCCUUGGCAUGUACAAGGCACUCUGACUGUCACAAAACAUAAAAAUUUUCUUUUGUUUGUGCUCGAGUUCCUCCAAUAACCUUUUUAUCCAAAUAGCUUCCUUGCAAGCUUGUGUAGCUGCCAUGUAUUCUGCUUCUGUUGUAGAUAAAGGCACAACGGUUUGUAGUUUCGAAAUCCAGUUUACGGCUACUCCCGCAAGUGCAAACACAUAGCCAGUAGUAGAUUUCCUUUUAUCAAGGUCUCCUGCAAAAUCUGAAUCCACAUAGCCCCUGACAGUAAAUUUCGAUCCUCCAUAACAUAAUGCAACAUUUGAGGUUCCUCUGAUAUAUCUCAGAAUCCUCUUCACAGCUAUCCAAUGCUCUCCACCAGGAUUCGCCAUGUAUCGACUGACUGCUCCCACUACUUGUGCAAUGUCUGGUCUAGUAUAUAUCAUAGCGAACAUUAAACUUUCCACUGAUGAUGCAUAUGGUACUCGAGACAUCUCAUUCCUCUCUACUUCAUUGCUAGGACACAUACUUAAGAAUAAUUUGAAAUUAACAGGAAGUGGGGUAGAAAUUGACUUACAAUCUUGCAUGUUGAAGCGCCGCAAGAUUUUUUUCAAGUAAUUCUUCUGCGAAAGCCAAAUCUUCAUGUUAUUUCUGUCACGGUGAAUUUGCAUCCCUAGAAGCUUGUUUCCUGGUCCCAAGUCCUUCAUUUCAAACUCUUUAGCCAACUGUGCCUUCAAUUCUUGGAUUCGAUCUUUGUUGGGUACUGCUACCAACAUGUUAUCCACAUACAACAGCAAAAUAAUGAAAUCAUUAUCUUUAAACCUCUUGUAAUAUGCACAAUGGUCUGAACUGAGUUUGUUGUAUCCAAAGCCCAUAAUGAAGGAAUGAAAUCUCUUAUACCAACACCUCAGCGCCUGCUUGAGACCGUAUAGAGAUUUGUUCAACCUGCAAACCAAGUUCUCCUUUCCUAUUUUUACAAAACCUUUUAGUUGGAGUAUAUAUAUUUCUUUUUCAAGUUCUCCAUGAAGAAAUGCAGUUUUCAAAUCUAACUACUCUAUAUAUAAGUCAAAUGUAGCACACAUUGCCAGGACUACCUUGACUGUUGUGAGUCGAACCACCGGCGAAAAUAUCUCAUUGAAGUCAAUACCUUCUUUCUGAGCAUAUCCUUUCACCACCAAUCUCGCACGAUACCGCUCCACUUGGUCAUUGCCAUCACGUUUGAUCUUGUAGACCCAUUUGUUUCUAAUGGCUUUUCUUCUACGUGAUAGUGGUACAAGUUCCCAUGUCUUGUUCUUGUGUAGAGCUUCAAUUUCUUCAUACAUUACUGUCAUUCGCAAAGCAACAUCUGAGUUGUUUAAAGUUUCAUGGAAAGUUGAAGACUCUCCAUCCUCUGUUAGAAGACAGUAUGCAACAUUGAUCUCUGUGACAUACUCCGAGUGCCACGUUGGCGGUCGUCUCUCACGAGUUGACCGACGAACUUCUGGAGCCUCGGACUCGACUGGUUCUUGUUCCUCGUGCUCUGGUGCUGCUUCAGAAGAAUCUGAAUCUUCUGGAUUAUUUUUCAUAUAUACCGGUACAGUCUCUGACUUUUCUUUUACAGUGCUAUCAUUAUCAUCUUUCCUUUGCAGUUGAUCUUCUACAAAAAUAACAUCUCUGCUGAUGACGAUCUUGUGGGCAAUGGGAUCCCACAGAUGAUACCCCUUUACUCCAUCAGCAUAUCCCAAGAAGAUACAUCUUCUAGAUUUUACAUCCAGUUUUGCUCUUUCUUGAGCAUUGUACAUCGCGUACACAAGACAUCCAAAUGCAUGUAAGUAGGAAUAAUCAGCUGGCUUUCCAGUCCACAUCUUCAUCGCUGUCUUCAGCCCAAUAGCUGUAGAUGGCGACCGAUUUACUAUAUAACAAGCAGUUUUAGUUGCUUCUGCCCAGAAUGAAUUGGGUAGACCAGCAGUCCUCAACGUAGCUUUUAUUCUUUCUGUAAAAGUUCUGUUCAUCUGCUCCGCCACUCCAUUUUGUUGAGAAGUGUAUGCCACCAUGAACUGUUUUUGGAUACUUUCUUGCUUACAGAAAGCAAGAAACUUGCCGUCUGUAUACUCUCCACCAUUAUCUGUCCUCAAGCACUUGAUCCUUUUACCAGAUUCAAGUUCCAUGUAUUUUUUAAACACUAGAAAUACAUCUGACUUUUUCUUAAUUAGAUACACCCAACAUCUUUUGGAAUAAUCAUCAAUGAAAGUCACCAUGUACUUUGCACCUCCCAUGGAUAUAUUUGGUGAUUUCCAAACAUAAGAAUAAAUCAAGUCUAGAAUGCAUUUACUUCUAGCAAUAGAUCGAUUGAAUUUUAAUCUAUGCUGCUUACUUGUAACACAAUGCUCGCAAAAUAGUAAAUUUACCGAUUUGAGCCCCGGAAGCAAUUUUCGCUCAGAGAGAAUCUUUAAACCUUGUUCCGACAUGUGGCCAAGUUUGAGAUGCCACAUCAUCGUUGACUUUUCUCUAUUUGAUGCGACACACGUGUGGAGUGUUAGAAAAUGUAUAUUUGUAAAGGAGAAAAUCAUCAUUUUACAUUUCAAGUUUUACUAACAACCCUUACUUUUAUGUAUUUAAGCUUCUUGCAAUUUAAUUAUGUGUGUUUAAUUUUAAUUAAGUAUUUUAUGUAUUUUAGGGGCAUCAUGAUCAUUUCACAAUAAACGAGAGAUCAAACGGCAAAACGGACAUCACUUUUAAACUCAGGACGGUCGAAAACUUUAGGAGGAGCAUAAAAGGAAAAAUGACACUAUUCACAUCAUAUCAGUGGACGAAAAAAUCGCACGUACGGUACAUGCAUCACACAGGAUUAUUUUCAACCAAACCGCGUCACUGUUCACCCGGGUCAAACCGUGUUACUGUCCAUCCACGUGGUCAAACCGCGUACUGUUGACUGAUGACGUGGCGCAAUCCUGAGCGUCCAAACUGUUUUUAAUCCGAUGGCCAUGAUUUACUCCAUGUAUCUAUAAAAAUGGGGCUUCUCCCCCUAAUUUGAUAUCUCUGAAUCCAUUUUUGGGAUCAAUUUUCUGUAAUUCCUUCUCCAUCUUAUAUUUUCUACGUAUUUUAAUAAAUUUCUAUUUUGCCACUAGUUCAAUUAUGAGUGGCUAAUUUUCUUUCAAGCUUGGGUUGAAGGUGAAGUCUCAACAUGUGUCAUGGGCUUUAUUUGGUAAAUUUACUUUCUCUUCCCCAAUAAUUUUUGUGGAUGUUUUGACUUCUCGUCGAUAAAUAAUAAUAAUCUUGUCUAGUACCGCCCUGGUUUCACCGGCCCCCUAGUACAAGGUUAUUAUUAUUUGGCACGAUAAGCCCUUAGCACCAUAUUGAUUAGAGCGUGGUUCAUGAGGUGUGGAUUCCCCCUCAUGAUUUAAUUGGUAUUAAUAAGGAAUAUUUAUCCCAUGAUGCAUGUUGAUACGGAUCCAGAUACCCAAGUACUUCAUUUCAAUAGAAUUCUCUUCAAUUUAUUCUCGUCAUUUCAAUUCCAAUUUUAGAAUUUAUUCUCGCCAUUUUAAUUUAAGUUUUAGCAUAUUCCAAAUCAUUUCCACCACAAAUCCAAUCCCCGAUUUACAAAAUUAAUUCUAUACACAAUUAAAAUCCACCUCCUCGUGGGAUCGACACUCGUCACCAUUAGUCUAUACUACAAUAGAUUCGUGCGCUUGCGAGUACAUUAAAAUUUGCACAACAAGUUUUUGGUGCCGUUGCCGUGAAGGUAAGUAAUUUUAAUUAAUAGAAUUAAUUUUUGUGAAUAAUUCCAUUUAAUUGUUUUCUUGUAUUUAUUUCUUUAAAAAAAAGAAAAAAAAAAGUGAAUAUACAGUUAAAGGUUAGUAUUUCUUUUCUUUUUCUCUUCUUUAAAAUUUUAAUUUAAUUUUCAAAUUAAUUUUCUUUGUAUUUUUUUUUGUUUUGUUUAUUUUAUUAAUUUAAUUUUUAGUUAAUUUAUUUCACGUAUUUGUUUUUGUGUAUUUUUAUAGAAAGGUUGUAAUAGUGCAAUAAGGUUAGUAUCGUAAUUUCUCCCUCUUCUUUAUUUUUAUUUGUUUUGUUCCCAUCUUUAUUCUUUAUUUUAUUUGUUUUGCAUGCAUGGUCGUAGGUCAUUAUUUUCUAAUCUUGAAUCUAUAGACCUUGAAUUAGAAAAAACACUUCGCACACAAAAGCACAUUAAAAAUAAAUUUAGAAUGGACUUACAAGCACCACAGGAGAGGCCAUUUAAGGACUACUUCAGUCCUCUAGCUAAUUUGAGCACAUCAUGCAUAAGAUACCCAAAUGUAGCUGCUAGGAGUUUUGAACUAAAACCUAGUGUGCUAAAUUGUCUCCCCACAUUCUAUGGCUUAGAAAAUGAGGACCCAUAUAAUCAUUUGAAUGAUUUUCAUGCUAUUUGUCAAACAUUUAAAUAUGAGAAUUUUUCAGAUGAUGAUGUAAAACUUAGACUAUUUCCAUUUUCUUUAAAAGAUAGAGCUCGUUCAUGGCUUAAUACAUUGUCUGCUAAUAGCAUUGCAUCAUGGGAACAAAUGGUUACAAAAUUUUUUAAUAAAUAUUUCCCAACGCAUAAAACCAAUGCUAUUCGCAGGGAAAUCUCGGAGUUUACCCAGAGAGAUGACGAGCAGUUUUUUGAAACAUGGGAGCGAUUUAAUAGGCUACUCUUGUAGUGUCCACAUCAUGGGUACAAGAAAUGGCACCAAUGCCAAUACUUUUUGGAGGGAUUAUUGCCGAAUGUGCAAGAAUGGCUAAUGGCAACAAGUGGAGGAGAGCUAAUGUCAAAAAGUGCAUCAGAGAUUUGGGAAUUCUUCCAGCGACAAGCGGAUAAUUCCCAAAAACGGAGUUGAUCACUCAGGAACACUAGAAGAAUUAAGGGAGUAAAUGAGGUUCACAUUGGCGAGUCAACUUCGGGAAUCAAAGAAGUCAAGGAGAUGGUUGAGGGUCUUGCUCGACAAAUAGCAUCGUUAUCGACUGCUAAAUCAAUAGAACCACAUGACCAUGACUCAUACUCAGAUCAAGCCAAUGCCAUAUGUGUAAUGAGAAAGCUAUCUAAUUAUAACUCAUACUCCAACACAUAUAACCCUGGAUGGAGAGACCAUCCCAAUUUUUCAUGGUCUCAAGGAUUCCAACAGAAUGGACCAGCAGCUCCAGCUCCACCAAUGCAACAAAUUCCUCAAAAUCCUCAAGCCUCUCAGCCCCCAUUUAGACCAUACAAUCAAAACCAGAAUUACUCUCAACCCAGACCAUGGGAGGAUUCAUUCCAGAAUCUCAAGAAUCUUACUCACUCCACGAUUGAGCAACAGAACCGCACCAUUGAUGGACUACGAAAUGAGUUGAGAGCAGGCUUCAACUCACAAGCUCAAUCAGUUUCAAGCCUCGAGAAGAUGGUGGGACAACUUGCUUCUUCAGUUCAGACCUUGGCAAUGACUGUUGAGAAAGGCAAGUUUCCAAGUCAACCAGUGUCUAACCCUAAAGGAGUACAUGAAGCAAGUACUAGUUCACCAUAGCAACAUGGAGAGGUCAAAGCAGUAAUGACCUUGCGAAAAGGAAAAGAAGUCGACAACAAAGUGGAGAUGCCGAUGACAAAAGAAAAUCAAAUUGUACCUGUAAAUGCUGAGGACUCAUCACCGGAGGAGAAAGAAGAAACCAACCCACGAGAAUAUGUUCCGAAAGCUCCAUUUCCUCAAAUGUUAGCUAAAGGAAAAAAGGAAAAAUCUACAGGUGAGAUUCUCGAAAUCUUCAAACAGGUAAGUGUCAACAUCCCUUUGCUUGAUGCUAUUAAACAAGUUCCAUCUUAUUCCAAGUUUCUUAAAAAUCUUUGUACUAAAAAGAGAAAUAUUCAUGUUCAAAAGAAGGCAUUUUUAAUAGAAAAUGUUAGUUCUAUCCUCCAACAUAAAAUUCCUCUGAAAUGUAAAGACCCAGGCUCCCCCACUAUCUCAUGUAGUAUAGGGAACCACACAAUUGAGAAUACUUUGUUGGAUUUAGGAGCUAGUGUAAAUCUUUUGCCUUACUCUGUAUUCAUGAAACUUGGACUGGGAGAAUUACACCCAACUCCAGUGGUGUUACAGCUUGCAGAUCGAUCCACGAAAAUACCUCGUGGUAUUGUGGAGGACGUGCUUAUCCAGGUAGACAAGUUUUAUUUUCCUGUUGAUUUCAUUGUAAUUGACACUCAACCAAUACAGGAUUCAAGGAAGCACAUCCCCAUUAUUCUAGGCCGACCUUUCUUGGCAACUGCGGAUGCUCACAUUCAAUGCAGGACUGGAAAUAUGCAGUUGUCCUUUGGCAACAUGACUAUGGAGCUGAACAUCUUCAACAUUGCCAAACAACCUCACAAUACAGAUGAUGGAAUUGUUGAUGUGGAUUUAAUUGAAGCAUUAGUUGAUGACACUUUUGUUUCAAACCUUAGUGAUGAUCCUUUACAAACAUGUUUAACUCACUUUGGUUUGGAUUUUGAUAUUGACAGAUCAGUCGAUGAGAUCAACGCCCUAUUUGACUCAGCACCAUCCAUGGACACUAAUAAAUGGAAGUCAAGAGUUAAACAACUAGCACCAUCAGAGAAGAAAUUCAUCCCAUCAUCAGAAUCACCACCGAAACUCGAGUUCAAACCAUUGCCCAACACUUUGGAAUAUGCAUUUUUGGGAGAGGAAAGUUCUCUGCCGGUAAUCAUCUCAUCAUCCCUCAAUGACGAACAAAAAGGUAAGUUGUUGGAUGUUUUAAAAGAGCACAAAUGAGCAUUAAGAUGGACCAUAGCGGACAUAAAAGGUAUAAACCCAGUAGACUGCAUGCAUUACAUUCACCUCGAUGAAAAUGCUAAAUCUACUAGGGAAAUGCAACGUCGGUUAAAUCCUAAUAUGAAAGAAGUUGUUAGAACCGAAGUCCUUAAGCUAUUAGAUGCAGGUAUCAUUUACCCAAUUUCUGGUAGUUCAUGGGUCAGUCAUGUACAAGUUGUCCCCAAAAAGUCAGGAGUCACAGUAGUUACGAAUGCCGAUAAUGAAUUGAUACCCACUAGAGUAACUACAGGAUGGCGUGUAUGCAUUGAUUAUAGAAAGUUGAAUUCUGUCACACGUAAAGACCAUUUUCCUUUACCAUUUAUCGAUCAAAUGCUUGAUAGAUUGGCAGGCCAUGAAUUUUAUUGCUUUCUAAAUGGCUACUCAGGAUAUAAUUAGAUUCCCAUAGCACCAAAAGAUCAAGAGAAAACUACUUUCACUUGCCCUUUUGGCACAUUUGCAUAUAGGAGGAUGCCAUUUGAAUUAUGUAAUGCACCUGCUACAUUUCAACGAUGCAUGUUGAGCAUUUUUUCUGAUAUGGUUGAACGAUUCCUUGAAGUCUUUAUGGAUGACUUUUCUGUCUUUGGUGACUUAUUUGAUCAAUGUUUACAUCAUCUAACACUAGUUCUGUAGAGAUGUAUCGAGAAAAACUUGAUCUUAAAUUGGGAGAAGUGCCAUUUUAUGGUAAAACAAGGUAUUGUCCUCGGUCACAUCAUUUCAAGCAAAGGUAUUGAGGUUGACAAAGCCAAGGUGGAUUUCAUUUCUAAUUUUUCUCCACCCAAAACAGUCAGAGAAGUAAGAUCUUUCCUUGAGCAUGCUGGUUUCUAUCGACGUUUUAUUAAAGAUUUUAGCAAAGUUUCUAGACCCUUAUGCAAUUUACUUGCUAAUGAUGUACCUUUUAUCUUUAAUGAUUCAUGUCUUGUGGCUUUUGAAAAAUUAAAGCAAUUGUUGACAUCAUCACCCAUCAUUCAGACCCCAAACUGGAGCUUACCAUUUGAGCUCAUGUGUGAUGCAUCUGAUUAUGCAGUAGGAGCAGUAUUAGGACAAAGAGUUGAUCGAAUUCCCCACGUUAUUUACUAUGCUAAUAUGACAUUGAAUGAUGCACAGUUGAACUAUUCAACUACUGAAAAAGAAAUGCUAGUAGUAGUGUUUGCAUUAGAGAAAUUUCGAUCUUAUCUCAUUAGUUGUAAAAUAAUUAUAUUUACAGAUCAUGCUGCUCUUAAAUAUCUUCUCACAAAGAAAGAUGCAAAAGCUAGACUAAUUCGUUGGGUGUUACUUUUGCAGGAAUUCGACUUGGAAUUCAAAGAUAAAAAGGGCACAGAAAAUGUUGUGGCGGACCAUCUCUAUCGUCUUCACUUUGACACAAUUACAGAACCAUUACCAUUAAAUGAGUCAUUUCCAGAUGAGCAAUUAAUGAGUGUGGAAGUAUUACCUUGGUAUGCUGAUAUAAUUAAUUAUCUUGUUACAGGUAAACUUCCAGAGCAUUGGACCAAGCAAGACAAGACCAAAUUUUUUGCGGAAAUAAAGAAUUUCUUUUGGGAUGACCCUUAUUUGUUCAAGUAUUGUGCAGACCAAAUUGUCAGACGAUGUGUCCCAGAAAGUCAAAUUCAGAAUAUUCUUUCAUUAUGCCAUGAACAAGCUUGUGGAGGCCAUUUCAGUGCUAAGAAAACAGCGACUAAAGUUUUACAAUGUGGUUUCUAUUGGCCGACUAUAUUUCGAGAUGCUUACACUUUCUGUUCUUCAUGUGAUAGGUGUCAACGAAUGGGGAGCAUUACACGAAGGAACAUGAUGCCACUAAAUCCAAUUUUAGUGGUUGAAAUUUUUUACGUAAGGGGUAUCGACUUCAUGGGACCCUUUCCCCCGUCUUUUGGCCAUCAAUACAUAUUGGUUGCUGUUGACUACGUCUCCAAAUGGGUAGAAGCAAUUCCAUGUAGGACCAAUGAUCACAAAGUGGUGAUAGGAUUUUUGAAAAGCAACAUUGUCUCACGCUUUGGAUUCCCUCGAGCAAUAAUCAGUGAUGGUGGUGCCCACUUUUGUAACAAAGCAUUCAAAGCUCUUUUGACAAAAUAUUCAAUCACACACAAAGUGGCGACCCCGUAUCAUCCGCAAACCAGUGGCCAAGUUGAGAUCUCCAAUCGAGAAAUAAAGCACAUAUUAGAAAAGACGGUGAGGUCGGACAGAAAAGAUUGGUCAUUAAGACUUGAUGAUGCAUUAUGGGCAUAUAGAACGGCCUUCAAGACCCCGAUUGGGAUGUCACCUUACAGGCUAGUGUAUGGAAAAGCUUGCCGCCUACCUGUGGAACUCGAGCAUCGUGCAUAUUGGGCUAUCAAGAAAUUCAAUUUUGACAUGCAGCAAGCUAGCUCAGAAAGAAUAUUACAGCUGGCAGAACUUGAAGAAAUUCGCAAUGAUGCAUACGAAAAUGCCAAGAUUUACAAGCAACGGAUGAAAGUCUUCCACGACAAGCAAAUUAUGAGAAAAUCAUUCACUCCAGGUUAGAAAAUGCUUUUAUUCAAUUCUCGCUUGCACCUAUUCCCAGAUAAGUUACGCUCUCGUUGGUCUGGUCCAUUUAUUGUUCAUACUAUUUUUCCACAUGGGGCAAUUGAAAUUAAAAACCCAAAGAAUGGUGUCACAUUUAAAGUCAAUGGUCAAAGAUUAAAGCCAUAUUUAGAGUACCAAGCACAUGAAGAAGACACCAAAAUAAAUUUGAGUGCCCCACCAGAUUUGAAUUGAUUUUUUUUUCUUCUUUUCGGUGAUUUGAUUUUUUUUUUCUCUUUAUAUUAUUCUUUUGCUAAUUGAAAUUAUUUUUGCAUAAGUGUGUUUGUUUAACCACUAAGUUUUCUCUUAUCAUUAUUAAUCAUGAGUACCAUGUUUAAACCGUUCCUCCUUAACAUUCUUAAACCACUUCAACGUGUCAAAACUCAUCUCAAAAGAUAGAUUCAAUUUUGUAAAACACAUCGCAUUUGGGCUCUACAACCACCAGAGUUAGUAGCCUAUGUUGAGGGUUUAGAAAGCCAACUUAAAGAUAUUGAGAGAAGUGUUUACGACAUCCAGUUGGAGCUUGAGGUAAAUUCAAUAAGAAGACGAUUUUAAUUUUCUUGUGUGUUUUAAUUUGUUUUUCUUUUUGGUGUGUUUUAGUUUGUUACCCCGGUAAAGUGGCGGAUAACGGUACUCCGUGACAAUCAAGUCGGUUACUUCAGUUUCCCAUAAUAACUGAUAUUCUGAGGCGAAGGUAUUGAUAGAAACGAGAUUCAAGCAAAGCUUCACAAGCGAUUCCCUUCACUUCCUCAGAAUGCCCUCCUUACGAUCUAUAAAGCCCGGUCUGAACGCAUGCGAUUACUCAUGAGGAAUAACAUACCUGCAGACAUCCGUUGGUUAAUCGAGGCUAAAGUACGAUUGGCAGGUGAGUUACCUCCUAAAUUUAUUGCAUACAUGCCUGGUUGUGGUAAAGGAAAUUAUGCAAGAAAACGACGAGCUCGAAGAAUUUUUGUUGCUUGUCAUAAGUGUGCCAGAAUGAGUUGCGAUAGAAACCCAUGUUCUUUAGGGAUGGUGUCUGAUAACAGAGAAGAUAAGAUUCAAUUCAUUAGGGAUGGCUUGAAUAAGAAGUCAUUGGAUGAUAUCCUUCUGUCUCUUGAAACGCAUCCCAGUGGAUAUGUGCAAGGAGCGAUUCUCCAGUUAUGGCCAUUAUUCCAGAAAGAGCAUGCACGAUAUAGUCUCGGGAAUCUGACUAUAAACGACCAUGUUUGCCAGUUUAUAAGAAAACUGGAUGGGAAGCCUAUCCUCGACCCAUAGAGGGCGUUCAAGCCGUUUCUGGACGUAAAACCAGAGAAAGAUGUGAGCCACAGUCGCAACUACGUGUAAAUAUCCUUUUACUUUACUAUUAUUUUAUUUCAUUUCACUGUUGUUUUAUUGUUUGCAUUAUUGUCUUUAAUAAUUUUAUUAUUAUUUUCUUUUUCCUUUUUACUGUUUCCUUUUUGACUCACGAGUCAUGUGCUUCACACAUUAUUUGACACUGACAUGUUACCUCAUUCACAACUGUGAUCCACUGUCACCAAGAUUCUUAAAUGUGAUUUCUUUUGUCAAACACUCACAAAUUGUUUUUGAGAAGUAUUCCAAUGGCAGCUACUCCCAAUAGACAAUUCAAGAACAUUUGUGUGCUUUCUGGAUUUACCUAUGGCAAACAUAAAGAGUUCGUUGAGGCAGCCAUAGAUCUUGGUCGAAGUAUAGUAGCGAGAAAAUUACACUUAGUGUAUGGAGGAGGUAACCAAGGGUUAUCAAAAAUGGUCUCAGAAGCAGCUUUUAUCAGAGGAAGUCAAGUGUUAGGCAUCAUCCCAAGAGUCUUAAAACCAUUGGGCAGUUCGUCUGACUCAUCAACUGGAGAAGAGUUAGUCGUCUCAGGUAUGCAAGAAAGAAUAACUGAAAUGCUUAAUCAUGUUGAUGCUUUUAUUUUCCUUCCAGGAGAUCUUGCAACACUAGAGACACUUAUCACACUAGCAUCUUGGGCCCAUCUGCACAUCCACCAGAAACCCAUCGGUUUGUUAAAUGUCAAUAACUUUUAUGAUGGCUUUAUCGCAUUUCUUAACCAUGCAAUAAAAAACUAUUUCAUUCCUUCUAAUGUGAAAAAACUCUUUAUUUGUGCUCACACUGCUAAUGAGCUACUUGAUAUGUUACAAGCUUAUAAACCGGAGCCAGACCCCUAGACCUUUGUGUUAGAGCGACCAAAUAAUGAUGGUAACAGUAGCCACAGUAAGAAGUACAAAUUAGAUUUAACUCUCCGCCUGUAAAUAUUUUCUUCUGUGUUGCACCACCCAGGUGAUGUCUUCUAAACUCUACUUCUUUUCUUUCAAACAUUGAGGACAAUGUUUCGUUCUGGUUGGGGAGAGGGAAUAGUCGACAAUUGUGGAAUCUUGAUUAAGUUUUUACUGAUUUUUUGUUGUAGAAACUAAUUGUUGCUAACUUUUUGUGUUAAAGAUGACCGAAUAUGGAGUGUAGUGACUCUAGAAACGCAUCUUCAUCGUUUAAAAAAACAAACAAAAAAUAAAAAAAAAUUCAAAAUUUUUUUUUCUUUUUCUUUAUUAAGUUUUGAUGUUUAUUUUUCUUCUUCUUUUUAAUUUCUCGUUUAUAAAUAUAUUCAAAUAUUUGAGUUGAAGAUGGCUGAAUAUGGAGUGUCGUGCCUCUAAAAACGCAUCUUCUUAGUUUAAAAAAAAAAACAUUUCUUUUUCUAAUAAAUUUUUCUACAUCAUUUUCACAUUUCUGCAUGCAUAUUUUCCUUUCAUGUUUAGAAUAGGUUGGGGGGUAGAAUGUUGUUUAAAAAAAAUAAUAUUUGUUGUAUUAUUUGUUUUAACAUUGGAUGACAUGAUUAAUUUCAAAUUUUAGUAUUUGUAUUAUCUUUGGUCUUAAGUGAUGUUACGCUAUAUUUGCUACUUUACAUGUUGAUGUCGGAGACAAAUAUGAGUUGCUUGAAGGAAUGAACGUGUCAUAAAUAAGUGCCAAGUGAGUUGUUGAGCCUAUCAUUUUCUUGGAGAGUAACCUUUUUGCCCAUUCUCUAUACAGCUUAGCAGUUUAUUAUUUUACACACGAUUUCUAGAUUUCUUUUGAGUUAACCCUUAAAAAAAUUGUAAAAUAAAAAAAAUAAAAAAAAAAUUAUGUGUUGCUAUAUUGGGAGGCCCAUCUAACUAGUAGAUAUGGAUGAUUAUUUAGAGCCCUAAAAGAUGAUGGAAAUGCCAUUUUUGAUCCGUUUGAGCCUUUCUAGCCAUCCCUUUUGUGAAAUAUCCAUAGUUAAUCAUUUUGAGCCUUUUUUUAAAAAAAAAAACUUUUUAUUUGUUAAACUUAUCAUCUUGACCCACUCCGAUUUGGAGUAUUACCCGAUAUUUUAUAAGUUCCAUCACCUAUUUAUGUUUGAGAAAAAUGUAAAUAAUUAUUUUGUUCAGUGACAUUGUGCCAAGCAAAAGCAAAAAAAAAAAAAUGUUCCAAAAAAAAAAGAGAAAAAAAUAACAAUAAUAGGUGAAAUGCACCUUGCAACUUCCAAAAAAAAAAAAUAUCCUCUGCAUUUUUCUCAAACAUACACUUUGUUUUUCUUAUUUCCCUUCUGUGUAAGCCAUGUCUCUAGCCUACGUUAUGUCCUAAUAAAAGUCCUUCUUGAUUUUAGGGAACUAUAGUUUGAAGUAGAAGCUAGUUAUAUGGGCUAAAAAGAUGUAGUGGUGCAUAAUAAUAAAAGAAAAAGAAAUAAAUAAAAUUGGUUGACUAGCAUUUUGUUUGACUUGAGAUCGUAUUAUUUCUAAGCUGAGGGCAUAUUUCUUUCAUCUUGGUGAGAGCAUGUGAUAUCACUUCUUUAUUAUUUUCUCUCAAUUACCAUUCAUUGGAGUGACUAUUUUUAUUGGGUUUAAUUUCUUUGUGAGAGUGUCACUACUUCCAGUGAGAUUUUGGGGUUUGACAUGUCAUUCUUGAAAGUAGCUAUAACAAAGUCUACUGGGCUGAUUUAUGUAGAUGGUUGAUGUGGGUGUGAUGUUUCUUUAGACUGGAGAUAAUGCUUAUACUUUUAUUUGAUUGCUAUCAUUAAUCUGAUUGAAUAAACACGAGUGUUUCUAUUAAAAAAAAAAUCAUUUUGGAUUUGAAUUUCGUUUUCGCUUUAUUUGCUAGGGACUAGCAAUAAGCUGGUUGGGAGGUGUGUUGAGUGUUAGAAAAUGUAUAUUUAUAAAGGAGAAAAUCAUCAUUUUAUAUUUCAAGUUUUACUAACAACCCUUACUUUUAUGUAUUUAAACUUCUUGCAAUUUAAUUAUGUGUGUUUAAUUUUAAUUAAGUAUUUUAUGUAUUUUAGGGGCAUCAUGGUCAUUUCACAAUAAACGAGAGAUCAAACGGCAAAACGGACAUCACUUUUGAACUCAUGACGGUCGAAAACCUUAAGAGGAGCAUAAAAGGAAAAAUGGCAUUAUUCACAUCAUAUCAGUGGACGAAAAAAUCGCACGUACGGUACAUGCAUCACACAGGAUUAUUUUCAACCAAACCGCGUCACUGUUCACCCGGGUCAAACCGUGUUACUGUCCAUCCACGUGGUCAAACCGCGUACUGUUGACUGAUGACGUGGCGCAAUCCUGAGCGUCCAAACUGUUUUUAAUCCGAUGGCCAUGAUUUACUCCAUGUAUCUAUAAAAAAGGGGCUUCCCCCCCCUAAUUUGAUAUCUCUGAAUCCAUUUUUGGGAUCCAUUUUCUGUAAUUCCUUCUCCAUCUUGUAUUUUCUACGUAUUUUAAUAAAUUUCUAUUUUGCCCCCAGUUCAAUUAUGAGUGGCUAAUUUUCUUUCAAGCUUGGGUUGAAGGUGAAAUCUCAACAUGUGUCAUAGGCUUUAUUUGGUAAAUUUACUUUCUCUUCCCCUCUAAUUUUUGUAGAUGUUUUGACUUCUCGUCGACAAAUAAUAAUAAUCUUGUCUAGUACCGCCCUGGUUUCACCGAGGUACUUGCUACACAACCCUGAGCAUUUGAUGACUCAGGUUCUUUGCCCUCUCUUCUCUUCUGGUACUCCAACACUCUUUCUUGACGUGCCCUUUCUUGCCACAGUUGUAGCAUUUAAUAUUCUUCUUACUUCUAGAUUUUGACUCCCACUGGGGCCACGUUCCGUUGAUCUCCCUCUCGUCACCGAUAGCGCCUCCGCUUGCUGCGAACUUGCUUGUCUAUUUUUCUUAUAUUUUCCGCCUGCUCUCCUCAUUUAAUACAGAGGCUGCAACAUCGUCGAAAAUUAGACUGUCUACUAGAUUGUUGUUCGUCAGGUUGAUGACGAGUUAAUCAUAUGAAUCUGGUAGACUUUGAAGUAGAAGCUCUGCACGUUCAUUCUCCUCUAUAUUAUAACCCAACGUUGUGAGUUGUGAAAAUAGAGUUUUCAAGGUGUUGAUGUGGUUAAUCACCAUUGUAGAUUCCGCCAUUCGAAGAGUAUAGAGUUUCCUCUUCAAGAAAAUUUUGUUGUGUAGUGACUUGGCCUCGUACAAUUUUGUGAGAGUAUCCCAUAUUUCCUUUGCUGUAUUUUUCUCUGCCACACUGGAUAAUACUCCAUCUGCAAGUGCCAAGUGUAGAUCAGCAAUGGCGUUGCCAUCUAUCUCAUUCCACUUGUCAUCAGUUAUCUCCACGGGUCUUUCUCCAAUUGGUGUCAAGUAAUUAUUUCUCCUCAAUACAGCUUUCAUCUUCAUUUUCCACAACGAAAAAUUAUGUCCGUUAAAUUUCUCAAUUUCAUACUUUGUCGCCAUUUUGUUGAUAAAUACAGCAUACAAGCUAGUGUACUAUCCUGAAUAGUUGUGAGUAUGUGUAAGAAUGCACGCCAGGAAAGUUCCCAGGAAAUACUGGAGGGGUCACAAUGGUCCCACUUAAAACCCAAACUCCUUAAACUCUUAUCGCCUUUGUGACAGAACUUUCCUACACAUGUACAAAACCACACAGUUGCUUUACUCACACCACUAUUCUCUGCUUUGCACCGCAAAAUUCUUAGAUCGCUACCGUAUACGUGAACAGUACCGUAUAUGUGAAUAGUAUCGUAUACGUGAACAAUACCGUAUACGUGAACAAUACCGUAUAUGUGAAUAAUACCCUUACGUCAAUAGUACCCGACUCCAAAAAUAUAACCAAUAGCUCUGAUAUCACUGUUAGGAAAUUGGUGGGUGAAGCAGGACCGCAGCUAAAAUGAAAUUGUAAGAAAAUAAAGAACAAUCACAAAAAUUAGACACAAGAAAUUACGUGGUUCGGCUUUUAGCCUAGGGCCAUGGGCGAAAACAGAAGGAAAAUUUUAUACUAGUGAAAAGGAGUUACAAGUAUUGUAGUAUUUUAGCUCACUACCCAAAACCCUAAUACACCCAAACUCUCAAAUUACUAAACACAUAAAACUCUUUUCUCUGCAAGAAUUAUUUCUCACAACUCUCGAUUCUCUCUACAAAAUUGGAUGCAAAAUGAAAUGGGGAGCUCUGCCUUUUAUAGCCAAAAAAUUGCUAUUAAAUUAUUAUUUUUACCACCGUCUUCAUUUUUCUAUUUUCUUCUUUCUUCUUUUUCUUCAUUCCAAAUUUGCUGCUGCCAAAUUCUUCUUCUUUUUCUUUGGACGGCACCAAAACCUUCAACAUUUUCUUUGGCCGGCUGACAAAGCCAACUUUACUUAUUCAAGGCUUCUAAAUGCUGAAUCCAAUUUUGACACCAUGCACAAUUGAACCAUGUAAAAGUCUUGGUUUAUGUGGGUUCUUGUUUUCAGUUUUUAUUCUUGAUUAAUUUCUUGUUGUUUUGCUAUUGAGUGAAUUGAUAUGUUUAGAUCUUAGAAUUGUGCAACUUGUAUUGAUUUGAUCACAAGUAUCUUGAGUAGUGAUCAGUCUUGUUUAGCUUUAUAAGACUUGCUAAUCACUACAAUUAUUAAUAUUAUUAUUUUGUGUAAGGGGAAGAUUUAUAUUACACACACACACACACAUAUAUAUAUAUAUAUAUACACAUUCACUACAUUUCUUUUUUAACUUCAUUUCAAGUGAUCAUGUAUUACGUUGAAUUACGAUUUAGAUAACCAAAAUGCGUAGGAUUAUUCAGCAUACAGUUAAUCAACCACAAUUCCCUUAUAUUUCACAGUGGCAUCAAUCAUAAGCCCAUUAUAUUAGAUUGACAACAAUUGUACAAUAAUUAAAGAACUCAAUUUUUUUUUUUUUUUUUUUUUUUUUACUGCUUUAACAUUGGAAUUUGUCAGCUAAAACUAAUGAGGUCCUUUCAUCCACAACAAAUUUAUACACGUGGCGCACUCUUGACAAAUUUCUUAUCACAUCAUGGGCCGUUAAAUACAUAUGGUAUGUUUGGAAUUGCUCUAUAUUUGACAUAUGUAUAAUAAAUAAAUUUUAAAAGUGAUUAUUACACAAUUUAUAAAUAAUCAAUUUUUGCAUUGAUUCUUAAAAGUAGGAAAUUGUAACUUUACGAAAAUUAAUUAUUUAAUAAUGUGAUUAUGAAUUGUUUAUAUGUCAUUUUUACCCUCCUUAAUUUUUCUUAAUCCCAAAAUAACCUUGUGUCAAUAUUUAAAUUUAAUUAGCUUAUUGUUUAAAUUUAGUUACCUUAUUAACUAUGAAAUAUUUAUUUGAAUUUUAUUAAAUAAAAAAAAAAUAAAACUUAAAACCCGAGGCCACCGCGCCCGGCGGGGAGCCACCAUUGUUGACAUUGGCAUUCAAGCUUGUGAAACAUUGUUAGCAAUAAAAAAAAAAGCUCAGAAUCCAACGAUCUAUGCACCGGAGUGAAUAUUUCCGUCCACAGCAGUUCGGUUUCACGGCGGAGAUGCUGCAACCUUCGUCAUGAAUUGCGCGUGUAGUAGGAUUGGCCAUUUUCUGACAAAAUCUUACGCUAUAUUUGAGCACAUCAUGGUCUUAGGGUUCGAUUGGUAUAAGCGGUGUUGAUAACGGACCAUUUCCGGCAGUAUCUGAAAUUUUGACCGCUGCGUGCGGUGAACUUGUUCACUAUUUUCCGACGGUCAUGAUAGUAAGGGUCUCAUCGGAGAACUAGGAUUUCAAUGAUCAUGGUGGGGCGUUCCGAGGGCGACAUCCCUCCUCAUCGCCGGUGAGUGGCCGAUGAUCUAUUUUUUAUUUCUCCGGUGAUCUAUUUUCAAUUUCUUAGUAAAUAUUUUUUUAAUUUUAAAGUGAAAAUAAACACCAGUUAAUGUUAAUUAUUUUUUGAAACAUCAAUGGAAAGUUAAAAAAAAAAAUAUCGUAUUUAUGAUUUAAAGAAAGUAUAAAUAGAAAGUUCAAAAACAUAAAAAUAUUUCUUUACUGAAUAAUUUGCUUCGAAAUAAAUUUUAAUUUUUUGAAUUAAAAUUUUAAUUGCUUGUAAUACAACCAAAUAAUAUCAUUAGUUCACUUUCGUCAUUUCAAUUUACAUAUUUCCUUUCAUGAUUUACCAAACAUGCAUGUCAAAUUAUAUUAUAAAUGAUUAUGGUAUAAUUUUAAUUUACAAAUAUUUAUUAAAUUAUUUAUAAAACUGAUUAUUUCAAAAUCUAUGCUAAAAUAUAUUAUUUGAGAAGCUAAUGCAAUCCCAAACAUAGCAAGAAGCAUUACAUAAAAAGGAGGCAAAGAAUAAGGUACAUAAUAUAGAUUUCUCUACUCUUGAGUCAUUUUGGUUGUUUACCCGCCUGACAGAAAGCGAAAGAAAAUGUCAAUUGUCAAGUGUGAUGGGGCAAGCAAAGCAUAUCGAUCGAUCACACGGCAAGCUGCAGCCUGCAGUACUUAAAGACAUCCAGGUCCAGGAUUUAACUAGUAAGCAUGUUGGCGGAUUUUUGAAUAUGGAGGCAAAUAACAAUAAGAGAAUUUGAUUCGUGUUUGCACACUUUCUGUUAAAGUUUUAUUUGCUCUCACUAAUUUUGAUUUGUUAUAGAGUUUUAAUAACAAAUUACCCUUAAGAUAUAACAAAUUCUGAAUACAAUCUCUAACAAAUAAGAUUGUAUUCUAAGAACACAAAAGAAAAAUUGUAAAUAAUCUUGUAUAUAUCUUUUUAAUCUAAUGUAUGUGUCUAUUUUAAUGAAGAACAUGUUUAUAUGAAAGAUUACAAUAAUUAGAAAUGGUAUUUUUCAAAGACACUCUUUUGGUUUGAAAUUUGCAUCCAUUCACAAUCAAAAUUUUCAAGCCUGCUAACCGUUUUUUCAGUUGACGCGAAAACACACUUUCUAGAAGAAAAUGGUUAGCCGUGAUCUCAAUAACGGCGAGACGUUUUAUUCCAGAAUGUCAAAAUAAGUUGCUCUCUGGAAAUAAACAGUUAGUUGUUUUCUCCAAAUGAUUAGCCGUUUUCUGUAGAACAGAAAACAUGCUCUCUGGAAUUAAACGGUUAGCCGUUUUUUUCAAAAAUGGCAAGCUGUUUUAUUCCAGAAUGUCAAACCAAAAAAGAAAAAUGUUACAAUCUCUCUUACAAAGCAUCAAACAAUUGCUCAAAUAAAUCUUCGCAUUCGCAAACAUGAAUCCUAAUUUGCACAAGGCUGUAGCUAAGGGUGAAAUUGAACGAGAUUGAAAAAGAUGAACUUGUAAGCAUAGUGACUCACGACAAGAAUACGGUCCUUCAUGUCAACAUUGCAUCCUCUCAACAAGAAGGAGAAAGGGUAUAAACGGAGUUCGUGCAACGGAUACUCGAAAUGUGUCCAUCAUCGCUACUCCAAGUUAGUGACAAAGGUGAUUAAUAUUUUGUAAUAUUUAAUUACAAAAUAUUAAAUAAAUAUUAGAAUCUAUCAUUCCAUUAUUAUAUCUUCAAAAAAAAAAAGUUUCAUUUUACUAUACUUUCAUUAAUUAUCCUUUAUUGUUUCUAGUUGUAGUACGGCAACUCUCGAAGCUAGUCUUAAUAGAGAUCAGUUCAAUGUUAAGGUCAUAACUGACAUUAAAGCAGUGAAAAUGAGUUGCACACAAAAACAAGAUAAAAUAUUAAGUGCUAACCCCCUUCUUGUUUGUUUUUUUUUUUUUUUUAUUACAUGAGACUAUUGCUCAGAUUACAACUCAUAUACAUGAGACUAUUACUGAUAUUUACAAAUCAAACUAUUACUGGGACCAACUGACAUCAAUGCUAAUGGAGCUCUGCCCAGAUUUUAACCCUCACAAAUAUUCGAGGGAUGUCUACUCCUCACUCAUGGGUAAUAGAGAAGACUACCUUCACUCAAAUUAAUUGAACAAGGAAAGACCCCCACAAUGCUUUUGUGGGGGUUCGAACUGCUGCCCUCCAAGUUGGAGGGCAGCAGCCCUGGCCACUCGGGCUACUGCCCGAGUGGUUCCCCUUCUUGUUUGUUAAAAUAUAGCGAAAGCCCCUAAAUAUUUCAAAAUCUAGCAAAAUCUCAUGUCAUCAGUAUUAUUAACGUUUAAUAUUUGGAGUUAUCAUUUAAAUUGGGCUCACACCUUAUUAUUUUUAACCUCGUCGAUGCUGUCACGUGUACUGUGUACACCACCAAAUUGGAUGUUUAAAUUGGAUUAACGCGUUUGAUUUAUUCAAUAAUUAACGAUAAAGUAGCUACUCCUCCCUUCUCACUUCUAUGCUUCAUGGGUCCUUUGUUACAUAAUUCUCGUAACCACGGAUUUGCUCUAAUCAUUACCCCAGAAAUGCGUCUGAGGUCUAUUAGAUCCAUAUUUCUUUUGCAACAAAGCCACUUACUACAUUACCCUAGGCUCUUUAGAGCAUCUUCAAAAGACUCUUCAAAUAAAAUUCUACUUUUUAUUUGAAGAGUCAUAUCAAUACUAAAUAUUCUAAAAGACACGUUAAUUUAAAUUCUCCAAAUAAAAUUUAUUUCUCACUCUUCAAUAUUGCCGAGUGAGUUUCUCCCUCUUCUAUUAAUAUUUUUUUUAUUAUUUAUUGAAAAGAUAAGACUGCAAUAAUUAUUAUUUAUAUUUCCUUUCCAAAACGUAACAACAAUUCAAUUUGAUAGUGGGAAAGAUUUAAUUAAAAUAAUAUUAACUUAUUCUUAUUUAAUGAGUCUUUUGGAGGGGAUUGUAAUUUUCUAUACACUUAUUUGUCACAUCAGUAAGUAAAUUGAAAUUUAAAGAGUAAAAUCUAAAGAGAUACUCUUAGCUAAUAGCUAUUUAGUAUUUACACUAUUUGCUGAUGGUUAAAACUCUUCUUCCUUUAUAGAUAGAAUGAUUGACUUUGAAUUUUAUUAGAAAUCUUAUUUUUUUGUAAAUAUAUUUUUGUAAGUGUGAAGUUGCUCCGAUAAUGACUUAAUGUAAUGAGAGAAAACUGUAAUAUAAAUUAAAAAAAAAGAUUUGUAUUAUUUAAUUAUCAAAAGGUUAGGCUUCGGAGAUUUUUUUUUGGGGGGGGGACAAAAAGAAUUCUUAUUAAAUAGAAAUUUUUUUAAAAAUUGACAAGCUAAGUGUCGCAAAAAAUCUUCCAUCAUUAUAAAACAACUACGGGAAUGAACUGUAAAUUUAGCUAACAACUUCAUUACAAUUAGCUUAGGAGAAAAUUUUGAUCUCUAAAGAGUAUAUUAAUUAUAAAAAAAAAACAGAAACACCGUUAAAAAUAUAAAUUAAAAAAAUAAAGACAAUCUCUAAAUCUAUUAUACUUUGUCACAUGGUAGAGCAAGAACUUUAUUAUGAAUCACAAAUAAAUCUUACUUUAGAAUUUAUAAAUUUUAAUAUUAAAAAAUAAUUUAUAUACAAAUGGCAGAAUAUAAGUCGUUGGUCCUACCUUCAACUGAGAUGAUAGGCCAGCAGUAGGGGUGGGCAUGGGUUGGGUUGGAUAGGAUUUGUGAAAAUCCAACCCAACCCAUUAUUGAAUGGGUUGAGAUAAACUCAACCCAACCCAAUUAAAUAAACAUGUUCAACCCAAUCUAACCCAACCCUUAAAUUAUCGGGUUGGGUUGGAUUUGGAUGAUUGGGUUGAAGAUUUGAAGUCAAAUCAAAAUUAAAAAUUAAAUAAAGAAAAAGAUAUGAAAAUUGAAAUAAAACUUAUUGAAAUCAAAUAUAAAAAUAUUAUAUUAUGAAAAUUUUAUUCACUGUCUAGUAUUUGAUAAAGAAAACUAAAAUAAUAUAUAAUGAAUAAUUUAAAUAAGUACCUUAGUUGAUUGAGAAUUGAGAUUUAAGAGAGUGAUUUUAGUUUUGAAGUUAGAGUCUAAAGUAGUAGAUACAAGAAUAAAAUAAUCUCUUUAUAAGAAAAUAAAAAGAGGAUAAAAAAUAGAUUAAACGUUUCAAUUUUUAGGAUUUUGCAAUUGAGAAUUUUCUUCUUCUUCUUCUUCUUCUUCCUCUUGUUAUUAUUAUUAUUUAUGUGGGUUGGGUUGGGUUACAUGGGUUUAUCAUAAUUAACCCAACCCAACCCAAUUGUUGAUUGGGUUAAAAAAAAAUUGACCCAAUUAACUUAUAAUAACCCACUCAACCCAUCAAAGUUAAAUUGGGUUGGGUUAGAUCAAUUGAGUUGGAUUAGGUUUGUCCACCCCUAGCCAGUAGAUAGAAAUUUUUCUCAUAAGUAAAACUUCUACAUCAUAAAGAAUACUCUUUAAAGAUAAAAUUAAAAGUGACAUAGUUAUAUUAUGUGAUAGAAAAUGUGGCAAAAUAAACAGAUUAAGUCCUUUGAAGUCAAAUUAUCUUGUGAAAGGCGUGUGAUCUAUGUAUUGUCAUAGAAAAUGUGUAGCAUCUUGGAUGGCCAUACUUUGGCAUUGACUCCAAAUAUAACAAAAAGAUAGAAAAGAAAAGAUUGAAAAAGAAAGUGAAAGCCUACCUUUGUGUCUUGAUCUCUUUAAUUAGGGGUCGAUAUUUUCGUAUCUAGUUUAGUUCGGAUUAACCUUUAGAAAUUUAUUGAGUUGAAAGUUAGAAAUAUAUCGGAUUAAAAUAAGGUUCAGGAAACCGAUUUGCUCACCCCUUCAAUUUCCAUCUCAAUGAUAACAAGUUAAGUGAUGUCAAAAAUCUUCCAUCAAUACAAAACAAAAAUGAAAUGCGAACUUAUAUAAAGAAUCUGUAAUAUUAUUAUAACUGACUUAAGAGAAAAUCUUAAAUCAUAAAGAAUAUAGUAAUUAUUAAAAUUAAAUAAAAUAAAGAAACACCCAAAAAAUAAAAAAAAAAUUAAAAUAAAGAUAGAGAAUCUUUGAAUACAUAAUUAAUUAAUUAUCAAAUAGUCAAGUAUGAGAUAGUUCACCACAAACAUACUAAGAGUAAUAAUAUAGUCACAAGCUCUUAUACAAAUUUAUUUUGUACAAAUAAUGUGGCAUGAUAAAAUUGAUUGAAUUAAAUAUCUCUUGGACCACGUGAUUUAUUUUUAUUAUUUUAUAUUUUCAUUAAACCAAUGAAUUAAUACCAAAUCAAUUUGUACAAGAUGAGUUGGUACAAGAGUUUGUGGUUGUAUCAUCACUCAUAUACUAAUAUAAUGAGGAGUGAUGAUACAACCACAAACUCUUGUACAAACUUAUUUUGUAUAAACUGAUGUGGCAUUAAUUCAUUGGUUAAAUAAAAAUAUAAAAUAAUAGAAAUAAAUCAUGUGGGCCAAGAGAUAUUUAAUUCAACUAAUUUUAUCAUGUCACAUCAGUUUAUACAAAAUAAGUUUGUACAAGAGUUUAUGGUUAUAUCAUUACUCUAUAAUGAGACCGGCUAUUGAUGUUCUGAUAUGUGGUAGAGUAAGGAUCCGACUUUAAAAUCUAUUUUUAAUAUUAAGAAAUAACUGCAUAGCAUGAUUAGUUGAUCCUCCCAUAGGCUGAAGUGUAGGCCGGUCUAUAAAAUUGUUUCUCAUAAUGAAUCAUCUAUUAGAUUAGAAAUCUUUAAACAUAGAAUGAAAAGUGAUAAAAUUACAUUAUUUGGUAAUAUAAUCAAAAGUUACGUAGUUAUUUAAUUGUCAAAUAGAGCGUAGACAAUGAAUCUCUGUAUAUAUUUUUUAAUCAACAAUUAUAGACAUACAAUGUAUCAUGUAAUAAUUGCACAUCAUCAUUUCUUAUUUAACUGAAAGGUUUUAUUUGAUACCAUACAAAAUUCAUAUUCUAACUUUGGGAGUCUGCUAAGUUACAUAAUCUGUAACUUAAAGACCUACCUUUAGUACCUACUAGGCUACUACCUAGCUUUAAUACCAAAUGCAUGCUCUUCCUCUCUCUCUACAGGACACGUGUAAUCAUCCCGUUUGAUGUGUAAGUAACAUAAUCUGUAAUAUAUCAAGCUCCCUAACUUUGUGAAAAUAUCCAUGCCUUUAUGUAAUUGUCAAAAUGAUCUAGGUCAAACUUAUCAGUUAGCUGAGCAAUAUACAGUACCAUAAUGAAUUGUCAAAUAAUGUUUUUUAAGAUAAUGACAAAUAAAAUUCUUUAAAACAUAAGACUCAAAAGAGAGGUAGUUCAUUAUGUGGUAGAAAAUGUGGCUAGGUGAAAAGUGCAUACGGAUAAAUUACGCGGGCUAUGGAUUGUAGUCGAGUAGUCUAUAAUUGGAAGGCCAAGUCUAGUUGUUAUAAAGCGAUGCUGCUGAAAACAACAAGAAAGAGCGCCUCGUCCAUAUAAUCCCCUGCUAUUUUCUUGAAGCAACAGAGCUCACAGGUAAACAAGUUGGUGGUGGUGAUGGUGAGUGGUAGGUAGGAUCGGCUUAAUCAUAGCUUUAGGUAAAUGAUUUUAGGCUCAGUUUGGUACUAAAGUGUUAUAAUUUUUAAGGUAUAGUUAUUGAAAAAAAAUUAUAAUUAUAAAGUAAAAAUUAAUAAUAUGUAAUAAUAUAAUUUUUAAAUAAUAAUUUUGAUAAAAUUAGUAAAGAUAUAAUGAAUUUUUUAUUAUACAAGAGUAAAAUCAAAUCAACUUAACUUUCAAACUACAGCAACUAGUGUUUACCAAACGCUUUGAUAUUGUAACUUUUAAGGUACAUCUAAAAAUUACAACUGUCAAACUUCAAUCCAAACUGGUGUUAAUUAGUUCUUCUUAAAAUUUGAGGAAGAAUAUAUAUUAAUUAUAUUAUAAAAUUUAAUUAUUUGAAAUCAAUUCUUCCAACAAUCUAAGAUGUAAAAUUAUUAAAUAAAAUUCUAUUAUACUAUUGCUAAUUUAUGAAAUUUAAAUUCAAUUAUAUCAUUUUCACUUAUUAUUUCUUCACUCAAUUACAUCUUUUUUACUACUCCUUUUUUAGAUUAAACUAAUUUUUCUAUUCUUCUAUUUUUUAAAAUUUUUCGAUACAAUUUUAUUUCAAAAUGGAUAGAAUAGACACACAAAAAUAAUAAUAGUAGAUGAACAAAAGAAUAUAUUAAAAAGAAAUAAGAAUAAAUAAACAACACAACUAAUUAAGAGAAAAAUAAAAAUAUAAUCUAAAAUUUGAGAUGAAAUCAUAAAUUAACUUUAUCUUUAAUUAUUUGAGGAUUUAACAAUGACUAAUAACCAUGGAAAAUAAGUUGUCAAAAAAAUAACCAUAAAAAAUAGAGAAACUAUAAGACCUUUUUUUAUUAUUAUUUUUUAGCGGGAGCAAGAGGAAGAUUUCUCACAAGCAUUACUCUUCCUGAUUAAAGGGGAUAGAAAGAAUAUACUUCAUAAAGUACCAUUAUUGUUAAAUGUUGAUAAAGAUCCAAAGACAUUUAGCAAAGCUAUGUCUUCUAGAGACGCUUCCUUUUGGAGAGAGGCGGUAAAUGACAAAAUUAAUUCAAUUAUGUCAAAUCAAACAUGGAUCUUGGUUGAUCUUCCUCUAGGUCUAAACCAAUUAGCAACAAAUGGGUGUUUAGAAGAAAGUACAACAGUGAUGGUUAUUUGUAAACUUUUAAGGCUAAAUUAAUAGCCAAAGGGUUUAAGCAAAGAAGUGGUAUUGAUUAUUUUGAUACAUAUGCUCCGGUGGCAAGAUUAACAUUUAUAAGAGUGCUCUUUACAAUUGCUUCGUUGAACAAUUUGCAUGUGCAUCAAAUGGAUGUCAAAACCGCUUUUCUUAAUGGUGAUCUUGAUGAAGAAAUCUAUAUGGAACAACCCGAGGGAUUUGUUUUGCCUGGAAAUGAGACAAAAGUAUACAAGUUAGUCAAGUCGCUUUAUGGUUUAAAGCAAGCACCAAAACAAUGGCAUGAGAAGUUUGAUUCGGUAAUCUUAUCUCAUGGUUUUAAGCAUAAUAAUGCUGAUAAAUGCAUAUACUCUAAGUUUAAGAAUGAUUUUGGUGUGAUUAUAUGCUUGUAUGUUGAUGACAUGCUUAUCUUUGGAACAAAUAUGCAAGGAGUAAAUGAUACAAAGAAGUAUUUAACUUCACAAUUUAAAAUGAAAGAUCUUGGUGAAGUCGAUACUAUCUUAGGUGUAAAAGUGAAGAAACAUAGUGGGAGUUACUCGUUGUGUCAAUCUCAUUAUAUAGAGCAAGUGCUUCUUUAAUUCAAUUAUUUGAAAUAUAAAGAAGCCAAUACCCCAUAUGGUUCUAGUAUUAAAUUACUAGAGAAUUCAGGUCGAGCAGUAGCACAAUUAGAAUAUGCCAGUGCUAUUGGUAGCUUGAUGUAUGCUAUGCAUUGUAUGAGACCAGAUAUAGCUUUUGUGGUUUGCCAAAUGUCAAGAUUCACGAGUAACCCUAGUGUUGAACACUGGAAAGCAAUUGGAAGGAUACUUGAUUAUCUUAAAAGGACUAUUAAUUUGGGCUUGUUUUAUAAUGAUUAUCUUAAAGUCUUAGAAGGAUAUUCAUAUGCUAGUUGGAUAACCAAUACAAGUAAUAAUAAAUCCACUUCUGAUCGGAUUUUUACAAUUGCUGAAGGAGCUGUUUCUUGAGCUUCAAAGAAACAAACGUGCAUAACUCAUUCAACAAUGGAAAGUGAGUUUUAUAGCACUUGCAGCUGCAAGCAAGGAAGCAGAAUGGCUGAAAAAUUUGUUGUUUGUGAAAUACUAACUAGGCAACCCAAGAGGGGGGUGCAUUGAGAUUUUAAAAUUUAAACUAAGCAAACCAUACAAUAAUUUAAUCUAAUGCCUUAAUAGAAUAAAAAACAAUAAAUGCAAUAAAGCAUAAUAAUAAGAGAGUAAGGGAAGAGAAAACAAACACAAUGAUUUUUACGUGGUUCAGCAAUCCUUACCUAUAUCCACGCCUCCAAGCUCACCCGGCUUGAAGAUUUCACUAUCCAAGCCUCUCAAGACUUCAAGUUCUUUACAAUUGGCUUCCAAGGUGUCAAUAGACCUUUAUAAUCAAGAGAUUAUCUCCCAAAUCUCUUUACCCCAAGUGUUUCUCACACUUGUACACUCACAAUUUGAUGAGAAAUGAAAAUUACAACAAACAACUCUCUUUUAGAGUGGAUAUACAAAUGAUAGCACAAUGAAGAUUUAAUCUAUGAUUAUUUGCGAAAUUGAAGCUCAAUAUAUGUUGUGUGCACUUGUUUAUGCUUGCAAAGAUUACUAAAAAUGAAUUGGAUUUGAGCUUAUAUAAUUAAAGCCCAAAAACUAGCCGUUAUAGACUUUUUGGUGAUAAUCGGCUUGUCGCUUUGUGAAUCCAGUUAGCUGCUUUUAUGUUACUGUUACAGCAAAUAUUUAAAUUUUGGAACAUCUGGCAUGCCGCUUUUGGAAUUCGGUUAGCCGCUUUCAUUCCAGUAAGCUAUUGCCUAUAAUUCGGCUUGCCGCUUUGUAAAAUCUGGUUAGCCGCUUUGCUACAGUGACGGCUACAGUGAACUAUUUUCUAAAAUUACGCUAUAGCCCAAAACAUCAUAAAACUUUGCACAAAUGUCCAAUUUCAGAAUUUCUAAAUAAUGCUUGUUAUUCCUAAAAUUUUAUGAAAUUAUGAUAUCACCCAAAACACUAUAAAACUUUUCAAAUAAGUCCCUCCCCAGAAUUCCAAACAAUACAUGUUGAUUUCAAAGUUUUCAAAACUCUUUUAAUUAGACCAUAAACUUGAAAAACAACCAAUUUUAUAAAAUCAUUUUUCCAUUAAAUAUAAAACCUUUAUAAUGUGAAAAUAAUGAUUUAUUUAAAAUGUAUAAAAAUAAUUUGAGCUUUUAAAAACUUAAUCAUUCUUAAUUGUGUUUGUUAUCAUCAAAAUCAACAUUAUGGAUACAUAAAUGUUAAUAGUUUGAUAUAAAGUUGUGGUCACAACCGAUGCCAUCUAUUUCUUUAUACUGCGAUAGUGCAGCUACAUUGUCUAGAGCUUAUAAUAAAGUAUAUAAUGGAAAAUCUAGACAUAUUAGCUUGAGACAUGAAUAUGUGAAAUAAUUACUAGCAGAUGGUGUUAUUAAUAUUGUUUAUGUUAGGACUAAUAAGAACCUAGCAGAUCCUUUAACAAAAAGUCUUUCAAGAGACGUAGUUAAGGAUACAUCUUUUGGAAUGGGAUUGAAACCUUUUUUUGAUAAACUCACCAACGACAAUAACCCAACUAUAUAAUAGUUAUACCACUAUUCCAUAGUUAUAUGGGUAAUAACAAGUUGUUGUAUUGUGACUAGUUUGGCACCGACAAUAAAUAAUGUCAUUCAAGAUAUUCGGUGCAAAUAGCUACAAGGUUGAGGUUGAGUAUUUACUCUGAAUGAAGUUCAAGUCUUAUAGUAGAUAAAGACAUGAUUUGAAGCUUCACCUAAGUGAACAUAAGAAAUGGUGCCGUUUCUAACAAGAUCGUGGUUUAAUCUUGUAAAUGUUAAUGAAUCCAAGAUAGAGCACAAGGCCAAAAUAGUGCUAAAUAUUGGAACAUAACUUUGAAAUCUGGGGUAGCUUAUAUGUGACGUAUCUCCAGUAUUUACUUAAGAGACAAAGUUUAAUACUUAGCACACUAUUGUCUUGUAAAUGCUUUGAAAUACACUCACUAAUUAAAGGUUAAAAUCAAAAGAUACAUUUUUGUACGUAUAAGUUUAUCAUUAAUAAACCUGAAAAAUAUUACAAUCUAGCAGGUGAUUGUAACAUUUUUAAAUUUGACAUUUUGGAAUAAAACGGCUUGUCGUUUUUAAAAAACGGCUAACCAUUUAUUUCCAGAGAGCAUGUUUUCUGUUCUACAGAAAAUGGCUUGCCGUUUGGAUAAAACGGCUAACCGUUUAUUUUCAGAGAGCAUGUUUUGUGUUCUACAGAAAACGGCUAACCAUUUGGAGAAAAUAACUAACCAUUUAUUUCUAGAGAGCAACUUAUUUUGACAUCCUGAAAUAAAACGGCUCGCCGUUAUUGAGAAAACGGCGAACCGUUUUCUUCCAGAGAGUGUGUUUUGGCGUCAACUAAAAAAAACGACUAGUAGGUUUGCGGAAAAAAAAAAAAAAAAACCAUUUGUGAAUAGAUGCAAAUUUCAAACCAAAGACUGUCUUUGAAGAAGUACCAUUUCUAAUGGUUGUACGUAAUCUUUCAUAUAAACAUUUUCUUCAUUAAAAUACACACUCACAUUAGAUUAAAAAAACCAGAUUAUCACAGAUUUCAAGUGUGUUCUUGAAAUAUAAUCUUAUUUGCUAGAGAUUGUAUUUAGGAUUUGAUAUAUUUGGGGAAUAAUUUGCCAUUAAACUGUAUAACAAACCAAGAAUGGUGAGGGCAAAUAAAACUUUAAAGGAAAGUGUAUAAACACGUCUCAAAUCCUAAGAAAUUUUCCUUAUUCUUUGCCUCCAUAUUUGAAAAUCCUCCAACAUCUCUAUACCCCAAAACUAACCCUACGUGUACCUUAAUCAUCUCACUUUUUUUGCUAUUUAAACCCACAACUAUUCAUCUUCUACUUUUGUUAUUCUCUGUACUCAUUUUUUUUAAAAAUUUUUUAUUUAUAUUCUAGAUUUAAUUUUAGAAACCCACAUCCUCGACAUCUUUAACGAAUUGAAAGGUAAUUUAAUUUUGAAACCCAUUCUUAUGCAAUUUAAGUCCCUGAAAUAAUUAACAUAAUGCCAGCUGCUAACACUUGCCGUAAGUUUCAAUAUCUGCUAAACAAGGAAGGAAAGCAAUAUUUUUACAAACCAGAACAGUUUCAAAAAUUAAUUAAACUUGAGAAGGUCAACAUGAAAAGGAAAAAGAUAGUGAUAUGUGCGUAAAUAGUAACAGAAAAAAAAACACAUAAUAUUAGAGACAAAAAGAAAAAAUCGUUAAAGAUAAAAAAAAAAAAGAAAAAGACAUUUCACUCCUAGACCACAAAAAAAAUAAUGUGUUGUUGUGCUAUUUUUGGACUUUAGUCUUGUUAUGUUAUAUAUAUUUUGUACUCUUUUUUGUACAGACAUCAUAUUAUUCAUAACAAUAUGUGCUGUGUAUUUUUGGCUCUAGAUCGUUUUAUAGGAUGUAUAUAGACCAAGAAAUUUGACUUAAUUAGGAGCUACUUUACUAAUUUCUCUAAGAACUAUAAGAAAAAUCAAAUAUACAAUCUCACAAAUCUUCUUGAUUUCCAAAAAUUAAACAUCAACCAUAGCUAGUGUAAACAAAUCUUACCGUUGGAGUAAAAUCUCCAACUUGAACGCUAAAUCCACACAUUUCUUACUUUAAUCUAUCUUUAGGCAAACAACACAACUGAAAACUUCAAUUCCCUUUCUAUGAAUGAAACUAGAUAUGAAAAUAUGAUGAUUUCUAAGUUUAAAACAUUCAAAAAUCAAAAGCUCCUAUCUUUCCAUUUCCUUUUUAGUGGGUUCAAAAUUUAGUUAGUAUUAUGGCAACGUGGGCUUAUAACUUAUUGGACCAACUAAAGAGAUAUAUGGUCAUAACUUGAAUAAAAAAUGGGCAACGCCCUUGGUUAUUACAGAAUGUCUUAAUAAUUGAGUAUUGAGGACCACUGCCGGAAAAUUUUCCACCUGCCGCUUCCUGCCUUCAGCUCCUCAAUUUUGCCUUCAACAAUGGUUACCUAACUAAUUAUUACAGCACCUAUAAGGCUAAAUCUUCCUGGCACCAAAUUUGAGUUUUAAAAUAAAAUCAAAAGCGCUAUAUAAUCUUCUAGAUUAAUCAAAUCAAAAUACAGAUAAUCAUAUUUUCACUGAAUGCAACUUAUAAUUAUAAAUUUACAUUUUUAUUUUUUUAAACAACCUCAAAAUUAAUUAAAUGAUAAAAGUUUUUAUCAUUAUUUUAUCAUGCUUUUGUUCAUUUAGCAUUGAUAAAAAGAUUGGUUGACGUUAUCGCAUCGGUGAUAACAUAAAACAACGUUGGAUGGCCAGACUUGGCCGUUGACGCCAAUUUACCGAAGACAAAAAGAGAUUUAAAAAAAAAUGAUAAGAAAAGAACAAGCGAAAAGUCGUAGAAAAUAAUAAUUGCAGUCUUAUAUAAGACAACUAGUGGGGUUCAAAGAAACCUACUCCACCCAUUUUUUCUUGCCUUCACAUUUGUCUUUUCUUGCAUUUAAUUCUGGAGUAAUGUAUUCCUACUGAUCGUUCGGUUUAAAAAAAAAAAAAACUGUACACAUUAUCUAAUUGUCAAAUGGUGAAGGUGAACUUGUCAUCAGCCGAGUAAUACACAAUUAUGAAUCGUAAAGAUAGAAUCGGAAGUGUGAUGGUUACAUUGUCUGGUAGAAAAAUGUGGCCAAGUGCAUAGGAAAAAGUCCACCGUAGUAAAAGUUUUGUUGUGAAAGAGAAAUUUUAAAAUAUUUUAGAUGUAUUAUAAUCAAUUGAUAUAAGUAUAAUAUGUAUAAUUAAAUUUAAUAUAAUUAUCACUUAUAUAAUAAUAAUUCAAAAUAAAUAUAUAAAUAUUAUAAUAUUAUUAUUUAUUAUAUAAAUAAUAUGAUACCUCAAACGUAUUUUAAAAUUUUUCGAUGUGAAGAACGUGCGGUCUAUGGAUUGUUGUAGACUUCGAGAGUUGCAGAAGUGUACUUGUGAAGCGAAGCCUGAUACUGAAAGAAGCCUGAUAGUGAAAGAGAAAAAAUAGGCGAGGCUACCUUACAGCUGUUGAAGGUGCAACCUUAUCACAUAAAUAAUAUAAAUGAGAUUCACGGUUAAGAAGCUGUAAGGUCAAAAAAAUACUUGAGCUGCUUUUUUAAUUCAGUUGGCUAUUUUUUCAUCGCUGCCCUCUACUUUCGUCUAAAUUCCCUUAACAUCUAAUAUACUCUUUUUAAGUCCCCCAAAUCUAACAAGCCCAUUAGCUUGUAACUUCCUCUGCUCCAAACAUUUAUGUAGGACACAGUUUGUACUCAAACUCAAAUAUCAUUGCAUUCACAAAGUAAGAUGGAUCCUGAUCUGUACAAGGCUGCAGCUAAGGGUGAAAUUGAUCCCUUCAACAACAUUGCAAAAGACCGUCUUGGAAGCAUAGUGACACACAACAAGAACACGGUCCUUCAUGUCAACAUCGCACCCCAGACCCACAAACACAAAUAAUACACAAUAGAGAAGGAGAAAUUGUAUUGAUGAAGCGUCACAACAGGAAUCAAGUCCAUCAUGUCCAUUGUACCAACAUCUUAUCCCAGACUCAAAAAUACGAUAAGAGGAGGAGAAAGUGUAUCAACCAAGUUCGUGAAACAGAUACUUGAAAUGUGUCCAUCGUUGCUGCUACAAGUCAAUGCCAAAGGUGACGCUCCACUUCAUGUUGCGGCCAAAUGCGGCUAUCCUUCUGUUGUGAAAGCUCUGAUUGAAUUCGCCAAAAGAGAGCCUAAAGAGCUAGAAAGCGGUGUGGAAAGCACAGUGUAGUGAUUUAACACCCCUUAAGACUCAAGAUGCUAAGCCACUGCCCAGGAGACUCAAGUUCUUGAUCAAACAAGUUGCAAAGGAAACCAAGCUUUGAUAACAAGACCCCAACUCUGAUUUCAAUAAGUCCUAGAUCUAAUGAUUAAUAUCACAGUGUAUAACCCAAUCAAGAAACAACUCACGUCACACAAGAAACAGAAUCUUACGUGGUUCAAUUGUGCAUUACAUGCACAAUCUACAUCCACGGGAAAAGCCACAUGAAAAGCUUUAUUGAUGAAUCAAGAAGACAAAUACAGAGCUUCUAAACAAGAGAUUACAAGCAACAAGAAUAAUCUCUCUCACUUUCAGAUCUCUCUCUUAAGCUCUCUCUGAACCACGUGCUUUCUCCCUCAGCAACCAGCUUUAUACUCCUGAUGCUGAAACCCAGAUUGCACAGAAUCUGGACACGUGUGUAACGACAUUUAACAACCUUGAUUCGCUUCUUCACGAGCUGGCUCACGUGCUUCACUUAAGUUUUUCCAAAACGACAGAGGCUGAGUCGUUUAGCUUUUGAACUUAAAAGCCUCGUGCUGCACGUGACAAAUGACUGAAAUCAUUUGAUCAAAACGAACCGUUUUGGGACUCUGAGUUUUCGAUUCAUUGCACUCAAGUCCACACACAGCAAGGCAGAUGCCAGGGAUGACCAAUGAUGAACAAAACACAGCAUCUCGAAGAAAACACUUCAACAUCAAUUAUAGCCAGUGUUAAAAAUCUUACCAUUGGUGUAAAAUUCCAGCUUGAACGCUUAAUUUACACAUUUCUUAUUCUAAUCUCUCCUAACACAAACAACACAACUCAAAACUUCAAUUCCUCGUCUAUGAAAGAAACUACAUACGAUCGCAUGAUGAUUUCUAAGUUUUAAACAUUCAAAAAUCAAAAUCUCUUUUAUUUCCCCUUUCUUUUUAAUGGGUUUAAAAAUUAGUAACACGCCAAUGUGGGCUUAUUAAGUUAUUGGAUCAACUAAUGAGAUAUAACUUAAAAACAGAAAAUGGGCAACGCCCUUGGGUUAUCACGUACAGAAGGUAGCAAAAUUCUUCUCUGCCACCUCCUUCCUACAGUGGCAUUUUCCUAAUCUUUUGAGUGUUGGCACAAUAAUAUAUCAGUGUAUAAAAUAAAAAAUUAAAAAAAAAAGUGUUGGCACAAUAAAGGAUGUUGAUGAUAAUUUAGGGGAAAACUAAAUAAAUAAAUAAAUAAAAGGACGGUUGAUUGAUGCUAUUGGUAAUAAAAUAAUGCUGGGUGGCUAGACUUCGCCGUUGACGCCAGUUGCGGGAAAAGACAAAAAGAUUGAAGAAGAAAGAACGAGCGAACCUGUAAUUCUUGAUAUCUAUAAUUAAUUAGUUGGCGUCGAGAUUCUUGGCACUGAGAGAAAAAUAAUUAUAAGACUGUCAAUGGGAUUCAAACAGUACUACUAUCCCACGCACUUUUUCUUGCCGUCACAUUUGUUUGUUUUUCCUUGGGACUUGACUGUUUCGUGAUUAAUUUUUCAAUAAGUUUUUUUAAUACUUAUCGUAUAAUGUAUAUUUAUGUUAAUGCAUGUGUUACUAUUCAUUAAUUAAGAUAUGCUUUAAAAGAUGAUAAAUAUUAUGGCUAUUAUCAUUUGACUACUUCAUUAAUUGUGAAAUAUUAAAUUAAUAUUAUAAUCUAUCAGUUCAUUAUUAUGUCUUUUAAGGAAAAAAAAAGUUUAUUUUACUAUUUUUUCACUAAUGAUCCUUAAUUGUUAGAACAUCUCUAAAAAGCUCUAUAAGUUUUACUCUUUAAAUAUUUAUUUACUUACCUAUGUGGCAAAUAAAAGAGUGAAAAAAUAUAUUAUUCUCCAAAGACUCUUCAAAUAAAAAUGAGUUAAUAUUAUUUUAAUUAAAUAACUAUUUUUUAAAAAGAAAAGUCAAUAGUAAUUAAAGCAUCUCUCUCUCUUUCUCUAACAAAAAAUAAUAAAAUAUAAAUUGAAGAGGGAGAAAUCAACUCUCCAAAUUUGAAUAGAGAUGAUCAUUUCUUAUUUGAAUAAUCUUAAUUGAAGUAUUUUUUAGAGCCUUAAAUACUGAUGUGAUUCUUCAAAUAAGUAAUAAAAUCUUAUUUAAAGAGUCUUUUGGUGAUGCUCUUACUAAUUCUAGCACGACGACUCGCGAAGCUAGUCUUAAUAGAGAUCAUAUCAAUGUUAAUGUCACGCUGAUAUUAAAGCAGUGAAAAUGAGCUGCGUACAAAAACAAGAUAAAAUAUUAACCCCCUUCUUGUUUGUUCAAAUAUAGCGAAAAACCCUAAAUAUUUCAAAAUCUAGCAAAAUCUCUUGUCUUCAGUAGUAUUAAUUAAUGUUUAAAAUUUAGAGUUAUCAUUUAAAAUGAGCCCAUGCCUUACUAUUUUUUACCUCCUCGACGUUGUCACGUGUACACCACCAAAUUGGGUGUUUAAAUUGUAUUAGUAGUUUUCAUUUAUUCAAUAAUUAACGAUAAAGUGGCCACUCCUCCCUUCUCGCUUAUAUGCUCCGUUAGUCUUUUGUCACCUAAUUCCCUUAAACUUGGAAUUGCUCUAAUCUUAACCCGAGGGAUGUGUCUGAGUCCAUUAUAUCCGCAUUUCUUUUGCAACAAAGCUGCUUAGCACAGUGCCUUAGGCCUCUUAGCUAAUAGCUAUUUACUAUUUAGACCAUUUGUAAAACUCUUCUUCCUGAACAGAUAGAAUGACCGACCUUGAAUUUUAUUAGAAACCUCAUUUUAUUAGAAACCUCAUUUUUUUUGUAAAUAUAUUUUUAUAAGUGUGAAGUAGCUCCAAUAAUGACUUAAUGUAAUGCGAGUAAACUGUAAUAUAUUUUUUUUUUAAAAAAAAGAAGGUUUGUAUUAUUUAGUUAUCAAAUAGUUAGGUUUCGGAGAAUUUUUUUUUCUUGGACAAAAGAAUUCUCAUUAAAUAAAAAAAAUAUAAAAAAUGAAAAACUAAGUGUUGUGAAAAAUCUUCCAUCAUUAUAAAACAACUACGGGAAUGAAUUGUAAAUUCAGCUAAAGCAGCUUCAAUACAAUUAGCUUAGGAGAAAAUUUUAAUCUCCAAAGAGUAUAUUAAUUACCAAAUAAACAGAAACACCAUUAAAAAUGUAAAUGAAUAAAAAAAGACAAAAUCUCUAAAUAUUUUAUGCUUUGUUAUAUAGUAGAGCAGGAACCUUACUAUGAGUCAUAAAUAAUUCUUACUUUAGAAUUUAUAAAUUUUAUAUUAAAAAAUAAUUUAUACACAAAUGACAGAAUAUAAGUCGUUGGUCCUUCAGCUGAGGUGAUAGGCCAGCUGAUAGAAGUUUUUCUCAUAAUGCAACUAAUAACUUUCCUCUUAGAUUAGAAUUCUUAGGUGGUGAUUGGUUGGGAGGAGAGAAUGUAGGAGAGAAAAGUAAUUUAAAUUUCUUUUUUAUUUUCAUUAUUUGGUUUGACAAAAUGUAUAAGAAUUUAAUUUUCAUUAGAAUUUAAUAUCCAUCACAAUGUAGAAUUUAAAUUCCACACUAAGUAAUGAAAAAUUUAAAUUUCUCUUAUAUUAGAAACUAAAAUUUUCAAAAUUAUCCUUCAUCUUUUUAACUUAUUUAAUGCCAUUAAUAAUUAUUAUUUAUGAUUUUAUUUUAUUAAUUUAAUAUUAUAAAUAGACCACCGUCAGAAAAUCGCUGGACCACCGUUGGAAAGUCGCCGGACCACCGCUGGACCACCGUCGGACCUCGCCGAAAUGUUGCCGGACCACCGUUGGACAUCGCCGGAAUGUUGCCGGACCUCUGCUGUCGGCCACCGGACCGCCAUUUUAUUUUUUAUAUAUAUUUUUUAUUACUAAUAUAAAUAGUUUAAUAUUUAAGAUAAAUAAUAAAUUUGUUAAAGAAAAAAAUUAUAAUUUAUUUUCUUAUCAAAUUUUAUAUCAAACCAAACAAUAAAAUUUAAUUUCACUACCAUUCUCCCUUCAUUUCUUCUCCCUUCCUCUCUAUUCCACUCUUUUUCUCUCUUCCCUUUUCUUCAAACCAAACAUGACCUAAAGAUAAAUUUAAAACUGAGGUAGUUACAUUAUGUGAUAGAAAAGGUGGCAGAGUAUAAAGGGAUAAGUCAUCUCGUGAAAAACGUGUGAUCUAUGUAUUGUCGUAGAAAACGAGUAGUAGCUGGCUGUGAAGCGCAAUCCGAUAGUGAAAGUCUGAAGAAAAGGAGCGUUGUUGAUUGACGUUAUCGGUAAUAAACUAAUCUUGGACGCUAGACUUGGGCGUUGACGCCAAUCGCAACAAAAAGAGAGAAAAGAUUGAAAACGAAGUGAAAGGCUGAAAUCUUUCCUGCCUGACUCGAUAUCUUCAAUGAGGGGUCGGUAUUUUCGUGUUUGGUUUAGUUCAAAUCAACCAUUAGAAAUUUAUCGAAUUGAAAGUUAGGGACUUUGCUAGCUUACAGAAUCUGUAAGCUACAGACUGCAGCAUCAUCUGUAAGCUACAGACUGCAGCAUCAGCGUUGGAUGUGGAGUGAGAAAUUAAACAAUAGAAAAUGAGAUGGUGGAAAAUGUUAGUUACUGAGGCUGCACUGUUGACGGGUCCGAAAGUUAGAAGUAGAUCGGGUUAAAAUUAAGUUUACAAAACUGAUUGGCCCAAACCCUUUGAUUUCCAUCUGAAUAGUAACAAGUUAAGUGAUGUCAAAAAUCUUCCAUCAUUACAAAACAGAUACAAAAAUAAAGUUCAAACUUAGAUAAAGCAUUUAUAAUAUGAGUAAAAUUAUGGUACAACUGUGUUACUAUAUUAUAAUUUAUCCAACCGUUAGAUCUAAUUAUAAUUAUUAUCAUAAAUUAGAUCUAACAGAUGGAAGCAACUAUAAUAUAAUACUACAGUUGCACCAUAAUCGGUCCCCUAUAAUUUUAUUAUAACUGGCUUAAGAGAAGAUCUUAAAUCUUGAUCAGCAUAAUAAUUAUUAAAUAAAACAAAGAAACACCCAAAAAAAAUAAAGAUAAAGAAUCUUUGAAUCCAUAAUUCAUUAAUUAUCAAGUAGUCAUGUGUGAGAUUGUCCACCACAGAUAUACUAAUGUGAUGAGACCGGCCAUCAAUGUUCUGAUAUCUGGCAGAUCAAUGAUUGUUGUGAAAAUUUUAAUAUACUCGCAAGCGCACGAAUCUAGAAAUAGAGUAGUGGUAACGAGGUCGAUCCCACAGGGAUUGAUAAAAAGUCUAAUUUAAAUCUAAAAUUAAUAUUACUCCUAACCUAGUUGAGCAAAUUGAGUUUUUAAGAAAAUUAAACCAAUUAAACUAAGGAAGCAAUUAAAAUAAAAGAGAAUUCAAUAAGAUAGAAAUUACCAAGGUUUCAGAAUCCACCACUAUUCAACUAGUAAUUAUCUAAUUAUUAAUUAAUCCCCAAUUUUAGAGUGACAACUCGAAAUCAAUCUAUGUCAUCUCAUAGAUAUAACAAUUAAGCCCAAGUAAUUAAAUCUAAUGUAGGUUCUUUUUCUGCUUAAUAAUAUGACAUCUAAGCCUCCCAUGUAAACAUAUUGAAUAACAAAGAGUCAAAGUUUUCCUAAGCACUCUAUGUAAACAAUUUAAUGAAAGACAUAAAAUCAAAGAUAAUCAUGUAUAAACUUUAUAGAUCCAAGCAUAGAAUUAAUCGAAUAUUAAUCCUAACAAUCAAUAAUGCAUGACAGAAUUGAUGAAAAGAUUUUAAUAACAUCCAAUUAAUCAUGUGAAAUAAAAACCAUAAUUAUCAAAGAACAUAUAUAGGGAAUUAAUUAAAUAAAAAGAGAUAAUUAUUUCAUUGAAUAGGGUUUCAUCCUUAACCUCAGUAUAAGAAAAUUAGCUAGACAUACUUGAAUUGGGAGCAACAAAAUAAAUAAAUUCAGCCAUGGGGAAGCCGAAAUAUUGCUGCUGAUUUUCUUCUCUGUCUUGAAUCCUUGCGUCUCCAGUUCCCUUCUUCCUCCCGUGGCCCUCUUGCCUUUAUAUAAUGUUACUGACUUGCUUAAUCCUUAUUGGAUUCUAAUUGCAUUAAUUCUUCUCCACCGACUUAUAAAGCCCACUCACCAAGGCCUUUUAAAAUUAUUUCCUUAUUAAACUUUGAAAGCAAAGCACACGUUUGACCACAAAAGCAAAAGGCCAAUUAAUGAUUUCUUCUUUUAAUGCCCAGCACAUGCAUUCCAAAUUGCCAAAUCUUUGCUUUCCAAAUGCAUGCCCACCGUUCAUCCUUUGAAGAGAUUGACUUCCAAUUUUGGUCUUCUUGACUUCCAUUAAUUCUUGGUUGCAUUUUUGUCUUCCAAUUUAAUCUUUAUUCCUUCUCAAUUUGAAGUGUUUUCAUGCCCUUUUUAUCAACAAUCUCCAAUUAAUUCCCUAUUCAAUAAAACAAUUCAAUUAAUUAAAAAUAAUAAAUAAAUAUAACUAGCAAUUAUAUUAUUAAGGGUAAAAUAUGUAUAUAAAUUAUGCUCAUCAAAUACCCCCAAACUUAGAUUUUGCUAGUCCUCGAGCAAAACUAAAAUUUAAAACAAAAACAAAAGUAACGAAACAAAAAGUAAAUCCUAACUAAACCACUUUCGCAGGUAAUCGCGAUUGCAUUUAGCGUAUGCAACAAGCCUUUAAACCCCUAGGCGGCCCUAGUGGACGAGUUAUAGUCUCGUGAGGGCUUCAGUGAUGAUACCCACAAACAUCAUUUUCCAAAGAAUUAAAAUAAAAAUAAAAUGAAAAGAACAAUAAGCUUUAAACAAAACAUGAAGAUAGCCUCAAAGAUUGCAUAAAUUAUAUAGCUCAAAGAAAAUUUCAAAGAUUGGCAAAGUUCUAACUUUAAUUCAAUAAUCAAUUCCAUCUCUCUUUCGAUUCUUGUAGUGUGUGUGUGAAAUCAAUUCAAUCAAAUCCAUUCCCAAAAUCCUCAACAUCAACAACCUUCGCCUCAAACAAAGAAAAGAGUAGGUCAAACUAAUCUUAUCAUCUUGAUCUCCAAUUUUUUUUUUCAGGCUUUUAUGUGCAUUUUCUUUUGAUUUUUUUUUUCAGCACAUGCACUUGAUUUGAUUUUUCUUUUUCUCUUUUUUUUUUCUUCUUUUUUUUUUUAUUAACCAUAGUCAGGAGCUUUCACUCUACCCCUUAAGGUAGCCUUCUUCUCAUGGUAGAUUAUCCUCUACAUACUUGUGGUACAUAGGCCCAAAUUACUCAAGGAUAGCUUCACUCUUAAGGGUUAUAGGUAGCUAUUUCUGACUUUGGCGCCCGUGUAUACUAUUUUGUAUUGUGGAGAUAAAAAUCAAGACAAACAGUCAUUUACUCUAUCUAAAAUUCUCAACUCAGGCUAUGUCAAUAUCAAAUUUCAAGUCAAAAUUACAAAAGAAUUGAUAUUAGUGCUCAGGGUUUAAAAAAUCUCAAUCAAGAGGAACUAACACAAGAAUCAAGUAUAAACUAAGACAAUAUUCAACCCUUUUUAAGAACCAUAUUCAUUGUCAAUCAAAUUCUUAUCAUUGGCUUUUCACAUAAAAACAAAAAAACAACAAAAUUUUUUUUUUUUUUUUUUUAACAAACAAAGCACACACUAUUCCCACCCCCAAACUUAUUCAGAACAUUGUCCUCAAUGUUUCACAAACAAAAGAUAUGCAUGCAAACAAAUGAAAAAAAAAAUAAUAAUAAUAAAAACAUAAAUAAUAAAAAGAAAGUUGGAGAGAACACACCUGAAUGGGCUGGGAAAGCUUAAAAGAAAAUACCAAAUGAAAAGAAAACAUUAGAAAAGAAAAAUACUAGAAAAGAAAAGAAAACCUACUAUUAAAAUAAAACAAGAGUGCAAAGAUGAACUUAAUUAAUCCUGAUAAACAGGAUCAUCUAAAAGUAUCUCCUCAACUUCUGGUGUUCUUAAUUCUAAAAAUGGUUUUAAUCUUUGACCAUUCACCUUAAAUAAAUCACCAUUUUUAGGAUUUUCAAUUUCAAUUGCUCCAUAAGGGAAGAUAGUACGAACUAUAAAAGGACCAGACCAUCGAGAAUGUAACUUACCUGGAAAGAGAUGCAAUCGGGAAUUAUAUAAAAGUACUUUCUGACCUGGUGUAAAGGCUUUUCUCAAAAUAUGUUUGUCAUGAAAGACUUUCAUUCGCUGUUUAUAAAUCUUGGCAUUCUCAUAUGCAUCAUUCCUGAUCUCUUCAAGUUCUGCUAGUUGUAAUCUUCUCUUGGACCCAGCUUGCUGCAUGUCAAAAUUGAAUUUCUUGAUCGCCCAAUAUGCACGAUGCUCCAACUCUACUGGCAGAUGACAUGCUUUUCCAUACACAAGUCGAUAAGGUGACAUCCCAAUUGGUGUUUUAAAAGCAGUCCUAUAUGCCCACAAUGCAUCAUCAAGUCUCAAAGACCAAUCCUUUCUAUCUGGCCUAACUGUUUUCUCUAGAAUCUGCUUGAUCUCUCUAUUAGAAAUCUCUACUUGGCCACUGGUUUGAGGAUGGUAUGGGGUGGCAACCUUAUGUGUAAUGGAAUAUUUGUCCAAAAGAGUUUUGAAAGGUUUAUUACAAAAAUGGGUACCACCAUCACUAAUGAUUGUUCUAGGAAAACCAAAACGAGACAGAAUAUUACUCUUCAAGAAUUUCACUACAACCCUAUGAUCAUUGGUUUUGCAUGGAAUAGCUUCAACCCACUUCGACACAUAGUCCACUGCAACCAAUAUAUAUUGAUAACCAAAAGAUGGAGGGAAAGGUCCCAUGAAAUCAAUACCCCAUACAUCGAAGAUCUCAACCACAAGAAUAGGAUUGAGUGGCAUCAUGUUCCUCUUUGAAAUGCUACCCAUACGUUGGCACCUAUCACACAAAGAACAGAAAAUAUAAGCGUCAUGAAAAAGAGUAGGCCAAUAAAAACCACACUGUAAAAUUUUUGUUGCUGUCUUUUUAGCACUAAAGUGGCCUCCACAAGCUUGUUCAUGACAAAAUGAGAUAACACUUUGAAUUUCAUUAUCGGGAACACAUCGCCUAAUAAUCUAAUCAGCACAAUAUUUAAAUAAAUAGGGAUCAUCCCAAAAGAAGUCUUUCACUCUAGAUAAGAACUUUGUUCUAUCUUGCUUAGUCCAGUGCUCUGGGAUUUGACCUGUAGCAAGGUAAUUAACUAUAUCAGCAAACCAUGGUACAACAUUUACACUCAUAAGUUGCUCAUCUGGGAAAGACUCAUUCAAAGGUAAAGAUUCUGGAAUAAAUUUAAGAUCAAGGCGAGAUAAAUGAUCCGCCACAACAUUUUCAGAACCUUUUUUAUCUCUAAAUUCAAUGUCAAAUUCUUGUAAAAGCAACACCCAACGAAUCAAUCUUGCCUUAGCAUCUUUCUUAGUAAACAAAUAUUUUAAAGCAGCAUGAUCAGUAAAAAUAAUCACUUUACAACCUAUAAGAUAAGAUCUGAAUUUAUCAAGUGCAAAUACCACAGCUAGCAUUUCUUUUUCUGUAGUUGAAUAGUUCAACUGUGCAUCAUUGAGUGUCAUACUAGCAUAAUAAAUCACAUAAGGCACACGAUCUAAUCUUUGUCCUAAAACUGCUCCUACAGCAUAAUCAGAUGCAUCACACAUAAUUUCAAAAGGCAAAUCCCAAUUAGGUGGCUGAAUGAUAGGUGAAGAAGUCAAUAAUUUCUUAAGCUUUGCAAAAGCAUCAAGACAAGAUUCAUCAAAGAUAAAAGGUGCAUCCUUAACAAGUAAAUUGCAUAAGGGUCUAGAAAUUUUACUAAAAUCUUUAAUGAAUCUUCUAUAAAAACCAGCAUGUCCAAGGAAAGAUCUUACUUCUUUUACGGAUUUGGGAUGUGGAAGAUUAGAAAUUAAAUCCACCUUAGCUUUGUCGACUUCUAUACCUUUGCUGGAAAUUAUAUGACCAAGAACAAUACCUUGUUUUACCAUGAAGUGACAUUUUUCCCAAUUUAGAACUAAGUUCUUUUCUUUACAUCUCUGCAAAACUAAUGUUAGAUGCUGCAAACAUUCAUUAAAAGAAUCUCCAUAAACAGAAAAAUCAUCCAUGAAUACUUCAAGAAAUCUCUCAACCAUAUCAGAAAAAAUGCUAAGCAUGCAUCUUUGAAAAGUAGCAGGUGCAUUGCAUAAACCAAAUGGCAUUCUCCUAUAUGCAAAAGUUCCAAAUGGACAAGUAAAAGUAGUUUUCUCCUGGUCCUCUGGAGCUAUAGGGAUCUGAUUAUAACCUGAAUAUCCAUCUAGAAAACAAUAAAAAUCAUGACCUGCAAGUCUAUCAAGCAUUUGAUCAAUAAAUGGAAGAGGAAAAUGAUCUUUUCUUGUGAAUGAAUUUAAUUUUCUAUAAUCAAUGCAAACACGCCAACCUGUAGUUACUCUAGUGGGAAUUAAUUCAUUAUUAGCAUUAGUAACUACUGUAACACCAGAUUUCUUAGGAACAACUUGCACAGGGCUAACCCAAGAGCUAUCUGAAAUAGGAUAAAUAAUUCCUGCAUCUAAUAAUUUGAUUACUUCAGCUCUUACCACUUCUUUCAUGUUAGGAUUUAGCCUACGUUGCAUUUCCCUAAUAGGUUUAGCAUUUUCUUCAAGAUGAAUACGAUGCAUGCAAUCUACUGGAUUAAUACCUUUAAUAUCAGCAAUGGUCCAUCCUAUUGCCUCCUUAUGCUCUUUUAGAAUACCUAACAACUUACCUUUUUGCUCAAGAUCGAGGGAAGAAGAAAUAAUAAUAGGUAGAGUGUCAGAUUCUCCCAAGAAUGCAUAUUCCAAAGUGUCGGGCAGUGCUUUGAGUUCCAAUUUUGGUGGUGCCUCCGCAGAUGGGCCAAUUUUCUUCUCAGAAUGAGGCAGUAAUUCUGACUUUGCCUUCCAUUUAGUUGUGUCCGUAAUUGGAGGUGCAUCAAGUAAAGCGCUGACUUCUGCAAUUGCACUGUCAUCAUUAAAAGAUAAAUCAGGAUGAGUUAGACAUGCCUCUAAUGGAUCAUCAGUAUGGUUAGAAAUGAAUGAAUCUUCUACUAAUUCCUCUAUCAUAUUUGCUUCAACAAAUUCAUCUUCUUCUUGUGGCUGCUUGGUAACAUUAAAAAUAUUCAAUUCCAUGGUCAUAUUACCAAAAGAUAGCUGCAUAUUUCCAUUCCUGCAAUUAAUAAGAGCAUCAGCUGUAGCUAAGAAAGGACGACCUAGAAUAACUGGGGUGUGUUUCUUAGGAUCAUGUACAUGCUGAGUAUCAAUAACAAUAAAAUCAACAGGAUAAUAAAAUUUAUCAAUCUGUAUCAACACAUCCUCUAUAAUACCGCGAGGUAUUUUCAUUGAUCUAUCAGCAAGUUGCAAAAUAAUAGGAGUUGAUUUUAACUCACCUAAUCCAAGUUGCAUGUAAACAGAAUAAGGCAAGAGAUUAACACUAGCACCCAAAUCCAAUAAUGCUUUAUCAAAACAUUGGUUUCCUAUAACACAUGAGAUAGUAGGAGAACCUGGAUCCUUAAAUUUUGGUGGCAUUUUACAUUGGAGUAAGUUGCUAGUUUGUUCAGUUAAAAAUGCCUUUUUAGUGACAUGUAAAUUUCUCUUUUUCGUGCAUAAAUCUUUUAAAAACUUUGCAUAUGAAGGAACUUGCUUAAUAGCAUCGAGUAAAGGGAUGUUUAUACUUACCUGUUUGAAUAUUUCCAUAAUCUCACCUGUUGAAGUCCCUUUCUUUACCUUUGUUAACCUUUGAGGAAAAGGAGCCUUGCGAAUGUAAGCUGGCGGGCCACUCUCUUCUGGAUCAUUUGUUGACGACUCUUGUGAUGGAACUGGAUCUGAAGAAGUAGGCUCAGAUAUCUUCCUUGUUGGAACCUCCACUUUGUUGUCAAAUAAUUUUCCUUUUCUCAAGGUCAUAACAGAUUUUGCUUCUUCAUGCAGAUGGCUUGAACUCGAUCCAACUUCAUGCACUCCUUUAGGAUUGGGAAUUGGUUGACUUGGGAAUUUUCCUUUUUCUCUCUCCGCUACAGUAGUUGCUAAUUGACCCAAUUGAUGUUCAAGCUUCAGAAUAGCUUGAGUAUUUGAUUGAAAAGCUUGUUGGGUUGACUGAAUGAAACUUUGAAGUGUAUCCUCUAAAGAAGGCUUUCUUUGUUGGGGUGCAACAAAUUGAGACAUAGGUUGUUGGGCAUGAGGAUAUACUUGGUUAGGAGGGACAAAUUGUUGAUUGGGCAUGUUAAAUUGUUGCCCUCCUUGGUUUGACAAAGGUUGAUUUUGUUUCCAAGAAAAAUUAGGGUGAUUCCUCCAAUUAGGAUUAUAUGUGGAUGAAUAUGGACUAUUGGAGGUUUUCUCAUAUGAUUGUAAGCCAUGUACCUGCUCAGAAUAAGCAUCUGGAUAGACUGGUAAUGAUGGACAAUUUUGUGCUGUAUGAGACAAGUUAGAACAAAUAGCACAAACCUCAUUAGCUACACUAGGAUGAUGAUUUAUAGAUUGGUUCAUAACUAAGGCAUCUACUUUCCUAGAAAGUGUAGCUAGAGUGGAUUUCAUAUCUAAAUCAUCCUUAACUUCAUAUAGCCCCUUUCUAGAAACUUGAGAUGAUUUUUCCCUUUGAUUUGAAAAAUCCCACUGUUGAGAAUUUUCAGAAAGUGAAUUAAAGAAAUCCCAUGCUGCCCCUUCAUGUAAGUUCAAAAAUCUCCCACCAUUCAUAGACUCUACCAUAUGACGAUUUGACAUGGUUAAGCCAUUAUAAAAGCAUUGUAUAAGUCUCCAUUUUUCAAAACCAUGGUGGGGACACUUGAGGAGUAAAUCAUUGAAUCUUUCCCAACACUCGUAAAAUUGCUCACUCUCUCUUUGAUAAAAAUCACUUAUCUCUCUCCUAAGGGCAUUUGUUUUAGACAUAGGGAAAAACUUGGUGAGAAACUUAUUACUCAAUUCAUCCCAUGUACUAAUAGACCCAGCAGGAAGUGAAUUCAACCAAGCUUUUGCUUUGUCUUUUAAUGAGAAAGGGAACAUACGAAGCCUAAUUGACUCAUCAUUAAAAUUUUGAAAACGAAAUGUAGAGCAUAUGUCAAGAAAUUCCUUAAUGUGCAAAUAUGGAUCCUCUCUCUCUAACCCAUGGAAGGAUGGCAAAAGUUGAAUGACAGAGGGCUUAAGUUCAAAGUGUGUUGCUGUAGUUUGUGGCAACACAAUACAAGAUGGUUGGUUGGCUGCAAGUGGUGAAAAAUAUUCUCUAAGGGUUUUCUCUGCUUGCGCUGGUGGGAGUAUUGGCAAUAGUCUAUUUGGGUCAUCCAUCACUUCUAAAGAACUAGUUUGACUACUAUCAAUUUUCGACUCUCUUUUAACCAAACGAUUUGUUGAAUCACGUUCCCAAACACUCAUAAACUAACUAGACAAGGAAAGAAAGAGAAAUAAAAUAAAAUAAACCAACAAAAAUGAGAAUAAACGAAAUUUAAAAAUAAAAGAAAUCAAACAACCAAACAAUGAAUUUAAAAUAAAAUAAAAUUAAAAUUAAAAUUAAAAGUUUUUUUUUUGUGUUUUUUUUUAAAAUAAAAAUUGAAUAAAUAAAAUAAAAGACAACCUAAAUUAUAACUAGUGGAAGAAUCAAAUUAACCUAGAUUAAACUGACUUUCUAGCACAAUCCCCGGCAACGGCGCCAAAAACUUGUUGUGAAAAUUUUAAUAUACUCGCAAGCGCACGAAUCUAGAAAUAGAGUAGUGGUAACGAGGUCGAUCCCACAGGGAUUGAUAAAAAGUCUAAUUUAAAUCUAAAAUUAAUAUUACUCCUAACCUAGUUGAGCAAAUUGAGUUUUUAAGAAAAUUAAACCAAUUAAACUAAGGAAGCAAUUAAAAUAAAAGAGAAUUCAAUAAGAUAGAAAUUACCAAGGUUUCAGAAUCCACCACUAUUCAACUAGUAAUUAUCUAAUUAUUAAUUAAUCCCCAAUUUUAGAGUGACAACUCGAAAUCAAUCUAUGUCAUCUCAUAGAUAUAACAAUUAAGCCCAAGUAAUUAAAUCUAAUGUAGGUUCUUUUUCUGCUUAAUAAUAUGACAUCUAAGCCUCCCAUGUAAACAUAUUGAAUAACAAAGAGUCAAAGUUUUCCUAAGCACUCUAUGUAAACAAUUUAAUGAAAGACAUAAAAUCAAAGAUAAUCAUGUAUAAACUUUAUAGAUCCAAGCAUAGAAUUAAUCGAAUAUUAAUCCUAACAAUCAAUAAUGCAUGACAGAAUUGAUGAAAAGAUUUUAAUAACAUCCAAUUAAUCAUGUGAAAUAAAAACCAUAAUUAUCAAAGAACAUAUAUAGGGAAUUAAUUAAAUAAAAAGAGAUAAUUAUUUCAUUGAAUAGGGUUUCAUCCUUAACCUCAGUAUAAGAAAAUUAGCUAGACAUACUUGAAUUGGGAGCAACAAAAUAAAUAAAUUCAGCCAUGGGGAAGCCGAAAUAUUGCUGCUGAUUUUCUUCUCUGUCUUGAAUCCUUGCGUCUCCAGUUCCCUUCUUCCUCCCGUGGCCCUCUUGCCUUUAUAUAAUGUUACUGACUUGCUUAAUCCUUAUUGGAUUCUAAUUGCAUUAAUUCUUCUCCACCGACUUAUAAAGCCCACUCACCAAGGCCUUUUAAAAUUAUUUCCUUAUUAAACUUUGAAAGCAAAGCACACGUUUGACCACAAAAGCAAAAGGCCAAUUAAUGAUUUCUUCUUUUAAUGCCCAGCACAUGCAUUCCAAAUUGCCAAAUCUUUGCUUUCCAAAUGCAUGCCCACCGUUCAUCCUUUGAAGAGAUUGACUUCCAAUUUUGGUCUUCUUGACUUCCAUUAAUUCUUGGUUGCAUUUUUGUCUUCCAAUUUAAUCUUUAUUCCUUCUCAAUUUGAAGUGUUUUCAUGCCCUUUUUAUCAACAAUCUCCAAUUAAUUCCCUAUUCAAUAAAACAAUUCAAUUAAUUAAAAAUAAUAAAUAAAUAUAACUAGCAAUUAUAUUAUUAAAGGUAAAAUAUGUAUAUAAAUUAUGCUCAUCAAUGAUCUAACUUUAUAAUCUACAAAUAAAGUUCUUUAAAGACAAACUCAAAAGAGAGGUCGUUACAUUAUGUGGUAGAAAAUGUGGCCAAGUGCAAAGUGCAUAGUGACAAACUUGUCCGGUCUAUGGAUUGUCGUGGGAUAGCCUAUAAAUGGGAGGCCAAGUCUAGCAUUGUCGCUGUAAAGCGAAGCCCGGCAGUGAAAGAAAACGUAUUCAAAAAGCUCCACUUGUUAUGUAAAAUCUCAGUUAGCAACUUUUUCAUUACUGCCCUCCAGCUUUAGCUAAAUUAGGUAAGAUUGUAGUAAUAAUUUCCACGUUAGCCAAUCGAGCCCAAUAAAUUCCCCUGCCUCAACACAGCAACACUGUACGCAGUAUGUAAAUAAAACAUCAUCGCAUUCACAACCAUGAAGCCUAAUUUGUACGAGGCUGCAUCUACGGGUAAAAUUGAACCCUUCGAGGAAACUGCAAAAGAUGAACUUGGGAGCAUAGUAACUUACAGAAAGAAUACAGUCCUGCACGUCAACAUUACAUCCCAGGCACAGAAUGGAGAAGCAGAAAGUGUAUCAACCGAGUUCGUGAAACGGAUACUUGAAAUGUGUCCAUCGUUACUGGUACAAGUUAAUGCCAAAGGUGAUGCUCCACUCCAUCUUGCGGCCAAGUAUGGGCAUGCUGCUGUUCUGGACUUUCUGAUUGAAUUCGCGAAAAAACAGCCAAAAGAGCUAGAAAGCGAUGUCGAAACCGUACGGCACAUGCUAGGAAUGACAAAUGACGAUAAAAACACAGCGUUGCACGAGGCAGUGCAACAUCAACAUCAGCGUACUAGCUUGGAUGUUGUGAGAAUGUUAAUGAAAGCAGACCCUGAUGUUCCGUAUUCUCCAAAUGGUCGCUGCGAAACUCCACUUUACAUGGCAGCCGCGAGAGGAUCUAGGGUGAUCGUAGCUGAAAUAUUAAAAUCCUGCCCAUCAGCUGCCCAUGAAGGCCCCAAUGGAAGGACUGCCCUGCAUGCCGCAGUAAGAAGCUAUGCUGCCACUGAUAUUUCUGCUUCAAAUUUACAGCGUACUGCCCUUAAACCUAUUAAAAAUGUAUAGUUAAUUUCACAAAUUAACCAUAAUUCUGCAUAAAAAAUCUUGAAAAUUUUUUCCGAGGAAAUUAUAUAGUUGAGAUUGAGAUUUUGACCAAUGAUCAGGUGAUCGACUAUAUAUGUAUCCUCUGUAAGCUUACACAUCUGGUUGCUCAUUAAUUAACAAUUUUAGCGAGCAAUUCAAGGUUAAUUACCAUUAAUGUGCAUGCUUUAGAUAUAGAAUUCGUUAAUUAAUUAAUUAUUUUAUUUUAUUUAAGAUAUGACGAAACUGUUUCUUGACGAAAAGAAAGAUUUGGCUAGAGCAAGAGACCAUCAUGGUUGGACUGCACUCCACCAUGCUGCGUAUUUUGGUGCCGAAAGCAUCCCAAAACUGUUAUUAGAAUCCAAUACAUCUGUUGCGUAUAUUGCGGACAAUGAUCGGAAGAUGACAGCUCUUCAUUUAGCCGCCGGCCGAGGGAAAUUCCAGGCAGUGGAAGAAAUUAUUUCCUGUUGUCCAGAUUGUUGUGAACUGGUAGAUGACAACGGGUGGAAUGUUCUUCACUUUGCUAUGGUUAGUUUUUAUGCUAGACAAUUGGCGCGUCUGCUGGACAAAUUUCCGAUAGUCAGAAGUCUUAUAAAUGACAAGGACGUGAAGGGGAACACUCCUCUUCACGUGCUUGCUGCUGUCUGUCCAGACUCAGCCAGUAUCUCUUACGUUUCCGUAAUCUGCCUGGUAAAAGUUAUUAUGAGGCUAUCAACAAGCAGAAUAUUAGUGUUCAACACAUAGCAAAUUACGGAUAUCCUGAGCUAGAGGUAAUUCCCUCUUUAGUUAUCAUCAAUGUUCUCGAAAGAGAAUAUAUAUAUAUAUAUAUAUAUAUAUAUAUAUAAGGCAAAUCAAUUAUCCAUGUCAUCUAAUCUUUCACCUUUUAUUAUUCUCUAAUUUAAAGGCUCAAAAUUCAUGUAACAUUGCGUCUAAAAAGUUAGCAUGCUGAUCCUGCCCUUAGCCAAGCACUUCUUACAGCUCGCACUUCCGUGGCGUAUGGAGCUUGCCAUUUGGGCAGAAUAAGUGGGUCCAAUGGGAUCCAUCAACUUUAAAUUAUCAAAUUUUUCGAAAUAAAUUGGUGAUCUAGUCCGAUCCUAUAAUGGGACUAGCUUGACCUCUCCAAAUGACAGGUUGUGAUUAGUCGGUCUCAUCACUUUAACAAGUUUUUCUCAUUAAUUAAAAGCAUCUCUUACCAACUCUUGAUGCUAAAGCUUGUCUCUCUCUCUCUCUCGCUAUGUUUUCAUAUAUCCUCUUUAGUUAAAAUUAAUCGAUUUCUUAUUUUUUGUCUCAGCUUGUUUGUAUAACGGUGUGUGGUGGCCAAAACCGAAAUCAGUUUCUAGCCCUCUAUUUCUUUUAUGAUUUAAUCUCAAAUGGCAAGUGAAAAAGAAAAAACUAUUUGAAAACCACUCAAUUAAGGUGAAUAAUUAAAAUUAGAAGACUGUUUUUCAGGUUCCACAAACACUAUAGAGAAGGAGAAUGCUUCUCAACCAAGUUCAUGGAACGCAUACUUGAAACGCGUUCAUCAUUGCUGCUAUGACGAAGGUGAUGCUCCACUCCAUGUUGCGGCCAAAUGGGGGCAUGCCCGCGGUGUGGAAAGCACAGCAAGGCGAAUGCUAGGAAUGACAAAUGGUGAAAAAAAUUAAAAAAACGCAGCAUUGCACGAGGAAGUGCCAUGUCGUAACUCGUAAUGGCCUCAAUCUGUGAAAAAUUUAUUGAAAGCAGACACUGAUUUUCCGUAUUCUGCUAAUGGUAGAGGCGAAACUCCCCUUUACAUAGCUGCCGCGAGUGGAAAUGACAAUAUGGUAGCUGAAAUAUUAGAAAACUGCCCAUCGAGGCCCCAGUGGAAAGACUGCCCUUCAUGCAGCAACCACCACUUAAUCAGAUGCCGCUUAAUUAUAUAUCUUGUUAUCCACUUCAAAUAUAAAGAUGCCUAUAUGUACAAUAGCUAUGAAUUAAAUCUGUAUUUAAAUGCAUCUUGUUUAACGUCUGUAUGAAUAUUAAUUAAUGUUGUUACUUUUACAAUUCUAUCUUUCCGAAUUGACUGUGCUUCAUAUAAUUAUGUAUUUAGUUGGCUGUUUAUUAUUAUUAAUUUUUUAUUAGGCGUUACAAAAAAUUUACUUGAGAAAAAAAAGAAGAGUUUGACCAGAUAAAGAGACCAAGACGGUUGGAUCGUUGGCCCCCACUUCACUACGCUACGUAUUUUGGUCGGAGUAUCAUCGCAGAGUUGGUAAUAAAACUUGAUAAAUCUCUUGCGUUCAUUGUAGACAAGAGCUGACAGCUCUUCAUUUAGCAGCCGGUCAAGGGAGUUUUGCCCAUUUUGAUAUUAAAUUCGGCCAGCUUACAAAUUAUAAUAUUUAAAUUAUUUGGUAAAUAAUGAUUGAUGUAUUUUAAAAAUUAAAUUAAGUUAAUUAAUUAUUUAUAUAAUAAAAAAAUUAUAAUAUCUUUAUUUUUUUAAUUAAAAUUUUUAUUUAAAAAUCAUAUUUACUACCCACUACUAAUUUUUAUUUCAUAAUUAUAAUUUUUUACCAUAACAACAUAAACUUAAAAGUGUACAGCAUCCAAAUUGUCCAAUACCAACCAUGGCUUCCGCCGUAGUGGAUGAUAUUAUUUCCUAUUGUUAAGAUGUUGUGAAUUGAUUUAUGAAAGAGGAUGGAAUGUUCUUCACUAAUAGAGAAUUGAAAUAUGACAAAUAUAGGAUAGUUAGAAAUCUUAUAAGGCAAUUCCUAAGUUACGUUUAACGUAACAUACAAUCUGAAAAAUUUUAUCCGUUCAAAGUUCUAAAAUCUAAUCCAAUUGCUAGUGUUUAAUUUGUCCAAAAGCUGUAAAGGACGGAAACCGGCUGAAUUGGUGUGCCCAUUUGACAAUCUUCUCUUCCUCUCCAGUCUCCACUAACAUUUUCUUGCUCCUUUAUUGCCUUUUGCAGCAUCUUUUCCUGCUCUUUAACACAAAAAAAAUUUAAAUCCGACAAGAACUCAUCUUUCUUUACAAGCAAAUCAAGAUCAUCACCAAGAAUUAGACUUUUCUUGUUCUUUUUCUUCGAAGCACUCUUUGGAGAACAUAAAAAACAGCCCUUUCUCUGAGGUGGAGACAGCGGAGAAGAAGGUGAAUCCAUCCAUGAACUCGGAGAACUCAACGACGAAGAAAAUGAGUUAGAUUUCGACUUCAACUUUGAUUUCGAGGAAACAACGACAAUAGGAACAGAAGCAAAAACAAACCCACACCUGGAAUUUUCUUUAAAGUCGAUUUUUUAAUCUGGGUUCUAUUUGGACUCAAAGAAAAUGGCAAAGGAGGAGAGGAAUCACAACUAGAAACUGAUUUUGCAGUCUCCAAGCCGAGUUUCCCAUAUGGGUUUUAUUUGGAAUAAAAAAAACUCUUAACUUUAAAGUUGGAUUUGAAUAAUGAUGAUGAAGAGAUUGUGUGUGUUUUUCGGUGUGACGAUGAUGAUUAUCAUUGAUGUGAGUUUUGGGUUUGGCAGUAGCUGGAAAAGAUUUGAGCCUGCAAAAUUGGGAUUCUAACUUAAUGGGAAGGAUUGAGUCGUCGGAGAAACCAGAAAAGUUGACGGCAGAGACAACCACCUGUAGAAGGGUGUUGCCUGCGUUGACUUCUUUUGAUGACCGACUUCCAACCACUUAAAUCAGUAUUAUUUUAUUAUUGUUAUGUUUACCUGGCAUAUAAUUAUUGGUCAACUAGUCAUGUCAUCAGCUAUAUGUUACGUUUAACGUAACUUAGAGGGAUCCAUCUUAAAAAUGACAAGAACGGGAACACUCCUCUCCAUGUACUUGAUGCUCUCUGUCGACAAUCAUCCUGUAGCAAAAUAGUACUGCUGAACACAUAACACGUUAUUGAUUCACGACCGAGGUAAUUAAUUGCCUUUUUACUAUUAAUAUUUCAAAGACGACAAAUUUAUUCUUAUAUCAUCUCAUCAAGAACUCAUAGCAACAAACAUGAUUAAUAUAUUAUAGUAUAGCAAGAAAUCUGAGAAAGCUGAUGGCCGUAAAAAAUAUCCAAAAGGUGUCAUCAAAAUGAAGGAAGACAAAAUUUUAAAAGUUUUCGCAUUGCAAGUAUGUAGAUGAAUAUGUCGUUGGAACGAAACAAGCAAGAGAUCGUCACAUUUGGGUGUGGUAGCAUUGAUUGCAACAGUAACAGGGGCACUGCAAUUCUCACUUAAAAAUGAAACUUUUCAAGCAUUUGUUGUAUCAGACGCCAUAACCAAGGUCUUGUUACUUUCUGCCAUCUUUGUCCCUCUUCAUUAUGUCAGAUAGAGAUGGCCAAUGGGCUGGGCGGCACAUGGCACGGCACGUGUCCGUAUAGCACGGCGCAGCACAAGCACGUUUCAGUGGGGUAUGCGAUAUGACACGGCACGCACACAGGCUGAGCUGGGCUUAGAAUUUUAGCCUUGCGAGCCUUGAAAGCACAAUACGAUUAGAGAUGGGCUAAAACACAGCACGAGAAAGGGCAUAAGCAAGUUUAACUUUUUUGUGGAAGUGAAGUAAAAAUUUUAUGAUUUUACAAAUAAUUUGAAAUUGAAUCUUUUUAAUAUAUUUUAUUAGCACAAGUUUUAUAAAUAUAUAUUAAUAUUAUUAUGGACUAUGAUCUAUAACUUUAUAUAAGUCAAAGUUAACAAGUUAAUCCUUAAAAAAAAUUUAUUAUUGUUGUUGUUAAGUAUUGCAAAGGAAUUUUAAUACCGUAGGGUCUAACUUAAUAAUUAUUAUUACAUUCUCUUACUAUUAUUAAUUUAUUAUUAUUGAAUAUAGACUUAUACUUUGAAUUUUUAAUUCUAUUGAAUUUGACUAAAGACACAUAGAACAAAAAAAGUAUAUAGGCUUGAAAAAAGUAUGCCAACAACUUGGUAUGCCCUCUUAAAAAAAAAAAGUUUGUCAUGUUAUUUUUUUUAGGCACGACAUGGCGCACGGGACGCCACUUGUGGGUAAGCCACAAGUGGGCAUAACACAUGUGCUAGAUUGAGUCUGAGUAAAAAAAAUUGGGCACAACACAAAGCACAUAUUGGCACGGAACGACAUGAGUAUGAGCAUGCAUAGGCAUUCUUUUGAUGGCCAGCCUGACCCAUUGGCCAUCUCUACUAUCAGUUAAUUAGUUAUCUCCUUUCGUUUACCUUGGUUACCACAGUAGCAAUGGUGGUAGCAUUUGUUCCAGGCACGUCCGCAAUAUUGGCACCUGCUUUAGGACUCGCCACUGUCACUUGUAUCAUUGGCUUUGUCGUGACCUAACCCAAACCUGAUAAGAUAUUGUCCGCUUUGGGCAUUCACAAAGCUCGCACUGUUUUGUUCCUGGGGCACUCAAACACCCCAGGAACAAAACCGUGUGGGUCUUACUAAAACCCAAAGCGGACAAUAUCUUACCAUGUCUGGGUUGGGUCAUGACAGGUUUCGUCAGAAACCUUGUUUCUUUUAUCAAUCAACUUUAAAUGUUUUCGUUUCGUCAUAAUGAGUGUCAGCUAUUGCAAUGGCUAAAGUUUCUUCUUAAUCUAGUUACGUAUAGCUCAUAUAAGCUUCUUCUUUUGUGUUGCGCUAUUAGAGGAUUAAGUGCAAACACAACAUCUUUCUCAAUCUUUGGGUUCUUGUCAAGGGUAAUUUUUAGGGACCUCCUAUGAGGUUUAGUGUAUUGAUAGUUUGAUAGAAAGUAUUCACGUAAUUACAGGGACCUCUCCCGACGUUAGUGUUCCAUUACGUGGAUCGUUAGAUGACUAUUCAUAUUUCAAAAAUACCCUUACCUCAAAAAUACCCUUACCGCUAAAAUAUAUCUUUAUUAAUAUGAUAAACUGAUGGGUAAUAGAAUUCACACCAAAAUACCCAAUGGAUAAAAAAAAAAUUACAUUGCAUAGCUAAAAUAAAAUUGAUAUUGUGCUCCCAAUAUUACUAUUGUAAAUAUACGGUAAUAUGUUCAGCAGCAACACCUAUAAAUAGAUCCUUUUGUAGGCUUAAUAAAUCACCAUAGCACACUUUUUCUUCUUCUUCUUCUUCUUCUUCUUCUUCUUCUUCUUCUUCCUCAUCUUCUUCUUUUUAAAAAUUCUUAAAAUCUCUUGUGCUGUAAUUUUUCAAACUCAUGACCGAUUUAGUUCAACUCAUCAACACAAUCAUUAAAAAAAAUCAAGCUUAAACACUGCCUGAAAGCCCUAAAUUCUCAAAGCUCUAAUAUAUCAUGCACAUCAACCAUUGAUUGAAUUCAUAGGCUAUCUUUUUUAUUUUAUUCUCCAAUUUGAAGAAAAAUAAACUUGCCAUAUUUCUUUAGCAUAUGUCAUUUCCGUGUUUGUUCUUAUGAAACCUUGUUUUCUGAUUAGAGGACACAACAGAUUUGUCAACUGAAAAUAUAAAGCAUAAGCUUCGUUUACAGGCUAUGGAACAAGAAGCUCAAUUACAUGAUGCUAAGUUUAUUAUAUGCCUGGUUUUAUUAUUAUCGUUACAGUCACUUUCCCAUAGUUGGCAUGUCAAGUUAUCCAAAUUCUAGCAGCCCCCAUGAUAAAGCAAACUUUUUGUUUUGUUAAUUAGAACACCGAUUCCUAAAUAAAAAAAAAAAAACAAAACAAUAUCCAAGAGUUGGCUUGCACAAGUCAUGCCCACUAUAUGGCCUAUGCUCAUAAUUCAUAAAGUGGAGUCCCAUCCCUUCAAAAAAUCAAAAUCCAUAUAUAUAUAUAUAUAUAUAUAUAUAUAUAAUUAAAUACCACUAAGAUGGUGGGGGGUUAGGUUGUACCCCUACCUGUAGAAUAUAGGCUUGGCAAAAUCCGGGUCCGGUCCAGGUUUUGGUGUUGCCCAAGACCGGACCAGAUGAGUGAACCUCAAGACAAGACCCAGGUUUAAACCCGAUUUUUCUGGGUGCGGUCCGGGCUCAAGCCCGGCACCCUCGGGCCAAGUUUUUUUAUCCGGGCUUCUAAACCCCCAUGUGAUAACUUCAAUUUUUUUCUUCAAUUUUUUCUUUCAUUUCUCUAACAUUGCAAAUUUUAGAAAAGAAAAUAGUCAAAUAAACUCAUUCAAUCUCAAGCUUUAAGAAAGAAAAUAAUCAAAUACAAAUAUAUAACAUACUAACAAUGCAAAUUUUACACAAAUAAUAAAUAAAAAUUUUUCAAUCUACUUUCUAAUACCUAAAUUCAUCCAAUUUAUAACCUAAACUCAUUCAAUCUAUAUAAAAAAUAAAAUUAAAUUCAACAACACAAUAAUCACACAAUAAAUCUAAAUAACAUCCAACAUAUCAUAAAUUCAUAUUUAUAUAUUUAUAUAUAAUAUAUCAUAUAUUUAUAAUUUUUUUAAUUUAUUAAGAAACCGGGUCUGGGUUCCGGGUUUUUGGUGUUGAGCCUGGACCCGGGCCUGAAAACGUCCAGGUUUGAGAAUUUCAAACCCGGGUUUGGUUUUUUUGUGUAUGCACCCGGACCGGAUUGCGUAGGUCCGGGCCGGAUCCGGUCCGGACUGGCCUUUUUGACACCCCUAGUAGAAUAAAUCAGUUAAUGAAAGAAUAUAAGGAGGGGGACCUAAACAUCAAAAUCCAUAUAUAUAAAUAUAUAAUUAAUUGGCAGGAAUAGAAACUGUAACUCCAGCAGCCCAUUCUUCAUUAGCACCUUUGCUUCUACUCAUUCUUCCCUUGAAACAGAACAUAUAUGCAUAAACUAAAACUAACACACUACUCUUUGGGGAAGAUCCUCCUACAAAAUUGUCCGUCGCAUUGGUACAGGUGAUAUUCAUUCUGUCAACAAGCAAAAUAUACGUGUCCAACAUAUUGUACGUUACGGAUAUCCUGAGCUUCAAGUAAAAUUAUCGGCCUAUUUGGGAUUGAAGUUAAGCAGGCAGAAUUAAAAUGUUUAGUAAACACUAUCUGUUAUAACUUGAAAGUUAAGUUUGAUUUGUUUUAUAUAUACUUAUAUGAUGAAAAAUCAUUAUAUCUUUACAAAUUUUGUCAAAAUUAUUAUUUACAAAUUAUAUUUACUAUAUAAUUUAUCUUUUAUUUUAUAUAUAUAUAUAUAUAUAUUUCAGCAGCUAUAACUUAAAAGUUUUAAUGUCUCAAUCUCAAACGGAGUUUAUUAUUACAAUUUGCAAAGUACAAUUAUUAUUCAUUUUAUUACUACCACUUUCUUUUUAGUUAUUGUGAUAUAAUUUAGCAAAUUUGAACAAUAUAUUGCAGCGAGAAAUCCAAGAGUUGUCCAAAGAUAUUGGUCGUGGAUAAUAUCCAAAAAGUGUUGUCAAGAUGAGACAAGACAAAUCGUAUUCGUUUUGGAAAUUUCUGGAUGAAAAUGUCAUUGGAAUCAAAGAUGCAUCAGAAUCAUAGUUGGUAGUUGCAGCACUCAUAGCGACAGUGACCUUUACGGCAGCAUUCAUUGUACCGUGUUGUUACAAGAGUGAAGACAGCCCAAGCCAGGGCACUGCAAUUCUCACUAAAAAUGCAUCCUUUCGAGCAUUUGUUAUGACAAAUGCCAUGGCCAUGGUCCUCUCACUUUGAACUGUAUUUGUCCAUUUCAUUAUGUCACUUAAGGCAUUCCAACAAUUGGUCUUUUUAUUCAUUGUCGCCCUUUUGUUCACCUUGACUGCCAUGGUAGCAAUGGUGAUUGCAUUUGUUACAUGCACAUACGCAGUGUGGGGAACUUCUUUAGGGCUUGCCAUUCCCACUUGUAUCAUUGGCUUAAGCUUCUUCUUCUGGAUCAUUUUCAUGUAUUACGUGGUAUUAUAUCAGGAACGAAAUAUUAAUUAGUCAUGAAUGCACGGUUUCAAUAAAAGUACAUGUAUACCCCCUCUUCAAUGAACUAUAUAAUUAUACAGAAGAAAUAAAUCUCCAUGUUCAGGAAUUUGCAUUCUUCUUUGUCUUUAGUAACGCCAAUCAAUACCACAAUCCUGCAGAUUGAUCAGAUCGCAUCCUCAAAUAAUCUAACUACAAAAUUAUUAACCAAUUUGGAGGAACAAAUACUUUACUUGUGUCCAUCACUUCAUCACACUGUUUAACAGAGUAAAUGUGACAUUUUCUCAUAAAAUUUCUUGAUAUUUUUACAUAUAUACAAUUUCUUCAAUUUUCGGUCCUUCGAUGUUUGGUUCAAUAAUUUAAUUUAUUAAAACCGAUAUAAUUAGUUUUUCUCUUAAUUAAAAAGAAUCAAACCAUUAGUUCGAUUCAAUUUUUUUGGUUCUUAAUUUAUUUUGCAUCCCUAUUUGAUAUUGUACAUUAUAUUUUUAUUUUAUUAAGCAUAGGAAUCAUAGCAAUUUCUAUGUUUAAAUUAUAAUGAACGCUAUAGUGUGAGGAAAUCAGCUGCUGGUCAGCUGCUGGUCAUUGGGUUUAAGUGCAAGAUUUGAAGAAGUCUGGGGGCAUUGUGCAGAUCGACUUCAGCUGGAGGGGUCUAGUUGAAAUCUUAAAGCUGAUGUGGCAGAAUUCGUUAUGAAUUCUUUAUAGCUUUCCAGAAAUACCAGAAUAUAAACACACGUGUUUUAGCCUCUGAUAUCAUAUCAAUAUCUUCUUCAUUUAUUGGUCAUUUUGCUAGCCAUUUGGUUCUUUGUGAUCCUUGUAAUUCCUUCUUGGUGAUUAGCUUGUAUUUCGUUUUGUUGAGAUCAAUAAAAGAGCAUUUUUUUUUCCUUCAUCGAGUUGUGUAUUUGAAACUGUGCUCUAUUCAGUUUCUCUUGUUUUUUCUUUCUUGAUUAAUUUGUUUUGAUUUGUUCUUUAAAAGCUCAAUACGUUAAUUGAGUUAUAACAUAUAGCCAUGAUUAUUUAAUUUUUGGAUGGUUAAGGUAUAGCUUAUAAUUAAUUAAAACUCACUUUGAUGAACUCCUUGACAAACAAAAAGUAUGAUUGUUUACUGGAUGGUAGCAUAUUUAAAUUAAAUAUCUAAGCAACUGCAUAAUUAAUAAAAUUUUAUCAUUCAAUAGUUAAAUAAUACACCAUCUAAGAUCAUAUCCUGUAUCACUUAAGUAUUUUGAUUCUUUUUUUAUAAUGCAACAAUCAGAACUCAUAUAUAGCAUAUUCCCUGUUACUUAAUUUAUUGGGAUUAUAGUUGGCCAGCAAACCUUUGUGCAUACGCAUUGGUAACUUUAUUUUCUCCGACUAUUACACAAUACCGAAUUAGCGAUUCCAAGACGCAAUGAGGCCACACAAAGCGUAGUUAGGCUUGAAGCUAAUGGUGGGGAAACAAAGGACCCAUUUGUUACUAUGGUAAGAUAAUUGUGGUUUUAAAGUUACAACCUUAAAGUUUUGGAUAAACACUUAGAGCUGCAACUAAGCACUUAGAUAUGCAACAUAGAAGUUGAAGUAAUUUUAUCUAACAACGAUAGGUAAAAUACUUAUAAUAUCCCUGUAAUUUAUCAAAAAUAUAAUUAGACUUUCUAAUUUUUAAUUUUAAAUAAAUAUUUACAUUUCAUUAUAGCAAAAUAAAAAAUUAAAACCAGUUGUUACUGUCGCCAUCUAAAGUUGUCCAAAAUAUAAUAAAAAACCACCCAGAGAUUACACCGUUGGUACCUUUAGAAUCCUUUUCUCGUCAUCUAUCCAACGGUGCAUCCUUGCACCUCAACCUCAAUCCUAUGUAUGUCAUUAUAGGAUCCAGCUUGGGCACCGUACCCCCUCUUUUUUUGUCGUUAUUCUGUCUAGCCGUUAGAUUUUAAUUACUUCAAUCUAACGGUUGGGAUUUGUAAAUGAAUAAUGAAACGAUGUUUGGCGAUUUUUUGCUUUCUUCUCUGUAAUGCUUGACUAGUUCUGGAAAUAUCAACCGCCAUCGACGAAAAAUCUGAAGCAGUUAUCAUUUUUUAGUUGUGGGUAAACGUAACAGGAGCAAGGACGACGUGCGAGUUCGGAUUGGAGGUGUUCACCGUGAAAUUGUUUUUUAGUGUGCUAAUCUAACGACUUUCGAAUACAUUCAUUGAAAUAUUAAACGUCCUAGUAUAUAGAUUUAUGUUUUACAAAUUGUUGCAGGAUAGCGAAAACUGUAAUCUUCCAGAUGAUCAUUCCCAACACGGCAACACCUAUGGCUCUUUUCCUUUAAUUUGCCUCUUUAAAUUUUCUUUUGAUUAAUCAUUAAAAAACUGCUUUUUUUUUUAUCAUUUGUUGUUAACAUUUACAUGGUUAAUGUCAUCGAAAUCCGAUGGUUAUCAUUUAUGGAAAGAUAAUUGCCAGAAAUUUUGUUAAUCCCACUGCAAUAAGAUAUUGUGUAAAUUGUAUUGUUUUUUGUCAUAAGUACAAUAAAAUUUUGAUAAAUUAAUAGUUUUCGGACCGUGAAAAAGUCUAUUAAAUCUAACGAACAUCAGUUAAUUGAUAAAUUAAUAAAUUAUUAAUUUAUGAAAAUAUUCAUUAUUUUGAAAAAAAAAUAUGAUCAUGUUUAUAGUACUGAUUUACCUUGAGUUGGUAUCUAUUAUUAAAGUCAGCAAAAAUGGUCACCGAGUAGUAUUCGUAUUGUGUCAACUUCGUGUCGUGUCAAAUUUAGAUCGACCCAAACACAACCCAUUCAAUAAUCGUAUCAAAAUAUUAAGACACAAACUCGACAUGAAAAAUAAAUAUGUUACUCAAUAAUCCUUUUAAUAUCUAUAUAUUUAAUAAAUGUUUUAUAUAUGUAAAAACUAAAAUAUUACAUAUUUACACUAUUAAAGUUUUAAUUAUAUAUAAAUAAUAUUAUAUAUCAAUAUAAUAAAAUAUAUGUAUCUAUCAAUAUUUUAAACACUUAUACUAUAAAAGUUCUAAAUCUAUAUAAAAUUAUAUAAAUAAAACACUGUGUAUAUGUUCAUCUUUCCCCAAAAAACGAUAAUAAGAGAAAAUCAUGUUUAACAUUUGAGUUUUAAUGGCAAGAAUUUACAAAUUAAUUUAAAAUGGAAAAUAUAAUUAUGUUAUUUGUUGGAUAAAUGGGUCAAAAACUUUAACUAGGAAUGACAAAAAAGCCUGGGCCGACCCUGUCAAUUCUUACAGGCUUUGACCCGGGCUUCCCGCAUGAGGGUCUGGACAAGAGCUUAAGAAAAAAAUUUUGGGCCAAGCCUAAGCUCUUUAUUUCUUUUAAAAAAUAAAUUUAUAAAUUAGAAUAAUAAAUUGAAAUUUGAAAAAUAAUGGAAAAAAAAGAUUGAGUCCCUAAUUUAUAUAUCAAUAAUGAAUCAAAAUACUUAAAAUUAUAAUACUAAAUUCUCUUUUAAGUAUUAAUUAAUUAAGAGAGUCCGUGAAUUAGAGAAUCCAGUACAAAAAAAAAAAAAACAAAUCUCUAAACUUUUAUUUGCUUCAUUUUCUUUUUUUAUUAUUUUUCUUUUAUUCAUUGUUAAUUAUAAAACUUGAUUAUUAUUAACUCAUUUCAAGUUUACAGCAAUUUGAAAAAAAAAAAAAGUAAAAGUCCAAGUUCAGUCCAAGUCCAACCCUUACACUUUUAUUCUAUUGGGCUUGGGCCUAGGCUCCAACCCCUUAAAUUGUCAUCCCUAACUUUAACCCUAACCAAACAUUAAAAAAAAAAAAAAAAAAAAAAAAAAAAAAAAAAAAAAAAAUAAUAAUAAUAAUAAUAAUAAUAAUAAUUUCGUGUCGAUCUAAACCCAACCAAUUUAAUAAUCGUGUCAAAUUUGAUGACUUAUACUUAUUUAUUCGUGUCGGUAAUUUGGUCAUAUCAAAUUUUGCUAGGUCUAUUUAUUAUGUUUUAUUUGAAUAAUAGUUUUCUUUUAAGAAGAUUUCUUAAUAGUUAGCUGCUUUAUAUUAAUAGUAAUAAGAUUAUUGUACAAUUUUUAUUUUUCUAUGUUAAAGAUGAUAAUUCAACUAGACAAACCAUUUCAAACAAAAAAGUAAAUGAUAUUGACAUUGAAUAAUUUAUUGUUGCAAAAUGAUAAUACCAACUAUAAUUUCUUUUCACAUUACAAAAACUCAAAGGUGAGAUCCAAGUCGAAAUUAAUUUAAGGAUCAUUCUAUGACGCCUUGAUUAAAUUUAAAGCAUUAAUACCGUAAUUAAACAUAAAUUAUGUAAACGAAAUAUAAAACUUGUAAAUUUAACAUAAAACUCGUAAAUCAACAUUAAUUGUAAAAUAAAACAUAAAUUUUAUAAAUUAAACAUAACAGUGUAAAAGAAAGGUAAAACAAGUAAAUUAAUAUAAAACUGAUAAAUUGAUGUAUUAUUAGUAAAUAAAACAAAAACUUACAAAUAUAACAUAAAACUCGUAAAUUAACAUUAAGUGUAAAAUAAAACAUAAUUUUUAGAAAUUAAACAUAAGAUUUGUAAAUGGAAGAUACAAUAAAUAAAUUAAUAUAGUAGUAAAUUAGUGUACUAUUAAUAAACAAAACAAAAACUUGCAGAUAUAAUUUAAAACAAUUAAUCAACAUUAACUAUAAAAUAAAACAUAAAUUUUGGAAAUGAAACAAAAGACUUGUGAAGAAAAGGUAAAACAAGUAAAUUUCUAUAAAGCUGAUAGAUUAAUGUAUUGCUAGUAAAUGAAACAAAAACUUAGAAAUAUAACAUAAAACUAGUAAAUUAACGUUAAGCGCAAAAUAAAAUAUAAAUUUUAGAAAUAGGACAUAAGACUUGUAAAUGGAAUAUAAAACAAAUAAAUUAAUAUAAAACUAGUAAAUUAAUGUAUUAAUGGUAAACAAAAUAAAAACUUACAAAUAUAACAUAAAACUAGUAAAUCAACACUAACUGUAAAAUAAAACAUAAAAUUUGAAAAUAGCACAUAAGGCUUGUAAAAGGAAGAUAAAACAAGUAAAUUACUAUAAAGUUGGCAACUUCAUGUAUUACUGAUAAAUAAAAUAAAAACUUACAAAUAUAAUAUAAAACAAGUAAAUCAACACUAAGUGCAAAAUAAAAUAUAAAUUUUGUAGAUUAUGCCUAAAACUUAUGAAUAAAAGGAAAAAUAAAUUAAUUAAUAUAAGAGUUACUGCCAAAAAAAAAGUUCACAAUUGCAAAAUAAAAACUCGUUAUAAUGUUUAUUACCUUGUAUAUUUAUUGAUUUUUUAAUUUAAAUUGAAUAAUGCUAGUUUUGUAUUUAUAUAAUACAUAUGAUGUUUUACUAAGGAUGAAACUUAUUCUGAAAAUCGGAUUUUGAAAAAAUAUUAUUUUAAUAUCUUUCAUAGUUAUUGUAAGAUGAGGUUAUUUUAUAUCUUUUUACACUUCUUCAACAACAACCCUAAAUAAUCUCUAAGUACAAGUAAAAAAUUUGAAACUAAGUGAAGUAUGUAUAAGACUCAAAAUUAGAUCUAAUUUUGUUGAUAUAUCAUAUAUGUGUCUAGUAAUAUAAUAAUAUUUUUUUUGUUUUUGCUUGAUCCAUAUCAAGAUAAAUGAUUGUGCUUAAUUAACUUGUGUAAUAAAUAGAUACUAUUAUAGACAAUGGGAAAAAAAGUAUACAAAUGUCCUAUAAUAAAUAUAGAAUUUAUGGUUAAACCAAUUCAGUAAAAAUUAUUCUACUUUUUUUAGUAUAAUUUUUUUGUUUAAUUAAUGAGUAAUUUUUUCUUUGUUUAAUUAAAUAAUUUUUUUUGUAAAUGAAUAAAAUACUUUUCACUAAAAUUCUAUAGAAACAAUGUUAAUUUUUUAAAUAAUUAAUAAUUUUGUAUGAAUUUACUAGUUUUAUUUAUAAUUUACAAUAUUUAUAUCUAUCACGGUAUUGAUGCCAUAAUUUUCAUUACGACAUUAUAGAAUUUUCCUUAAUUUAAAAAAGAAGCAAACAUUGGUGAGAACAUAUUUUACACAAGCCAUGUAGACAUAUCAUAUGGAUUUUGAUUUAUACUAGGUAAUUAUUAAUUUAUAUAGUAAGUGGAUCCUAUAAGAAAAUACGAAUUUUUUAAAAAAAUUUACGGAAUUGUUAAUUUAUCACUUUGUCCCAAAUUAGGACCACAAAAACUAUUAUUUAAUCCAGAGUAUCAAUUUACUAAGAAUUAAUUUAUUGAGAUUUUACUAUAAAUAGUUACUGAUUGUCAUGUUUACUUUUCUCAACCAAUAAUUGCUUCAAUUUAUUUUUGUUUAAACAUAUAAAUUUAUUGUAAAGAUAGAUCAACAUGCAUCUUUCUUCUAGUAACAAUUUCUUGCUACAAAAAUAAUUCCCUUUGCAUGACCAAAUUCCCCGGUAUUCUAUAUGUGCCAUGUGCUUCAUCGUAUGAGCUAUUUGCGUUUUAAUGGAUUGGACUACAUCUGAACAUCCCUAAAUUCCUAAAUCUACUUACUAUCCUUUCAUUCUUAGUUCAUUUUUUCUUUUAUUAACAUUACAGUUUUAGUAAUUCGAUUACUUCUUGUAUACUGUUACGGUCGCCUACAUUUUAUGCCAAUUGCAACAACAAAAUUGUAACUAACCUACAUUGUAUUGUUCUUCACUAACUACUUGCUUCUUCAAAUACUUGUUUCGGCUAAUUAAUUUAUUGUUAUAUACGGCAACAUUUUCUUGUUCCCUUAAACAAAAUAAUUGCAACAUUAACAGUUCCUAUCUAUUGACCUGCAUUCUCAUUUUGCUUGAUGUGCCGUGUGGCCACUUCACACCUGCACAAUAUUGCUCAUUUUCAUCCAACGACGACUUCACUAUAAGGCAAAUAAAGGGGGUAUAGUGCCCAAGGGACACAAUAGAUGGAGCCGUCAUUUUAGGCCCCAUUUAGGAUUGAGAUUGAAAUAUUAUAAACAGUUUAUUUUAUAAGAUUUGAUAAAUAUAAUGUUUAAUAAAUUUUUUAAAAAUUAUUUAUUAUAUAAGUUUUUUCUAUUUUGACAAUAAGUUUUAAAGUAGCAUAUUAAAUAAGUCAUGUUCUAACCUUUUUAAAGUCAUGUUCUAAUCUUAGUAUUUUAAUUAAAAAGACAAUUAUAUCUUAUUUUUUUCAUAUAUAAACCCUAAUAUAUAAAUAAAACUCCAUUUAAACAUAUGUAUUUUUUUAUCAUUACAUAAUAAACAAGAAUUUUGUAGUAAAUUUACUAAAUACAUACAUGUACUCUAUUUUUCAAACUUACAAUAGUUGCAACAAUAGAGCAUGUCAAACACAAGCUACUUUUUUAAUCACUGAUUCAUUUUAUCCACAUAGUAGAAACAUCUUACUUCAUUAACCACCACAAUUAUAAACUUGCCCUUGACAAUUACUUCAACGCUUGUUGUUUGUGGAAAGAAACUAAAAAAUUAAAUGUUCUUAAAAUGGAUCACUUAAAUCUUUUUAAAUUUAAGUUAUUUUCAUUCAAAUUCUUGAUUGAAUUUAUAUAGUCAUUUAUUUAAGUCAUAUUCGAAUGAGCUAUCUCCUAUAUUUACUCUGUGACAAGUGUCAAGAGUUUAAGCUAUAAUUAAAGGAGAAAUGAUGUGUUUAGGGGAGAAAAAAUUGAUGAAACUCCCAAGUAUUGUAUAAUUAAUUUUUAACAUUAUAAAAAGCCCAAAAAAAUAUAUAUAUACAAACAAGGUUAAAACAGACUUUAAACUAAUAACGUGAGUUAUAGGGGUAUAAUUACCUUUCUGUUUCAUGUCUAAUUAUGUAAACUUUUCACAAAUUUUUCAAGAAAUUCAGUACUUUAUGACUUGAAUGAAAUAAAUUUGAAUUUGGAAGGAGUUGAGUGAUGCAUUUAAAAAAUUUGUGAUAUUUGACACUUAAUCCUAUUCCCACCUGUGUGAGUUUUCAAGAUAAAAGAGUUUACUAUGUUAAGUGUCAACUAAAUGUCACCCAUAUAUAUAUAAGGGGUUGUAGGGUCUUAAGCCCAUACCCUCAACAUAUUGAGAAGCAUAGGUUAUCACCGAGCUAUAAGACUCAGUAUGCACACAAAAUUAAUUAACUGAAUGAAAAUUUGUAACAUUAAUUAACAAUUAAUGUCCUUUUUAGUAGUCUUACGAAUUGUUUUGAGAUGCUCAAUUCAAUUAAAGAGGUUCACGUAUGGAGGAAUAAAGGAAUUAUUCUAUAAAAUUAAGGCAAAGAAUCUCCAUAUAUUUUAUUUAUUAAUUGUUGGAUGGACAAGGUAUGACUUGUCAAUUAGUUAAGAGUAAAUUUGAUUCUUUACUCGCCAAGACAAAAAACAUAAAUGUCUAAGGAAUCCGAUUGAAAUUUGAUGGGAAAAAAACAAGCAGCAACUGCUGUAUUUAACAAAUUGAGAGCCAGGAUUAGUAUGCGCAUGCGUGCAGUCUGUAUGCACAUUCAAUAAUCCUCGCAUUUACAACCAAAACAACAUGGUCAUGGAUCCUGUCUUGUACGAGGCUGCAGCUAAAGGUGAAAUUGAACCGUUCAAGAAAAUUUCAAACUAUGAACUUGGAAGCGUAGUUACUCACAACAACAAGAAUACAAUCUUGCAUGUCAACAUAAUAUCACGAGAUCGAGAAACAAUAGCAUCAACCGAGUUUGUAGAACAGAUACUUGAAAUGUGUCCAUCAUUGCUGCAAAGUGUUAAUGCGAAAGGUGAUGCUCCACUCCAUGUUGCGGCCAAAUGCGGGCAUGCUUCUGUAGUGACAGCUCUGAUUGAAUUUGCGAAAAAACAGCCUAAAGAGCUAGAAAGUGGUGUGGAAAGUACGGCAAGGCAGAUGCUAGGGAUGACAAACGAUGAAAAAAACACAGCAUUGCACGAGGCAGUGCAACAUCGUAGCUUGGAUGUUGUGAAAAUAUUAAUCAAAGAAGACCCUGCUGUUCCAUAUUCCACAAAUGGCCGCGGCGAAACUCCACUUUACAUGGCAGCCGAAAGAGGAUUUGAAAAAAUGUUAACUGAAAUAUUAGAAAACUGCCCUUCAGCAGCCCAUGAAGGCCCAAAUGGAAAGACUGCCCUGCACGCAGCUGCAGUCAACAUCAACUCUAUUGGUACUAGUGCUUCGCCUUUUUGCAUGCUUACAAAUUAAUAUUAUCUUGUUGAUUGUGCAUGCUUCAUUUAUUUAUCAUUGACGUCAGUUUGUCGUUUCCCAUUAUUAUUAUUAUUUUGAUUUUGUUUUAGAUGUGGUAAAACUAUUACUUGAUAAAAAGAAAAGUUUGAUUGGAGAAACAGACCGAUACGGUUGGACCCCACUCCAUUACGCCUCGUAUUUUGAUCGCAAUAUCAUCGCAGAGCUGUUACUAAAAUCUGAUAAAUCUCUUGCGUACAUUGUGGACAAUGAUCGGAAGAUGACAGCUCUUCAUUUAGCAGCCAGCCAAGGGAAAUUACGGGUAGUGGAAGAGAUUAUUUCCUAUUGUCCAGAAUGUUGUGAAUUGGUUGAUGGCAGAGGAUGGAAUGUUCUUCACUUUGCUAUGGUUAGUUUUGAUGCUAGUGACUUGAAACACCUGCUGAACAACUAUCCGAUAGUCAGAAAUCUUAUAAAUGACAAGGACAAGGAGGGGAACACUCCUCUCCAUUUGCUUGCUGCUCUCUGUCGAGAUUCGUUCUAUCGCAUUGUCCCUUGGAAUGUUGGAGGCGAUUAUCAAGCUGUCAACAAGCAAAAUAUUAGUGUUAAACAGAUAAUACGUUACGAAUUUCCUCAGCUUGAGGUAAUUGCCUUAAUUUUGACUAUUAAGAUUAUUUAAUUGCAUACGAAUAUGUAUAUACACAUUUCAUAAUUUCAUCAAGAACUCAAUAUGGCAUGUAUAGCAUCGUGGUUCAACACAUUUCAUAUGAAGAAUUUGGUAGAACUUAAUAUACAACCUUUAUUAAACGUAUUACCUAGUUGUAGAUGUUGAUGCCUUUAAACUUUUUCCGUUCUAAUUUCCUUCUUAGUUGUUCUAUUUUCAAUUACUUUCUUUACUUUGGUAAGCAAAUUAAUAUGGUUAAUAUAUUACAGCAAGAAAUCCGGGAGUUAAGCAAAUAUAUUGGCAGUGGACAAUAUCCAGAAGGUGUUGUCUCAAUGAGAGAAAACAAAAUAGUAAAGCGCACUUCGCACUGGAAAUUUAUAGACGAAAAUUAUAUUGGAAUGAAAGAAGCUUCAGAGUUCCAUCUGGUAGUGGCUACACUCAUUGCAACCGUAGCCUUCUCUGCAGCAUUCACCUUACCCGGUGGUAACAAGAGUGAAGGCAGCCCAGACCAGGGCGCUGCAAUUCUCAGUAAACAUGCAGCUUUUCAAGCAUUUGUAAUAUCAGACGCCAUAGCCAUGGCCCUUUCUCUAUCUGCUGUCUUUGUUUAUUUCAUUCUGUCACUGAAGGCAUUUCAAGAAUUCAUCUUUUUGUUCGCUUUCGCUCUUUUUUUCACGUUGGUUGCCAUGGCAGCAAUGAUGGUAGCAUUUGUAACGGGCGCAUAUGCAAUGUUGGAACCUUCUUUAGGGCUGGCCAUUGUCACUUGUAUCAUUGGCUUAAGCUUCUUCGUCUUGGUGAUCUUUUUGUUCUACAAGGUCCUAUCAAAAGCGGAUGAGGAAUUGGAAGAGCCAUGGUUCCAAUAAAAGUAUUAUUAUAUAUUUCACUAUACUUCAUCUACUAAUAUUUACGACGUAAGCGUUAUACUGCCAUUAUGAUCUGGAGCUGUAAGUUGUGACUUAAAAUUUAUUAUAUUAUCUUAUGAAUUAUGUACUAGCCAACUAGGUUGUAUAAUAUACUUGGAGGAUGAAAGAAAAAAAGAUUAUGUGUUGGAUUUUUUAAUUUAACAUUGUUGGAUCCUUAAUUUAAUGUUGGGCUUAUAAGUGAAUAAUUUUGUAUUGUGGAUUGUCAUAUAAGAUUAAGUCCAAUUAAAAGUAAUCUAUUAAGAUUUUUUAAUUUGGACUUUAAUGUAUUUAAUAGGGUGUGGGUCUUUAAUGUAUAUAGACUUAAAAGGAUAAUUAUUAUUUUUAUGAUAGGCAUAAAUAAGAAUACCUAAAGAUAAUAGGAAAAGUUGUUUAUAUAAAUAGUUAUGGUCCCAGGUUAUAUAUAUCAUUCUAUUCUCUUUUGACAUCCUAUCAUCAGCGAGAGUGCAGUGAGAAGUUUAAAGGAUUCUCUAAGAGAACGUGUUGACCUGGAAGGUUAAUCAUACAACUCUAGAGAGCAAUCAAGUAUCAUGGAUUCAGGUACGCUUCAGUAUUUUUUAUUAUUGAUUCUUGACGAUACAACAUGAAUGUUCUUAGAUUAUAAGUACUGGAUUUCACUAGGGGUGGGCAAAUUACCCGACCCGACCCGAAAAAUUUCGGGUUCGGAUCGGAUCGAGUGUAAACGAUGAAACCCGAUCGGGUUUUGUACCCGAUCCGAUCCAAAAACCCGAUCUGGUUUCUUAAAAAAAAAAAAGCCUAACCACAUACACGCACGCCACACACGGUCACACAAACACACACAACACAAAUCACAUAUUCACUUACAGUACACACACACAAACACAAGUCUGCUGCUGCGCACAAAACACAUCCACGAACCAUGGUCAAUCACACCCAAUGGCCAACAGCAAGUCGCCAACGGAGUCCACACCUCAAGAAGCGUCCGAUCUGUUGCGAAUCUGCCUGUGUGCUCACUGCUGCUCAGUGUUGCUGCAAGUUCGCUGGUCCGCGAUUGCUGCUGCCUGCUACGCAUCCGAUCGAUUCUCGAUCUACUGCUGCGCGAGUGUGCGUCAUCCCGUCUGCUGCUAUGCGUUCGUGGCCACUGAUUUGCAGCCAAGUGCCAAGUGCCACCGAAAUUCAACCGUGAUAUUCUUGAUAAAAUGGUCCUUUAAUAUCAUCUUCUCAUCUUAUCUUUCUCAGCGACGAUUAUAUAUACAUAUAUAUAUACAUACACCCAUAUGCUUGAAAAUAUUUCCCGGGUGAUGAAAUUCUUUAAGUCUCUUGGCACCAUCUUUUAGUCAUUAAAAUUGCAUAUAAGCUUAAUAAAAUCCUCCUCGUUCCUUCCGAGAAAUUAAUUCAAAAUGGUCCAUUAUGAUAACUCAGGUUCAUAGAAGCUAAACUUAUAUGAAAAGAAAUAUUAGUAGAUUACACGCAUUGUAGUUGAACUUUUACAGUUGUUGUUUAAAAUCCCGAACUUGAUUUGAAUUCUGCAGCUCCAAGACCCGAACUCAACUCGAUUUUUUGACCCGAUCCGAACAUAUAUCGGAUCGGCUCAGGUCGGGUCGGGUUGUAAGUUAGGGUUGUAUUCGGAUCAAUAUUUGCCCAACCCGAACAACCCGAAAUCCGAUCGGGUUGACCCGAACCCGAUUUUGCCCACCCUUAGAUUUCACCAAAAGAUUAUUGUUCUAACAAGUGGUAUCCGAGCUAUUUCAUUGGUGUUCUUGAAUUUGACAAUACCGAAAUUAUAAAAAUUAUUGAAUUUUAGAACAAAUUUGUGGUUAACUUCUAGUAUUAAGCAAAAUGCAUUUUCAGAAAAUUCAGAAUCAAGGAAAAUUAACUAAGAAAUUCAGAAAAUACAUAUUUUUUUUUUCAUGCUUUGGUGUCUGGCGACAGCUUUGCCACUACCGUCAGUCAUUGAUCGUUGACUGACCUGAAUUUUAUUUUUUAAAUUUUUUAAGGGAAAAUUUUAUUACAAUUUUAAAUUCAGAUAUUGGUAUGUUUAUAUAUAUUUUGAGAUGAAUUAAUUAAAGCAACAUGUCACAAAAAUGACCUCUCUUCUGGGAAUUGAUUUGUUUUAGAAUAUAAACAGUUCUGUGCAUGUAAUUUUUGUAAAUGUUGAUCAGCCCAACAUGAAAGUCCGUAUUUGACAAGAAUCGCAGGUGCACCUAUGGUAAUAAACAAGUGGUGAUUAUUCGGUUUUACAUGUGAGCAAUAAAUAAGCCAAAAUGACGAUUUAUUGUUUGACAUGUUCUUACUAUCACUGUUUGAAUACUACACCAAGAUAUCACUUACAAGUUAAUAUUUUGUCCAAAGAUGAAAUAUUAAUGGAGUGCCCGAUAUCUUCAGAUAGGGUUUACCUUUAUUUGGAUUUAUUUUUGUUUUAAGACUUAUAUGAGCUUGUUUUAUUUGUUUGUUAUUCUCUGUUCAGUUAUGUCUGCUGUCAAUAUUACUGCCAACAUCAAUUCUAUUUCUAUGUUGAAUGGAUAUAACUUAAAGUCACGGCAAGAAAACCCCUUAAUAGUUCUUUCUACCAUGGAUCUUAACCUUGUUUUAAGGGUUGGUUCUCCCCCAACUCUUAUGGAUGAGAGUACUUCUGAUGACAAUAAGGAUUUGGAAAAGUGUGAGAAAUCAAAUCACAUGUGUGUGAUGAUCACGAACAAGAUCAUUUCGGAAGCAUUCAAGGACUAUAAGUCUAAAAAGAUAACUAUGGUUAAAUAGUUUCUUGCAAAAAUUGAAAGAAGACUUGUCAAAAAUAAAAGAGCAGAAGUAGGUACAUUCUUGACAAAUCUAAUUUUAAUAAGGUGUAAAGGCAAGGGCAAAGACAAGAAAAGAAACAAAAAUAAGGAAGCUGCAGACAUAACACCUUAAAAGAAACAACAAAAAAAUCGGAUGAUUUGAAAUAUACUAAUUGUUUCUUUUACUGAGUUGAAGUGUAUGGUUUGGUUUGUUCUGAGGUUAAUUGAACUUCGAUACCAAGACACACGCAGUGGAUAGAUUUUGGUGCAACCAUUCACAUAAGUGUGUCUAUGCAUGGUUGCCUGAAUUGCAAAAAACUCAAUGAUGGCGAAAAAUACAUCUAUGCGGGCGAUGGUAAGACGGUUGAAGUUAAAGUAAUUGAAAAAAAUUAGAUUAUUAUUAAGGACUGGAUAUUAUUUGGAUCUUCAUAAAACAUUUAUUGUUCUCUCUUUUAGAUGGAAUUUGAUUUUAUUUCUAUUUUGGACAAAUAUGACUUUUCUUGUUCAUUUGGGAAUAGAAAAAUUAGUUUGUUUCAUGAUUUAAAGCUGGUCAGCUCUGGUUCAUUGUCAGACGAUGAUAAUUUUUAUAUGCUUGAUAGAAUUGCUUUAUUUAAUGAAUCGCUGCAAUUAAGUACUCGAGGUGUAGAGUGAAAAUUAAUCAAUGAGAAUUCAGCUGCAUUAUAGUGCAAAAGAUUAAGUCAUAUCUCCAAACAAAGAAUAGAGAGACUUGUAUCAGACAAAAUUCUCAACUCCUUAGAUUGUAUAGAUUUUGAUGUUCAUGUUAACUGUAUAAAGAAGAAAUAAACCAAUAAGAGGAGAUUUAACGCCAACAGAACUAUGGACGUCUUAGAACUCAUACAUACAGAUAUUUAUGGACCAUUCCUUAUAAUUGCUUGGAAUAGUCAACUAUAUUUUAUGACAUUCAUAGACAUUUUUUUCUAGAAAUGGCUACAUAUAUCUCUUCCAUGAAAAGUCAUAAUCCAUGGACAUGUUCAAAAUUUUUAAGGCUAAAGUCAAGAAUCAAUUGAACAAAAGAAUCAAAAGCGUCAAAUCUAAUUGUAAUGGUGAGUACUAUGGCAGAUGUGACGGUUCGGGUGAACAACGUUCAGGACUGUUUGCUAAGCUCCUAGAGGAAAGCGGUAUCAUCCCACAGUACACUGUACCGAGUUUGUCCACCAUGAAUGAUGUUGUUAGAAGAUGAAACAAGACACUUAAGGACAUGGUAAGGAAUAUAAUUUGUCAUUUAACUUUACCAGAAUUACUCUGAGAAGAAACACUUAAGACUGAAGCACAUAUCCUUAAUAGGGUUCUAAUUAAAGCAACUUAUAAAACCCUUUACGAACUUUGGAAGAGCAAGAAGUCUAAUUUAAAGUACUUGCAUGCUUGGGGAUGUCCAGCUAAGGCAAGACCUUAUAGGCAAAAAAAAAAAAAAAAAAAAAAAAAAAAAAAAAAAAAAAAAAAAACUGAACUUAAAGAAGGUGAAUUGCUAUUUUAUUGGAUACCCUAAAAGAUCCAAAUGGUAUAAGUUUUAUGAUCCCAUGACUAAGUCGAUUUUUCGAGUCAGGAAACGUGUGGAUCUUUGAGAAUGUUAAGUUUGUGGGCAAAGAUAUAGUAAGGACUUAGUCUUUAAAGAGAAAUAUGUUGAUAUUUGCAUAGGUGUUAUUAGUAUUAAUCAAGGUCUCAUUCUUACCUUUGUUCAAGACACAUCAAGUUAAAAUAAUGUUGGAAAACCCCUUAUACUAGAAAUUGUUCCAAAAGAAUAAACUCUACUGCCUUAAGAACCUAUGUUAUUAAGGAGAUCUACUAGAGAAAUGAGAAGUGCAAUGCCUGGUAGUGUCGUUGAGUGCACUAAAUUUAAAACCUUACUACUAGUAUAAAUAAUUAGUACAGAACAAGUAAGGAUCGAUCUCACAGAGACUAUGCUAGUUAUAUUUAUUAUCAGCUCUAAAGCAAGACUUAAAACAAAAUAAUAAUAAUAUAAAUAAUUAAUAUAAAUUAAUCUAACUAAAGAAAAUGUCAAUUAUAAAUGAAAGGGGAGUUUUUGAAUUUUUAACUAAAUAGCAAGAAAUCAAGAAAUUAAACUAUGAAAACAAAAAUUUAAUAAAAACUCUAAUUAAAGGAGAAAGAAAUAAUAAUGAUGAAAACUUUGGUUAAAGGAUCAUUCGCCACCACCAAACAUGCACAUAAUAUAUCAAUUCUAUCAUCAAUUUAUAUUGAAACUAUCAACCGUAGACAACAACAAGUUUUGUUUGUCUUAAUCUUUACUUAGUGUGUCGUUAGGCAAAACAAACUCUUCACCUAAUCUCUAACCAUUAAAUAAUUUAAAACAAGCUCUUUAAAUUUAAGAUAAUGGAAGCAUUAAGUAGAGAAAGAUAUUAGAUUGAUCUAGGCAAUAAACACACAAGCUCAUAUUAUUUAACCUAGGUUAUAUUCUCCAAUUGAAAUCAUUGAUUCCAACCUGCUACUUAUGAUUAAAAUCUCAAGACAAUUACGGAUCAAGAAUUUUAAAUCUAACAAUAGAAUUGAUUCAAGUACUAUCUAAUUGGCCACUCAAAUAAGACGAGAAUAAAAUCAUAAACAUUAAUUAUAGAAGAACAUAAACAAUCUCAAUUAAAUAAAUUGAAUGAUAGAAAUUGAACAUUAAUCAUAUGAUAUGUUUGGGGUUUUGAAUUCACCCUCAACCAAAUAGAAAAUCUAGCCUAACAUAAUUAAAUUGGGAAUAAGAGAAUUGAUAAAACCAAUCAUAGAGAUUAAUUCAAGCGGCUGCCUUUUUCUUCAAUUCCUUUCGACUGCUGAUUUUUUUCUUCUCCUUUACAGCUGCAAAUUGUUCAGUUUCUCUUACUGCCGAUUCUCCCUUUGUGUUGCUUCCGCUUUAUCCUUUUAUAAUGCUUCAAUUGUGGCUUUUAAAUCCUUGCAUGGAAAGAAUUAAAUCCAAAGCCAAAACUGCCCAUGCCAUAAUGUGCUUGCCAUUUAAAGCCAUGCAAAAUAUUUGCUUCCUUUAAUUGCCAUGCACAUGCCGCCCACUUUGCCAAUUUCCUUUUUCUUCAAUUUGCUUUCCAUAAUUUAAUCCAAUGCAUGCAAUCUUUUUAAAUUGGUCAAGUAAAUCCAUGCACAUUAAACAAGUUUCCCUUUUAUGCAUGCUUGUUCCCAAAGUCUUUAUUAAUCUCCAUGAAAUCCUAUAUGCUUCCAAAUGUGCAUCAAUUAAUUAAUUGGCUUCUAAAAAAUCUUCAGUAUUUCCUUUCCUAAUUCCUUCAAGCAGAUUUCUUCUUAAAUGCUCCAAUUUAAUUUAUCUUUAAUCCCAAAAUAUACCUAAAAUAAAAUAAAAUAAAAACUAAGAUAAAAAUUAACACAAUAAAAAUAUAAUUUACUAAAUUAAAAAUUAACUAAAAUAAUUAGAAUAUUUAAGACUAAAACAAGAAAGAGAUAGAGAAAUUAAUAGCAAAAUAUAUGAAAAAUAUGCACUUAUCAAUGCUAGACAAUUACAUUGUAUUUCUACGAGAACAUGAGGUAGAUAUUGGAGUGAUGGAAGAUGAUCCAAUUAUUUUUCGCCAAGCCAUUAAAAAUUCUACCUCUUAAAAGUGGAUUGAUGUCAUGAAUGAGGAGAUAGAGUCCAUGAAGGACAACGACAUAUGAAAUAUUAUCCUAUUACCAGAAAGUACGAAACCUAUUGAUUGCAAAUGGAUGUUUGAGACCAAAAGGGAUUCAAAAGGCAAUUUGGAGAGGUACAAAGCACAUCUUGUCUCGAAGCACUUUAUAUACAAAGAAGGCAUCAACUAUAAAGAGAAUAUCUCUCUAGUAUCUUCGAAAGACUCUUUCAAGAUAAUAAUGGCGUUGGUGGCACGUUUUAUUCUUGAGUUAUAUUAAAUGGAUAUGAAUACAACAUUUCUCAACAGAGAUAUUGAUGAAACGAUCUAUAUGGUGCAGUUAGAAGACUUUAUGUCAAGAGACCCAAAGAAUAUGAUUUGCAAACUUAAGAAAUCCAUUUAUAAACUCAACCAAGCAUCUCGACAAUGAUAUUUCAUGAUUGCUAGCACUUGUGUCAAGAUACCAUGUAUUUUCUUGACCUUCAUUUAUGUCAUUGUGUGCUAGUAAAAGGAUGCCAUCUUCACCAUUUUUCUCUUCAACAUAAUUCACUUUCUCCUCAAUUUUGGCGCUUAGAGCUCUACAUUCUGAAGCAUAAUGCCCAAACUUUUGACAAUUAUAGCAUUGUACUUGGGAUUUGUCAUACCUUGAUCUUGGAUUGCAUUUGCCUCAUCCUCUGGUUGAGCUUUCUCCUUUGACAUAAUUGGAGUUGUUGUUGUUGAAAUUCCAACCUCAUCCAUGACCACGACCUCUACCUCGAACAUAAUGCAUUGUCUCGUGGUCCGAGCUUUCUUAUCUUAAGUUAGAUUUACUUCCAUCUUGAAAAGUUAUUCUUCGAUUCCUUACUUCUUUUUCAGUUUUUCUUCAUGUGCUUGCAAUUUUCCUUGAAGUUGCUGGAUCUUAAUAUCCUUCAAAUAUUUUGUUUCCUCAAUUGUCACAAUAAUAUAGUCAAACUUCGAGUAUACUGAUCGAAGUAUCUUUUCAAUGAUCUUUACCUCUUUUAACUCCUCGCCAUUUCUUUUUAAUUCAUUGGAAACAGUCACAACCCUAGUAAAGUAGUCAAAAAUUGACUCUGAUGCCUUCAUGUGUAAGGACUCAAAUUCUCCUCAUAAUGUUUGGAGAUGAACCUUCUUAACUUGCUCCGCUUCUUUGUAAGAGAUCUCUAACUUCUCUCAUGCUUCUUUUGAGGAGGUUGCACUAGCAAUCUUUUUAAAAGAUCUUCAUCUAAUGAUUGAAAGAUGAGAUACUUUAUUUUAUUCUCUCUCUUCUUCAAAUCUUUUAAAUUCUCCUUUUGCAUCUAGUUAAAGUAGCUUCAUUUUCUGGCACAAUAAAGCAUUUCUCCACGACAUCCCACAUGUCAUGUGCACCCAAUAGAGCCUUCAUUUUAAUACUCCAGUUGUCGAACUUACUUCUUUUUAAUUGUAGAACUUGGAAUGACAUCAUGCCACCAUUUGCCAUAAUUCACAAAUUGAACGAGAAUAUGGAGAUUUUGAAUGCACGGAUGAAUCCGGAACGUCAAAAAACCUUGGGAGGAACUCGAGUCAAUUUUUAGUCAAUGGUCAACAUUUCUACUUAGUUGACUUGCUCGGUCCGGUUCAUGGUGGCUCGGUUCGGUUCGGUUCGGUGCGGGUUUAACUCAGUGAGUUGACUCAGCUUCCGGACAGAAAACUUCCGGCGACGAGUGUGGGCGCAUUUGGUCUCUGAUCGGGCUGAUGUUUGAAGCGUUGCAUUUCUCUCAUCGAGAUCUUCGAUUUGAUAUGCUAUACGACUAUAUAUAGCAUCAAACACUAGCUCUGAUACCACUUUUUUGGAGAAUCAACAAAUGAAACACUAAAAAAACACAUUAUUUUAUUUUUUCAACAACACUCCUCACCAACUAAAACUUUUAUUUUUCACUCUCUACAAUUUAGAAAUUUUGUUACUUCACGUGAUGCAUAAACCAAAGGGGAGUCGGAGUUUUUAUACAUGAAACAAACUAAUAACAACCAUUCAUUUAUUCAACUACUACACAAAUCCUCACCAUUCAUUAAAAUCUAUUACUCACAUACUUCACCAACUACACCUAUCACACCUAACACAAAUAAUUCAAACCUCACCAUUCAUACCUACUCAUGGAACCUUUCAUGAAUUGAGCUUAAAUUUAUUCAAAUAUGGAUCAAGUUUAUGAUCCAACAAAUGUGCAUAUUAAAUAAAGAUUAUAUAAAUCUCUCCACUGUUGCAUACAAAGAUCUUUGAGAGCCUCAAAAUAUGUGUCAAGAGGGGACUGAAUAAAGUUGCAUGUCGGGAUAAAAGACACCAUCCUUCUAGCCUUCUCGCCUCCAUGCUAAAUUGUUUAAGCAUAAAAUCUUCCAAAUCUAUGCAAGAUAAUGACAAUGUCGUCCCCUGCUAAAUAUCAAAAGCUCCUCAAGGUCUAAACAAUGAUCAUGGUCAUCCAUAUCUAGCAUUUCCCUCAUACACUAAAUUCUGCACAUUCAUUUUCCCUCAUACACUAACCCAAUUUCUAUAACAUUCACAGUUUCCUCUAAUAGCCACAUAUUUAUAGGAGAUGAAAGAGAGAGUUGUAUAUAAAUAAAUAAAAAUAGGAGAGAGAGUUAUUUAAAAGCCUAUGAUUUGAACCGCCCCCUAAAAUGUACAGAACAAACAGUCAAUAACACCCAUUUCAUUCAAUCAUCAAGGUACCCCAGUGUAGCAAUAAUAAAAAGAAUCCAACAACCAACACUGAUGAAUGAAAAAUAUUCACAACUCCCAAAUAAUAAUAAUAAUAAUUAUUAUUAUUAUUAUUAUUUGUAAUUAAGGGGAAGAUUUAUAUUACAAAGAUUAAAAAUAUAUAUAUUGACUGCAUUUUUUUAACUUAAUUUCAAGUGAUCAUGUAUUAAGUUCCAUUAAGAUCGAAAUUGCUUCUUCAGAAAAUUAUUGAGAAAUUAUAAAAGAAAAAAUAAUUUAAUUUGCCUUCCAAUUCUAUGUUUUCCCCCCAAAAUCAAAACGAAUCAUGUGAGGCUCAAAAUUUUAUUUGUUUUGCCGUGAAAUUUAAAAACAAAAAAAUAACUAGCUGAUACCAAACACCCCAUGACUCAUUCACAGUGUGCAGGAAGACGUUUGGCUGCUGGGAAUAAAAGAGGUGUAGAGUUGGCCCUUCACCGAUGUCCUUCAAGUUGGUCACUGCAAGAAAGUAAAUUUUUAGAAGGCAGUACUAAAAUCUCGGAACAAUUCUGCUUCCAAAACAUCUAUUAUUUAGAUCAAAAUAACCAAAAUGAUCACAAUUCCCCUAUAUUUCACUAUGGCAUCAAUAUAAGGAUUAAGAUUCUCUCAUGAUCUGAUCGUCUCCUGAAUAAAAAUAUACAUAAGUGAUUGAUAGUUAAUAAAUAAAAAAAAUAAAAAAUUAAAUCCUACCUAAAUAUUAUCAAUUAAAUACACAUAGCAUAAAAUCAUUAAAAAUGAGCUUAUUUCAAGAGAAAAUCCUUAUUACAAUGAUAAACCCCUUAUAUUAGAUUGACAACAAUUAUACAAUAAUUAAAGAAUAGUGUAUGUUUUUUGUUUCUGCUUUAACAUUGGGAUUUGCAAUUGACAACCAAAACAAAUGAGGGUCAUUAAUUUUUCAUCCUCAUUAAAUUUAUACACAUGGCGCAUUCUCGACCAAUUUCUUGUCGCAUCAUGAACCGUUACAUACAGAAUCCCAUAACAAGACAGCUUUAUAUAGAAGGGAGCCCAUAUGUUACAAUUAAUGUAACAUACACACUUAACAACAACCACACAAAUGAUGGGCCCACAUAAUUUGUGUGGUUGUUAUUGAGUGUGUAUGUUACAUUAAUUGUAACAUAGCAUUUGCCUAUAUAGAAUAGAGGGAAAGAAUCUCCACGUAUAUUAUUUAAGGGUCCCCUAACUUACAUUUAAUGUAAGUUACGGUCAGCAUAUAAAAUUUCAUUGAAUCCCUUAUAUUCUAGGUUAUUUAUAAUUUAUUCGUAAGUAUUAUAAAAUUUUUUGAAUUAUAAAAUUUUAUUUAAUCUCAUACACUCAAUUUUAUUUUAUUGAAACCCUAAAAUACGAAUUCGCCCCUUAUAAUUUUAAAUUUCUAAAAUAACCUCCAUUUAAUUAAUAACUAUUAUUUCAUUAUAAUCAUAAAUAUAAUUAUAUUAUUUAAAUAGAUUAUUAUUUUUAUUAUUAAUAACAAGAAUAAAAAGUAUUAUAAUUAAUUAAUCUAUUAACAAUAAUUAAUAAUAAUUUUUUGUUAAAUUGUUAAUAAUAAUAAUAAUAAUUAACGAUAAUGAUUAUUAAUAAUUAAUUUUUGAAUAAUAAUAACAAUAACAAUAAUUAAAAUAUAAAAUAAUAAUUGUGAUAAAAAUUAAUUAAUAAUUUUAUAGCAAUGUUACAAUUUAACUCAUUAUGAUUUUCACUCUAAGACAAAAUAAACAAAUAAAUGGUAAUACAGCUCAUUCUAAUUACGAUUUCUACAGUUCAAGUAAAUAAAUUAUUAUGAUUCUAAUUCCUUAUUUUAAUUCUAGCUAUUCUGAUUUUAAUUCAUUAUGUUUCCAACUAAAUUUGAUUACUAUUUAGUGAAUGCACUAUAAAAUUCAUAAUACUUAUGAAUAAAUUGUAAAUAAUAUAGAGUGAUCUAAUUGAAUAAUUUAUUUGCUUGAAUUGCAAGAAUCGUAAUUAAAAUGAGUUUUAUUACCAUUUAUGUAUUUGCUUUGUUUUAGAAUCAAAAUCCGAAUGAGUUAAAUUAUAACCAAUUGCUAUAAAAUCAUUCAUUAAUUUUUAUCAUAAUUAUUAUUUUAUAUUUUAAUUAUUUUUAUUGUUAUUAUUAGUCAAAAAUUAAUUAUUAAUAAUAAUUAUCGUUAAUUAUUAUUAUUAACAAUUUAACGAAAAUUUAUUAUUAAUUAUUGUUAAUAGAUUAAUUAAUUAUAACACUUUUUAUUCUUGUUAUUAAUAAUAACAACAAUAAUCUAUUUAAAAAAUAUAAUUAUAUUUAUGAUUAUAAUAGAAUAAUAGUUAUAAUUAUAAUUCAUUUGAUAAUAAUUAUGUUUUUUAAUUAAAUGGAGGUUAUUUUGGAAAUUUAAAAUUAUAGGGGGCGAAUUCGAACUCUAGGAUUUCAAUAAAAUAAAAUUGAUCAUAAAGGGCUAAAUGAAAUUUUAUAAUUCAAAAGUUUUAUAAUACUUACGCAUAAAGUAUCAAUAAUAUAGAAUAUGGGGGGUUAGAUGAAUAUUUACAUACUGGCCGUAAGUUACAAUGUAGCUUUGUCCACUCCAGUCUCUCGAGUCAUUUUGAUUCGAGAAAUGCUAAACGUAGGGAACGGCGAGAGAAUGCCGAGAGAAACGGCAGCUUGUGCUGCCGUUUCAAGUGCUCUCUCACCAUUCCCCACAUGACCCACACUUUUCUUUUCUUUUUUCACUUUGACCCCACGUAAACUCCACUCCACUUCUCCUUUUGUUCUCUCCCCACGUGAACUCCACUUCCCCUUUUGCUCAUCUUUUUCCCCCACUUUCCCUUUUGCCAAAGUUGCUUCAACAAAGCAUCACCAGUUAAGGAGUCAGCCCGAAGAAGCUCUCCCCCAGUGUGUAUCAUGAAACAAACAACACUAUCAUCAACACAAUGAACAAAAGAAAAGGUGAAAGUGACUGUUUGAAAUAUGAAGUUUGCAGAACAAAGGAGGUUUAGAGUCAAACCUGUAACUUCGACUAAUCCAUCGUGCCAAAGUAAGAGCCUCGGGUGAACCAGGAAGUGCUUUUGGCCCUGCAUCAGGGCCGAGUCGGGAGGGGGAUAUAGCCAUUGUUACCCUCUGUACAGACCCUAGUUCAUCACAAGUCAUUACUUCAGCUCAACUCGAGGCCGAGUUUCCUCUCACUCCUCUCCCCCUCUCGCUCCGUUUUUCCUCUCACUCCAUCAGGAGCUUUACCAGGUCUCCGUCUCCCCUCUCGCUCCAGCUGCAGCUUCGUCUCCAUCUCCCCUCUCGCUCCUACACCUCUCACUCGCUACUCAUCUCCCUCGCGCGCUACUACUUCAGAUCUACCCGGUGGUCGGUGCUCUCGGUGGUGCUGCUUGCUGGUCCUCGUCUCCCUCAUCUCUCUCCAUCUCCCUCUCUCCGUUUGGUUUGUAAUUAUUUUUUGAUAAUUAAUUUUUUAUAAUUGUCGGUAAUUUUAUCUGGCAAUUAUUUUGUUCAGUAAUUAUUUUGUUGGGAAUUAUUUUGGUAAUUGUAUUGUUGAUAAUUAUUUUUUGAUAAUUAUUUUAAUAAUUAAUUUAUGAUAAUUGUUGGUAAUCUUGUUUGGUAAUUAUUUGGUUGAGUGAUUAUUUUGUUGGGAAUUAUUUUGGUAAUUGUAUUGUUGAUAAUUAUUUUUUGAUAAUUACUUUUUGAUAAUUAUUUUUGGAUAAUUGUUGGUAAUUUUGUAAGUAAUUAUUUUGUUGGGAAUUAUUUUGGUAAUUGUAUUGUUGGUAAUUAUUUUUUGAUAAUUGUUGGUAAUUUUGUAAGUAAUUAUUUGGUAAAAAUUGUCGAUUAGUGAAAAUUGUUAGAUUAAGUUUGAAAAUAAUUUUGUUAGUAAUAAUUUUUUGUUUUUUGUGGCAGUUAAAGUAGUGUAAUAUUGACAAUGUUAUCUAGCACAAAUGAAAGUCGAAAUUCACGGUAAAUAUAUAAUGAAUGUGGUGGCCAAAUGGAGCUAUUAACAUCAAGUGCUAUAAAGAAAGAAAUCAAAUCGCAAAAUUUAGAAAUGUAAAGUAUGCAUAAACUUUCAAUUGUUGUCUUCAUUACGUUGUUGAUGUAGCAAAUAUUGGAAACUUUUACUUCUAGAUCCUUCGUACGUUAUCAAAUAACAAGGAUAAUAUGGUUGCAAAGCAUACGGAGUGGUUGUUGUAAUACACAAAAAAUUAAAAUAUAAUAUGAGAUUUUAGAAAUUAAAAAAUAUAAGCAUACACUAACAAAUUAAAAAAUUAAAAUAUAAUAUGAGAUUUUAGAAAUUAAAAAUAUAAGCAUACACUAACAAAUUGUGAUUUUCAAGUGAAAAUUUAUUUGGUGUCAAUUAUAAGAAAAUGACUGAUAAAUAUUAUGCACACUACCUUAAGUUGGGUAUAUAAAUACCUGCACAAAUAUAUAUAUGACUGAUAAAUAUUUAAUAAUACUUUUAAUUUUGUAUAUUUAAAAUAAUAUAUAUAUAUAUAUGACUGAUAAAUAUUUAAUAAUAUUUUUAAUUUUGUAUAUUCAAAAUAAAAGAAAAGUUUAACAUAAAAAUACAUAAACUUACCACUCAUGCUGACGCUGUUUUCUUUCUCUUGUGAUGAAUUAUUUUUGCUUGAGCAAUGAGCAAAUCAGUUCACGUGGGGGAGAGAGCAAAAGGAAAAGUGGAGUGGAGUUCACACGGGGCCAAAGUGAAAAGAGAAAAGAAAAAUGUGAGUCAUGUGGGGAAUGGUGAGAGAGUACUUGAAACAGCUGCCGUUUCUCUCAGCAUUCUCUCGCCGUUCCCUACGUUUAGCAUUUCUCGAUUUUGAUUCUUUACACGUGGAAAAAGUAAAAGGAACAUGUCAAUGGUCAAAUGUGAUGGGUAAGCAAAGCAUAUUGAUGGAUCAGGCAGCACCUACAGUUUUUAUAUAAAGAUAUCCCGGUUCAAGAUUAAUUAGUACGUAUCAGACAGUUAUUCAAAUAAACCAUCGCAUUCCCAAACAUGAAUCCCGAUCUGUACAGGGCGGCAGCUAAGGGUGAAAUUGAACCCUUCAACGAAAUUGCAAAAGAUGAACUUGAAAGCGUAGCGACUCACGAAAAGAAUACAGUCCUUCAUGUCAACAUUGCAUCCCAGCAAGAAGGAGAAAGGGUAUCAACGGAGUUCGUGGAGGGGAUACUUGAAAUGUGUCCAUCAUUGCUGCUACAAGUUAAUGACAAAGGUGAUACUCCACUCCAUGUUGCGGCCAAAUGCAGGCAUCCUGCCGUCGUGGAAGUUCUGAUUAAAUUCGCGAAGAAACAGUCUAGAGAGCUAGAAAGCGGUGUUGAUUGGGUAAGGUGGAUGCUAUUGAUGGAAAAUGAGGAAAAAAACACAGCGUUGCACGAGGCAGUGCAAAGUGGUAGCCUUGAUAUAGUGAAAAUAUUAGCGAAAGAAGGGCCUGAUUUUACGUAUUUUGCUUAUGGUUGUUAAGUUUGAGGAUGAAGUUGAACUUGAAUCAGCUCAUGUGGGAGUGCCAGUUGGAGUUUACUUGAUUACCAAGGGAGAUGCUCACACAAGCAAGGUGAUGCAAUCCACACGUGGAGAGGAAGAAUAUUCCAGUUGGCAGAACAGUUAUACAGAGAUUCCACAGCUGUUAGAUGUGUAGCUAAUUAGUUAUAGAUUAGUGGCUGUGAUUAAAACAAAGCACACACACUUUACUUGCUUUCGUAAAUUGUAAAUCUGAGUUGCUGAGCUGGAUGGGAAAACUGAUCAGCUACAUAUACCAGCAACAUUGUACAUUGCCUUUUUAAUAAAAAAUAUUGUUACAAAUUCAUUACUCAAAAUUCUCACAUGGUAUCAGAGCUUUGAGAAGCAACAAUGGCGAGUAAUGAAAAUCAAACAAACAGUCAUGGAGCUUCGAGCUCAACUGUAAACACUAAUCACAUUUCAAAUGUUAGCACCUCUGUUCUUAGCUCACUUGUCUUCAACACGCCAAUAAAGCUUACUAAUAACAACUACCUGCUAUGGCGAUCUCAAGUGAUAGCUACAAUCAAUGCAAAUGAUCUGGAAGAUUUGAUUGAUAACUCAAAGAGUCCACCUAAUCGAGUUAUGAUCAACAUUGACAAUGAUCAAACUGUAAUCACAACUCCAAAUCCGCAAUUCCAGAUCUGGAGGAGGAAUGAUCAGCAGCUGAUGAGCUGGUUACUCUCAACUUUAAGUGAAGAGGUUCUUAGUGCUGUAGUUGGAGCAAGAUCUUCUUUGGAUGUGUGGCAAAUUCUUGCAACUCAGUUCGGAGCAAGAUCCAGAGCCAGAGUUCUGCAGCUGAGAACUCAAAUUCAGACUACCAGAAAAGGAUCAACUAAUAUUCAUGAGUACUACACGAAGAUGAAAACCACUCUUGAUGCACUGAGAGCUGCUGGAAAUAAUAUGAGCAAUGAAGAUUUUGUGCUGUGCUUACUUGCUGGCCUUGGAUCUGAUUACGAUUCAAUUGUCACCACAAUCAAUGCACAACAUGAAGGCACAUCUCCUUCUGAUGUGUAUGGAAUGCUGCUGAGUCAUGAACAUAGAAUUGAAUAUCAACACUCUGUCAGUCACAUGGAUUAUCAAGCUAAUUUGGCUUAUCACAGAGGAAAUCAAAGGAGGAAUUGGCAGCCAAACAACAAUUAUGGUGGAAGACCAGCUGGAAGCUUAAAUGGAAAACAACCUGGUGGAAACAAUUUCAAUCAGAAUAUGAAUCCAUCAGACAAGUUCAAAGGCAAAAAUCCUACUGAUGAGGAAGAACCUAAGGGGCCAUGCCAGAUUUGUUUCAGAAAAAAUCACUCUGCUACUCACUGCUGGUACAGGUUUAAGAAGAAUUAUGUGCCCAAUCAAACACCUAACAGGAGGAGUGCAUACAUAGCUGAGAAUGGAGAUCAUAGGGAUGCUGCUUGGUAUCUUGACAGUGGUGCAACAAACCACAUCUCAAAUGACUUCAACAAUCUCAACAUCAGUUCUGAAUACAAAGGAAGUGAUCAGCUGGCUGUAGGUAAUGGAGCUAAACUCAAUAUAGUUUCUGUUGGUCACUCACUGCUCAGCACACUUGAUUCAUACACAUUAUCACAUAUCAAACUUAACCACAUUCUUUAUGUUCCAGAAAUAACCAAAAACUUGAUUAGCAUUUCAAAACUAUUGCAUGAUAAUAAUGUCUCUAUUGAAUUCCAUAAAACUUGUUGUGUUGUUAAGGACAAGAGAAGGGGGAGUGUUCUUUUGAAAGGAAUAGCUAAAGAUGGAUUGUACAAGCUGCUGAGUUUGCCUCAUGAUUCCAGUCAAUUCAAGUCGAUUCUGUUGUCUUCAAUUACUACUCCUAGUCUACUUACAGUAAAUAAAACACCUGGUCCUGAGUCUAUGUUGUCUGUCAGUUGUAAUAACAAUUAUACAAGCAACAAAGUGCUUGAUCUUUGGCACAUGAGAUUAGGUCAUCCUAAUGUCAAUGCUCUUGUGAAAACUUUAUCUGCUUGUAAUAUCUCUUUUGGAAAUAAAACAUCUGGUUUAUCUUUCUAUAAAGCUUGCCAGUACUGCAAUGCCGAAGGUAAUUAAGCUGUUCAUAUGUGCAGUUUAAUAGCUUUUCCAGACUUAAUAAAGUCUAGGAUCCCGGACCCGAUCAUUACUAGUAUGAUCAUGUAAGAGAUCCUGCACUUUAAUAUAAGGAAGCCAAUCAAAUAAAAUUACUUAAAAAUCACUCAAUAAUCACUCAAUCAUAUCGCUCACCCUUGUGAUAUAGAUAUGAUCAAGAUAAAAAUAUUACCAAUUCUAACUAUUUAAAUGCAUCCAGCUAGUGAUCAACUAUGCAUCCUCUGUGACAAUAUGCUUAAAAAUCUAGUUGUUUUACAAUUUGAGGUUACCGUGUAUAUAUAUAUUUUUAAUUUUAUUAAUUAAAUAUCUAUGCGCAUUAUAUAAAACCCGAAUUCCAAAAUUUUAAGUCUUGAUAAGACUGCACACUAACGAGUGUAGCUAAGGCCUUGAUCUCAAAUAUAUAUGUAUUCUUUUUUCAGAUGUGAUAAAACUAUUACUUGAGAAAAAGAAGAUUUUGACCAGAGAAAGGGACCUGCACCGUUGGACCUCACUCCAUCACGCUGCAUAUUUAGGUCACUCUAACAUCACAUCAAUGAUGUUAAAAUCUGAAGAUGACAAAAUUGUUGCGUUAUAUAAAUAAGAUGAUCGCGGGAUGACAGCUCUUCAUUUAGCAGCCAGCCAAGGCCAUGAAAGGGUAGUGAGAAGAAUUCUUCGCCAUUGUCCCGAAUCUUAUUCAAUAGUUGAUAACAGAGGAUGGAAUGCUCUUCACUUUGCUAUGGUUAGUUUAAGGGGUGGAGUAUUGAAAAGUCUUCUUGAAAAUCCUUAUGUUAUAUCUCUUAUACAUGGUAGGGAUAAGAACGGAAACACCCCUCUUCAUUUGCUUGCUGCUGCCUGUAGAGAUUCAUCCUAUUUCAUUGUCCCUGAUUCUGAUAUGUAUGAGGCUGUUAACAAGCAAAAUACUAGUGUUGAACACAUAGUACGUUAUGGAUAUCCUGAGCUCGAGGUAAUUCCCUCUUUACUCAUCAUCAAUGUUAUCAUUUUAUGAAUUCAGAUCCUUAAUUUACUCAUUUUUACUAUUUGCUUGCUUUUAAUCUGAACUGUACGUCCUGUCUUUUUUUUCCCCAGGUAUUAAUUAAAUUAAAAAAAUUAAACAAAUAAAUAGUUUGCAUAGCCAUCCAAAUUAAAUCAUAUAUAGCCAUCAAAUUAUAUAUGGAUCUCACCAUGCUUGAGCUUGCUUGAAUCCUGAGUGAAUAAUGUUAAUGGAAUUAAUGCUUAGGUAUAAUUAAUUAUCUUAUCAGCAAUCAAUAUGCAGAUCAGUAUAGAAUACACUUUCUGUGUCGCCCAUUGCUCUAAAUCAAUUGACCUUUAUGCACAUUUAUACCUCGGCAAAAUAUUCUCAGUUUAGAUUUCUUAACAUAUUCUAAUAGAGGUAAUGAAAAAGUUGUUGCUUAAUAAAAAAUGAAACAAGAGGUGGUGUAGAGAUAAUUUUAUACCUUAUUAAUUUUUUUUUCGUGUAAUUAAUAUUCAAAUUAUGUUAAACUACAGAAAGAAAUCGAAGAAUUGUCCAAAGAUGUUGGGACAGAAGGACAAUAUUCAAGAGGUCUUCUAUUCGUAAGACCACGAGAUCCUGAUGAUGUACUGAAAAUGGAAGAUAGAAGUGACUACCGGAAGGUUAGAGAGUCACAUUUGGUAGUGGCUGCACUCAUAGCAACAGUAGCCUUCGCAGCAGCUUUCACCAUCCCUGGUGGUUAUAAAAGCGAUAACGGCACUGCAAUCCUGAGGGGAAACACAGCUUUUCAAGCAUUUAUAACAUCAGAUACCAUAGCCAUGGUCCUUUCUCUUUCUGCCGUCUUUAUUCACUUCGUUUUGUCUUUCGAGGUAGGCGGGAAAGCCGAGAUUGAUUUGUUAGUUACGGCCUUUAUUUCCACCAUGACUUCCAUGGGGGCAAUGGUCAUUGCAUUCGUCACGGGCACAUAUGCAAUGUUAGCAACUUCUUUAGGGCUUGCCAUUAUCACUUGCUUCAUUGGCUUGACCUUUUUCCUCCUUGCUUUAUGCGUCAUGAGAAGGGCUUUUUAUAUUAUUGAAUGAAUUAUAAUUUAAUUAUAUAAGACACGGGGCCUCCUUUAAAUUUUCUUGUUUAGUAACUUCUUUACUCCAGAAAACAAAUUUGUUUAUAUAUGCAACAUAGGUGGAGCCUGAUACAAAGAUGGAUUGAUCUCACAUCAAUCUAAUUUUCACUUUCCUGUUCCCAAUAAUAUGUUAUCCGUUUGUUUGCAUUAUAAUUUCCUUGAUCAUGUUAGAAAAUCACCAAUUCCACCUUAUUUUAUGUCUUUUUAGAGAUCAAGUCUCUUUAAAAAUUUGUAGGAUUCUUUUUUUCUUUGUUUUAGAGUAUACUCUUUAGUCUUUACAAGUACAGGCACAGCAAAGGACAUUGUUCAUUUAAGGGAGAAAGAAACUGGACCAUCGAUUGAGUAAUAAUGACGCAAAAUCAUUGAAAAAGAAAGAAAAGACGAACCGGUGUCUGUGAUUCUUGAUGUCUAAUUUCCAGGUGUAAUUGGAUAAGUUGGCUUCAAGAUUCUUCACCAACAAUAAAGAACGGUAAAAAAAAAAAAAAAAAAAGCGAUGAAGAAAAGUUGUAGAAAAUAGUAAUUACAGUCUUAAUCUUUCUUAUAAGACAACUAAUCAGUGGGGUUCAAACCACUCGGCCUUGGCCAAGUGGCCAGAACCUUUCUCACUUUUACUGGGUGUUUUUGAUUAAAAAACAGUAAUGUAAUGAAAGUAAAUUAUAAUAUAAAUUAAGAAAAACUCUAUAUACAUUAUUUAAUUAAUAUCAAACACUUACACUUAUGAGAAGAUCUUAAUACAUAAAUAGUAUAUAAAUAAAACAAAAAUAAAGUAUACAUCAUUUAAUUGUCGUAUGGUCAAAGUGCAAUAUUUUUUUUUUAGGUUCAUUUUUUAAAAGAUAGAAAGUCAAGAUACAACUUAUUGUUUAACUGAGUAAUAUUCAGUUGUGUAUUAAUAUUUUUUUCAAAGAUAAAAUGAAAAGAGACUCACUUUUGGUGGUAGCAGCAACUCAUAGCAACAAUAACCCAUGCUGCGGCAUUCACCUUACCCGGCGGUACUGCAAUUCUCACUAAAAAUGCAGCUUUUCAAUCAUUUUUGGUAUCAGAUGCCAUAGCCAUGGCCGUCUCACUUUCUACUGUCUUUGUCCAUUUCAUUCUGUCAGUUAAGUUAUUUCAAAAAUACGUCUUUUUAUUGGUUUUUGCUCUUUCCUUCACUUUGGUUGCGAUGGCAGCAAUGGCGGCAGCAUUUGUUACAGGCACAUACACAAUGUUGACACCUUCUUUAGGGCUUGCUAUUGUCACUUACAUCAUUGGCUUGACCUUCUUCCUCUUGGUGAUUUUCAUGUUUUACUAGGUUCUAUCAAGAGUGAGGGAAUUUGAAGAUUUGCUUUGGUUACAACAAAAAGUUUUAAUAUUGUACACCUCAUCUUCUAAUACUAUGCUUUUAUAUUGAAGUUGUCCAUUAGUUUCAAACUAAUAGUGAAUUUUGUUAAUGAUGAAGAUUAAAGUACAUAAAUGCCAUUUUUUUUUCACCUAUUAACCAUUAAACAAUCAGUCAUGGAGACUUGUAAUUAGUUCUUGAAGAGUGUGUUUAUUUAAAGUGAAAACAAGAGUCUUGUCUCUCUGGCAAGUUUUAAUAUUGUACACCACUACACCUCAUCAUAAUAAAUAGCGACUAAGUCCAGCUAUUGUUUUAAAUAUGCAAAACAUAUAGAGAUGAUGAUCUCAUCUAUUUAUUAUGCGCAAUUAGUCGCUGCAUAGGCAUUCCAAUGGGUAAAGCUUCUUCUUAACCUACUUAAGUAGUGAUCAAAAUAUAAUGCAUACAAUCGUGUUGUGGCGAUCAGUUUUGCCGACGUGAUUAGAUUGAAAAUGAUCAAUUGAAGAAAGUAAGUUAAACAAGUUUGAUAUUUCAAAUAGAAAUGAAGAGUUCUUUUGAAUACUUUUUGACCAUAAAUUGUACAAUUUCUAACACAUUCUAAAUUCAGAAUAUCUACUAACUGCAUAAAGAAUAGAUCUGCAGUCAGAUAUAAGUUGAAAAAUCCAUGUGUACUUGAGAUUUUAGAAUAUAUCAGAACUAAUAUAUCCAAUUAAUAUAUAUUAUGCAUAUAUUUAUUUUAAAAAAUUAUCAUAUAAUUAAUAAUUAUAUUUAAUUGAACUACACAUAUUAUAUAUAUAUAUUAAUUGAAUCUACUCUAGAAUUAAUUCUUUUUGUGUACAUGACAAAUUGCUGGCUUAUUUUUCAGCAAGGUUAGAGAAUCAAGGGAAACUAAUAUUUUCACAAGCCAGAAAAGUUUCAAAAAUUAAUUAAACUUGAGAAGAUCAACAUGAAAAGGAAAAGAAUAGUGAUAUUUGCUUAAAUAGUAGAAUAAAAAAAUAACGCAUAAUAUCAGCGACAAAAAAAAUUCACUGAAAGAAAAAAAAAUUAUUUCACUCAUGCACAAUAAAAAAAAAUAAUGUGUUGUCCUAUUUUUUGAGUUUAGUGUUGUUAUGUUAUAUAGUACUCUUUUAUGUACAAACAUAAUAUUAUUCAUAAUAAUAUGUGCUAUGUAUUUUUUACUCUAGAUCGUUUCAUAGGAAUGCCUGAGGUUCUAAAAUUAUAUAUAAACCAGGAAAUUUGACAUUUAUAAACCAAGGAAUUUGACUUAAUUAAGAGCUACUUUACUAACUUCUCUAAGAACUAUAAGAAAAUUUACAUACACAAUCUCACAAAAUCUUUAUGAUUUCCAAAAAUUAAACAUCAAUUAUAGAUAGUGUUCAAAUUUAAACAAAUCUUUACCGUUGGUGUAAAAAUUGCAACUGGAAAGCUAAAUUCACACGUUUCUUACUUUAAUCUAUCUUUUCACAAACAACACAACUGAAAACUUCAAUUCCUCUUCUGUGAAUGACCACCGCCGGCCGCUUUUCCACCUGCCACUUCCUGCGUUCAACAAUGGCUGCCUAACUAAUUAAUACAGCACCGAUAAGGCUAAAUCUUCCUUGCACCAAAUUUGAGUUUUAAAAUAAAAUCAAAAUCGCUAUGUAAUCUUCUGGAUUAAUCAAAUCAAGAUACGGAUAAUCAUACUUUUAAUUAAUGCAACUUAUCAUUAUAAAAUUUCAAAAAAAAAAAGCCUAUCAUAUUAUGGGGGAUCAGAUACCAAAAUAAAUUUGUCAACUUAUUUUGCUCGUUUGGGAUCCUUUUAUUUAGUUGAAAAGAAAAAGGAAAAUGAUAAAAGGGAAAAAAGUAUGAUAAAUUUAUGAUAAAAAUAUGUCCUUUGUGAAUGUUUAAAAUUUUCUCUAAUAAGUUUACAUUUUUCUUUUUUCUAAAAAUUCUCAAAAUUAAUUAAAUGAUAAAAGUUUUUAUUAUUAUAUUGUCACGCUUUUAUUUAUUUAGCAUUGCUUAAAAAAAUUGAUUGACGCUAUCGGCAAUAAUAUAAAAUAAUAUUGGAUAGCUAGACCUGGCUGUUGACGCGAAAGACAAAAAAAAGAAAAACAAUUGAUAAAGAAAGAACAAGCGCAUAGAAAAUAAUAAUUGCGGUCUUAUAUAAGACACUAGUGGGGUUCAGAAAAACCUUCUCCACCCAUUUUUUCUUGGCUUCACAUUUGUUUUCUCUUGCAUUCAAUUCUAUGUUGAAAUUUGAUUAAAAAAACGAGGAAAAAAAAGAAAGGUGGCUUCCACCAAAUUUGUUGAUGAAAUUUGAUGGCUACGCCACCAAUUUUGAUCAAGAUUGGUGGGUUUGAUUUUAGGCAAAAUCUUGCCUAUAAAAGGAAGCUCUCAUUUGAGAGCUUGGCAUUCAAAAUUCUAGAGAAGCAAUCCCAAAAUUUGAGAAGAAUAUGUAAGAGAAGCAUUGAGAGCUUCAAUAUGGGAGAGAAAAAUUCUUAAGCAUGCAGUUAUAUUGAAGGAGUAUUUGGUUUCUCAAUAUGGGUAUUACGGGUUUGUUUUGUUAAGGAAUAUUUCUCGAAAUUAUGUAUUUGGGGCUUAGGUGAGAGAAAAUUAUUUGUGAGAGUGUGAUUGUAAUAAUUUUUCAUAUAGUGAAUAUUUUUUCUCUGGUUAUCUCUUAACAACGGCCGUGGUUUUUCUCCGAAUUUGAAUUUUUCCACAUAAAUUUUGUGUUGUGUGAUUGUUGUAUUCUCUAUUUAAAUUUUUUGUUAAUUUAUUAUUUGACAAAUUGCUUAGAGUGAUAUUGGGAGGAAGCUCAAUUUCCUAACAUUCUAUAGUAAUGGGUUACUAACACUGAUCAUUCGUUAGAAAAAUUUAAAAAAAAAAACUGUAUACAUUAUUUAAUUGUCAACCGGUCAAAGUGCAACUUGUCAUUAGCUGAGUUAUAUACAAUGAACCGCCUAUGAGAUUAGGAGUCUUUAAAGAUAUAAUCAAAAGUGUGAUAGUUACAUUAUGUGGCCAAGUGCAUGGGGAAAAGUCCACCGUAGUGAAGUUCUGACGUGAAGAACCUGUGGUCUAUGGAUUGUCGUAGACUUAUAGUGAGAGGAAAAAUACUUGAGCUACUUUUUUUUAUUUCAGCGGACUAUUUUUUCAUCACUGCGCUCUAGUUUCAUCUAAGUUCCCUUAACAUUUAAAUACUCUCAAGUCCCCAAUCUAGCAAGCCAAUUAGCCUGUUACUUCCUCUGCUCCAAACGUAUAUACAGUACACAGUCUGUACUCAAACUCAAAUAUCAUUGCAUUCACAAAUUAAGAUGGAUCCUGAUCUGUACAAGGCUGCAGCUAAGGGUGAAAUUGAUCCCUUCAACAAAAUUGCAAAAGACCAUCUUGGAAGCAUACUGACACACAACAAGAACACAGUCCUUCAUGUCAACAUUGCGUCCCAGACCCACAAACAAAAUAGAGAAGGAGAAAUUGAAUUGAUGAAGAGUCACAACAGGAAUCAAGUCCAUCAUGUCCAUCAUGUCACAAACUUAUUCCAGAUCCAAAUACACAAUAGAGAAGGAGAAAGCGUAUCAACCAAGUUCGUGGAACAGAUACUUGAAAUGUGUCCAUCAUUGCUACUACAGGUCAAUGCCAAAGGUGAUGCUCCACUUCACGUUGCGGCCAAAUGCGGCCAUCGUUCUGUUGUGAAAGCUCUGAUUGAAUUCGCGAAAGGACUGCCUCAAGAUCUAGAAAGCGGUGUGGAAAGCACAGCAAGGCAGAUGCUAGGGAUGACAAAUGAUGAAAAAAACACAGCAUUGCACGAGGCAGUGCAACAUGGUAGCUUGGAUGUUGUGAAAAUGUUAAUCAAAGCAGACCCCCAUGUUCCGUAUUCUGCUAAUUGUAGAGGCGAAACUCCACUUUACAUGGCAGCCGCGAGAGGGAUUUAUUUUUAUGAAAUGGUAGCUGAAAUAUCAGAAAACUGUCCUUCAGCGGCGCAUGAAGGCCCCAAUGGGAAGACUGCCCUCCAUGCAGCAGCUAUCAGCUAUGAACCAGGUACCGCUUUUUGUAUAUAUCUACUUCAAAUUUUAAGAUGCCGACAUGUACAGUAGCUAUUAAUUAAUUCUAGCUAUUUGAAUGCAACAUAGUGUGGCUAGGUUACGAUCCCGUAGUAAGUAAAUUGCUUGAAAAAAGGAAGAGUUUGACCAGAGAAAGAGACCAACACGGAUGGACUCCACUCCAUUACGCUGCGUAUUCUGGUAAUUUUGGUGGCACACAUCUAUUGUUAGAAUCUGAUAGAUCUGCUGCGUUGAUUGCUAACAAAGAUCGGAAGAUGACAGCGCUUCAUUUAGCAGCUGGUCAAGGGAAUGAAUCGAUAAUGGAUGCUAUCAUUGACCAUUGUCCGGAAUGUUGCGAACUGGUUGAUGACAGAGGAUGGAAUGUUCUUCAUUUUGCUAUGGUUAGUUUUAGUGCUAGAAAAUUAAAAGAUCUGUUGGACAAGUAUCCAUUUGUCUGGAACCUUAUAAAUGAGAAGGACAUCAAGGGAAACACUCCUCUCCACGUGCUCGCCGCUCUCUGUCCACAAUCAUACUACGUCGUCUCUUAUGUUGUCCCUUGGAAUACUGGUAGAGGUUAUUAUGAAGCUGUCAACAAGCAAAAUAUUAGUGUUCAUCACAUAGUACGUCAUGGAUUUCCUGACCUCGAGGUAAUUAAUUACCUUUUUACUCAUCAAUUUUAUAUAGGGUUAUAUAUAUAAAUGUGAGUAAUGAAUUUGGAUUUUGAUUUGUGCUAAUUUUUUAUACAUCUUUUAAUUUUCAAAACAUAUAUUUAUAAUAGUUAUUUAUUAGAAUUUAGUUCUGAAGAGUUUCUUAUACUACGUAUAACAUUAUUAGAACUUAGUUGCGUCUAUUUUCUCGUACUAUGUAUUAUGCAUACUAAAGAUUUAUUUAAUUUAGCAAAUAUAUAUGAUUUCCAGCAAGAGAUCGGAGAGUUGACCGAAGCUGAUGGGAGUGGACAAUAUCCAGAAGGUGUCGUCAAAAUGAAAAAAGACAAGAUCGAAAAGUAUUCAUUUUGGAAAUUUGUAGAUGAAAAUGUCAUUGGAAUGACAGAAGCAUCAGAGUCACAUUUGGUAGUGGCAGCACUCAUAGCAACAGUAACCUUUGCCGCAGCAUUCACCUUACCCGGUGGCUACAAGACUGAUAAUGAAGACGGCCGAAACAGGGGCACUGCAAUUCUCACUAAAAAUGCAGCAUUUCAAGCAUUCGUCGUAUCAGACGCCAUAGCCAUGGUCCUCUCACUUUCUGCUGUCUUUGUCCAUUUCAUUCUGUCACUUAAGUUAUUUCGAAAGUUUAUCUGUUUAUUCGUUUUUGCUCUUUUGCUCACCUUGGUUGCCAUGCUAGCAAUGGUGGUAGCAUUUAUUACAGGCACAUACGCGGUGCUGUCACCUUCUUUAGGGCUUGCCAUUGUCACUUGUUUCAUUGGCUUGACCUUCUUCCUCUUGGUGAUUUUCAUGUUUUACCAGGCUCUAAAAAAUGUGGAUGAUGAAGAUUAGACACAUGGUUGCAGUAAAAGUACUACUAUAUAUAUAUACUUCAUCUUCUUAUAAUACUACGCUUAGUUUAUACAUCCUGCUAUUAUGAUCUGGAGUUGUAAGUUGUGACUUUGAAAUUUAUUACCGUAUCGAUCUUGUGAGUUUGGUCUGUUAUGUACUAGCUAGUUUCCUAAUUGAUAUUUGGAUAUUUCCAAUUGUGAUUUGGAUAACCAUCAAUUAUAGAACUUCUAGCACAUUCUAAUUUGGAAAUGUCUACUUACUGUAUAAAGAAUGGAGCUGUUAAAUUGAUGGUUUAAAAGUGAUACAAACUUUUUUUUUUCAAUUAUAUGGGCUAUGAUAGUUUUAUAUAAUUAAUUUAUUUAUAUUACAUUAGCUUGUAUAUAAAUAAAAUAGUUGUGGCUCUAUCAUCAAAUAAAAAUUACAGUUGCAAAAAUAUGAACUAUUGUAUUUAAUUAAUGUUUCACAAAAUUAAAAGUUUAAUUGUUUAGAAUUCAAUUUGCCAUUAAUCAAAUUGUUUUUUCUUUCUUUUUGUUGUUACAACCGUGUGGCUGGAAAAAAAUCGUACUUGGAUCUUUUGGCUUCUGUUUCAGGUUCGGACUCGGAUUCCGGAUUUCGGAGUCGGGAGGAGAGGUUGGGUAAAAAUUCUCCCGGUGCCAAACAGAGGAGUUGAAGUCAAGACUGAAAUUGAUGACAAGUGAAGUUUGCUUGGAAAGCUCUUGGGAAAAGUGGAGUUGCUUGAAAAGCUGUUGGGUUCUAUUGUAUUCUAGUUUCGAGAAUGUCUACUAACUGCAUCACUAAUAGAGCUGCAGCGAGACAUAAGUCGAGAAAGCUCAUGCAUACAUGCCAAAUUGCUGGGGAAUGUUGUAAUGGCAAUUCUCAUUUCUCAGCAGGGUUAGAGGAUCAAGGGAACAGAGGGCCGCCUCCGUGUUAAGACCUGUGCUUGCUGUGAUUUAUUAUCGUGGGAUCACACUUCACACACAACUUCAUACAAGUAAGAUAUAUGUUCUCGACUUGCCCACACUUCAUGAAGACCUACUUCAUUCAGCACCUUGUGUGCAAUCCCCUCCAAGAUCUCCCUCCCGAAAAUUUUGAAGGUGAUGCCACUAGAGCCAACAGGAAAGAGCACUUCCUCUGUACAAUCCCCUGUUGUUUCUUUAAGCAACAGAGCACAUAGACAUAGGGAAACAAGUUGGUGGUCGUGGUGAGUGGGUCACUAUAUAUAACCUAACAUUUAGGUAGUGGAAUUCAAAUGGGCAAUCAUAAUUUAGACUGGUACCAUGAUAAAGUGGCAAUUUGUAGAGAUGGCAGGUUCGCACUUAUUUGGAUGGCUACUACAUAGCUUGAAGACUAUAAAGAAAACAAUCUAAUUCAUGCAAAUAUAUCCACAUAAAAAGUAAAGAUUAUAUAAAUCUCUUCGACUGGAAUGUUCGGUGAAAGAAAGCUCUAAAGCAAUAAAACAAUCCCCUGCAAGGUAGCCUUUACCGUUGCAUACAAAGAUCUUCGAGAGCCUCAAAAAAUGUGUCAAGGGGCGAUUUAAUAAAGUUGCUGGUCGGGAUAAAAGACACUGCUUCUCACCCCAUGCUAAAUUGAUUAAGCAUAAGAUUUCCACAUCUAUGCAAAAUAAUAACCAUGUCAUCCCACCGCUCAACGUCAAAAGCUCCUCAAGGUUCUAAACAUGGAUCAUGGUCAUCCGUAUGUAGCAUUUCCCUCAUAUACUAAAUUCUGUACAUCCAUUUUGCCACAGGAAAACCCAAUUUCUAUAACCAUCACGGUUUGCUCUAAAAGCCGCGAAUUUAUAGCUGUUGAAACUUGAAAGAGGGAAGUUCAUGCGUACAUGCCAAAUUGCUGGGGAAUAUUGCAAUGGCCAUUCUUAUUUCCCUCUCAGCAUGGUUAGAGAAUCGAAGGAGCAGAGGUUCUAAAAUUAUAUAUAAACCAAGAAAUUUGACUUAGAACUACUUUUCUAUUUUCUCGAAGGACUAUAACAAAAAUUAAAUACCAAAACCCAGAAGUCUUCUUGAUUUCCGAGAAAUUCAACAUCAAUAUAGCUAGUGUUAAAACAAAUCUUACCAUUGGCGUAAAAUUCCAGCUUGAACGCUUAAUUUACACAUUUCCUACUCUAAUAUCUCUUAAUACAAACAACACAACUCAAAAUUUCAAUUCCUCUUCUAUGAUUAAAACUAGAUAUGAAAACAUGAUGAUUUCUAAGUUUAAAACAUUCAAAAAUCAAAUACCUCUUUUCUUUCCCUUUUCUUUUAAGUGGGUUUAAAAAUUAGUACUAUGGCAAUGUGGGCUUAUUAAGUUAUUGGAUCAACUAAUGAGAUACAGUCAUAAUUACUUAAACAGAAAACGGGCAACGCCCUUGGUUAUUACGUACAGAAGGUAACCAAAAUUCUUCUCUGCCACUUCCUGCCUUCAACAAUGGCUUCUCAAUGAUCUUUUGUUAUAAGUGCUGGCACAAAUAAAGGAUGUUGAUAAUUCAGCGAAAAAAAAAAAAUAAAUAAAUAAAAAGACGGUUGGCUGAUUUGAUGGUAUCGGUAAUAAAAUAGCGCUGGAUGGCCAGACUUGGCCGUUGACGCCAAAUACGGGAAAAAGAGAAAAAUGAUCGAAGAAGAAAGAACAGGCAAAAUAAUUCCAGAUUUAGUCGAAUUAGCUGGCGUCCAGAUUCUUCACCAACCAUGGAGAAAAGUCAUAGAAACUAAUUGUAAGUCUAUCAGUGGGGUCCAAACAGUAGAACAAUACUACUACUCCACGCACUUUUUCUUGCCUUCAUAUUUGUUUGUCUUCUUUUAGACUUGACCAUUUCGUGUUUAGGUUUUUCAAUAUAUAUAUAUAUUUUUUAUACUUAUCAUAUUGUUUAUAUUUAUACUAAUGCACGUGUUUCUAUUCAUUUAUUAAGAUAUGCUUUAAAAAUUAUAAAUACUAAGGUUACUAUCGUUUGACUAUUUCAUAAAUUAUAAAAUAUUAAAUAAAUAUUGUAAUAUGUUAUUUUGUUAUAUUAUAUAUUAUUUUAUUAUUAAACUUUAUAAAACCUUCUAUUUUAUUAUAUUUUUAUUAACAAAGUUAGUCCUCUAUUGUUACUAGUUGAAGCAUGGCAGCUAGCGAAGCUAAUUCUAUGAGUGGGUAAAAAUGAGUUCACAUAGGAGACCAAGAUAAAUUUGUAUAAGGUACUUAAUCGUUGAUUAUUGAAUAAAUUUCGCCAAGAAGUUUUAUUUGUGGAGAAUAAUUUGUGUGGGGCUGUCGCACUACUUUAUUGAUGAAGCGGUCAUAGCGAAAGCGGAAAUUGAUAGGGUAGGAAAAUCAUAUAUCGUUCUAGUACUGGACCAAGCUAACGCAAUCAGAUUAUGCUCUAAUUGAAGCAUGAUUAGAUCUUGUUAUAAUCCAAAAAACUUAAUGAGAUUUUUAAUAACGCAUAAAGCAAGAAUAGAUGAUGCUCUAAUUUAAACGACUCUAUAAGAGAGAUUUUGAUAGAUAAUCCCAAAGAAAAUUACAAAAGGAGAAUUUUAUUGAAUAAUUGAAUCUGAGUUAUGAAAACAAUAACAAGAUAGAGUAAACUCACUUCCAUAAGUUAACUUAAAAAUGGAAAGUAAAUCACAAUUAUAAUAUAAAUAAAAGAUGAAAAACAUAUCAUAAUAGACUCCAAUUAAAAUAGAAAGUCUUAAACUAAUAAAAGUUCUAGAAUCCUAAAAUACCUAAAAUAACAUCAUAUAUCAUUCUCCCCCUCUUAAAAGAAACUCAUUCUCGAGUUUGAAUACAGUCUGGAGGAUGAUACUUGUAGUAUAAGACUAAAUCAUCUUGUAAUUCAAACUUAUUGUCUUUCUCAUCAAUUUUUCUCGAAACUUUAAAGAAGUCAUAUUUCAUCAAUUUCCUUUGCUUGUACAAUCUUCGUGGUGAUGAAGACUUCCAAGAACAAACAAUGAUCAAAUAAAUCUUUCCCUUCCCUAAUCGUCGCUCAAUGCGUUCCCCAACAAGUUUAACAUUUUCAAUCAAAUCUUCUUCAAGCACAAUCUCCUUAUCUUCAAUGUAAAUAGGUAGAAACAUUUCGAUCAUUUUAGCUUCUUCAACUUGAUUUUGCUGCACAUCCUCAAUCGUACUGUUAGGCUCAAUGCGCAAAUCAAUGGUAGGUUGUUCUUCUUCAUCAAAAAUCCCAAAGAGAUAAAAAAUCUCAUCAUCUUCAACACUUAUCUUGUCCUCCAAGGAAAUAUCAUUGUCAUAUUGAAAUCUUAAAUCAAUAAUAAAUUGUACUUUUUUCUUCUGCAACAUUAGACACAUUUUCGACAUGUGGAGAAGUAUAAACUUCUUUCAUCUGUAUAUUUUUCACUUUAAGCUGCUAGCUUGCAAUAGGAUUAGGGAUCUCAAAUUGGUGUCGAUGAUGAAGUUUUCUUAAUUGCUUUAAUGCUUGGCUUUUUUCUCUUCUGAUUUGCAAUACAAUUAGCAAUUCAAUUAGUUUCGCUACAAGAAUUGCAUGCUGCAAGGUGUAUAUAGUGUAUGCAGGCAUCCUUUCUUGAAUAUGUAAAUCAAACUCUUUCACAAAUCUUCUAACUGUACUCUCUUCAGGCUCAUAAUAAUAAUAAUUGCAUUCAUAAAGUUGUUCAAACUCAUAAGCACAAGCAGAAACGGAUCUCGUAUCUUGUUGUACCAAACAAUAAUCAAGAAAGAUAAACUCAUAUCACAAAAUACACUUCAUACGGUUCUAUGAUCGAAUUUUGCAUUUGCCUAGAUUAAGUCGAGAAAUUUGCAACUUAUCCCAUCAUUCCGAAACACUUGUGCUUAAUGUACAAACAACAAAUCCUACUUGCUCUUCUUUAGGAGAGCGCCAAAAUGAAAAUUAGUGCUCAAUUUUGUCCAACCAAUCAAGAAAUUUGUUUGAACGAGUGCAUACAAAUAAUUCCGGCACAUUAUAAAUAGGAGGGUAAAAAUGGUAGUUUGCCAAUUAUUGCCAAGUUUGCACACAAUGGCAAAACUAUAAAUAAUGGUGAACUCUCGGGUUUGGUGUGGUCGUUGGCUAGUGGCCGUGAGUUGGUGCGGUGAAGGUGGGAUCUGGUAGAGUUGGUGGUGAGGAACACGUUGGUGGCAGUGGAUUGGCCGGAUCCGCAGCAGUUUGGUCGGAAAACUGAAUUAAGGUGGCGGCAGCUUAUGGUGGUUCGUGGUGGUUUUUUGGCCAGUGCUUGGUGGCAAUUGGUGAUGGAUUUUAGAUGUGUGGCUCGAGGGGAGUGUGGUGGCGCAUUGCUCACGGUGAUAAAGUCUGACGGUGGAAAAUUUGGAGGUGGAAAGCGGAGAGUUUUGAGGUUUUGUGUGUGGCGGUUCUGGUGGAGUUCAAGGACAGUGGUCGAUCAGGUUUUGUUGGGCGAAGGCUAGGGAUCACAACGGUGGCGACAAUUGACUGAAAGAAAAGGUGAUUUCGCAUCAGCGGAUGGUGUAGGACUCGUGGAUUUGGGUGAUUUUCGCGGUGGUUGCAACGGCGAUGAGAGCGUGCUGCGCUGGCCUUUGGUCGCCGGAUUACAGUGAGUCCGAUGGUGGCACCGGUUGUUCGUGAUGUGGCCAGAUGGUGGUGAUAGCGGUGGUGGGCAACAGUGUGGCUGGCGGCUAGGGUUUCAAAUUCUUUUUUUUUUUUUUGGACUUUUCGUGUUUUGUUAUUUUUGGUUUUGUUUGUGAAUAAAUAGUGAUGGAUUUGGAUAAUCAUGAAAGCUGUGUAAUUGGCAAGAACGGCUCUGAUACUAAUUAAUGGAGCGGUCGUAACAGAAGCAGAAAUUAAUAGGAUAGGAAAAUCAGAUAUCAUUCUAAUACCAGACCAAGACAAUACGAUUAUAUUACUCUCUAAUUUAAGUAUAAUUAGAUCUCAUUUUAAUUCAAACGACUCAAUGGAAUUUUUAAUAACUCAAAAAGCGAGAUUAGAUGACGCUCUAAUCCAAACAACUAUACAAGAGAAAUUUUUAAAGACAAUUCUAGAGGAAAUUAUAAAAGAAGAAUUUUAUUGAAUGAUUGCAUCUGAGUUAUGAAAACAAUAUUAAGACAAAGUAAACCCACUUCUCUAAGCUAACUUAGAAACAGAAAAUAAAUCACAAUUAUAAUAGAAAUAAAGACGAGAUACGUACCAUAAUAGACUCUAAUUAAAAUAAAAAGUUCUAAAAUAAUAAAAAUUCUAGAAUUCUGAAAUGCAUAAAGUAACGUCCUACAUCAUUUAUCAUGAUAACUUGCUAAGGUGGUGAGAUCAGUAAACUAGUGUUUUGUCACAUGACAAAGUAAUGGUUCUACUACGAAAUCUAUAAACUUUUUUAAUAUUAAAUUCAAUGGUUCCCAAGGUAGAAUUAACUAAUGCCUAAUUUAGGAUCGACUACUACGUCGUAUGGCAGAGUCCUAAUAGAAUAAUUCUACACAAAUUUUUCUUUUAUUUGUGAUACUAAGUAAGAUAUUCCACAUUCUAAAAGAGAUGUCGUGUUAUUAAUUUUUCAUCAAUUUAAUUUGUUUUGCAUUUCGUACUUUUCUUUAGACAUAUACUUAUCCCACUGUAACAAUUUGAACUUAACAGUACUUUUGACUAUGUAUAAACAAUUGAUUUUUUAAAAUAUAAUUUGAAGAAAAGAAGUCAUAAAUCAAAUUUGAUUCAUUGAAUUGUGAGAGCUUUUUCGGAUUCUUGACCAUCGAUCAUAACUUAUAUGUGGCUGCCCCAUUUUAACUGUUACAAAUGCUGUUUUAACUUAAUUAAAGUUUCAUGAUGGAGUAAAGAACAUGUAUAGUAUAAGGCAAGGAAUAAUCCCUUUAAAAAGAUAGUAAUGAAUCUUCAUAUAUAUUAUUUAAUUGUUGGAUGGUCAAGCUAUAAUUUUUAAAUGAGUUAUUAUCUUUUGGGAAAUUAUCAUUCAUAUAUCCUAUAUUUGUUCUGUUAUCAAAAAUACUACAACACUUUGAGGGUAUAUCAAUCGUCCACCCUUAGUUAACAAAAUGUAUCAGCCGACUACCAAACCGUUAGUUGCCGUUUGAAAGUUAACGGAGUUACAGUGAAUUGAUGAUUUUACCCUUGAAAGUUAUCACUUGUAUACCCUUAAAUUCUCUUUUUAUCACUUGUAUGCCUUUAAAUUAUCACUUGUAUCAUAUGAAAAGACCAAAUUACCCUUCUGACGUCAUCAUACUUAAACGGCAACUAACGGUUUGGUGGUCAGCUGAUACAUUUUGUCAACUUAGAGUGGAUGAUUGAUACACCUGAAAUACAAGUGUACAACCCAAGAGGGGGGGUGAAUUGGAUUUUUAAAAAUUAUCCUAGUUAAACCACACAACAAUUCAAUCUAAUGCCUUAAUCAAUUCGAAAACAAUAAAUUCAAUGAAACACAAUAUUAAAAGAGUAAGGGAAGAGAAAACGAACACAAGGAUUUUUACGUGGUUCGGCUAUCCCCGCCUACGUCCACGCCUCCAAGCUCACCCGCUUGAGGAUUUCACUAUCCAAGCCUUUUCAAGGCUUCAACGAUUACAAUUGACUUCGAGGUGUCAAUAAACCUUUACAACAAGAGAUUAUAUCUCCAAUCUCUUUACCCCAAGUGUUUCCCACACUUGUACUCUCACAAUUUGAUGAGAAAUGAUAAAUACAACAAUGAAUCUCUCUUUAAGAGUGGAUAUACAAAUUGAAGAACAAAGAUGAUUUAAAGAAUGAUGAUUCACGAAGUUGAAGCUCAAUAUAUGUUGUGUGCACUUGUUCUUGCUUGUUGGAGAUUGUUGGAGAGCUUUAAAAUGAGUUGGAUUUGAGUUCUUAUAGUUUGAGCUCAAAAACUAGCUGUUACUCACAUUCUGGGCAAUCCGGUUUGCCGUUUAUGGAAUCCGGUAAGCCGGAUUUAUGUUACCGUUAAGGCAAAAUUCAAAAUUUUGCCUAACCGGCUUGCCGGAUUCAGAAUCCGGUAAGCCGUUUUCGUUCUGGUGCUUACUGCCGCGAAUUCGGCUUUCCGUUUAUCAGUAACCGGUAAGCCGCUUGCUACAGUAACCUGCUACAGUAAAAUAUUUCCCAAAAUUUACAGUUUGACCCCAAAACUUUAUAAAACUAUACUAAGGCCCAAAACGUUAUGAAACUUUAUAAAUAGAUCCAAUUUCAGAAUUUCUAAAUAAUGCUUUGUUUAUCCCAAAACUUUUUGAAAUUAUGAUAUUUCCAAAGAUGCUAUGACACUUUUCAAAUAAGUCCUUUACCAAAAUUUCAAGCAAUACUUGUUUAUUUCAAAGUUUUCAAAAUUCUUUCAAUUAAACCAUAAACUUUGAAAAACAACCAAUUUCAUAAAAUCAUUUUUCCAUUAAAUAUGAAACAUUUAUAAUGUGAAAAUAAUGAUUUAUUUAAAAAGAAUAAAAACAAUCAAUUUCAUGAAAUCAUUUUUCCAUUAAAUAUAAAACCUUUAUAAUGUAAAAAUAAUGAUUUUAUUUAAAAAGAAUAUUAAAUAAUUUAGGCUUAAAAGAUUAAUCAUUCUUAAUCUUGUUUGUUAUCAUCAAAAUCAAUAUUAUGAAAACAUAUAUGUUAACAAUCUCCCCCUUUUUGAUGAUGACAAACAUUUCAUGUAUUUAAAGAAUGAUUCCACAAAUUGCUCCCCCUAAAUAUAAUCUUCUUUUACAAUUUGCCAAUUAGCUAAAUUAAUGAUUUAAAUACAUGGAUUUUUCUCCCCCUCAUCAUCAAAAAGAAAAACUUAAUUGGCAAAGACAAAAAAAUAGUAAUUUUUUUUUAUUAAAUUCGAAAACAUGUAUUCUUCUCCCCUUCAUCAUUAAAAAGAAAACGUAAAGGAAAAGAAUAAGAGUAGGAAAUUUGUUACCCAUGUUGUCCGAAUAGAAAUUUCGACAAAAUCUCCCCCUAACAACAAGCAUCACCUCAAAUAUAAAUUUAGUAAUAUUACUCAUAAAUUAUCAUCAUAUCUCAAAAUCAUCAAGUACUCACCAUAAUCACAUAUCAUCAAAAUCAUCAAAAGAAUAUUCAAAGUGCAUAUUAUUGUCCUCCUUUUGACAAUAUUGAAAUGAUAUAUUAUUUUGUCUCCCCCUUUGGACAACAAAAAAAUUCAAAAUGCAUAUUAUCCAAAAUCAUGUUAUAUGCUCCCCCUAAAUAAAUGGCCAAUUUAAAAAUUUAACCGAAAUGAUUUUAUCCAAAAACAUAUUAUAUUUGUCUCCCCCUUAAAAAUGAACAAAUUCUCAAAUACACAACAUAGUUAAAAACACUUCCAUAUAAGCUUAAACAAUAUCAACAACUCCAUCAAUUUAUCAAGCAACACACAUAUAAUCAUCAAUUACCAAAAUCAUCAAGAAAUCAAAUCAUUCCAAGUUUAUGCCGAAUUUUUAAAAAUUCUUCUUUGCAAAGAGGUUUUGAUUUCUUUACAAAAUUGGCAUGCAUAUUAUCAAAUAUUCAAGCUCCAUAAUUAUCAAUGCAAGUUAAAAAAUGAUUUGAAAAUAGUUUAAUAAAAACUCCCCCUGCAUACAUGCUCCCCCUAGAUACAUGCAUAUAUUUUCAUAACACAAAUUAAAUCAUUCUCCCCCUUUUUCGAUAUCAUUUAAAAUAAGUAAGACAUAUUCAAUAAUACAUCGAUAAAGUACAAAAAAUGCAUUCAUUCACUAAUCAUAGAUUGCAUAAGAUCAAGCUUCAUCAAAUAUAAUGUAAUCAUCAAUGCACAUUCUUUAUCAUCAAAACUUAAGUAAAAACAUAAGUACAUAAUGGCAAUAUAUAAAUCAUCAAAAUCAACAUAUGCCAAUAUAUAGAUCAUCAAAAUCAACAUGACUAUUAAGAAAAGCCAUAAUGAUGAGUUAAAGAACAAAUGAUCAAAUCCAUUAUUACAAAUGCUCAUAUAUAUUUUUAAGAGAUGAUAUAGUAGUUACACCUUGUGAUGAAUCUCUCAAAAUUAAGUUCUUAAGGUGAGAAGAAACAUACCUCCACUCUUUAGGGAGUGUUUGAGAAAUACCUUCAUUUUACUCCGCAUUUGUUUCUUCAUGUUGCUCCUCUUGAUUUUCAAGUGGUGCAUUCUUUUGGCUAUCAUUUGAUAAUCUUCUUGUAGCUUUUCAUCUACAUUAUCAUCAACAACAACUUUCUCCAUAGAGGAAGAAUUAGACUCAUCAAAUAUAACAUGUAUAAAUUCUUCCACAAUCAAAGUUCUUUUGAUAUACACUCCAUAAGUUUUGCUUGUGUUUGAAUAGCCAAGAGAAAUACCAACAUCAAAUUUGCCAAGAUUAUCUUUUGUGCUCAAAAUAAAACAUUUGCAUCCAAAUAUCAAACAAUAAUCAUCAUCAAUCCACAAUGAAAGCAACAAUGUAUAUGAAAAUGUAAGUGCAUAAUAUAAUAGAAAACUAUGGUAAAAUCCAUAAGGAGAGCACACUAUGGAAGUGGUAAUUUGAAAUACUCAAAAUGCACAAAUUCGAAUUUUCAAGAUAUUGAGUAAAAUAAGUAAGUUUGAAUCAAUUAAAAUGAUUUUAGACACAAGAAUGGAUGGGGAAUAAUUUAUAUGAAUCAAUUUGGAUUGAAAACGAAUGAGAAUGAUGGAUUUUGGAAUGAAAUCAAGUGAGGAGUAAUCGGCUUUUAGUGAGAGAGAGAGAAACGGAAAGCCGAAAGAGAGGGAGAAGAUGAAUAGUUGAAAUAGCAUCCGAAACUGGAUUGCUGAAUGAGCUUAACCGGAAAUCCGGUUGGUUCCAGCAAAUGUUUCACGCAAAUCCGGUUUUCCGGAUAACACGAACCGGCUUGCCGGUUGGAUCCAGAAGAUAGCAAGAGAGAAUCGGCUUGCCGGUUUGCCAAAAUGCAGCUCGAAUUCGGAAUUCCGAAUUGACAGAACUGGAAAUCCGGUUUGGUCCAGCAAGCGUUCCUUGUGAAUCCGGCUUUCCGGUUUUGCUAACCGGUAGUCCGAUUUGAGGCAGAAAGUAACGUGCAAGCUAUAUACCGUUGGAAAGAUAAUUAAGUUAGCUUUCCAAUAAAUUUUACAGAGCUUGAUUUAGAGUUCUCUAGAAGAAGUUAUGACCAAUUCAUUACAACAUGUGCAGACUUGAUUUGGAGUGCUUAUAAGCAUUCAAAAAUAAAAUGCAGAAAGGUCAAAUUCGGAAUAAAAACUGUAUUGAUUGAGCCAGAAGUAAUGUACAAGAUAUAUACCGUUGGAAAGAUAAUUAAGUUAGCUUUCCAAUAAAUUUUACAGAGCUGGAUUUGGAGUUCUCUAGAAAGAGUUAUGACCAAUUUAUUACAACUUGUGCAGACUAAAGAUUUUCACAAUAAUUAAACAUAUAAACAUUCAAAAGUGAAUAAAUUAAACACACCACUUAACUAUCAUGCUUAAACACUUCAUAAACAUUAACAUCAAACAAAUCCAUCAUGAUAAAUCACUCAAUAUUACACACAAUAAUAAUUCCAUCAUAUAAACAUACAAGCAUACUUUCGCAAUUUCAUUUAUCAUGAUUCAUUCAACAAAAUUAAUAUGGCAAGAAUUGUUACCAAAACAAUUAAAUUAUCUUGCCUCAUCUUUUUCUCCUAGAUCAUGCUCAAAUAAUUAUCCUCACAAGCUUUCAUCAAGGAACUUCUCCACCAUUCCUUGAUUGUGGUACCUACAAAACAAAUUCAAGUUGUACCCUUUGGUACCCAAAUACUCUUGGGUCCUUGAAUGUUAGAUUUAGUUCCUUUUGGAACCCAAAUACAUUUGACUCCAUAAUACACAUUUCUUUUAAUUGGACAUCUAUUCUUCAUGUGACCAUCUUGAUUACAAUAAUGACAUACAAUUUGAUUGUUAAUGGAUGUAUUCUUCACAAAAUAACUCUUGUAAAAUUUUUGUUUCAAAUUUGGUUUGUAACCAAUGCCACUUUUGUCAAAUACGCAUUUUUGUGAAUUUAGCAAAUUGUCCAACAUCUUUUGCCAAUUUGUAAAUUUUAACACAAUUUGAUUUAACUCAUCACUCUUCUUUCUAAGCACUUCAUUUUCUUUUAUUAAUUCAUCACCAUAUGAUUUCUCAUGCUCAUAUGAAGUACUUUGUUUACAUGUGAAUGAUGCAAUUUUAUCAUGUAACAUUUCAUUAUCUAAUUCCAAUUUUUUGAUCUUUUCAUUUAAUGAAACAUUGGAUUUUUGCAAGGCAUCUUUUUCAUUUUUCAAUUCAUUUACAUGUGAUUCUAGAUGCUUGUGUGAAGUGCUAGAUUUCUCAUUUGAUAAUACAACUCUAUCAUGCAAUGUUUUAUUUUCUAAUUCUAGGCAUGUGAUCUUUGUACUAAAUGAUUCAUUUUCAUUCUUAAGCUCCAUCAUCUUCUUUUUAAGACAUAUAUUCUUUUUACCAAUCUUCAUUAACUCAUCAUGCAAAUCCUUAAAAGCAUCAUGUAAUUCAUCAUAUGUAGGAAGAUCAUUUACCUCUUCAAGUUCAUUAUCCGAGUCAUCUCCAAUUGUCAUAAGUGCCAAAUUCGACACUUCAUGAAAUUCCUCCUCGCUCGUAGUCUCCUCAUACACAAUUUCAAGUUUUCUCCAAAUUUCAUAAGCAUUAGAACAAUUUGAAACUCUAUGAAAUUCAUUUUUAUCUAAGGUACAAAAUAAAGCAUUCAUAGCCUUGGAAUUUAAAGACAUAUUUUUCUUAUCCAAUUCACUUAAAACAUUCUUCCUAGGAAUGAAUGAACCAUCACAAACUAUUUCCCAUAGUUCAUAAUCUAAGGCUUGUAAAAACACUCUCAUCCUAAUUUUCCAAUAAGGAUAAUCAUUACCAUCAAAGAAUGGAGGUCUAGUGGUGGAUUGGCCUUCCAUGAAAGUUGAACUAAUUUGGGUUGCUAUUGAUCUUUAACUCUAGACGGUUAAGUCUACACAAGAGCACCUUGCUCUGAUACCAAAUGAAAUACAAGUGUACAACCCAAGAGGGGGGGUGAAUUGGAUUUUUAAAAAUUAUCCUAGUCAAACCACACAACAAUUCAAUCUAAUGCCUUAAUCAAUUCGAAAACAAUAAAUUCAAUGAAACACAAUAUUAAAAGAGUAAGGGAAGAGAAAACGAACACAAGGAUUUUUACGUGGUUCGGCUAUCCCCGCCUACGUCCACGCCUCCAAGCUCACCCGCUUGAGGAUUUCACUAUCCAAGCCUUUUCAAGGCUUCAACUAUUACAAUUGACUUCGAGGUGUCAAUAAACCUUUACAACAAGAGAUUAUAUCUCCAAUCUCUUUACCCCAAGUGUUUCCCACACUUGUACUCUCACAAUUUGAUGAGAAAUGAUAAAUACAACAAUGAAUCUCUCUUUAAGAGUGGAUAUACAAAUUGAAGAACAAAGAUGAUUUAAAGAAUGAUGAUUCACGAAGUUGAAGCUCAAUAUAUGUUGUGUGCACUUGUUCUUGCUUGUUGGAGAUUGUUGGAGAGCUUUAAAAUGAGUUGGAUUUGAGUUCUUAUAGUUUGAGCUCGAAAACUAGCCGUUACUCACAUUCUGGGCAAUCCGGUUUGCCGUUUAUGGAAUCCGGUAAGCCGGAUUUAUGUUACCGUUAAGGCAAAAUUCAAAAUUUUGCCUAACCAGCUUGCCGGAUUCAGAAUCCGGUAAGCCGUUUUCGUUCUGGUGCUUACUGCCGCGAAUUCGGCUUGCCGUUUAUCAGUAACCGGUAAGCCGCUUGCUACAGUAACCUGCUACAGUAAAAUAUUUCCCAAAAUUUACAGUUUGACCCCAAAACUUUAUAAAACUGUACUAAGGUCCAAAACGUUAUGAAACUUUAUAAAUAGAUCCAAUUUCAGAAUUUCUAAAUAAUACUUUGUUUAUCCCAAAACUUUCUGAAAUUAUGAUAUUUCCAAAGAUGCUAUGACACUUUUCAAAUAAGUCCUUUACCAAAAUUUCAAGCAAUACUUGUUUAUUUCAAAGUUUUCAAAAUUCUUUCAAUUAAACCAUAAACUUUGAAAAACAACCAAUUUCAUAAAAUCAUUUUUCCAUUAAAUAUGAAACAUUUAUAAUGUGAAAAUAAUGAUUUAUUUAAAAAGAAUAAAAACAAUCAAUUUCAUGAAAUCAUUUUUCCAUUAAAUAUAAAACCUUUAUAAUGUAAAAAUAAUGAUUUUAUUUAAAAAGAAUAUUAAAUAAUUUAGGCUUAAAAGAUUAAUCAUUCUUAAUCUUGUUUGUUAUCAUCAAAAUCAAUAUUAUGAAAACAUAUAUGUUAACAACACCCUCAAAGUGUUGUAGUAUUUUUGAUAAUGGAGUAAAUUAAGGGUAUACAAAUGAUAAUUUUCCUUAUCUUUUUAUUAUGUCAAGUAUUGUAAAAUAACAGACCACUACACAAAAUAUUGAAAGGCAACAUUUAACUACAUUAACAUUUUAAAAGUAAUAGUUUACUACAUUUUCAUCUGCCAUUAGUCUAUUGAUGAUGUCGCAUUGACUUCAUAUGGGUAAAAUUAUAUAUUCAUCAAAUGAAACCCAAAUAUUUGUAAUUAAGUCUCACAAUUAUCAUUUUUUUACUAUGACAAGAAUUACAAAAUAACAAAUUACUACAUGGAUAAAAGGUAACAUUUCACUACAUUAACUUUUAAAAAUAAUAGUUUAUUACAUUUAUAUCAAUUUACAAUUAAUUAUGCAACAAAUCAAUUGUAGAGGCAAUAUUGUUAUUCAACUAAAAUUAUAUAUUUAAGCGGCAAUAAAAUGUUGUUUUGCACUAAGAGCAAGGCAAAAUUACAAAUUCACAUGGCAUUGCUUUAACAUUUUCUUUUUAUUUUAAGAGUUAUACAUUAACGGUAAAAUUGAUAUUUUAACAUAUUAACUAUAGAAGUGAUAGAAAUGUAGUACACUAUAAUUUUUUAAAGAAUUCAUGAAAUGAAGUUUUAUCUCUCAAUAAUUUAUGUAGUGAUUUGUUAUUUCGCGAUAUUUGAUGUAUUGAAAAAGAGAUCUACCUAUGUUACAACAGUUACACCAUGCCACAUUUUUUUUGUAUUUAUUUGGCAGAGCUAUUGGAUGAUUUAUUGUUCAAUCUAAUCGGCUGAAAAUAUUUUUUUGAAAAAUCAAACAACCACUGCUCUACGGUUUAGGCAGUUGCUUUCAUACAGGUAAGAAUUGACGGACAUGGAUACUUGAGGCAACUGUAGACCGAAAUUGGUAUAAAGAAGAUCACAAACAUCAUCUAAUUGAAACUGAAAGAGUGAAAGUGAUUCCGACAUCAAUCUUCACUUCUUGAGACAGCAUAGUAGAUGAAAAUUAGUGCAAAAAAAUUGUAAAAUUAAUUCAAGAAUUCCAAUCAUAAAUAAGAAAAUGGCCUGUCACGUGCAGGCAAAUUUUUAUGCUAUUUGGAUGAGUGAUUCAGUUUGAGUUGUUUUUCGGUGGCUUUAGUAGAGGAGUCAAAUUGAAAUUGAAGAUUUCAAACCAAAUUGGUUUUUGAUGAUUUAAUACCUGGAUGCGGCAGCAAAUGCUUCUCUAAAUAAUUUUUUUAUUUAAUUAAUUAUGUGGGUUAGUAGACUUCAGUUGAAAAUUUAAUAAAUUUGUCUAAUAGUUUAAUUAUAUUUUUUUAUUUAAUUUUAAUGAAAAUUUAUAGAUUUAACUAUUUUCUACAUUAUAAUAUAAAAAAAGACCACACUUCUAAUUUUUUUAUAAUGUUAAUUAAUUACACUUUUAACUUGUAAUUUUUCUCAACCAAAUCGGUGAUGGUGAUUAAUUGACGCCGAACGAAACGAGCAGUCUACAAAAUUCUAAACUUGAGAACACUAAACUUGCCAUUAAUCGGUGGUGGUUGGUGUACUUGGCAAUAAUUUGGUGCCUGUUGGCCAUUGAUUGGUCAUGAAUUUGGUGCCUAGUGGCCAUUAAUUCACACAUCUCCAUGAUGGCAGCAAGACGAGAACCCUAAUUGUGUUAAACAGCCGCCUAAACCGUUAACCGGUGGCUAUUUGAUUUAAAAAAAAAAAAAAUUAUAUGCAGCUGUUAGAUUAAACAAAAGCAUGCAUCAGCUCUGUCAAAUAGACAAAAAGUGUGGUAUAAUACAACUGUUGUAACGUGGGUCGAUAAAAAAAUAAUAAUCUUUGUAAAUUAAAUUAAGAAUCACUGAUGUUUUCUUUUAUAUAAAUGUCUAUUGGACCCACUGACCCCACAAAGCAUUAGGGUUAAAACUAAGCGUGGGGAAACAAAGCCCCAUGCCCCCAUGUCAUAUUUGGUGAAAAAUAAGCCAACCCAAAAUUGAUUAACUGAAUGAAUAUUACUUAAUGAGCAUUAUUGUCCUUAAUAAUCUCACUGAAUAGUAUUGUAAUGCUUCAGCAAUUUCAUUAAAGGUUCACAAUGAAGGAUCCUGCUAUGUUGACACAACGGUAACAUACCACACUUCUUUGUCCUUUUGAGUUAAUUACACUGCAGUCCCUAUUUUAUUCUAAAAUUAGAAAACAAUUAGAUAAUCCUAAAUUUUGACUCAUUAGUCCUACUUAUUUUGAUUUUUUAAAACUUAAAUCAAAAGGUGAGGGUAUUUUUUAAUUAUUAAUUCACACACCCAUCAUCAAAGUUUUAAAAAGAAAAUUUACUCCAUACAUUUACCUAAAUGUCAAAUAUAUCCUUGAUAAAACUAAUUUUUUAUUUGUACUAAAUAAAUAAAUUAAAAUGAUAUAAAAAAAAUUGAUUGAAUUCUUUACAUGCCCAUUAGUUUCAUAUCUCUAUCUCCAGCAAUUAGCAACUAAUUUCUAUCACUAACUCAAAAUUAUCGAACAUGAGAUGUGAAAAAGGUUCUCAAAUAAGUGUGGAGCAUAAAAUGGCUUUACCUCCAAAUUCUUAUUAAAAGUUUCUAAACUUAUUCAUCAAGCUCGUAGAUGUAAAAAUAAAUGACAAGCAAGUUGCAACCCCCCCCCCCCAUUUUUGAUACCUUCUUAUUAAAUAAAAAAAAUUAUAAAUUGGUAUAUUAAUAUAUUUUUAUUGCAUAUUGAAAUUAUUUCCUGAAUAUUGAAUAAGUAUUAUGAAAAAAAAUAUUAACUACAAAUUAAGAACAAGAAAUCAAAUUCAUACUCAUAUUUAUCAUAAAAUAUGGUUCGAAAUUAAUACAUGGUUUUACUAUAUAUUAAAUUAAUUAAUUAAUUAAUAAGAAAUAAUAUUAAUUUAAAUAUAUUAAUUCAAAUACAAGAAUAAAUCAAUUUAUCAGUGAAAUUAACAAGUUAUUUGACACAAUAUAUUGUAUUACAUUAGCUGUAUUGUAUUACGGUAUAUUAAACUAUAAUACAAUGUCAUGUUUGGUGCAACAUGAACUGUAGUAUAUGUAAUAAUAUUUUAUAUCAUUAUUUAGAUUACUAUUAAUUUUCAAUUAAUAUUUAUUAAUAUUUAAAUAUUUAUCAUUUGUUAAUUAACUAUUUAAAAAUAAUUAAUUUUUAUUUACUAAUUAUUAUAUUAUAAUUAAAUAACAUAAUAUUAUAUUUUUAUUUUUAUAUAUUAUUUAAGUAUUUAUUAUUAGUUAUAUUAAAUUGUUAAAUAAUAAUCAAUUCUAUGUAUUAAUUAAUUUAAUAUAAUUAAAUAAUUUAAUAUUAUGUUAUAAAUUUAUUUUUAUAUAAUAUUUAAGUAUUUAUUAUUAUUAUUAUUUAUAUUAGCGUAUUAGAUAAUAGUCAAUUUUUACUUAUUAAAUUUUAUAAUAUAAUUAAGUAAUACAUUAUUUAGUUGUAUUUUUAAUUAAAAUGUUUUAAUAUUAUUGAACAAUAAAUUGUAAAUUUAUGGACUAAUAUAACUUUGUUACUUUUGUAAUUUUGUAGCAAACAUUAGGGAUUAUAAUGUUAAUAACUCAAAAUAAACAUCUUAGCCAUUGCACUUGUUUUGAGUUAAAUAUAACGGUGGAUUAGAAAAAGACAAAAGAAUGUGGUAUGUUACCAUAGAGGUAACAUAGCUAGACCCCACAAAGAAAUAUAUUGAUUACAUAUUAUAAAUCAGACCGAAGCAAUGAGUCUUCAUGCAUAUUAAUUAAUUGUUAAUUGAAUGGUCAAGGUACAUUUGGCUUCUGAAUUAAUUAAGAGUCAAUUUGAUGUUUUCCCGCAAAACAAAAUGUAUAAUUGUCUAUUGGAUGAUGGUAUAAUUGCAUAUCAUUAAAAUUUUAUCAUUACAAUAGGAGAAUGAUACUCUACUUAAGAUAAAAUCUUAUAACUUAAGAAGGACUGAUUUAAGAACGAGAAAGACUAAGAGGGGAUGAUUGAUCACUUUUCCUUUUUGGAGAAUUAAUGAAACUAUAAGAACUCAUGGCAUACUCCCCCCUUAGUUUAUUGGGAUCAUACUUCAGUUGAUGAACCGAACGAAAUGGUAGUGGCCUUUGUGCAUGUAUAUGCAUUAAUUAAUUGUUAGUGACUUUAGAUAUUUUCUCCGAGUACUAUGCAAUACCGAUUAAAAGAGCAUAGCUGAACACAGAAGCGAAGGGUGGGGAAACAAAGCCCCGUGCAAGUCAUAUUUAGUAAAAAUGAAAAAAAGAUAGUGCAUAUAAAAUUUAUUAACUGAAUGAAUAUUAGAACAUUAAUUUUCUCCUUAAUAAUCUCAAUUACAGUUCAGUAAUCUCAAAAAUAUUUUUGUGAUGCUCGAUCGAGUAGUUAAAUGAAAGAGAGGUAAAGAUUCUCGAUAUAUAUUAUACAAUAGUUCGAUGUUCACUAAAGGUAUAUCUUUAAUCACUUUAAUUAAUUUUUGAGAAAUUCUCUCCCAACCACAAUAAGAAUGUUAAAAGUGAAUCUAACUACUACAAAUUUUUAAUAUAUCUUAGAACCACCUUAAAUUUUAGUUUUAUAUCAACUACUUUUCUCUUAAUUAUAUUAAUCACUAUUAAAGAAUCAAAGAUAAAAGACUAUUUUGUUUUUGGAUUCUUUUAAGAAGGUAAAGUAAUAUUUUGGGAUUGCUAAUUGUAGUCUUUUAAUUUAAAUUAUUUAACUGUAGCUAACGAAGUUAACGAAAAAGUGAUUAGUUGAUAUAAAACUAAAACUUGAGGUAAGUCUCAAAUAUUACCGGUUAUUACUAAUUGUACUUUUAAUAUAUUAAUAUUCUUGAUGUGAUUGGAAAAUAAUUUUUCUUAAUUCUUUACUGGACAAACUACGAAAAGCAUCAAGCAGCAAACCGCAGUACUUAAAAGAUCCAGGAUUAGUAAUUUGGUAUGCAUGCUGCAGUCUGUGCUGAAAACUCAAAUAUCAUCGCAGUCACAAAUUGACAUGGAUCCUAAAUUAUAUGAUGCUGCAGCUAAUGGCAACAGCAAAACUCCGCUCUAUAUUGCUUCGGCAAAUGGAUCUGUCGAGAUAGUAACUAAAAAUUUACAGAACUGCCCAUCACCUACUCGUGAAGGCCUCGAUGGGAAGACUGCCUUGCAUGCUGCAGUCUAUACAUAUCCUACAGGUUCGCUUAAACGACCACACACACACACAUACACAUACAGUUAUUAUCAAGUGCGGACUUUCGCAAGAAAUUUUAUGGACAUAAAAAAUAGGAAAAAAAAAUGAGAUAGGAUUCGAUGUUUAGCUCGAUCCGUGAUGAGCACCGAUUGAGAUUUAUUUAAUAUGUGUCGUAGUUAGGUUCCAAUCAGUACAAACUCAAUUGAGCAUGUUAGACAAUCACCACGAUCCCCUCACCUUAUUUUUGGUCUUUUUUGAGAUCAAGUCUCUCCAAGUUUCCCUAGAUCUCCACCCGCGUUUGAAAGUACACUCUUUAGUCUAUACAAGUGUCAGCAUAGCCUUCUGACUGAAAAAAAAAAGUGUCAGCACAGCAAAAGCAAAGGAUAUUGAAAAAAUGGACCAUCGACUGAGUAAUAAUGACGCCAAAUGCAAAAAGAGAAAAAUAUUGAAAAAGAAAGAAAAGACGAAUCUUUGUGAUUCUUGAUAGCUAAUUUCCAAGUGUAAUCCGAUAAUUUAACGUCAAGAUUCUUCACCAUCCAUAAAGAACAGUCAAAUAUAAUAGAAAAGAAAGGGAGCUGCUACCUUACGUUUAACGUAAGGUACAACAUUUGCUACCUUACGUUUAACGUAAGGUACAACAUUUGCUACCUUACGUUUAACGUAAGGGACAACCUUUGCUACCUUACGUUUAACGUAAGGGACAACCUUUGCUACCUUACGUUUAACGUAAGGUACAACAUUUCCUACCUUACGUUUAACGUAAAGUACAACUUUUUCUAUCAGCGGUGGGCCUCAGUGGAGUAUUUUAGUUUUUCUUAUAAGACAAUUAACUAGUGGGGUUCAAAUAAAACUACACACAACAAUUUUUCCUCUUUUUUUCAUUUUUUUUGGACUUGAUCUUUUCGUGUUUACUGUUUAGCUUCUCCAAUAAUAUUAUUAUACCUAUCAUAUAAUUUAUAUAAUUUUCAGUAAUGUGAUUAAGAAGUUAAACAUGCAAUUUAUAUUAAUAAGUGACGCCAAAAAUUUUUCAAGUCCACAAUUUUUAUUAGCUUGUUUGAUUUAGAUUUUUUCUACGCAUAUUGUCAUUGAUUUGAGACCCAAAUUGACUGUUAACAAAAUAAAAUAAUAAAUUGUUCACAUAUCUAAGUGGAAUAAGGAAGAAUUUUGAUAGUAAAUUCGUUUUUUUAUAAAUAUUUCUUUAUAAAUGUGAUGGCUCAUUUUUAGGUUUUAAUAAAAACUUAAUGUAAUGAAAGUAAAUUAUAAUAUAAAUUUUAAAAAAUGUAUAAAUUAUUUAUAUGUUAAAUGAUUAGGUAUAUGAGAAAAUCUUAAUUUACAAAGAGUAUAUUAAAUAAAACAAAGAUAAAGUAUACAUUAUUUAAUUGUCAGAUGAUCACAGUGCAACUUAUUAUUUAACUGGAGUAAUAUACAAUUAUGAACUGUGUAUUAAAUUUUUUUAAAGAUAGAAUCAAAAUUGGGAUAAGUCCACUAUAGACUAUGAGUUAUUUUAAAGAUAGGAAAGAGGUUUAUCCAACAGUAGUUGAAAUGGGUUCCUCUGGUGCUUGAUUAGAUCUUAAUGUGUGAAAUUAUUUAUGGUCAAUUUGAUAAUUCUAUAGCUUUUAAAAUGAUUUUUAUUAACCGUACUGUAGAAAUAAUUAACUGUGAAGAGAAUAAAUUAAAUAUUUAGUAAAAUUUAUUUUUAAAAGUGUUAGUAAAAUUUGUAGUGUUUAAAGUUAUGUAUUAUUGUUAUACAUUGCUCUAACUUUAACUUGAGUCUUAUGAAUUAUCUUAUAAUUACUCUUAAACUUGAUAUAUUUUUGUAUUUACAUUCAUGUGUCAGUAUAUUUUAAGCUAUUAUUGGUUCUUUAAUAGAAGACACAUUUUCCUAACAAAAAAAAAAAAAAAAAAACCAGUUCUGUCAUGAAAAAGGUCUGGUCUAAGGACUGUGGUAGACAGUGACUGGUGCAUGAGAUAAAAGGCCCCAAGUCCAGUUGUAAAGCGAAAAGCGAAGCCCAAUACUGAAAGAAAGAAAUACUUGGGCUAAUUUUUUAAUUUCAGUUUGCUAUCUUAUAAUUACUGCUGACAGCAUUCCCUCUAGUUGAACAGCUAACCAAACAAGCCCACUAGCUUCUUUCCCACCACUUGUACUCAACAACUCAAAUAUCAUGAAUUCUGAUCUGUACAAGGCUGCAGCAAAGGGGGAAAUUGAACAGUUCGAAAAAUUGGCAAGAGGCGAACUUGGAAGCAUAGUGACUCACAAAGAGAAUACAAUCCUACACGUCAACAUAAUUGCAGCCCAGACCCAAGAAGGAGAAAGUGUCUCAACCAAGUUCGUGGAACGGAUACUUGAAAUGUGUCCAUCAUUGCUACUACAAGUUAAUGCCAAAGGUGAUGCCCCACUCCAUGCUGCGGCCAAAUGCGGAAAUGCUGCUGUUGUGGAAGCUCUUAUUGAAUUUGCGAAAAAACAGCCCCAUCAAGAGCUAGAAAGUGGCAUGGAAAGUACAGCAAGGCAUAUGCUAGGGAUGAAAAAUGACGAAGAAGACACAGCGUUGCACGAGGCAGUGCAAAGUGGUAGUCUUGAUGUCGUGAAAAUUUUAUUGGGAGCAGACCCUGCUUUUCCGUAUUCUGCUAACGGUAGCGGUCAAACUCCACUUUACUUGGCAGCCGCGAGGGGACAUAAGAAGAUAUCAGCUGAAAUAUUACAAAAAUGUCCGUUGGCGGCCCAUGAAGGCCCCAAUGGAAAGACUGCCCUUCAUGCAGCAGUCUGCAGUUACUCUCGCGGUAUGGAUGCGCAUGCUUUCGUACAAAAUUUAAUACCAUAAUUGUUUUUUAAAUUGUUCGGUUUUUUAAUAAAAUUUUUAAAGAUUAAAUAAUUUAUUCUAAUAAAAAUAUAAAUUUUAACCUUUUAAUAACAGAGUUUGAAAACUUUUUAAAAUAUUUAAAUAUCUAAAAUAUUUUUUAUUUGUUUGACAAUUUAUUUUAUUUAUUUUAUAACACAAUUUUAAAAAAAUUAUUCAUUAAAAUAAUUUUAUAAUUUUAAUCAAAUUUUUAUUGGCAAUCAAAAAAUUAAUUUUUUUUUGAUAAAAAUUUUACUAACAGGAACUAUUCUUAAAUGGAUUUUAUUUUAAAAAUAAUAUCAAACAUAAGCUUAGUUGUUUAAUUUUCUUUUCUUUUUAGGUGUGAUAAAACUAUUACUUGACAGAAAGAAAAGUUUGACCAGAGAAAGAGACCAACACGGUUGGACUCCACUCCAUUACGCUGCGUAUGUUGGUCGCUUGUGGGGCUCAAUCCGUUUAUUAGAAGCUGAUAAAUCUGCUGCGUUGAUUGCUGACAAAGAUCGGAAGAUGACAGCUCUUCAUUUAGCAGUCGGCCAAGGGAAUGUUGGGACGGUACGUCGAAUUAUUGACCGUUGUCCGGAAUGUUGUGAAUUGGUUGAUGACAGAGGAUGGAAUGUUCUUCACUUUGCUAUGGUUAGUUUUUAUAAAAGUGACUUGAAAAGUCUGCUGAACGAAUAUCCGAUCGUCAGAAAUCUAAUUUUUGAGAAGGAUGUGAAGGGAAACACUCCUUUCCACGUGCUUGCUGCUGUCUGUCCACAUCCAUACUAUGCUGCCGGCUAUGGCAUCAUCCCUAGGAAAAUUGCUCAAGGUUAUUAUCAAGCUGUCAACAAGCAAAAUAUUAGUGUUGAACACAUAAGUCGUUAUGGAUUUCCUGAACUCGAGGUACUUAAUUCUUUUUUUAACUCAUCAAUGUUAUAAUUUAUAUAUGGAUACGAGUAAUGAAAUUAAAUUUUAAAUUUUGGUUUUUUUUAUUGAUCUUUUUUCACCCGUGUAUUUAUAGUAAUUAUUUAUUUAGGAUUUAAUUAUACACAUUUCUCAUAUGAUGUGUAAAUAAAACAUUAUUGAUUUUGAUAUCAUGUAUGAAAUUAAUUUUAGUAUGUGAAUUAAUAAAAUGUAUAGUCCAAUGCGUAGAUGUUGAUGUCAAGUCAAUUUUUCCUUCCCUUUCAUUAAACUCAUAUUCUUCCAGUUACAUUUAUAAUUUAGCAAAUAUGGCUGCAGGAAGAAUUUGAAGAAUUGUCCAAAGCUGAUGGCAGUGGACAAUAUCCAGACGGUGUCGUCAAGAUAAACAAAAACAAAGUUUAUACGUUUUGGAAAUAUUUAGAUAAAUAUUUCAUUGGAAAGGAAAAAGCAACAGAAUAUCAUUUGGUAGUGGCAACACUCAUAGCAACAGUAACCUUUGCUGCUGCAUUCACCUUACCCGGUGGGUACAAGAGCGAUACUGAAGACGGCCCAAGUAAGGGUACUGCAAUUCUCAGUAAAAACGCAGCUUUCCAAGCAUUUGUUGUAUCAGACGCCAUAGCCAUGGUCCUCUCACUUUCUGCUGUCUUUGUACAUUUCAUUCUGUCACUUAAGUUAUUUCGAAAGUUUAUCUUUUUAUUCGUUUUUGCUCUUUUGUUCACCUUGGUUGCCAUGCUAGCAAUGGUGGUAGCAUUUAUUACAGGCACAUACGCGGUGUUGUCACCUUCUUUAGGGCUUGCCAUUGUCACUUGUUUCAUUGGCUCGACCUUCUUCCUCUUGGUGAUUUUCAUGUUUUACAAGUUUAUAUCAAAAGCGUUGGAAGAGGAAUCUGAAGAACAGCUUAUGGUUGCAAUACUACGAUAUCUGGUCCAAAUUUAUUAGAGGACUCUAUAAUUGUAUCUUAUUUGGUGUAUUGUUUCAAGGUUGUAUAACAUAUUAAGAGCUUGAAAGAAAUGCAAAAUUAGUUGUUGCAUAAGCAUUCCGAAUUAAUUCCAAUCAGGAAUCUUCUCUACUCAUUUUAGGACCGGCUGAAUGAGUAUUAGUUGUUUCCGAUGGUCGAGUUUCUUUUUAACCUAAUUGAGUGGAGAAACAAAUUUGAUAUUUCAAAUUGUGAAGAGCCCUUUUCUUUUGGAUACUCUAUCAACAAAAUCAAUUAUAGAACUCGAAACAAAUUCUAGUUUAGCAAUGUUUACAGUCUACUUGAAAUAUCUGGUCGACAAAUUCUAAUUUUUUGAGAAGGAUGAGAAGGGGAACAAUCCUUUCCAUGUGCUUGCUGCUGUUUGUCCACAUCCAGACAGAGUCGGCUAUGGCAUCGUCCCUUGGAAAAUUGCCAAAGGUUAUUAUCAAGCCGUCAACAAGCAAAAUAUUAGUGGUGAACACAUAAAUCGUUAUGGAUUUCCUGAACUCAAGGUACUUAAUUCCUUUUUUAAACUCAUCAAUGUUAUAAUUUAUAUAUGGAUACGACUAAUAAAAUUAAAUUUUAAUUUUAAAUUUUGAUUUUUUUAUUGAUUUUUUUUCACCUGUGUAUUUAUAGUAAUUAUUUGUUUAGUAUUUAAUUAUACACAUUUCUUAUAUGAUGUGCAAAUAAAACAUUAUUGAUUUAGAUAUCAUAUAAGAAAUUAAUUUUAGUAUGCGAAUUAAUAAAAUAUAUAGUCCAGUGCGUAGAUGUUGAUGCCAAGUCAAUUUUUCCUUCCCUUUCAUUAAACUCAUUUUCUUCUAGUUACAUUUAUAAUUUAGCAAAUAUGAUUGCAGAAAGAAAUUGAAGAAUUGUCCAAAGCUGAUGGCAGUGGACAAUAUCCAGACGGUGUCGUCAAGAUGAACAAAAAAAAAGUUCAUCUGUUAUGGAAAUAUUUAGAUGAAAAUGUCUUUGGAGUGGAAAAAGCAUCAGAAUAUCAUUUGGUAGUGGCAGCACUCAUAGCAACAGUAACCUUUGCUGCGGCAUUCACCUUACCCGGUGGUUACAAGAGUGAUACUGAAGAUGGCCCAAACAGGGGCACUGCAAUUCUCAAUAAAAACGUAGCUUUCCAAGCAUUUGUUAUAUCAGACGCCAUAUUUGGAAAAAAUUAAUUUUUGCUUAAGUUUUUUAAAAAAUUCAUCUUUCUAUUCAUUUUUGCUCUUUCGUUCACCUUGGUUGCCAUGGCAGCAAUGAUAAUAGCAUUUGUUACAGGCAUAUACGCAGUGUUGGCACCUUCUUUAGGGCUUGCCAUUGUCACAUGUAUCAUUGGCUUGACCUUCUUCUUCUUGGUGAUUUUCAUGUUUUACAAGGUUAGAUCAAAAGCAGAGGAAAAGUUAUUGUAUACCUCUCUCUAAUACUAUAAUUAUGUUAGCAUCAUCCCACUGUUAUGAUCUGGAGUUAUAAGCUGUGAUUGAAAUUUAUUACAUUAUCUUAUUUGGUUUAUUGUUUCAAGGUUGUAUCACAUACUGAGAGCUUGAAAGUAAUGAUCUCAUCUAUUUAUGAUGUAGAAUUAUUUGUUGUAUAAGCAUUCCAAAUUAAUUUUAAUCAGGGAUCUUCACCGCGGAAUGAGUAUUAGUUAUUCGGAUGGGUAAAGUUUCUUCUUAACCUAAUUAAGUGGAGAAACAAAUUUGAUAUUUCAAAUUGUGAAGAGCUUUUUUCUUUUGGAUAUUCUACCAUCAAAAUCAAUUAUAGAAUUCGAAACAAAUUCUAGUUUUGCAAUGUCUACAGUCUACUUAUGAAUUGCAUAAAGGAUAGAGCUGCAGACCUGCAGUUAGACAAAAGUUGAUAAAGGAUAGAGCCCCAGAUUCCAACUGCUAAUUUACACUUGCAUCUAAAUUUAAAAAUCAGCUAAUUACAAACCGGAUAACCAGCUGCUAACAGUUUCCACUUUCAAGAGCUUGAGAAGGUCAACUGGAAAUUGCAAGUAUUCAAAUGGUGAUAAAAAAAGAGAUUCUUUUGAUAUGUUAUCCAGGUGCAAAAAUAAAAAAUGUCGCUUGAUGAUGAAGUAAAAGAACUAAAACCGCCGCAACAAACUGUGGCGGCCACACUCGUAGCAACAGUUACCUUAGCUGCGGGGUUCAUAUUACCCGGUGGUUACUGGGCUCGAGAAGGCCCAAUUCCCAGCACUCCAAUUCUCAGAAAAAAUGCAGCUUUUCAAGCAUUUGUUAUAGCUAAUGCCAUGGCCAUGGUCCUCUCCCUUUCAGCUGUCUUUUAUCCAUUUCCUUACUUCAACUAAGACCCUUCGGCAAAUGACGUUUCUUGUCAAUGUGGCUCAUUGUUUCAUCCCGGCUUCCAUGUUAGCAAUGACGGUUGCAUUUGUUACAGGAACAUCCCCAGUGUUGGCACCUUCUGUUGGGCUUUCCGUUGCUACUUGUGCCUUGGCUUGAGCUUCAUCCUCUUUGUGCUUUUCGCCAUGUUCAAGUUUGCUUAUGGAUUGGCGCAAAGGUUGCUGGGCUUCAUGAUAUAAUUAGAAAAAAACAAAUCUCCAUGUUGGAGAAAUUAGCAUGUUUCUGUCUCUGUCUGGUAGUUAAUAUGUAAUUUCCGUCUCUUCAAUCUUUAUUCUCGGUGUUAUAAGUGUAUACAUUACUCCAACUGAGAUUGUACCUAAUCCUCUUUUGAUCCUCUUUUGUGUUGAGCUAUUAUCAUCAAAAGAGGAUUAAGUACAAAUACAAGGUCAACAUGAAAUUGCAAGUAGCAUAUUAGCAUUCCAACAUUUUAUCAGGUGUUAAUGUGUUAGAAGCUUAUUUAUAAAUAGAUAAAUAAUAUCUAAAAGAUAUGCAGUGAGUCUAGUUUUAGUACUCUGUUCUCAUAAACUUUUCCUUCUCUGAUUCCACCUUUUUGGAUUUUUGAACUUGAGCUAGCUUAUUGUCACGGGAUGAAUAUUUUGCGCAGCUAACCCGUGCGGCACUUAGACAACUUUGCCGAAUGUUGCUAAGUAAGCCUAGAGCUUCUCGAACUAGAGAAGAGAGCAAUGGAGCCGAAUGAGAGAAUUUGUAUUGCACAAAGAGAGAUUACAAUGCUUGAGUUGCUUACAAUGCUUGUUGUUGUGUUUUUUUUUUUGAUACAAAUGCCUAAUGCCAUCCCAUAUUUAUAGGGGAGGCUUGCCAAGCUCUAGAGAUUUUAGAGAAUUCUACAACUUCCUAGCUAUUUACAUGUGCUGAAAUUGUAUAGAGAAUUCUAAAGUAUUUACAAGCUCAAUGUGCUAGAGUUGCCUAGAAUUUUCCAGAAUCGGGCCAAGCUAGCACUCUUGGCCUUGUGUUGGCUCUCUAGCCCGAAAUUGUGGGCAAUUGGGUUAGCGAAUUGGGCGGUCUGCAACAUCCUCCCCCACCUAAGCUCGCGGCAUCCUCGUCGCGCUCUCGUGCUUGAACCUCUGGAUGUGCUCAGUGAAUUGCCACAAAUCAUCUUCACGUUCCCAAGUGGCUUCGCUCUCGGGGAGGUUUUUCCACUUCACCAAGUACUCACUGUGUGCUGGCACGCCCCUCCUCGAAACCACGCGGUCCGCAAUGAUGUAGUCCACAUCUUUGUCGAACGCGGUGACAACGGCGGUUGGCGCGCACCUCGAUUCUCCGCGACUUGGGUCUCCCAUGUCUUCGUGAUAUGGCUUGAGAAGACUCACAUGGAAGACCAGAUGGAUCUUGAGUCUUGGCGGAAGUUGGAGUUGAUACGAGACGUUGCCCACACGUCGAACAACUCGGAAGGGUCCCUCGUAGCGCCUCACUAACCCCUUAUGGACUUUCCGCAAUGUCUUGAAUUGUUGGGGUAGGAGCUUGAUCAUGACUUGAUCACCUUCCUUGUACUCAACAUGUUGUCUCCUUGUAUCCGCCCAUUUCUUCAUUUUCCUCGCGGCUUUGUCAAGGUAGGCUCGCGUGAUGUCCGCUUCCUCAUGCCAUUCGCGAGCGAGCUUGUGUGCCGCGGGGCUUUUCCCUCUGUAAGUCGAGGCUAUGGAGUUGAGAGUCAUUGGCUGGAAUCCCAUGAUGAUCUCGAACGGACUCUUGCCCGUAGCCUUGCUUCGCUGCAAGUUAUAAGAAAAUUGGGCAAUGUCAAGUAGCUUCGCCCAAUCCCGCUGGUGAGCGCUCACGUAAUGUAGGGAUGGUAAAAAUCCCCACGGGGACGGGUACCCUUGGGGAUUUUUCCCAUUUGGGGAGGGUACGGGGAUAAUUUUAUAUCCAAUUUUUUAUUCGGGGAGGGGACGGGAAAAAUUUUUUACCCAAUUUUUUAUUCGGGGAGGGGACGGGAUGAGGUGGAAUCCCCAUCCCCUACCCAUUUCCCCAUUUUAAUUUUUAAUUUUAUUUUUAUUUUUAAAAUUACUAAUAAAUAAAUAACAAAAUUAUAAAUAUUAUUAAAAAUAAUAAAUAUCAAAAUAUUUAUAUUAUUAAAUUUUUAAACUUAAUUAACUAAUUAAAGUGUUAAAUUUUUAAUCAAAACCACAAUGAUACAGGAGAGAGCUACCUAAUUAUAAUUUACAACAGUCCUAAUCCUAAUUCGUAUAGAACGAGACAAUGAACACAAUACCAAAUUGGUAAACCUAUUCUUGUUCAGAAAGAAUUUCCAAAAGCUGAAAUUCGUCUCAGAUUUUGAAAAGCUUGCCUAUAAAUACACAGCUCCCUGUUCUUUUGCGUUCCAAAUUAAAAAAAUCCCAAACGAACAGCGCACUCUUACAAUUGUCAUUGUCAAGUCAGUCUUUGCAAAUUAAUCAAAGUCUUUGCGCGUUCAACACUCUUCUUUGGUGGCUUUUUAUUCAUCACUCACAUCUAGAGUUGGCAAAACGGGUCAUCGGGUCGUGUUCGUGUCGUGUCAGCUUCGUAUCGUGUCAAAUUUAGGUUGACCCAAACCCGACCCAUUUAAUAAUCGUGUCAAAAUAUUGAGACCCAAACCCGACAAGGAAAAUAAUCGGGUUACUCAAUAACCCGUUUAAUAUCUAUAUAUUGAACAAAAGUUACAUCAAAUAUUUACACACUAUUAUACAUACGUAUGUACAUACAUAUAUAUAUACAUACAUACAUACAUACAUACAUAAUUUAUCGAUAUUAUAAAAUAUACAUAUCUACCAAUAUAUUACACAUUUACACUAUUGAGGUUUUAAUUAUAUAUAUAUAUAUAUAUAUAUAUAUAUAUAUAUAUAUAUAUAAUAUUAUAUAUCAAUAUUAUAAAAUAUACAUGUCUAUCAAUUUUUACACAUUUACACUAUUAAAACUCUAAAUGUAUGUAAAAAUUUAUAAAUAAAACAUUGUGUUUAUAUUCACCCUUUUAAAGAAUAAAAAAAAAAGAAAAUCAUCUCUAAUAUUUGAGUUUUAAUUAUAAGAAUAUGUAAAUUAUUUUAAAAUAGAAAAUAUAAUCAGGUCAUUGAUCGGGUAAAUGGGUCAAGAAUUUUAAUCCUAACCCGACACGGAAAAAAAUCGUGUUGACCCGGACCCGACCCAUUUAAUAAUCGUGUUAAAUUUGACGACCCAUACCCAUUUAUUUAUGUCGUGUUCGUGUUGGGUAAUCAGAUCGUGUCAAAUUUUAUUAGCUCUACUCACAUCACACCACAUCCAUUCACAUGCCAUCAUUUAAACGCCACAUCACCAUUGUCAAAUAAGCAUUCACGUCAACAUCCACAAGUAAGUCUUGAUUCUUGCAAUUUAUAUGUUUAAUUUUUUAUUAUUAAUUUAUUUCAUUGUCACAUCUCAUAAGUAAACUAAGUUUUUGUCAUUUUAUAUAAUAAAAGUGGAAGACAACUCUGAUGCUUUAUUGAUUCUAUAAAAUUCUCGUGCACAAAUCUUUUUAAUUGAAAAUUUAAAUUGAUAUUAUGUUUAAUUUAUUUUAUUUUGUAUAUUUUUAGACCAAUGGAAGCAAACAUGUCAAGUGCUACACCAACACCACAAUUAGUGGAUGUAGUCCAUGUGGAUGAUGAUGGUCAAACAGAAAAUGUUAUUUCGGAUGGGUCAUUAAAAAGAGGAAGCACUAGAAAAUUAAGAUCUAUUGUCUGGGAUCAUUUUGAGAAAAAGAUAAUUAAUGGGGAACAAAAGGCAGUAUGUAACCAUUGCAAUUCCAAGUUAGUAUCAAGGCAAAAUGAUGGAACAAAGCAUUUGCAUGACCAUAUGAAAUCGUGUUUCAUGAAAAAACAAAAAGAUAUCAAUCAUUACAUGACAAAUUUGAAUACUGUCAAGGAUGAUAAAGGACAUUCAAAGGUAGAAUAUUUUGUUUUUUAUCAAGAUGUCACAAGGAAAAUAAUUGCACGUGCAAUUGUCAAGCAUGAGUAUCCGUUUAAGUAUUGUUGAUCAUGAAGGAUUUAGAGAGAUAUUAUCCUCGCUUAAUCCAAUGUGGAAGCAUGUGUCCCGAAAUACAAUUAAAAAGGAGAUAUUGGAUUUGUAUGAGAACGAAAAGGCUAAGAAUUUGAAUGCCUUGGCGAGCAAUCAAAGUAGGCUAGCCAUCACAACAGAUAUGUGGACUGCAGAUACCCAAACAAAAGGGUACAUGGCAGUUACUGGACACUUUAUUGAUGAUUCUUAGACGUUACGGAGUCUAGUUUUGAGGUAAGGUCUUUAUUUUUAUUUUUUUUUGUAUUUAACUUAUUUUUUAAUGUUAAUUAAAAAAUUUAACAAAAUAUAUAUUUUUUAUUUUCUUCUUGUAGGUUUCAGCAUGUAAAAGGUUCACAUACUGGCUUAAAGCUUUGUGACACAUUAUUUAAUUGUUUGAUGGAUCUCCACCUUGAACAUAAGGUAUCUUCUGUGAUUGUGGACAAUUGCUCUGCCAAUGACCGCAUGAUGGAAUAUCUUUUGGUUAAGCUUAAUAAAGAUGAUCUCAUUUUGCAUGGACAAGUAUUUCACAUUCGUUGUUGUGCCCAUAUAUUAAAUUUGAUUGUCAAAUAAGGUAUGACUGUGAUUAGUGAUGGAAUUGCAAAAAUUCGUGAGAGUGUUGUUUUUUGGACUGGAUCAUGUAAAAGAAAGGAGAAGUUUGAAGAAUUUGCUAGUCGUUCAAAUGUUAAAUAUGACAAACAAUUAGUGCUUGAUUGUCCUACUAGGUGGAAUUCCACAUAUCUUAUGAUUUCAUCUGCUUUGCAAUAUAAAAAUGUUUUUCUUCGAUUAAAGCAUAUUGAUGGACAAUAUAAGUGUUGUCCUAGUGAGGAAGAUUGGCAGUUUGCCAUUAUUUUGGAAGAGAAUUUGAAAAGUUUUUAUGAUGUCACUGAGUUAUUUUCAGGAACUAAGUAUCCGACAGCAAAUGUAUUCUUGCAACAUGUGUGUGAGAUUAAAUUAUCUUUACAAGAUUGGCUUUUAUCACCUUGUGAUAGGAUUCAACAUAUGGCUCAGUUGAUGUUAUUGAAAUUUGAUAAAUAUUGGCAAGAUAUGAGUGGAAUUUUGGGUGUGGCCUGUAUCUUUGAUCCAAGGUAUAAAAAGAAGUUCAUUGAAUAUUACUUUUCUAUGGUUUAUGGUAAUGUUAAAGAGUUGUAUGUUAGGAAAGUGGUCACCCUUUGCCGGGAAUUUGUGGAAGAGUAUCAAUUGAAGUUUUCACCAACUGUUUAUUGCUCAGAUUAUACUGGUAGUAGUUCUUCUACUAGAUCUACAGGGGAUUCCUAUAAGAAAGCAACCAAAUGGAUGAUAGGUUUUGAUGAUUAUGUAAACAAUGGAGAUUGUGCAGUUGUUGCAGAUGAAUUAGAUUCAUAUUUGGAUGAGAAAGCAGUUGUUGCAGAUGAAUUAGAUUCAUAUUUGGAUGAGAAAGUUAUACCCCGGAUGGAAGAUUUUAAUAUUUUGAGUUGGUGGAAGACAAAUGCUAAUAGGUAUCCUACAUUGGCUCGAAUUGCUAGAGAUAUUUUGGCAAUUCCAAUUACAACGGUUGCUUCUGAAUCAGCUUUUAGCACCGGUAGUAGAGUUGUGAGCCCACACCGUAACAAACUUCAUCCAAGCACAUUGGAGGCCUUAAUGUGCUGUCAAAGUUGGUUACGAGCUUACAAUAGCAGUAUGAGUUUAUUUUACAUUGUAAUUAUAUUAUACAGUUAUUAAUAUUUGCACUUAUAAGUUAAGUUACUUAUAUCAUUUUCAUUGUUUUAGGUUUGAAAUCUGAGGCUAUCUCUCAAUUUGCCACAUUUCUUGAGGAAGAACAAGAGGAGCAGGACGAGCAGGAGGUAAAUAGUUUUAUUAAAAAUAUUAAUUAAGUAUCUACAUUUAUUUCAUUUAUUUUAUUGCCGAUAUAAAAAUAAUUUUUUUUCUUUUUAUUGUAGGAUUAUGAAGAUUGAGUCAUUGACAAAGAUAAUUAUUUUAAUAAUUUAUAUUUUGAAUGUGACUUUGUAAUGGAUCAAUAUUAAUGUAAGAUAUAUUUUGAACUUUAUUUUUAUCUGAAUUUUUUAUUUUAAUAUGAUUAAUUUAAAAUCGAAAAUAAAAAAAAAUGUAUUAGUUAUUCGGGGACCGGGGACCCUCGGGGAUCCCCUGUUAUUAUUCGGGGAGGGGAUGAAGAUUCUCUCAAGCAAUUCUGACGGGGACGGGGACAUACGCAAAAUAUCGGGGAUGGGUAUGGGGAGAUUGGUCCCCUCCCCUCCCCUCCCCUCCCCAUUGCCAUCCCUAAUGUAAUGCCUCAAGUACAUCUCGAGGAGGCCAUUAAUGCGCUCGGUCUGCCCAUCCGUUUGUGGGUGGAAGCUUGUCGAGGACUUGAGAUCGGUCCUCAACAUCUUGAAGAGCUCCGUCCAAAAGCGUCCAGUGAACCGAGGGUCUCGGUCGCUCACAAUGCUCUUCGGAACUCCCCAAAGCUUCACAAUAUGCUUGACGAAUAGGCAGGCUGCCUCGUCCGCUUUGCAAUCGAUUGGUGCGGCAAUGAAUGCGGCAUACUUGUUGUAUCGGUCGACAACGACCAUGAUGCUUCCGCAACCUUCGGACUUGGGCAGCGAUGUGAUGAAGUUCAUGGAAACACUUUCCCAUGGCCUUGUUGCUAGUGGUAGCAGCUCCAAUAAUCCCGCUGGAAGUUGAUGAUCCACCUUGUCUUGUUGGCACACAAGACAAGUUCGCACAUAUGCCUCGAUGUCGUCCCUCAUGUGCGGCCAAAAAUACGAGGCUUGUACUAGUGUGGUGGUGCGCUCGAUUCCUGGGUGACCAGCCCACUUGGAGUCGUGGCACUCUUUGAUUACUUCCUUCCGCAAGUUUCCCUACCUUGGCACGAACAGCCGAUCUCCCUUGGUAAGGAGGAUGCCUUCCUCUUGCCAAAAGCGCCUUGUUUUUCCCUCGAGCACCUUCUCCAGCAAAUCCUUUGCUAGCGGAUCUUGUUGGAGGCCUUCCUUGAUGCGUGAGACAAGGUCGGACUUCGGUUGGCUCAUGCUAAGAGUUGCCAAUUCCGCCUUGCGGGUUAGAGCGUCCGCAACGACAUUGGCUUUACCUAGUUUGUACUCGAGCCGAUAGUCGAAUUCCGUUAGGAAAUCUUGCCACCGUGCUUGCUUCGGACUCAACUUUUUUUGCGUUUGAAAGUAGCUUGUUGCUACGUUGUCCGUCAUGAUCGUGAAGUGAGAGCCUAGCAAGUAAUGUCGCCACACCCGCAAGCAAUGUAUGAUUGCGGUCAUCUCCUUCUCUUGCACCGUAUAGCGGCGUUCCGUAUCAUUUAGCUUUCGACUCUCGAAUGCUAUCGGGUGGCCUUCUUGCAUAAGGACUCCACCUAUGGCGAAGUUUGAGGCAUCCGUUUGAGCUUCGAAGGACUUUAUGUCGUCCGGAAGGGCGAGGACUGGUUCCUCCGAGAUUGCCUUCUUCAACUCUGCGAAUGCGCGUUGGCACUCUUCGGACCAAUGCCACAUUCUGUUUUUCUUGAGCAUAUCCGUCAAGGGUGCCGCCUUGGCUGAAUAGCCCUUGAUGAAGCGGCGGUAGUAAUUCACCAGUCCAAGGAAUGAGCGAAGCUCGGGCACUUUCGAGGGAGGCUCCCAUUCGAGGAUGGCCUUUACUUUGGCAUUCUCCAUCAUGAUCUUCCCGCCCGCAAUCUUGUGGCCAAGGAACUCCAUUUCUUAUUGUGCAAACGAGCACUUCUCUAACUUGAGGAAGAGCUCGUUGUCUCGGAGUACUUGGAGGACUUGUCGCAAGUGUUGGGCAUGAUCCUCGAGCGUGGUGCUAUACACCACUAUGUCGUCCAAGUACACGACCACGAAGCGGUCGAGGAAUGGUUGGAGCACCUUAUUCAUGAGCGUGCAAAAAGUGGCGGGUGCAUUAGUAAGGCCAAAAGGCAUCACAAGGAAUUCGAAAGACCCGUACCUUGUUGUGCACGCUGUCUUCAGUUCGUCUCCCUUGGCGAUGCGCACUUGAUAGUACCCGGAGCGCAAGUCGAGUUUGGUAAAGUACCGCGCUUUACCAAGCUGGUCGAACAAGUAUGCGAUCAAGGGAAUCGGAUACUUGUUCUUGAUGGUGAUCUUGUUGAGCGCUCUAUAGUCGAUGCACAUCCGCAGCGAUCCAUCCUUUUUCUUUUGGAAGAGGACCGGUGCACCGAAUGGGGCCUUUGAGGGGCGAAUGUAGCCUGCGUCCAGCAAGUCUUUGAGUUGUCUCUGCAACUCCUCUAAUUCAGGUGGCGCCAUGCGGUAGGGUGCCAAGGCUGGUGGCUUCGCGCCUUGUUCCAGCUCGAUCGCAUGAUCUACCUCUCGUCGAGGUGGGAGCUUCUUCGGAAGUUCUGGAGGCAUUACGUCCUUGUACUCAUUGAGGACGGCUUGAAUUCGCGGAGGGACUUGGCUUGGCGACCUUCCCCUAUUUCCUUCCUCGUUUAGUUCCCGAAUAGAGACCAAGAAGCUUGGGUUCUUUCUGAAAGCCCUUUUGAAUUGCAUGGCAGAGAGUGUCUUCUCUUCGGACUUGCCUCGCUCCGUGGGUACCAUGCAUGCUUUGCUCCCGUCGAGGAUGCUUAGGGAGUUUGUAGCGGGCAGCGGGAAGGCAUGGACUUGGUCGAAGAAUUCCAUGCCGAGGACCAUCUUGAAGUCAUCCAUGGGGACGAUGGAGAAAUCAAGCUUUCCGCUCCAUGUUCCAAGCGCAAUGUGCACGCCUUGUGCUAUUCCCGCAAUUGGCUUAGCGGGUGAGUUCACAGCCUUCAUCGUGCCUCCUUCCUUGGUGGCCUUGAGGCUUAAGCGCUUGGCCUCAUCUACGGACACGAAGUUGUGCGUCGCUCCCGUGUCUAGCAGCGCGCGAACGGACUGACCGUUUACUUUUGCGCUUACAUACAUGAGCCCUUUCUUGACGAGUGCGGGCUGUUGGCAAUUGAGUGCGCCGAGGCGUUGGAGAGAAUGACACGACUUAAAAGUGUUUGAUUUACUCUCAAGUAUAAGAGUGCCUAGUUAUAAUAUAUCUCGGUGAGUCCGAAGUCGAUCCACAGAGAAAAUAUUUAAUUUGUUUAUUUUAUUUUAUCUAAAAUUCGAAAAUAAAACUUAAAUAUAAAAAACUUAAUUUAAAUAAAACUAUGAAAUUGAAUUAGUUAGGGUUGUGGAUUCACUCUUAGUAGUAAAUAAAAUUUAAUAAAUUCUUUUUGCCAUUUUUUUAGAUUUAUUGCCCAAAAGAUUAAUUAUAUAAAUUAUUAUUAUUUUCCCUUUAAUUUUACGAUGGAUUAAGUAUUCAUUGUGCCAAAAUUUAAUUUGUCUACAAUAAGUUAAAAUACCAUUUUACCAUACUUUAUAUUUUGAUAAAAAGAAUUUAUUCUGCCAAACUCCCUUGUUUGUCUACAAUAAAUCAAAAUCUCAUAAUAUAAAAUAUGUAUGAAAUUAAAUAGAAAAUAAUUUAAUUUAUAAAAUUAAAAAUAGAAUUUCAUUAAAUCAUAUUUAUUUCCUAAGAGUUUCACCUUCCCCUAACUAUUAAUAUUUAGCUAAACAUUUUUUUUAUAAAGGAAAUUAUUAAAAUUGAAAAACACAUAAGUAAAAAUGGAAUUUGAAAAUUGAAAUAAAACUAAUUUUAUUGAUUGAAAAUAAAUUACAAAGAGAGAUGAGAAUAAGAAUUUGGGGGAAAAGAAGAGAAGAGAAGGUGUGGAGAGGUGUGUUCACCCCCCCUCUAUUUAUACUAAUACAUGGUAAAUCCACACCACACAAAUAAAAAAAUCUAACUACAUCUUAACCUUACAUUUGUCCCACUAAUAAUCCCACUAAUAAAAGAUAAAUCUAACUUAUCCACUCAAGCAUAUCCAACACAUUCCACUAACAAUUACCAUACCUAAUAUGAUAAAAACUUAUAAUUUUACAAUUACCACAUUUACCGUGGUAAAAACGUAAAAAAAAGUACAACAAAAGUCUUGGAUCCUCCUCGACAAUGACAUAAUUUCUCGGACUUUCGAAAUCCAAAUUUGACAUCCAUGCAUUUGUUCGAAGCCUCAAAUUGCAUGAAAUUAUUAUUUUUACCUAAUAAACACACAAAAAUACACAAAAUCAAAUAUUUAGAAAAAUAAUUGGAAAUUCACAAUAUGUUACACAAUUACAAAUAUAAAUUACAUUAAUAAAACAAAAUAACAUUUUUAUCCCUUAAUAAACAUACAAUUUUUAACACUAAUCAGAGAACCCAUGCUGAGUUGGGGUUCCUCCGUGGACAUUGCGGGGUUGCUCUUGAGUUGGGCAGCAAGAGCGUUAAGCGACCUCUUCUCCGGACAGUCGCGUACCCAAUGAGGACCAUUGCAUAUGAAGCAUGGGCUUCGUAGCUUUGGCACCUCCUUCUUGCCCUCCGAUUUCCCUUGUCCGCUCUUGUUGCUAGGCGGCUUUUUCUGCCCCCAAUCUUUGCGGUUGUUGCCCUUGUCCUUGCGACUCUCUCUCCCACCUUUGCCUUGGCUAGACUUCUUGUCUUUGGAUUGGGUGGAGUAUUCGGUAAGCGACUCCGCAAUGGCGAUGGCGUCGUCAAGUGUUUGAACACCACGCCUAUCAAGCUCGGUCUUGGCCCAAUCCUUGAGGCCAUCUUGGAAGUAGAAGAGUGAAUCUUUGUCGGACAUGUCGCUUAUCUCUAACAUAAGGGUAGUGAACUCGUUGAUGUAGUCCCAAAUGCUACCCGUUUGCUUGAGGCGAUGUAAGCGCGCUCGCGCUUCCUUCUCCGCAUUGCUUGGGGCGAACUGUUUUCGGAGUUCUUGCUUGAAGUCGGCCCAAGUGUCGAUGGUGCAAAUGCCCUUGCCCAUCUCGCCAUGCUUGCGACGCCACCAUAGUUGUGCAGCGCCUCUAAGAUAGGUGGGUGCAGUGCCCACUUUCGAUGCCUCAUCUCGGACACCAUGGCAUCGAAGUAUUGAUCAAGCCCAAAGAGGAAAUUGACCACGAUUGUGGCAUUGCGUGUGCCAUCGUAGGUGUCGGGCUUUGGCACGUCAAUGCGGCGCGCAUCACUCAAGUUUGCAGAAGGUGGACUUGCUGAGAGUGUGCGCUUGUGCCAUGCCCAAUCCGAGCGAACUUCAUCCACUUCGGAGAGUGUUCGCUUGCUCUUGAAUGAGAGCUUUUGUUGCCACCGUGAACUCGGCGUAUUCUCCCUCGAGAUCGUCCACUCGUUCCUCCAAUCCCUCGAGGCUAUCUUGAGCGGCGGACAAUGCGAUUUCGAGAGUAGUCACACGAGGCUCCAACGCAUCCACGGAUGGGGCCUUGGACUUGCCGCGAGUCUUGCCUUGGGCGCGUUCUCCCUCUCGGUCGCGGCUUGGUUCCGGUGGAACAUCGACACCAACAACACCCUCUUGUGCUAUGUUCGAAGGGUUGGCCAUUGCUUCGUUAGCUAACUUGCGUGCGUGCAAACCUUAGCUCUGAUACCACUUGUCACGGGAUGAGUAUUUUGCGCAGCUAACCCGUGCGGCACUUAGACAACUUUGCCGAAUGUUGCUAAGUAAGCCUAGAGCUUCUCGAACUAGAGAAGAGAGUAAUGGAGCCGAAUGGGAGAAUUUGUAUUGCACAAAGAGAGAUUACAAUGCUUGAGUUGCUUACAAUGCUUGUUGUUGUGUUUUUUUUUUGGAUACAAAUGCCUAAUGCCAUCCCAUAUUUAUAGGGGAGGCUUGCCAAGCUCUAGAGAUUCUAGAGAAUUCUACAACUUCCUAGCUAUUUACAUGUGCUGGAAUUGUAUAGAGAAUUCUAGAGUAUUUACAAGCUCAAUGUGCUAGAGUUGCCUAGAAUUUUCCGGAAUCGGGCCAAGUUAGCACUCUUGGCCUUGUGUUGGCUCUCUAGCCCGAAAUUGUGGGCAAUUAGGCUAGCGAAUUGGGCGGUCCGCAACAUUAUGCUAUCAAAACUGAAUAAACUUAGUAAUAUAGACUCAAAUUGCAAGUCUCAAGUCAUUUCUUUUUCUAAUUUAUAUAACCAAAAUUUUGUAAAAAAAAAUAAAUCUUAUAUAAAAUAAGGGAAAUCAUCAUUCGUAUACCCUAUAUUUGCUCUGUUAUCAAAAAUACUACAACACUUUGAGGGUGUAUCAAUCGUCCACCCUUAAUUGACAAAAUGUAUCAGCUGACCACUAAACCGUUAGUUGCCGUUUGAAAGUUAACGGAAUUAUAGUGAAUUGACGAUUUUACCUUUGAAAAUUAUCACUUCUUAAAUUCUCUUUUUAUCACUUGUAUACCCUUAAAUUAUCACUUGUAUCAUAUGAAAAGACCAAAUUACCCUUCUGACAUCAUCAUACUUAAACGGCAACUAACGGUUUGGUGGUCAGCUGAACUUGUUCACUAUUUUCCGACAGUCAUGAUAGUAAGGGUCUUAUCGGCGAACUAGGAUUUCAAUGAUGAUGGCGGUGCGUUCUGAGGGCGACAUCCUUCCUCAUCGCCGGUGAUUGGCCGAUGAGCUAUUAGUUCACUUUCGUCAUUUCAAUUUACAUAUUUCUUUUUAUUAUUAAUUUAACAAACAUGCAUCUCAAAUUAUAUUAUAAAUUAUUAUGGUAUAAUUUAAAGAACCUUUUUUUUCAUUUCUUAAAAUAAAACAUUAUACAUUGAACGUUAUUUAUCGAUGCAGAGACUACAUUUUUUUUAAAGAUUAACGGAAGGAAAUAUGUCAAUCUAUUCGGUGCGGAUCGUGUCUUUAAUAAGUGCGGAUCAUGCUUUUGUCAAGUGCGGAUCAUGCCUUUAAAAACUUCCUUCAAUGCUGUUUUAUUUGACAUUCUUAAUAUAAUUUUAAUUUACAAACAUGUAUUAAGUUAUUAAUAAAACUGACUACUUCAAAAUCUAUCCUAAAUAAAUUAUUUGAGAAGCUAAUGCAAUCCCAAUCAUACCCAUAAUCGGUAACCCAAUAGCUAGAAGCGUUACAUAAAAAAGAGGCAAAGAAUAAGGUGCAUAAUAUAGCUUUGUCUACUCUCGAGUCAUUUUGGUUUUUGCCCGCCUGACAAAAAGUGAAAGAAAAAUGUCAAUUGUCAAAUGUGAUGGGGCAAGCAAAGCAUAUCGAUCGAUCAGGCGGCAAGCUGCAGUACUUAAAGAUAUCCGGGUUCAGGAUUAACUAGUAAGCAUCAAACAAUUACUUAAAUAAACCAUCACAUUCGCAAACAUAAAUCCUGAUUUGUACAGAGCUGCAGCUAAGGGUGAAAUUGAACUUCAUCGAAAUUGCAAAAGAUGAACUUGUAAGCAUGGUGACUCACGAUGAGAAUACGGUCCUUCAUGUCAACAUUGCAUCCCACCGAGAAGGAGCGAGGGUAUCCAACGGAGUUCGUGCAACGGAUACUUGAAAUUUGUCCAUCAUUGCUACUACAAGUUAAUGACAAAGGUGAUUAAUAUUUUGUAAUAUUUAAUAACAAAAUAUUAAAUAAAUAUUCACUACUACAAAAUUGGUCUUUAAUGACGGUUUUAAAAGACAUAAGAUGACGGUUUUAAAACCGUCAUCUUAGGCAGUGACAUUAACGGGGUAUACUUUUUAUGACGGUUCAAAAACCGCCAUUAAAUGUCUACUUAUAAUGACGGUUAUUUUAAAAAACCAUCAUUAUAUGUCAUGGAUACAUAAUAUUUAAUGACGGUUUUUUCCUAAAAACCGUCAUUAAAUGUGUAUUUAUAAUGACGGUUAUUUUACUAAGCAGUCAUUAUUUGUUAUUUAUACUAGAGAUUUAAUGACCGUUUUUAGGAAAAAACCGUCAUUAAAUGUUCAUUUUUAAUGACGGUUUUUUUCCUAAAAACCGUCAUUAAAUGUUUAGUUUUUAAAUUUUUUUAUGAUGAUUUUUUUAAAUACUCGUCAUUAAAUUAAUAUUUUUAAUGACGGUUUUAUAUAAAACAGUCAUCUUAAUCAUGUUUUGCUACUUUUUAUGACUGUUUAUCAAUUUAUAACGACGGCUUUUAUAGAACCGUCAUAUUUGAUGUUAUCUAAAAAAAAAAUUAUUACAAGCCUGCUUUAAUUGUAAUUUUCUAUUUAACAAAUGUAUUUUUACAAUUACGUUUUUACAAACUAUAUCAUAUACAAAAUAUUGCUUUACAAAAAUCUUAGAUGUAUAAUCCUUCAUACUUCCUCAACAAAAUGUUAUACAUUGAAAUUCUUACAAAUACUCUUCCAAUAUAACAAAAUCAACAACUAACUAAGAAAAUUCUCAUACUCUUUUGUAGAGAACUUUGACAAUCCUUCAUCUUCAACAAAAUAUUAGCUCUUCCACAUGUAAUCUAGCUACCACAUCUAAAUUCUCAUCAAGUCUUCAUAUGUAAUAUUUUCAAAAAAAAUUAUGCAGCUGUUAGUGACCUACGACAUUAUUUACAAAGAAAGAAAAAAUAAAUAUAUCAAGCUCAUUUAUUACAAGUUGUAGUUUAAUCACGAUAAGUUGUAGUAUCUAGUACUAUUAGAGACUGACCUUGAAUUAUCAAUCAAUUAAUUUUCAUAUGUAGCAGCAAGUUGCCAUGUAUACCUAGCCCACUUGCAUCUCACCUCGUCAAUCUCCCUUUGAGUGUAGCUUUGUAUCUUAACAAACUAUAAAGUGAAAAAUAUAUAAAUUAUUUUGUGGGGAAAAUAAAUAAAUAUUUGAUAACAAAUUGCCAAUACCUUUUCUAGAAUAGAGACAUUAGUAUUAGCCACAAUAUCCCACAUAUAUUUCAUCACAUAAUAUCCGCAAUGCUCAACAUAUUUGGGUUGACGAGGACACUACAAAAGAGAAAGUAAUAGAUUUAAGUUACACAAUGAACAAAUUCAUGCAAUAAUAAAUUAUAAAUCUCAUACAAAAUAUUAUGAAUUUGAAUUUAAGACUAAUGUUCCUUACUUUCAUUGGUUUCCAUAUGCAAUGCUUCCGAUUAAUUUUUCCAUGUGCCGUGCUAAACAUUCUCAAUGAACUUAAUUUCAAAAAUUGCAAAGCAUAUAUUAGAACAUAAUAUAAAGAAAAUACAAGCUAAAAAGUACAAUUUUUUAACAUACCUAUUAAUAAGCUCUUUCAAGUUUUGACGCGGAUCAUGACCAAUUGAAUCAAAAAAAUAACAUUGGCCUUCAUAUGAAUCAAUAACAGUCAACAUCCAAUGUGCUCUGUGUGCAAAAUACUUAUCAUUGUAAAAUUCCAAAUAUCAUAGCAAUCUUAUUCACUUUGAAUGUAUAACUUACGAUUCAUUAUAUGGAAAAAUGAUAAGUAGCAUUGGAUCGAUCGAUUCCAUUAUAUCUCCAAGCUUUUUGGCCUUUUCAAUGAAAUCCAAGACUUAUCCAUUGUAAACUCAACAGCAAUAAAUUGAAGCCUGAAGUAAAUGUGCUUUGAUGUUCCAGUGCGAAAACUGAACCUAUUUAUUUCCAAAAAAUAAAAGGGAAUUAGUUUGGACAUAAGAGCAAACAAGAAAAUAAGUAAACAAAAGAAAAAAGAAAAGGUAGCACUAUAAUUAUUUUGGUGUUGUAUAGCUACUGUAAUUGUGUUAAAACAGCACCUGUAACUUUCAGGUGCUGUUUUUAAUUAGAAUCAAACACAGCAUGACAGCACCUAAAAAUUUAUUUAAGUGCUAUCCAACUAAUAAAAACACCACUUGAAAGUUUUAGGUGCUUAUUUUAACAGCAAACAGCAGUAGGACAGCACCCAAAAAAAUUUUUAGGUGCUGUUUAGCUGCUAAAAUUAUGUUCAAACAGCACCUGAAAUGUUCAGGUGCUAUUUUUCUAAUCAAACAACAACAUGAUAGCACCAAAAAUAAUUUUUUGUGCUGUCUAGCUGAUAAAAAUAACAGCUGAAACUCUUAGGUGUUGUUUGUAACAACAAACAGCAACAUGACAGCACCCAAAAUAUUUCUUGGGUGCUGCCUAGUUGCUGAAAUUGUGUUAAAAACAGCACCGGCAACUUUCAGGUGUUGUUUUUAACAUCAACCAAAAGCAUAACAACACCCUAAAAUAUUUUGGGUGUUGUCUAACUGACAAAACCAACACUUUGAAUUUCCAAGUGUUGUUUUUAACAGCAACAUGACAGCACCUGAAAGUGUUUUUCUAAUCAAACAGCAACAUGACAGCACCCCAAGGAAAUUUUGGGUGGUGUGUAGCUGAUAAAAACAGAACCUGAUACUUUUAGGACCUGUUUUUAACAAAAACAGCAAAGGACAGCACCCUGAAUAUUUUUGGUGUGCUGGCUAGCUGCUGAAAUUAUGGUAAAAACAGCACCUGCAACUUUCGGGUGCUAUUUUUAACAUCAAACAGCAGCAUGACAGCAUCCUAAAGUAGUUUAGGUGUUGUCUAACUGAUAAACCCAGUAACUGAAAGUUCCAUUGCAGUUUUUACAACAAACAGCAGCUUGAAUGCACCUAAAAAACUUUUCAAGUGCUGUUUUUAGCCUUAAACAGCAGCAUGAUAGCACCCAAAAAAUUUGUGAGUGCUGUCUAGCUGAUAAAAACAGCAACUGAAAUUUUCAGGUGCUAUUUUUGACAGCAAACGGCAAAUUACAGCACCUAGAAUAUUUUAUAAGUGCUACGUAGCUGCUAAAACUGCGUUAAAACAGCUAGACAGCAGCAUGACAGCACCUAAAAAUUUUUUUGGUGCUGUCCAGUUGAUAAAAACAGCAUUUGGAACUUCCAUGUGCUGUUUUUAACAGCAAAUAGCAGCAAGACAGCACCCAGAAAAAUUUUUGGGUGUUGUCAUGCUGCUGUAAUUGUGUUAAAAUAGCACCUGAAACUUUUCAAUGCCGUUUUUUACAACAAAUAGCAGCAUGACACACCGAGAAAAUUUUAUGGAUGUUGUCCAGUUGCUAAAAUCAGUGCUUGGAAGUUCCAUGUGUUGUUUCUAACAGCAUAUAGCAGCAUGACAGCAGCAGAAUAAUUUUACAAUUGUUGUUUUCUUUAUAAAUCAGUGGCAAUCAGAGCUUCUAAAAACUUCAGUAUAAGAAAAGAACAAUUAAAUCCUCUCAAUUGAUUUUGGGAGGAAGGAAUACUUUUAUUACAUCAAAACAAAGUUAAAAAAACAACAAAAAAGAAAAAUGUUAUGGCCCUUUUAAGGUUUUCUACUUAUUAUUGCCGAUCAUAGAACUAAAUACUUAACGAAACAGAAUUUGCUGAAUUAAACAUGAAUUUCAUAAAAUCCACACCAUAGAAUUACAUGGCAACGAAAAAUUUUAAAACAAACUAUAAGAACUGAAACAAACCUUGCAGAUGAUUGAACUCAAUACUGAUAUCAAGCACACCAAAAAUCUCUGAGAGAAGUAGCCAUGUUUAGAGUCAUCCAAUGCUAGGUUACAAAACCAUGAAACCUGCCCAGUCAAGUUAAUGAGAUUUAUAAGUAAUAAAAUGAAAAUACAGAGAGAGAUAGAGUGCAAGAAUGAUUUGGCUCAUAAAUAAGAAAUUUCAAAUUCCUUCCAGUAAUCUGACCUAGGCAGUGAACUGAGGAUGCAUUGGAGCAUUAACAAUGGGAUUCAACUCGGUGGCUGCUGAGACGGCACAAUAAUCCCAAGGUUGCGAUGGUUACGAAGUUGGCAACAAUCAAUCUUGGCUAUUCUGGAGAGAAAUGAGCGAGUGAUGGAAGGAAUUUGGGUAUUUGGGAGAGAUAUUUUGAAGUGAUGAAAUAAAAUGCCAAGUCUAGAAAUCGGCUUUGCUUAUUUUUAUUUGUAUUAUUCAUGACCGUUUAUUUUAUAAACGGUCAUGAAUGAAGAUUAAUAAUUUCCUCUUUAACCACGGUUCCUAAAAUAACUGACAUUAAUACUAAGGUUAUAUUUUAGUGGAUAUACAAUGACAGUUAAGUUUAAAACCCGUCAUUGUAAGUAUGUAUUUUUAAAGACGGUUUUUAUAACGAACCGUCAUUAAAAAUAACAUUAUAUUUUAAUUUUACAUUUAAUGACGGUUUUCGAAUAAAACUGCCAUUGUAAGUAUAAAAUAUUUUUAAUAACGGUUUUUAUAACGAACCAUCAUUAAAAAUAACAUUAUAUUUUAAUUUUACAUUUAAUGACAGUUUUUGAAUAAAAUCAUCAUUGUUAGUACUAAUAUUUUUAAUGACAGUUUUUAUAAAAAACCGUCAUUAAAAAUAACAUUAUAUUUUAAUUUUACAUUUAAUGACGGUUUUAGAAUAAAACCGUCAUUGUCAGUACUAAUAUUUUUAAUGACGUUUUUUAUAACGAACCGUCAUUAAAAUUAACAUUAUAUUUUAAUUUUACAUUUAAUGACAGUUUUUUUUAUAAAACUGUCAUUGCAAGUAUUAAAUAUUAUGACGGUUCACAUAAUAACGGUCAUAAAAAAGUUUUAAUGACGGUUAUUUUUAAGAACCGUCAUAACCUAUGGGUCAUUAUUUUGAAUUUUUGUAGUAGUGAUUAUAAUCUAUCAUUCCAUUAUUAUAUCUUCAAAACAAAAUCUUUCAUUUUACUAUACUUUCAUUAACUAUCCUUUAUUGUUACUGACUUAAGAGAGAAUCUUAAAUCGCAAAGAAUAUAGUAAUUAUUAAAAUUAAAUAAAAUAAAAAAACCAAAAAAUUAAAAAAAUAAAUAAAGAUAGAGAAUCUUUGAAUACAUAAUUAAUUAAUUAUCAAAUAGUUAAGCGUGAGCUAGUUCACCACAAAUAUACUGAUAUGAUGAGAUCGGCUAUUGAUGUUCUGACAUGUGGUAGAGUAAGGAUCCGACUUUAGAAUCCACUUUUAAUAUUAAGAAAUAAUCCUCCCACCGGUUGGGGUGGAGGCUGGUCUAUAGAAUUGUUUCUCAUAAUGAAAUAUCUAUUAGAUUAGAAUUCUUUGAACAUAGAAUCAAAAGUGAUAAAAUUACAUUAUUUGGUAAUAUAAAUAAAGUUAUGUAGUUAUUUAAUUGUCAAAUGGAGCGUAGACCAAGAAUCUCUGUAUAUAUUAUUUAAUCAACAAUUAUAGACAUACAAUGUAUCCUGUAAUAAUUGAACAUCAUCAUUUCUUAUUUGAAUGAUAAACUUUAUUUGAUACCAUACAAAAUUUAUAUUCUAACUUUGUGAAAAUAUCAAUACUUUUAUGUAAUUGUCAAAAUGAUCUAGGUCAAACUUAUCAGUCAGCUGAGCAAUAUACAGUACAACAAUGAACUGUCAAAUAAAAGUUUUUUAAGAUAAUGACGAAUAAAAUUCUUUAAAACAUAAGACUCAAAAGAGAGGUAGUUCAUUAUGUGCUAGAAAAUGUGGCCAGGUGAUAAGUGCGUACGGAUAAAAUUGCUCGGUCUAUGGAUUGUCGUCGAGUAGUCUAUAAUUGGAAGGCCAAGUCUAGUUGUUGUAAAGCGAUGCAACUAAAAACAACAGGAAAGAGCGCCUCGUCCGUAUGAUCCCCUGCUGUUUUCUUCAAGCAACAAGGCUCACAGGGAAACAAGUUGGCGGUGGUGAUGGUAAGUAGUUGGCAAGACCGGCUCAAUCAUAGCUUUAGUAAAUAGUUUUAGGCCCACUUUGGUACUAAAGUAUUAUAACUUUUAAAAUAUAUUUAUUGUGAAAAAACUUAUAAUUAUAUAAUAACAAUUCAUAAUAUACAAUAAAUAUAUUUUUUAAAUAAUAAUUUUGAUAAAAUUAGUGAAAAUAUAAUUAAUUUUUUAUUAUAUAAGUAUAAAAUCAAAUCGACUUAACUUUCAAGUUACAACAAUUAGUAUUUACCAAACAUUUUGAUACUAAAACUUUUAAGCUAUAGCUAAAAACUACAACUGCCCAACUUCAAUCUCAAACAGGUCUUAAUUAGUUCUUCUUAAAAUUUGAGGAAAAAAAUAUAUUAAUUAUAUUAUAAAAUUUAAUUAUUUUAAUUCAAUUCUUCCAAUAAUCUGAAAUGUAAAAUUAUUAAAUAAAAUUCUAUUCUACAAUUGCUAAUCUAUGAAAUUUAAUUCAAUUAUACCAUUUUCACUUAUUGUUUCUUCACUCAAAUUACAUCUUUUUUACUACUCCUUUUUUAGAUUAAACUAAUUUUUCUAUUCUUCUUUUUUUAAAAGUUUUUCAAUACAAAAUGGAUAAAAUUGGCACACACAAAAAUAAUAAUAGUAGAUGAACAAAAGAAUAUACUAAAAAGAAAUAAGAACAAAUAAAUAACACAACUAAUUAAGAGAAAAAUAAAAAGAUAAUUUGGAAUUUGAGAUGAAAUCAUAAAUUAAUUUUAACUUUGAUUUUUUGAGGAUUUAUGCAAUGACUAAUAACCAUGGAGAAUAGAGAAAACUAUAAGACUUUUAUUAUUAUUAUUAUUAUUAUUAUUAUUAUUAUUAUUAUUAUUAUUAUCAUCAUCAUCAUCAUCAUCAUCAUCAUCUUUGAGCGGAAGCUAGAGGAAGAGUUCUCUCUCUCUCUCUCUCUCUCUCUCUCUCUCUCAAGCACCAAGAGUAUAUCAUAUCUUAGUUGUUGGCGGAAAAAUUUAAUGGAUAAGUACCAAAAUGUAGGGCUUUUAUAGAGAUUUAAACUGAAUAUAGAACUUUUUAAUUAUGACGUAUUAAUUCUAACAAUAAAAUAAAGAUUUUUGUAUGAUUAAAACUAUUAAGUUAUCGUUUUUGUAGAAAUUAAAACUAUUAAACAUUCUAUUAAAUAGAUUGUAUAGGAAUUUUUUUUUUACAUUAAAAUUUGCUUCAUUAAACUGAAACAUUAAAAGAGAAAUGUAAUGUCAAGAGGCGCCUUAUGCGUCUUAUGCACCCAUAUACAAGACUCUGAUCGCCCAAGGGCCAUUUUAGCAGCAUUGUGAGCUAUAGAGUUACAAGUGUUGAAAAGUCACACUUCCGCGACAACAAGAUCUUGGAAUAUGUUUUACAGCAAACACACUUUAGUUUAUUUAGCAAUUUGAUAGUUUAUUUAAGAAAAGAUAAUUACAAAAUAAUAAUAAUAAAUUAAAUGAUUAAAUAUGACUUUAAAAUUCACGUUCUCCUUUUAUACACAAAUUAAUAAUCUAAUACAAAUGUGUCGCCUUGAUAUAUAGUAGGCCUAUGCAAUGCCGAAUUGCUUGGUCACGAAUCUUCUUGGAAUAUUGCAAUGGCCAUUCUUAUUUCCCUCUCAGCAUGGUUAGAGAAUCAAGAGAGCAGAGGUUCUAAAAUUAUAUAUAAUCCAAGGAAUUUGACUUAGAACUACUUACUAUUUUCUCGAGGAACUCACAAAUCUUCUUGAUUUCCCACCAAUUCAACAUCAAUUAUAGCUACUGUUAAAAGUUAGAACAAAUCUUACCAUUGUUGUAAAAUUCUAACCUGAAAGCUUAAUUUGCACGUUUCUUACUCUAAUCUCUCUUAACAAAAAAAAAAAAAAAACACAACUCGAAACGUCAAUUCCUCUUCUAUGAAUGAAACUAGAUACGAAAGCCUGAUGAUUUUUAAGUUCAAUAAAAAUCAUAACCUCCUUUGUUUCCCUUCUCUGUUUAGUGGGCUCAAAAUUUAGUAGUAUUAUGGGAACGUGGGCUUAUAUUAUAAGCUGUUGGACCAACUAAAGAGAAAUAUGGUCAAAACUUAAACAGAACAUGGGCAACGCCCUUGGAUUAUUACGCACAUAAGGUAACAAAAUUCUCCUCUGCCACUUCCUGCCUUCAGCAGUGGCUCUCUCAACGAUCUUUUGUUAUAAGCGUUGGCACAAAUAAAGGAUGUUGAUAAUUUAGGGAAGUAAAUAAAUAAAAAGGACGGUUGAUUAGUGCUAUCGGUAAUAAAGUAGCGUUGGAUGGCUAGACUUAGUCGUUGACGCAAAACACGGGAAAAGACAGGAGACUGAAGAAGAAAUAACAAAGCCAACCUUUAAUUCUUGAUAUCUAUAAUUCAGGUUUUGUAAUUAUUCAAGUACAGUUGUUGUUAAAUAAAAAUUAUAAUUAUAAAAUAAAAAUUAUAAUUAUAAAAUAAAAAUUAAUAAUAUGUAAUCAUUAUAAUAUUUAAAAAAUAAUUUUAAUAAAAUUAUAAAAGAUACAAUAAAUUUUUAUUAUACAAGUAUGAAAUUAAAUCAAUUUAAUUUUUAUAUUACAAUAAUUAAUAUUCAUCAAUUAUUUUAACACUAUAAUUUUUAGCUUACAACCGCCAACUGUUCGACCUCGACUUUAAAUAGGCCUUACUCGAAUUAGUUGGCGUCGAGAUCCUUCACCGGCCAUAGAGAAAAGUCAAAGAAAAUAAUUGCAGGACCAUCAUGGGGGACCAUUUCGUAUUUUCGUGUUUACUUUGUCAACAUUUUUUUCCAGAAGUAUACUUAUCAGACAGUUUAUAUCCAUAUUAAUGCGCGUGUCACUAUCCAUUAAUUAAAAUAUGUUUUAAAAAAUAAUAAACAAUAAGGUUAUUAUCGUUUGACUCAUUCAUAAAUUAUUUAAUAAGUAUCAUAAUUUAUUAUUUUAUUAUUAUAUUAAAAAAAUUUCCAUUUUACUACAUUUCAUUUAAUACGGUUGGCCCUUUAUUGUUACUAAUUGUAAGGUUACAGCUCACGAAGCUAAUCCUAAUAGAAGUUAGUUCGACGUUGAUGUCAUACCAGCAUUGAGGGGGUAAAAAUGAGUUCACAUAUAAGACCAAUAUCAAAUCCUAUAAGCUACUCUAUCGUUAAUUAUUGAAUAAAUGGAACGUAUUAAUCCAAUUUGAAGGCGUACACGUGAGAGCAUAGAGGAGGUUAAAAAAUUAAGAUGUGGGCCCACUUUAAAUUAUAACUCUCAAUUUCAAAUGUUAAUAAUAUUCACGAGGGGAAAAAUUUUAAAAUACAUUAGAGAUAAUAUAACUAAUUAAUACAUGUAUGAUAUAUGUUUUUAGAUUUGAUAUAACCCUAUUUGAAUGAUGAUUUUCUAAAAUAAAUACACACAUAUCAUAAUAUAAUUUAUUUAUUAUAUGACUAAUAUGGUAACUCUAAUGUAUUCUAAAACUUCUCAACAAUAAGAAGUUUUGCUGAAUUUUGAAAUAUUAGGCAGUUUUUGCUAUAUUUUACCAAAUAAAGAGAACGUUUUACUCAUUUCCCUUAGAUUAAUUUUGUAAACUAAGGUCCAUUAGAUUCACAUUUCUUUUCCAACAAGCCGCUUACCACAUUGCCCUUAGCUAAUAGCUAUUUACUAUUUAGACCAUUUGCCUAUGGUUAAUAAUCUUCUUCCUUCAUGGAUAGAAUUACUUUGAAUUUUAUUAGAAACCUCAUAUAUUUUGUUAAUACAUUUAUGCAAGUGUGAAGUGCAACUGUAUUGGGUGCUCCGACAGUAACUUAAAUGAGAGUGACUGUAAUAUAAAUUAAAAAAAAACGUUUGUAUUAUUUUAAUUAUCAAAUGAUUAGGCUUAUGAGAAGAUCUUUUUUCUUAAAUAAAAGAAUUCUCAAUAAAUAAAUAAAUAACAUCUAAAAAUAACAAGUUAAGUGUUGUGAAAAAUCUUUCAUCCUUCUAAAACAGCUACGAGAAUGAAUUGGUAAUCCACCCUUAGCUAAAACAUAUGCAGGUUUAUCAUUAUUAGUUUAGGAGAAAAUCUUAUAAGUAGAUCGUAUUUUAGAAUUUAUAAAUUUUAAUAUUAAAAAAAUAAAUGCUAUACCCAACGAAAUAAUUUAUGCCGUUGGUCCUACCCUCCGCUGAGGUGACAGGACAGCUAAUAGAAUUUUUUCUCAUAACUCAUAAGCAGCCACCUCUUAGGUUAGAAAUCUUUAAAGAUAGAAUUAGAAAGUGAUGUGAUUACAAUGUUUGGUAGGAAACGUGGCAAAGUAUAAUGGGAUAAGUCCAUUGAAGUCAUCUCGUGAAAAACGUUUGAUCUAUUAUCAUGUAUUGUGGUGGAAACUGAGUAGUACGUAGUUGUAAAGCGAAGUCCGAUAGUGAAAAUCUGAAGAAAAGGACCGUACCGUUGUUGAUUGACGUCAUCGGUAAUGAAAAUAUCUCGGAUGGCUAGACUUGGGCAUUGACGCUGAAUACAACAAAAAGAGAGAAAAGAUUGGAAACGAAAGUAAAAGCGAACCUGUGUUUUUUGAUAUCUUUAACUACUUUUAACUUCCAUCUCAAUGAUAACCAGUUGAGUGAUGUCAAAAAUCUUCCACUAUUACAAAAUAACUACGAAAAUGAAAUACAAACUUUAGAUAAAGUAUCUAUAAUAUUAUGACAACUACCUUAAAAGUUAUCUUAAACCUUAAAGAGCAUAAUAAUUAUUAAAUAAAAUAAAGAAACACACCCAAAAAGUUAAAAAAUAAAAUAGAGACAGAGCAUAUUCGAAUGCAUAAUUAAUUACAUGUCAAAAAGUCUCGCGUGUGUUAAUCAGUCAUAAAUAUAUUGAUAUGAUGAUGAAAUCGGCAGAACAACUACAGAGAAUGGGUCGUUUAUCUAACUACCGGUUGAGGUGGUAGGCUGCUCCAUAAAAUUGUUUCUCAUAAUAAAUUAUCGAUUAGAUUAGGAUUAUUUGUAGAUAGAAUCAAAAGUGAUAUAAUUACAUUAUCCGGUAAUAUAAUCAAAAGUUACGUAGUUAUUUAAUUGUUAAAUGGAAAUAAACAAAUGAAUUGUUGAUGCUGAAAUCUGCUCGCCUUUGGACCGACCAGAUUUUUUCACCAACGUUUGUGUUAUAUACUGUUACUCGUUCACUGGGAUUGGAAUCGUCCUCCUUUCUCACAAUAGACCUGCGCUCACCAAAAACGGAUCAGAGACGCCGGUGGUUUUGCCGGCGUAAACCCUCCGAUGCCUAAGUUAGCUCAAGGUGUUUACGGGAAAACAGUGCAAUAUCUCAAAAUGGUUUCUAAAUUAUUCGGAGUUUAUAAGAAAAUAGCCUGGUUGAAAUUUGGCAGCGUUUUCCCUCUCUCAGUUUUUCUAUCCCCUUCUUCAUCGAUUUCUUCUUCUUUUAUAGCCGCUGUCCCCACGUUCCCGUUUGCCCUUCAUCCCACCUUUUUCGGGUAGUGGUAGCCUCUCAUGGGGCUCUAACUGCUGCAUUAUGGGCAAACGUGGGAUCUCGCGUCUCCCGCAACGGUUCUGGGAAAGCGCAACUACCGUGAUUCUGUGAGAUCGUGUUUCCGCUUUUCGGGGGACGGGUACCGGCUCGGUAUAUGGCUCUGGUCAGUAUUCGUCUCUGAUCGACUCAUGCUGCCCUCUGCUCUGCUCGUACCAUUUGACUGAGGUGAUUCAUGCCGGGGUGGAAAUAGUGUCAUGGCCGACCUGGUGCUUUUAUUUGCUUAACACCAGUCCCCCAGUUUCUGGUCUUGUGAGUGAAAUGAGUCAAGAGUAGAAACUGAUAGUCGACUCUUACCAAUCCGGGGGUUUCUCCUCUGGUCUUCUAUCUACCGGGACGGACAUGAGGUAUCAUUUUUCUUCGGGUGAGAUUUUGAUCUGGGCGUGGGCCUAAAUGAGCAUGUCCACUGCGCAUCUGGGCUUGCAUCUAGCCUGGCCUCUUGUAACGGUUGGUGACGUGGCAUCUCCCGAUUCUUCGUAUUUGAAAUUUGAAACGACGGGCUAUCUGUCCUCGAUGUACGGUGAGUGAGCUGGCGUCCCCAUCACUUAAAUGCUCUCAUUUCCCCCUUUUCGUUUUAAAUCCCUAGACUGGAGUCUUCAUCAUCUUGUUACUCGUUUCUCCGCCGUUAACCAAAUUUUCUCUGAACGUUGCUCACACUUCCAGCGACCGGAGUAUUCACUUGCUGGGUGUUCUCUCUGUCACGGCAGCGCUAUCAGUGUCAGUCUAUUCCAGGUAUAGCCUUUAACCUUUUCUUUGGCUGUUGUUGGUUGGGUUCUGUGUUGCCCCUUUUUGUAUCCGUGUACUUGGGUUUGUUUUGGUCUUUCUUUUGAGAUUCCGAUAUGUCAAACCGGAAAAGAAAGUUAAUCGUUGAUGAGGGUGAGGAAGAAUCAGGGGAUUCAGGCCUCAACGUGUCAAUACCCACCGAUUUCUUAGGUCCCUCCAGUAGUGUAGGUCCUUCCCAUGGCAGGGGUACCCUUGAGUACCCACGCCCCUUGGCUGUCUCUCCCUCCCCCGAACUAGAGCUUGUAGGGAAUAGAGGUGGACCUGCUUCGGGCUCUGGUGAGAACCACAGCUUUGGUGGGGUUGGGAUCCCUGAAGGAGUUGGUGAUGGUGAGGGGAGCAGUUCUGGACCGAGUGGACCUGCUAAGAAAAGGAAUCUUGGCCAUAGGGUGGAGGCUGAUUCCUACCCUAUUGAUUACAUAGCCUGUGCCACCACCCAAACUGAUCUGUUCAAGCUUAGGAACCUCUACGACAUUCCUGAGGAGGUUCUCCUUGUAGUUCCUGGGAAGGGUGACGUUCCUAGUCGGCCUCCGCGGGGGUACGUGACGAUGCACCUAGAGAGUUUCAAACUAGGAGCUCGGCUGCCCCUUCAACGUUAUUUUGCCAAGAUAUUAAGAGGUAUGCACCUGGCCCCAGGUCAGCUACACCCGAACGGGUGGAGAGUUCUCUCGGCAAUGUUUGUGUUGUGGGAGAGGUGCGGGUCGGAGGAGUCUUCCCUUGUUGAAGUGAAACAUCUGUAUCAGCUGCGAAGCAGCCCAAGGGAGGCGGGCUGGUACUACUUCAUGUCCAGUUCUGCGAAGAGAAAGCCAAUCACCGGUUUCCCCUCCUCGUGCAAAAAUUGGAAGAACAAAUUCUUCUUUGCUGGGGGAAAGUGGUGUCCAGCACUCCGCUCGUUGGGUGGUGAUAUUUACCUUCCAACGCAGUUUGUCACCCCAGGUCUUUCAUUUUUGCCUAUAUUCUUUCUCAAAUUGUCACUUAUCGAGUUCUUUAACCUUUUGUGUUAUUUCAGAGUCGUGGGGUCUGAUCGGGGGGCUUGAAGAUCGGCCUUUGCUUCAGGUGGAAACGGCUCUAUUGAACGCGUCUACCUGCCAAGACCUCCUGUCACCAACAAGUCUGGUCGGCUCGGGCUUAGUGGACAUAGCUGCCGGGAUGGAUAACAAGAUCCUCAGCGCGAUGAGCAAGAAGCGUAGUCGGGGCCCGAGUAGCUCCAGCAACCCUCCUCCUCCUCCGAAGAAACCUAGCGUCGGUCCUUCCAAGGCGCCUGUUCCUGCUCUGCUCCCUCCUCCACCUCGUAAGAGUGUUGGGGAGAAAACCUCUGACAAGAGUCCUGAGGUCAGCUUGCAUUCUGGGGACCGAUCUUCUCCUCUUCCAUCUCGGGAUCAAGGUGACUACCUGAGCCCAUAUCAUAAGGAUUAUAAAAAGUCGGUUGGGCCCAAGAUGGUGAAGGACAUCGAGAGCAUGAGCCUCUCCGAGUUGGUUGCCUCUGUUCAGAGAGUCUCCUUCAGACUGGCCACAAUGGUCUCGUGCUACAAGACUGGAUCCGCGCGUCAUGAGAAGAAGCUUCAAGCUGACAAUCAGGAGUUGAAAAAGAAAGCUGAAUCUGCUGACCGCUCCAAGGAGAAACUAGCCGAGCUGAACAAGAAGAUUACGGAGCUGGAGGAGAAAGUUGCGGUUGCUGAAUCCACUUCCUCCAAACUCGAGGGCGAGUUGGGUGACCUGAGAUCUGAUCUUCAGGCUACUCAAGCUGAAAGGGAUACUUUGAGGGCCGCCCUUGAGGGGGAAAUCAAAUCCUUAGGCGAGCAGCUGGCUGAGGAGAAAGGCAAAUCCGCUGAUGUGGAUGAUCGGCUGGAUGCCGAGUAUGAUUCUGGGGUUGCCUUCUCCUACAAGUGCAUCAUGUCUGUGCUUAAGACAGAAUAUCCCGAGAUGGACAUGAGCAAACUGGAGGCCGGAGUGCAGCGGUAUAUGGCGCAGGUCGACCAAGCAGAUAAGGAGCAGGGUGAGCAAGAGCAGGUGGAGGCCCCUUUGGAUGGAGUGCAAGAGGAGGAAGCUGGGGGACGCAUUUUCGAAGUGGGUCAAGGGUCCAUGCCUCCUCCUCCCGGCAUUGCUGAUCUCCCACCUCCUGAUGUUGCUGAUCCCUUACUUCCCGAGCUCGCUGAUCCUUCAGCUGCUGGAGCCGCUGACUCUGCUAAGCUUUGAGCCUAUUUUUUGUAUAAACUCUAGAUUUGCAUUUGUUUUGUAAACGAUUGAACAUUUAUAAAAAUUUUUGAAUGCUCUCUAUUGGCUUUCUUGUCUGGUUUUGCCUGUUGGUUCUUUGGUGCAUCGAACAGGAAUAGGCAUCCGUUUGCCUUAAUAAAAUUUUCGAAGCUUUAGUUGCUGGUCUUUCGUUGACCGAGCAGAAACAAGCACUUUAUUGCCUUAGUAAGAUUUUUUGUAGAAUUAGCUGCUGGUCUUUCGUGGACCGAGCAGAAGUAGGCACUUACUUGCCUUAGUAGAAUCUUCGUAGAUUUAGCUGCUGGUCUCUCUUUGACCGAGCAGAGGUAGGCACUUACUUGCCUUAGUAGAAUCUUCGUAAAUUUAGCUGCUGGUCCUUCGUUGGCCGAGCAGAAGUAGGCACUUGCUUGCCUUGGUAGAAUCUUCGUAAAUUUAGCUGCUGGUCUUUCGUGACCGAGCAGAAGCAGGCACUUACUUGCCUUGGUAAAAUCUUCGUAAAUUUAGCUGCUGGUCUUUCGUGACCGAGCAGAAGCAGGCACUUACUUGCCUUGGUAAAAUCUUCGUAAAUUUAGCUGCUGGUCUUUCGUGACCGAGCAGAAGCAGGCACUUACUUGCCUUGGUAAAAUCUUCGUAAAUUUAGCUGCUGGCCUUUCGUGACCGAGCAGAAGCAGGCACUUACUUGCCUUAGUAAAAUCUUCGUAAAUUUAGCUGCUGGUCUUUCGUGACCGAGCAGAAGCAGGCACUUACUUGCCUUAGUAGAAACUUAGUAAAUUUAGCUGCUGGUCUUUCGUAGACCGAGCCGAAGUAGGCACUUAUUUGCCUUAGUAGAAACUUUGUAAAUUUAGCUGCUGGUCUUUCGUUGACCGAGCAGAAGUGGGCACUUACUUGCCUUAACAGAUUUUUUGAUGGGCUUAUUAGCCGGGGGAUUUCAUGUUGAAUUCAUCUUUAUUGAAAUUUGAAUGUAUUACAAAAACAUAGAAUAUAUGUAUGUGCGACAAGCCAUCAGGCAUUGUAACAUAAAUAACUUGCCAGAGUGAGGAUUUAAUAGAGCCUUUUGCUUACUGGAAAUACUUCUUCAGGUGUUCGGCGUUCCAUGACCUCUUCACGUCUCGUCCGUCUUGGCACGCUAAUUUAUAUGCUCCAGGUCCAGUGGCUCGUGUCACUCGGUAUGGGCCUUCCCACUUUGGGCCAAGAGCGCCAUGGUUAGGAUUCCUGGUGUUCUGGUUCACCUUCCUAAGUACCCAAUCUCCUGCUCGGAACUGCCUCACGCGUACGUUCUUGUUGUAAUAACGCAUGACCCUUUGUUGGCACUGGGCCACUUUCUGCACUGCCCCUUCCCUUUUCUCUUCCAGCAGGUCCAGACUUAAGCAAAUCUGCUCGUCAUUUUGCUCCUUAGUGAAAUAUUCCAUCCGAUGUGUUCCCACUCCAACCUCUGCUGGGAUUACCGCCUCAUGACCAAAAGCUAAAGCGAACGGUGUUUCUCCUGUGGCGGUUUUGUGAGUUGUCCUGUAGGCCCACAGUACUCCUGGUAGCUCGUCAACCCAAGCUCCCUUCUUCUCUCCCAAUCUAGUCUUUAGGAGCUUUUUUAUCACCUUGUUGGCUGCUUCCACUUGUCCGUUUGCCUGGGGGUGUGCGGGGGUGCAAAACUUCAGGUCCACCCCCAGGUUUCGGCAAAAUUCCCUGAAGUUGCCGUUGUCAAAUUGCCUCCCAUUGUCUGUGAUGAUGGCGUAGGGGAUCCCAUAUCUGCAGAUGAUAUUUUUCCAAAUAAAAUCUGUUGUCUUCCUCUCUGUGAUCUGGCUGAGGACUCCUACUUCCACCCACUUGGUGAAGUAGUCUAUUGCCACAAUUGCAUGUGUCGCCGCUCUUCGUCCCUUAGGCAAUGGACCAAUCAAGUCGAUUCCCCAUUGAGCGAAAGGCCAUGGGGAUGUCAUAGCCGUCAGCUUUUCCGGGGGUUGUGCAGGAACCUCGGAGAAGCUUUGGCAUGUUUUACAAUUCUUUGCCAUCCUUUUGGCAUCCUGGUGCAUGGUUGGCCAGAAGUAUCCUUGCCGGAGCGCCUUGAAGGCUAAAGUUCUUGCUCCCGAGUGAUUGCCGCAUAUUCCCUCAUGAAUCUCUCUCAGCACAUAAUCCGCCUCCUCAUCAUCCAAACAUCUCAAAAGGGGCAAGGUGAACCAUCGGCGGUACAGCACUCUAUCCAGUAGCGUAUACCUUGCUGCUCGGCAUUUUAAUUUUCUUGCUUGCCUUUUGUCCUCUGGUAAAACUCCAUCGCGGGCAUAUGCGCGAAUCGGAUCCAUCCAGGAUUCUCCAGCGCUUACUCUCAUCACCUCUACUUCCUCCCCUAUACUCGGCGAGGUCCUUACCUCUAGUGGAACCGACUUAGGUAAUUUUGGAUCUGCAAUUGCAGCCAUCCUAGCCAACAUAUCCGCUCGGUAAUUCUCAUUCCGAGAUAUCUGCUUUACUUCCACCUCUUGGAAAAGCACAACCAUCUGCUUCGCUUUUUUUAAAUAAAGGCCCAUCUUCUCUCCCCUUGCUUGGAACUGAUCGUUGAGCUGAUUACAUACCAAUUGGGAAUCUGCUCGGAUUUCUACCCUUUCUGCUCUUAAAGCGUGUGCAAGGCCGAGCCCAGUGAUAAAGGCUUCAUACUCAGCUUGGUUGUUUGUGAGCUGAAAUUCGAACUUCACCGCAUAUGUUAUCUCGGUUCCCUCUGGGCUCCGUAUUACAACUCCUGCUCCGGAUCCUUGCUCACUACAUGAUCCGUCAACCAUUACCAGCCAUAUCCCCUUUGAAUCCUCUUGCUCUGCCAGUUGUUCCUCUUGGACCUCUUCCCCCGGUUCAACACGGUCCACCAUAAAAUCUACCAGGGCUUGGGCCUUGAUUGCUCCUCGGGGCCUGUAGGACAGGUCAACUUCGCCCAGCUCCACGGACCAUUUUACUAACCGACCAGACGCAUCUGGUUUUUGAAGCACUUGCCGAAGUGGCUGGUCAGUCAUCACAACGAUCUGGUGGGCUUGGAAGUAUGGUCGGAGUUUGCGUGCUGCCGUUAUCAAAGCCAGCGCCCACUUCUCCAUUAGCGGAUAUCUGGUUUCUGCGUCCACCAGGGCCUUGCUUGUGUAGUAUACCGGGUGUUGCUUCCCUUCUUCUUCCCUGACUAAGACCGAGCUGGUAGCCUGCUUAGAGAUUGCCAAGUACAAGAGCAGCUGAUCACCCUCUCUCGGAGUUGAUAGUAACGGGGCGCGGGCUAGGUAUUCCUUCAGCUGUUCAAAUGCCCCCUCGCAUUCCGGUGUCCAUUCCAUCUUCUUCCCUUUCUUUAUGACUUGGAAGAAAGAGUGGCACUUAUCAGUGGCUCGCGAAAUGAAUCGGUUCAAUGCUGCCAAUUUCCCUGUAAGGCUCUGCACCUCCUUAACUGUUCGUGGGGACCUCAUUUCUAUCACCGCCCGUAUUUUUUCUGGGUUGGCUUCAAUACCCCGAUGGCUUACCAGGUAUCCCAAAAAUUUGCCCGAGCCGACCCCAAAUGCACAUUUCUCCGGGUUCAGCUUCAUUUCGUACUUCCUCAGCAAUUCGAAAGUCUCCUCUAAGUGCUUCACAUGAUCUCUCGGUUCUCUUGACUUGGUGAUCAUAUCGUCCACAUAUACUUCCAUGGUGUGACCGAUCAAUGGUUUGAAGACCUUGUUCACUAACCUUUGAUAGGUAGCUCCUGCAUUUUUCAGGCCAAAGGGCAUCACCUUGUAACAAAACAGACCCAUGUUAGUUAUAAAGGUGGUGCUUUCCUCGUCCUGCUCGUUCAUGGGUAUCUGGUUGUAUCCGGAGAAGGCGUCCAUGAAGCUGAGCAGAUUAUGACCCGCGGUUGAGUCCACCAACUGAUCUAUUUUUGGUAGGGGAAAGCUGUCCUUCGGGCAUGCCUUAUUGAGGUCCGUGAAGUCUACACACAUUCUCCACUUUCCAUUGGCCUUCUUUACCAGUACCACAUUGGAAAUCCACUCCGGGUACUUGGCUUCCCUUAUAAAUUCUGCUUUUAGCAGCUUUUCCACUUCGGCAUUUAUAGCCUCGUACCUUUCAUGGUUGAAGCACCUCUUUUUCUGCCUCACCGGCCUUGCCCCUCUCUUGACUGCCAGCUUGUGACAAGCUAUCCCGCGGUCAAUACCUGGCAUAUCCUCAUGAGACCAGGCAAAUAUGUCCGCAUAGGACUGUAGACACUUCACCAGCUCGGCCUUUAUUGCUUCACCCAAUUCUGAUCCGACCUUAACAACUCUGCUAGGGUCACUCCUACUUACAACAACUUCCUCCAGCUUCUCAACAGGUUCCUGACGACCAUUUUUUGAAUCCCCUCGGUUAUCUAGAGAGGUAACCUGCAGCGUUUCCUUGGCCGCUGUAGCAUAGCAGCUCCUGGCCAUUCUCUGGUCGCCCUUUACCACACCCACAACUCCAUUUAUUCUGUACUUCAGCGCCAGAUAGUGCGUGGACAUUACACAUUGGCUUAUCCUCAUGAAUGGUCUCCCCAGUAUCAUCUGGUAAGGGCUUCUUUCCUCUACCACGACGAAGUCCAGCAUUAUCGUUCGCUCAAACGGCUUUGUCCCCACAGUAAUCGGGAGUUCAAUGAUCCCCAAGGGAGUUAACCGUCCCCCUCCAAAUCCUUUCAAGGAAGUAUUUGUCCGCUCCAGCUUUAAAUCUGAAAUCCCCAUAUCAUCUAGGGCUGACUUAAAUAGAAUGUCAACUGAACAGCCCGUGUCCACCAGUAUUCGCCGCAAUUAUGUGCUAGCCACCGAUGCUUUAAUCACUAGUGCAUCCUCAUGAGGAUAUAAAAUACACUCUUCAUCCUCAUCUGUCCACAUAAUGGGAACUUGUCGCACUUUUGCCUUCUUGGUUGCUGGCAAAUUGAAAAGCACUUCUUUGCUAGUCAGGGCGUAUCUCCCAUAGUUCUUCCGUGCCCUGUUCCAAUCUCCGGCCAAUGUUGGCCCUCCUGCUAUCACACGGAUGGUCGGCUGUUCACGUUCCAGAUCCCUCUCAACUCCUUCAUCUCGUGUGUACUGUGAUUCCAUGACAGGGGAUAUUCCAUCUACAUACUCGUCCAAGUACCGGUUCCUCACUAAAUCCUCCACCUGAAUCUUCAGGUCACGACAUUGGCUGAUAGUGUGACCGUGAGUGUCGUGGAACUUACAGAAUCUGCUCUUAUCCCGUCGGUGAGUCGGUUUUGUUAUUGGGGCUGGAGGGUAUAGCAGGCAUCGUCCCUCGAUCCUCUCGUACAAUUCCUCCAUGGAGAUCUUUAGGGGAGUGUAUUGUCUAUAUGCCAAGCUCUGGUCUACCAGCUGAACUGCUCGGCUAUCUUGAACGUCACCUCGGGCUGGCAUAGUCGCUAACUGAUCUGGUCGUCUAGCCCUGGAAUUGGUUGCAUGUAAUGUUCUGGGAGUGUUAUGAUAGGGGUCGGCAGCCAUCUGCCGGAAUUCUCGCUGCCGAUCCGGGAAUGGGGGACGUGGAGGUUGAGCCCGGUUGUGCUGGAACUGUUGUGAUCUCGGAGCUAUGGGGUAAGGGCGGGAUCGAGCUGAUGUUCCGCCCCUUACCGAGGGUUCCCCAGCUCGCUUUCCCGACCCGCUCCCAUUUGGAGUUCUCCUUUCCUUUCGUCUCAGCUCCUCCAGCUGUUCACUCUUUAUCUUUGCCGAUUUUUCUUCUUCGAUUUCGAUAUCUCUCUUUGCCUGCUCAUAUCCUGCUGAAUAAUUCUGCACCAGGGGGCUUCUCAGGUUAUACCAUAGCCGGCCUAUCCUCACACCCUCCUUUAAACCCCUCAACGCCUGCGGGUGAUUGAAAGCUCCCAAAUCAAGUACGGCUCGGUGGUAUCGCUUUACAAAAUCCCGUAGGGACUCGUGCUCCUCCUGUUUCAUCCCCAUCAGUUCCAUCAUGUCGUCCUCUGGGGCUACUGCCCCUCGGAACUGCUCGGCCAACUCCUGGCACAUCUGCUCAUACCCCUUUAUACUUCCUCGGGGCAGCUUGCGGUACCAUUCUCGAGCUCGUCCCUCUAGUGUCAACGGGAACGCCCUGCACCUCUGAGCUGGUGUCAGCCCCUGCACACCCGUCAUAUCGUUGAAACGCUCAAUGUGCACUAGUGGGUCACUUCGCCCGGAGUAUUUGAGGUCGGGGAAGCGGAAAUCUCUUGGGAUUAUGGUACCCAUGAUCUCAAUUGAUAGCGGAGAUUCUUCAUCUAACAUUAUCCUCCAGCUCGGGGGCUUUCUCUUGCCCUGUAUCUCCUCUAUCGCCUGCGCCAACCUGCGCACCUCCCCCUCCAAUUCUAUAGCACGGUUAGGAUCACGCGCAGCUAUCUGGUCUCGCUCCUGCUCGGCGUUCUGCAACCGCUGUCUGAGCUCUCCUUCAUCAACACUGGCACCUCGGCCAGUAGUUUCCAGUACCCGUCCGGGGCGAGUUUGGUCUCUCCCUUCAUCCCCGUGUUCUCCUGGGACCCGACCAGUACUCCUGUGGGGGUGCACCCCAUUAGGUUGGUCUGCGGGCGGAGGAAUGUCCUCGACUCUACGUCUCCGGAGGCUGGGUUCUGCUCCGACUUCAUCUCUUCCCACGGGGGUUUCACAAUCCCUUCUCCGCUCAUCCCUCAGCUCAAACAAUAUGGACGCGAGAGUCUCCAUUUGUUUCUCCAUCCGCUCCAGUCUGUCUUGCAUCAUCCUCUCUCGGGCUUCAUUCGCAAUUUCCCGGAGAGUGAUUGUCUCCCCAGCUUCGUUAUCCUCCCUCAAAGCGUCCUUCCUCGUCACAUCCAUGUCUAACAGUUCGCUAUUUCUCCGGUACUUCCUAAUUCGGUGGUAGCUUUUUAUCCAGAUCCCCACAGACGGCGCCAAAAUGUUGAUGCUGAAAUAUGCUCGCCUUUGGACCGACCAGAUUCUUUCACCAACGUUUGUGUUAUAUACUGUUGCUCGUUCACUGGGAUUGGAAUCGUCCUCCUUUCUCACAAUAGACCUGCGCUCACCAAAAACGGAUCAGAGACGCCGGUGGUUUUGCCGGCGUAAACCCUCCGAUGCCUAAGUUAGCUCAAGGUGUUUACGGGAAAACAGUGCAAUUUAGAUCUCAAAAUGGUCUCUAAAUUAUUCAGAGUUUAUAAGAAAAUAGCCUGGUUGAAAUUUGGCAGCGUUUUCCCUCUCUCAGUUUUUCUAUCCCCUUCUUCAUCGAUUUCUUCUUCUUUUAUAGCCGUUGUCCCCACGUUCCCGUUUGCCCUUCAUCCCACCUUUUUCGGGUAGUGGUAGCCUCUCAUGGGGCUCUAACUGCUGCAUUAUGGGCAAACGUGGGAUCUCGCGUCUCCCGCAACGGUUCUGGGAAAGCGCAACUACCGUGAUUCUGUGAGAUCGUGUUUCCGCUUUUCGGGGGACGGGUACCGGCUCGGUAUAUGGUUCUGGUCAGUAUUCGUCUCUGAUCGGCUCAUGCUGCCCUCUGCUCUGCUCGUACCAUUUGACUGAGGUGAUUCAUGCCGGGGUGGAAAUAGUGUCAUGGCCGACCUGGUGCUUUUAUUUGCUUAACAUGAAUAAUGCACUGUAGCUUUCUUCUUCAAAAUAUAAAAAAUUUUCUGUCAUGAAAAACUUGUGGUCAAAGGCCCCAAGUCUAUAGUCGUCAAGCAAAAAGCGACGCCGGAGAGCGAAAGAAAGAAGGGUCCGCCACUGUUACUACUGUUACAACAGUUUUUGUCUUUUCUGAUUCAGUUGCUGUAAACUUUCGUUGAACCCCUUGUACUAUAUAUUAUUUAUAGGUUAUUUAUAAGUAUUAUGAAACUUUCUACUUACUUAUAAUAUAAAAAAUUCAAUUUAUUUCCUUACACUCUUUUUCAUUUACUAUUUUUUUUGUGAGUAUCAAGAGUUUCUAUUUACAACCAUGAUACAUUAAUUAUCAUAACACUCUAAUAUUAAUAAAAAGACAAAAACAUCCUUAAAUUAAAACAAAAAAAAAAGCUUUCCUCUUUUGAGGAAUUACAGUAUCUCAUCUUCCAUCACUCAUCAUCAACAAAAAUUUCAAGGAUAUGACCAUUCAUCUUCUUUAUAAUAUUAUCUCAUAAUAAUUAAUACUUUCAUGAUAAAAGAAUUAACAAAAUAAAAUAUAAAUUUCCUUUAAAUCUAUCCUCUCCAUUAUUUAUUUCUCUUUAUCAGCAACCUUUAUCGACAAUUAAUAUCACCAUUAGGCUCAUCAGAGAGAGAAAAAGAGAGAGGAAGAAGAAACGGGAAAAAAACUAUAUGAAACUUUUACAAUUUGAUAGUGUGUUCACUAAACGGGAAUCGAAAUGAACUGAAAUCAGAAUGAGGUGGAAUCAAAAUGAGGAAUUAAAAUCAGAAUAAGUUAUUUACUUGACCUAUAGGAAUCGUAAUUAAAAUGAGUUAUAUUAUCAUUGAUUUGUUUAUCUUGUCUUGAAAUUAAAAUUGGAAUGAAUUAAAUUAUAAAAACUUACUAUAAAAUACUUAAUUAAUUUUUAUCAUAAUUAUUAUUUUAUACUUUAAUUAUUGUGAUUAUUAUUAUUCAAAAAAUUAAUUCUUAUUAAUAUUAUUGUUAAUCAUUAUUAUUAACAAUUAAACUAAAAAAUUACUAUUAAUUAAUGAUAAUAUAUUAAUUAAUUAGAUUACUUUUUACUGUUGUUAAUAAUAAUAAUAAUGAUAAUAAUUUUUUUGAGUUAAUUAAAUGGAGGGUAUUUAGGGAAUUUAAAAAUUAUGAGGGGCGAGUUUGAUAUUCUAAGGGUUUUAAUGAAAUAAAACAGAGUACGAGGGGUUCAACGAAAUUUUACAGUAACUGGUUCAGAAAAGACAAAAGCUGCUGUAACGUACUACGGUGGUAGCAUAGGCGGAUCCAAGAAAAGAAAGGGGUACUUAGCUAAUUUUUUAAUUUCAGUUGGCCAUAUUUAAUUAGUGUAUGCCCUCUAGUUUUAUAGCCAACCAAACAAGGCCACUGGCUUCUUCUGCACCAUACUAUUGUACGCAUUCUGUACUCAAAACUCAAAUAUCAUGAACUCUGAUCUGUACGAGGCUGCUGCAAAGGGGGAAAUUGAACCCUUCAACCAAUUGGCGAUAGAUCGUCAACUUGUAAACCUAGUGACUCACAAAAAGAAUACCGUCCUGCACGUCAACAUCAUUGCAUCCUACACCCAGAAUAAAGAAGGAGAAAGUGUCUCAACCAAGUUCGUGGAGCUGGUACUUGAAACGUGUCCAUCAUUGCUACUACAAGUUAAUGCCAAAGGUGAUUCUCCACUCCAUGUUGCGGCCAGAUGCGGGCAUGCUGCUGUUGUGGAAGCUCUGAUUGAAUUUGCGGAAAAACAGCCCGGUCAAGAGCUGGAAAGCGGCGGGGAAAGUACAGCAAGGCAUAUGCUAGGGAUGAUAAAUGAUGAAGAAAACACGGCGUUGCACGAGGCAGUGCAAAGUGGUAGCCUUGAUGUCGUGAAAGUUUUAUUGGAAGCAGACCCGGCUUUUCCGUAUUCUGCUAACUGUAGCGGUGAAACUCCACUUUACUUGGCAGCCGCGAGGGGACAUAAGAAGAUAUCAGCUGAAAUAUUAGAAAAAUGUCCGUCACCGGCCCAUGAAGGCCCCAAUGGAAAGACUGCCCUUCAUGCAGCAGUCUGCAGUGCCUCUCUCGGUAUGGAUGCGCAUGCUUUCGUACAAAAUUUAAUACCAUAAUUGUUUUUUAAAUUGUUCGGUUUUUUAAUAAAAUUUUUAAAGAUUAAAUAAUUUAUUCUAAUAAAAACAUAAAUUUUAACCUUUUAAUAACAGAGUUUGAAAACUUUUUAAAAUAUUUAAAUAUCUAAAAUAUUUUUUAUUUGUUUGACAAUUUAUUUUAUAACAUAAUUUUAAAAAAAUUAUUCAUUAAAAUAAUUUUAUAAUUUUAAUCAAUUUUUUAUUGGCAAUCAAAAAAUUAAAUUUUUUUUGAUAAAAAUUUUACUAACAGGAACUAUUCUUAAAUGGAUUUUAUUUUAAAAAUAAUAUCAAACAUAAGCUUAGUUGUUUAAUUUUCUUUUCUUUUUAGGUGUGAUAAGACUAUUACUCGAUAGAAAGAAUUUGACCAGAGAAAGAGACCGACACGGUUGGACUCCACUCCAUUACGCUGUGUAUAUUGGUCACGGUUGGACUCCACUCCAUUACGCUGCGUAUAUUGAUCGCUUAGUCAUCUCAUUCCGUUUAUUAAAAGCUGAUAAAUCUGCUGCGUUGAUUGCUGACGAAGAUCGGAAGAUGACAGCUCUUCAUUUAGCAGCCGGCCAAGGGAAUGUUGAGAUGGUAGAAGAUAUUAUUGACCAUUGUCCGGAAUGUUGUGAAUUGGUUGAUGUCAGAGGGUGGAAUGUUCUUCACUUUGCUAUGGUUAGUUUUGAUAAAAGUGACUUGAAACGUCUGCUGAACAAAUAUCCGGUGGUCAAAAAUCUAAUUUUUGAGAAGGAUGAGAAGGGGAACACUCCCUUCCAUGUGCUUGCUGCUGUCUGUCCGCAUCCAGGCAAAGCCCGCUAUGACAUCAUCCCUUACAAAAUUGCUAAAGGUUAUUAUCAAGCUGUCAACAAGCAAAAUAUUAGUGUUGAACACAUAAAUCGUUAUGGAUUUCCUGAACUCGAGGUACCUAAUUCCUUUUUUUAACUCAUCAUUGUUAUAGUUUUUAUAUGGAUAUGAGUAAUGAAAUUAGAUUUUGAUUUAUGUUAAUUUUUUCUAGAUCUUUUGUAAAGGGUUUUUUUAUAACAAUUAUUUAUUUAGGAUUCAAUUAUAUGCAUUUGUUAUAUGAUACGUAAACAAAACAUUAUUGAUUCUGAUAUCAUAUAUGAAAUUAAUUUUCAGCAUAUUAAUUAAUAAAAUGUAUAGUCCAGCGCGUUGAUGUUGUUGCCAAGUCAAUUUUUCCUCCCUCUUCCCCCACUUUUUUUUUCUUUUUUAAACUUACUUUCUUCUUGUUACAUUUAUAAUUUAGCAAAUAUGAUUGCAGAAAGAAAUCAAAGAAUUGGCCAAAGCUGAUGGCAAUGGACAAUAUCCAGCCGGUGUCAUCAAAAUGAACAAAGAAAUAAAAAUAAAAAUAAAAAAAGUAAAGAGUCUGAUUUAUUCGUAUUGGAAAUAUUUAGAUGACGAUGUCAUUGGAAUGGAAAAAGCAUCAGAAUAUCAUUUGGUAGUGGCAGCACUCAUAGCAACAGUAACCUUUGCUGCGGCAUUCACCUUACCCGGUGGUUACAAGAGUGACACUGAAGACGGCCCAAACAGGGGCACUGCAAUUCUCAGUAAAAACGAUCCCAUUUCACGACAUUCACUAUAAAGGCCAUAGUCCUAAUACCCAAUACCAAAAAACACAGAAUAUUCAUGCAAUGCGCAUAGAACUUAAAUAACCUUCAGGGUUUAAAGAGAAAUUAGAACCUGCAAAUGACCACAGAACUAGAACUGAACUAAGAUGAAGAGAUCAAGUGAUGGGUGGGUUUAAAUAGAAAAAAAAAAGAAUAUUCUAGCAUCAGAUGAUGAUGUAAUGGGAUCGUUAUAUUGUAUAUAGCGUACUCUGGAUUCAAAUUUUAAUGAUGAAAAGUUUGACCUGUGUUUGUUCUUCACUGAGCUUGAGUCGGACAAAAUUGAUAUGUUCGAAACUCUCUGCAAACGCACUUUUAUGCUAUCUUAUACUUUCAUGUUGUCAUAUCACUCAAGUCCUGCAAAGUUUUUAACAUUUUAAUGUUUUAACAUUAAUUCACUUGCAAAAAUAUUAAGAUCUAAAGCCCCACAUGGAAAGUUGAUUUUUAAACUAAUUAAAUUUUACCCAUAAUUUCACAAAUAGUUAGUAUCAGAAUAUGAUUUCACAAUUAUUUAUUUAGGAUUCAAUUAUACGCAUUUCUUUUGCCGUGUAUAAAUAAAACAUUAUUGAUUCUGAUAUCAUAUAUGAAAUUAAAUUUUAAUAUAUUAAUUAAUAAAUUGUAUUGUCCAGCGCGUAGAUGUCAAAGCCAAGUCAAUUUUUCCUUCCCUUUUCUUUUUUUUUUAUUUUUUUCAUUCUUAAGCUUGUUUUCUUUUAGUUACAUUCAUAAUUUGGCAAAUAUGAUUGCAGAAAGAAAUCGAAAAAUUGUCCGAAGCUGAUGGGAGUGGAAACUAUCCAGACGGUGUCGUAAAAAUCAACAAAAACAAAAAGCGUGUGAUUUAUUCGUAUUGGAAAGAUAUAGAUGAAGAUGUCAUUGGAAUGAAAGACGCAUCAGAAUAUCAUUUGGUAGUGGCAGCACUCAUAGCAACAGUAACCUUUGCUGCGGCAUUCACCUUACCCGGUGGUUACAAGAGUGAUACUGAAGAUGGCCCAAACAGGGGCACUGCAAUUCUCAAUAAAAACGUAGCUUUCCAAACAUUCGUUAUAUCAGACACUAUAGCCAUGGUCCUCUCACUUUCUGCUGUUUUUGUCCAUUUCAUUCUGUCACUUAAGUUUUUUAAAAAACUCAUCUUUUUAUUCGUUUUUGCUCUUUGCUUCACCUUAGUUGCCAUGGCGGCAAUGAUAGUAGCAUUUGUUACGGGCACAUAUGCAAUGCUGGCAACACCUUCUUUGUGGCUUGCCAUUGUUACUUGUAUCAUUGGCUUGACCUUCUUCCUCUUGGUGAUUUUCAUGUUUUACAUGGUUAUUUCAAAAGCAGAGGAAAAGUUAUUGUAUACCUCUCUCUAGUACUAUAAUUAUGUUAGCAUCAUCCCACUGUUAUGAUCUGGAGUUAUAAGUUGUGAUUGAAAUUUGUUACACUAUCUUAUUUGGUGUAUUGCUUCAAGGUUGUAAAACGUACUAAGAGCUUGAAAGAAAUGAUAUCAUCUAUUUAUGAUGCAGGAUUAGUUGUUGCAUAAGCAUUCCAAAUUAAUUUUAAUCAGGGAUCUUCACCGGCGGAAUGAGUAUUAGUUAUUCGAAUGGGUAAUGUUUCUUCUUAGCCUAAUUAAGUGGAGAAACAAAUUUGAUAUUUCAAAUUGUGAAGAGCUUUUUUCUUUUGGAAAUUCUACCAUCAAAAUCAAUUAUAGAAUUCGAAAAAUAUUCUAGUUUUGCAAUGUCUACAGUCUACUUAUGAAUUGCAUAAAGGAUAGAGCUGCAGACCUGCAGUUAGACAUAAGUUGACAAAGUUCGUACGAACGUACAGCCAGAUUCCAACUGCUAAUUUACACUUGCAUCUAAAUUUAAAAAUCAGCUAAUUACAAACCUGAUAACCAGCUGCUAACAGUUUCCACUUUCAAGAGCUUGAGAAGGUCAACUGAAAAUUGCAAGUAUUCAAAUGGUGAUAAAAAAGAGAUUCUUUUGAUAUGUUAUCCAGGUGCAAAAAUAAAAAAUGUCGCUUGAUGAUGAAGUAAAAGAACUAAAACCGCCGCAACAAACUGUGGCGGCCACACUCGUAGCAACAGUUACCUUAGCUGCGGGGUUCAUAUUACCCGGUAGUUACUGGGCUCAAGAAGGCCCAAUUCCCAGCACUCCAAUUCUCAGAAAAAAUGCAGCUUUUCAAGCAUUUGUUCUAGCUAAUGCCAUGGCCAUGGUCCUCUCCCUUUCAGCUGUCUUUUAUCCAUUUCCUUACUUCAACUAAGACCCUUCGGCAAAUGACGUUUCUUGUCAAUGUGGCUCAUUGUUUCAUCCCGGCUUCCAUGUUAGCAAUGACGGUUGCAUUUGUUACAGGAACAUCCCCAGUGUUGGCACCUUCUGUUGGGCUUUCCGUUGCUACUUGUGCCUUGGCUUGACCUUCAUCCUCUUUGUGCUUUUCGCCAUGUUCAAGUUUGCUUAUGGAUUGGCGCAAAGGUUGCUGGUGAGCUUCAUCCUCUUUGUGCUUUUCGCCAUGUUCAAGUUUGCUUAUGGAUUGGCGCAAAGGUUGCUGGGCUUCAUGAUAUAAUUAGAAAAAAAAAAAUCUCCAUGUUGGAGAAAUUAGCAUGUUUCUGUCUCUGUUUCUAGUAGUUAAUAUGUAAUUUCCAUCUCUUCAAUCUUUAUUCUCAGUGUUAUAUAUUAUGUGUAUACACCACUACAACUGAGAUUGUACCUAAUCCUCUUUUGUGUUGAGCUAUUAUCAUCAAAAGAGGAUUAAGUACAAAUACAAGGUCAACAUGAAAUUGAAAGUAGCAUAUUAGCAUUUCAACAUUAGUAAUUAAUUAAAAUACUUUUUAUAUUGUAUUGGUGAAAACUCUGUAAUAUAAGGGUAAUAUAAUCAAUUUUAUCAAGUGUUAAUGUGUUAGGAGCUUAUUUACAAAUAGAUAAUAAUUUCUAAAAGAUAUGCAGUGAGUCUAGUUUUAGUACUCUAUUCUCAUAAACUUUUCCUUCUCUGAUUCCACCUUUUUGAAUUCUUGAACUUGGGCUGGCUUAUGGUAUCGAAACUGAAUAAACUUACUAACAUAGACUCAAUUGCAAGUCUCAAAUCAUUUCUUUUUCUAAUUUGUAUAACCAAAAUUUUGUAAAAAAUAAAGCUUAUAUAAAAUAAUCAUACGUUUUCAUUGCAUCUUGAUACAAAUUGUUUCUUAACAGAAUGAUUGAGAAAAUAUAUAAGAGACAAUAAUGAAAUUUUCAAUUUUCAAAUUAGGGAAUUGCAAAUUGCAAUGCUGAGACAGCAAAAUAGCUUAGGUAAAUCAAUAUGCAACAAAACAAAAGAUAAUAUCCAUCAUUUCUAUUUCUAAUAUACUGAGAAACUAGCCUUCUAGGCUUAUAUAAUCGUAGCAGCUACAUAUUCAUAAGAUAUUUUUAAAAAAUAAUAAUAAUUUAUAUAAACAUCCUGUUGCUUAUACUGCAAGCAAAUGCAAGUCCAUUCACUACACCUGCAUAAUAUGUACAAGCAUUUACAAGUUAAUAUCAUCAGUUCCAUCCCGACCAGAUAAUGAAACUGGUCCAAGUGAUUCACCUUCUACUCUACCAAAUACCAAAUAUUUCUUUUUUAGAUUUCUCCCUUCGUCAAUCCAUUGCACUGCAGUCACCAAGAACUGGACCACUAAGCCAUUCCCUAUCUUUGCUUCUUGUUCAUUUGGGAAGAAUGGUUGUUCCCUAGGUUAACAUAGCAUACUUCACAGGACCACACCGCAAUAUGAAUAACUCCAUGCAAGAUUUCUCCCUUGACAGGCAAGAAAGUGCGACACAGAAAUGUUACAGGGAAGAACACAACCCUUGACUCAUUCACAGUUCCUCGCUCUCUGUCGAUGCUCUUCAAGUUAGUUAUUGAAAGAAAGUAACAGUGAUCCUUGCAAGCCUUCUCAUUUAUCAAGCCCUUCAACAGGCGUGUUACAAAUAUCACUGAAGAACCUGCAACUCGUUUCUAUCCAAACUUUUAGCAGGCACUGAUACAUCCUGAGCAAUUCCACUUCGAAAGACAUUUCUCCUCUACAUCAAAACAACUAAAAUAAGUAGGACUAUUAUAGAUUAACCAACCAGAAUUCUUCCAGAUUCUAUGCAUAUCAAUGCUGUUAAGAAAUCUAAUAGAAAAGAUGAACAAUAAUACAAUGAUGCUGAUACCAGUGUAUGCAUCCCCAAUUGCGCCAUGACCUGGAGGUUAAUUUUAAAGCUAAUCAAGAUUUUAAACUUAGUAUCGUAUCCAUAAUACAAUCCACAAAAAUCGAAGAACAAACCAAUAAAAAGGUUGUACCAAAAAGAGAUAAAUAACUAAAGGAUCAUUUUCAGUUACAUUGCGAAUGCUAUACAUUUUGAACAGAAUAAUUUAUUCCUAUCAACACAUCAGUGUUUCUUAUCAUUACACACAUCAGUAAUCUAUUUGGUUGUAUACAUACCUUCUCUUGCGUAUUGACUCAUGUUAGAUAUCUGAAGUAAUUUAUGCUAGCUAGCUCUUCAGUAACACCAAAAACAGCCAAAAGUACCAGCACUCUCUGCAGCUAACAUGAAAAAGAACUCAACAUUACCAACAAAAAAUUUCAAAAUUUGGAGGAAUGUAAACAAGUAUCAUAACCAUUUCUAAAGAUCCUAUUUCACAACAUUCACUAUAAAGGCCUACACAAUAUAGCAAGUGACUAGGAAUAAAUAAGAAUAUAGAACUCUCUCUCUAAUUCUCACUCUAGCUUUUAAUUGUCACUCAAAACCCCGAAUUUAUCCUUAAAAGUGUAAGCAAAUCAGAGAUGACAGCGUCUGGUUGUCAUACGCGCCUUUUAGUUUCCGGAUGACAUGGCGUACACUUCUUAUGUAAACCCAACACGACAUGUCGUACUCUUUGUUUUGAGAUCAUAUUUCAAACUCUUCAUGUUAUGAAUGAAACAUAAACUACAAUCAUCAAAACAUUUAGUGUUUAUUUGGUAAUGUAACGUCACGAUUGUUGUGAAUUGAAAUUAUUUCUGUAAAAUAAAAGGAUUUGGGUCAUUGUUUGUUAUUUUCUGGUAUUAUUUAUUAUAUAUUAAAAAUAAAUUUAUAUUUAUUAAGUAUAAAAAAUAAAUAAACAAAUAGAAAUAAAAGGAAAAGUUUAUACAUUACGUAAAAUAAUAAGAACAAUAUCAAUAUUUCACACUCUAUAAUUGAGUGAUGUGUUGUCCAACUGCCAUACAUUGGUCCCAAACGGAGACUUAAAUAUCAAAGUCCACAGUUAUUGUGAUGAUGAUUUAUAAUCGUUAAACUUGACAUUAUAAGGUAAUCAUGCAUUAUAAGGUGUUGAUUUCUUCCGGAACCUUAUUUUUCAUUUACAAAUAAAUAAAUGAUGUGACUUUCACAGAAUAUUCAUGCAAAAAACAAAAAACAAAAUAUCAUAACUGAAUUUCAAAUUGUCAAUGUUCUAUAAUAUAAAACAAAAAAUUUGUUUUUAAAAAAAAAAGAAAAAGAAAAAGAAAAGACCUCUGUUACAUGAAAAAGAAAUUUCCAUUCUAUAGAACGAAUAUUAUACUUUUAUAUUAGAAUAGAAGGACACUUUUCCUUGGUGCUACUCCAUGUAGUUCUUAAAAUUCGUACUUUAAUUAAUGUCAGUAAGUAAUAUAGGAUUUUUACAUGUAAUAGUUUUGUAAGUUUAGGAGUAAAACUUGGUCACAAUAGGACUGGACAAGUCUUGUGUUAAUAUUUUACUCUUUUUUAUUUUACUUUUAAAAGAUUUUCCAAUGCAUAUUAUAAUAUCUUCAAAAUAUUUUGAUUUCUAUUUUCUUUUCAGUUAAGAAGCUGAUAAUAUUUAUAUAUCUAAUUUCUCUGUUUUUAUAAUUUUAUUUUUUUAUUCAUUUUUUAUAAUCCAAAUACUAUUACCUUAGAUAUUUUUCCCCGCCACAGAUAACGUAGCCAUGCCAAAAUAGUCUUGAGAAAUAUGUCAGCGUCUAAUUGCUGCUGAGCUUCCGAAACCCAAAGCCUCAAAUUCGUAGCCUCAAAACAGUGGCAAUUCGAUGCCUGCUUUUUCACUAAAUUUAGUUUUUGCGCAGAAGAUCUUUAGCUAAUUAAUGAUAUGGCUCGAGUCCCUAGUCGCCAGUUCUGCCCAGCAACAGCCAUAUUCGAUUCGUUUCAAUCAUCCUUUUCAAAGUUCCACGGUACCCAUUUUCAUUUCUUCAGGUGCGGUUACACAAUUCCUCUUAAAAAUAAUUUCUUUUAUAAAAAUUCUUCUUCAAACUCUGCCCAUGAAAAAAACCCGCCAAGAAAAAUUUGUUCUUUAUCCAGGAAUAAAUUUUUUUUUUCUCAACAUGAUAAAGAUGAGAAUGCCAACUUAUGUUCUAGCAGCAGUUGGUUAGAUAAAUGGAACAAACCCAAUAAGUAUAACCGCCUGAAACCGCCUCAGGCACGCGUGAAUUAUAGAAAAAAUAAUGGUAAUGGUGUUGGUGGCGUUGAUGAUGGUGGUAGUACCAUGGGGAAAAUUGUGGAGAAACUGAAUAAAUUUGGUUACGUUGGUGACGGUGAUGGUGAGUGCAAGGAAAAGAGAGAGUGAUUGAAAAAGGGUCUAGAGAGGAUAUAUUUUGUUUGGAAAAAGGAUUGUUGCCGAAUGCAGGAGGGUGGUUUUCAAAAGAAUCCCCGUUGGGGUUAGGAGAGGAGGUAGGGAGUGACGGAGAAGUGAAGUUUCCAUGGGAGAAGCGGAAGGGAAGAUUUAUGUUACAAAUUUGUUUAAAAAUGUAUAUAUUGAUGCAUUCACUGCAUUUCUUUUUAACUUAAUUUCAAUUGAUCGUAUAUUACGUUGCAUUACGAUCCAAAUUGCUUCUUCAGAAAAUUAGUGAGAAAUUAUGAAAGAAAAAAUAAUUUAAUUUGCUUUCCAAUUCUAUUUUUUUCCCCAAAAUCAAGGCAAAUUAUGUGAGGCUCAAAAUAUUAUUUGUUUUGCCGUGAAAUUUAGAAACAAAAAAAAUACCUGGACAGAUACCGAGCACCCCACGCCUCAUUCACAGUGCGCAGGAAGAAGUUUGACUGCUGGGAAUACGAGAGGUAUGGAAUUGACCCUUGGCCGAUAUCCUUCAAGUUGGUCACUGCAAGAAAGAAAAUUUUUAGAAGGGAGUGCUAAAAUCUGAUUAUGAAUUGUUUAUAUGUCAUUUUUACCCUCUUUGAUUUUUCCUAAUCCCAAAAUAACCUUGCGUCAAUAUUUAAAUUUAAUUACCUUAUUAACUAUGAAAUAUUUAUUUGAAUUUUAGAAGACAUCUGUUGUACUAUGUCAGUCAUGCAAGUAUUAAAAUAAUAUCAUGAUAUGUGUGUAUUUAUUUUGUAAAUCAUCAUAUAAGUGAUGGUUGUAUUAAAUUCAAUUACACAUGUCAUGCAUGCAUCAAUUAAUUAUAAUACAACGGAUGUAUUCUAAAAAUUUUCCCCAAGAAGAAAGAGAAAGGGUGUCAACGGAGUUCGUGCAACGGAUACUCGAAAUGUGUCCAUCAUUGCUACUAUAAGUUAAUGACAAAGGUGAUUAAUAUUUUGUGAUAUUUAAUUACAAAAUAUUAAAUAAAUAUUAUAAUCUAUCAUUCCAUAAUUGGAAAAUUCUAUGAUGCCGUAAUUAAAUUUACGGCAUUGAUGCCGUAAUAGACGUGGACCGUUAGAUUAAAUCAACGACUCUAAAUAAUUAUAAUUUAAUAAAAAAAAUUAAUUAAAUUACAUAUAACCGGUUACAAGUCGGUUAAAUAUUAUUUUAAAAGUAAAAUUUUACCGGUUUAAAAUUAAAGAAAGGGGGUUUGCCUAUUACAAGAAUAAUAUAAUAUAAUGGGAAAAUUCAAUCCCUAAUCAAUGAAUUGCAAACGAAAGCCACACCCACCCCUGCGUAAACUUCCGUUCGAGUGCGCCGGUAGAUUGUAGCCAUCCUUGAGCCAAUUUUCUGCCUUCCAACUGCUGCGUCUCUGUUGUUGCUGUCUCUGUCCUGGUUUGUUCAUCAUCACUUGUGCAAGGUAAGUUAAUCCUUGGCUUCCAACUUUGAAGAGUCGAAGGUUUCAUGUUAUGCUAAGCAAUUUAGUUCCAGAUCUCUCAUUCAAUUUUAUAUUAUCUGAUAUAAUAUUCCUUCUGUGCACAAUUUUGCAUCUUUACUCUGUUUUCGUCCUCGGGCAUGAUGUGUGAGAGAGAGAGAGGAGCACAGAAACUAUAGAAUGAAUUUUCUGUUUUUUCAUCAUCUCUCUCUCCUCUUCUUUUAACUCUCAAUGCCCGCAGAAUUAAGCCAACAUCAAUAAUCAUGUCCUCUUUCCACAUGGCAUCUGAACAUAUGACCCUAUAAUGAUCAAUUUUAGGAUGUGGAUGUGCACGGCAGAUUUUUUCCACUUGCUUCACUCUGUUGUAUUUUAUGAACACUUGGUGUAUGACACAAAGUUGAGACCCUUUUUCUCCAAUGAUUGAUCUGAAUUGAUUUUUUUGAAAAUCAGAUGGAAUUCUUACACAAGAUGGAGAAAAUAGUAGCUUCAAAGAUUUAGAAAUUAGAAAAUUGACACCAAGGUGAAAAAAAUUAUUUAAGCUUUAUUAUUAGAAAUUUAUUUACAUUACAGCUGUAUACAUGGGAUUGAAUGGAAAGAGCCGCAUACAAAAUUGAAGAGACUGCUUUUGACUGUCUCACAAAUUAAUAUUUGCUUCAACUUGGGAGAAAAUAAUGACCAGUUAAUGAAUCAACAAGAUGAUCAAUUGUGGCAAGAAUGUAGAAGCCGCUGCCAUUUUAUGAACAAUUCAAAGUUGAAGUUAAGCUGACGAAGUAUUCUUCACUGCAUGGAAUUGUCAGACCGCCCAUCGGAUGAUCAAAUCCAAAUUCUUCUUCAGCCAUAUUUAGGAGGUCUUGGAAUAGAGGGUGAUUCAAAUAUGAUAUUGGAAUUACAAACCUCUUUCUAUAGCCUUCUCCAACAUAAAUUGCAAUGUGGCCUUUUGGCACAUUAUUUGUAUUGUUAGCCACAGCCAUUCUGAUCUUUGCUGAUAAAGUUCUCUGAAUCUUUUGUUUAGCAUGAGCGAAACCCAUCAAUUGGAUGCCCAUUUUAGCAAUGAAAGAAAGAAUGCUAUUGAUGAAGUAAAAGAAAAGUUUAUUUGGUUUGAAAUGGCAUCUUUAAUUAAUAUAAAAUAUUUAUAGGCAGAUAUGUGAAAACAAAAACAACCUUAACUGGAUAGGAAUGGGACAAUGAGAGGUCGUUGAAGAAUCAUGAGAAAAACAUAACAGGUGAAAGAAUUGGUUAUGUUUCACAUGGUAUUGCCAUGUCUAUGGUUAAGCAUUGUGCCCACCACAUAGAGAAACAAAAAAGAUAGGGAUGCAAUUUGUGUUUUUGCAUGAGAAUAUAUAUUUUCCUGUGUUAAUUUGAACUAAUUCUAUGGCUCUAUUUCGAAUACAUUUUAGUUUAUUCAUAGAAGCAUUGAAUUUAGCUGACUACGUGUGUUAUUUAAAUCGUGGGCCUUUUUUUUGGGUGUUAACUAGCCAACCAGCCAUUUCUUUGGGUCCCUACCAUUUGCCUAAACUGAUUUAAUUUGUCCGAACUUGCAUUUAUUGGCUGCUUUAUAUCAGCGAAACAUGAUUCUUCUUAGGGAAAAUUCUAUGAUGCCGUAAUUAAAUUUACGGCAUUGAUGCCGUAAUAGACGUGGACCGUUAGAUUAAAUUUUUAUGGUGUUUUGGGCUUCAUUUGUUGCUGUUUUUAGCUUAAAUUUUUUACUGUUUCUGGGUAAAUUGGCUGCUGUAUUUCAAUUUAUUUUUCUGUUGUUUUUAGAUAAAUUUACUGCUAUUUUUGGGUUAUAUUUUCUGCUGUUUCCAGGGAAGUAUUUUUGGUGUUUUGGGCUUCAUUUGGUGCUGUUUUUAGGUUAAAUAUUUUACUGUUUCUGGGUAAAUAUACUGCUGUUUUUGGAUAAAUUUACUGCUGUAUUUGGGAUGAUUGGCUGCCGUUUUUGGUUAAUUUUUUUGGUGUUUUGGGCUUCAUUUGCUACUGUUAUUAUGUUAAAGUUUCUGCUAUUUCUGGAUAAAUUGGCUGCUGUUUUUCAGUUAAAUUGUCUGCUGUUUUUGGAUAAAUUUAUUGCUGUUUUUGGGUUAAAUGUUCUGUUGGUUUAUAGGAUCCAAAACUUGUGAUAUUUGACAUUUCUUUUUGUGCCUAAAUCUUCAUGUACAGGUUUUUGUAAACUCGAAAAUGGCUGAAAAUGUAGAUGAGGGUAACGAGAAUGAUUUCAAGGAGAAUGAUAAUGUGAGCCAAGAAAGUGAAAUUUUAAGAAGAAAUCGGCCUUUCAUUGAGUAUUUGUAAGUCUUCUUACAUUAAAUAUUAUAUUUUUGACUGCUGGUAAAUUUAUGAAUAUUUAGUAAAGCCAAUCACUAUAAUGUUAACGUGCACUGAUUAUAUAUAUUUUUUCAAAAUAUUUAUAAUUGACUGCAGCAAGCAAGAAGCAAAAAUAUUACGGGAACAAGGAAAAAAAGUGGUGAGUGUAGGUGCGAUAAUUAAUUUCCAUUAAAUUUGGGACGUGUUACAAGCAAUAACUGAUUGUCAUUUUUUUUUAAUUUUUUAGGAUAGAAUUAAAUUAGGGAAAUGUUUCAAAAACUUGAGUGAAGAAGAGAAGGCUAAAUUUAGAAUGGUUGGUAGUGAUACAGCACGGAAUAAAGACAAAGAAGAUGAUUUCGUGAAGGGAACUCAGAAAGCCAUGGAAACUAGAUGCGCUCCAGAUCGUUUUGCAAAACUGGUAGGAAAAUUGUCAGAAAAUAAAAAAAAAGCUAUUGCGGAGUUGGGAUUUGAAAGUCUUCUGCACAUAAAAUGUGGUCGACUGAAACGAGAUUUAUGUUCAUGGUUGGUUCAAAAUUUUGAUCCAUUUACUUCAUGUAUUUUUUUGCAUGGUAAGAGUAUCAAUUUGUCGCCUCGAGAUUUUGAGUACAUUAUGGGAAUAAAAGAUGGUGGAGUCGACAUUGAUGUGGAUCUUGGUAUUGAUAACAUAGAUAAAUUGAGGGAUGAAUAUUUGGAUGACAGUGGAUACAUUAAGCUGAAAACUUUAGAGUCAAAAUUGGUGAAUCAAAGGGAGGUGAAUGAUGACUUUAAAAGAAGCUUUGUUUUGUUUGCUAUAGCUACAAUUAUUUUUCCUAAAUCGGGGUUGAAUUUAGCCCCGUAUUACUUGGUUUUUUUGAAAGACACCAGUGCCAUAAAUAAAAAAAAUUGGGCAACGUGGGCUUUUAAAGGGCUAGUAGAGGGCAUACAAAAGUUUAAGGCAGGACAACAUAAAGUUGUUAAUGGUUGUGUACUAUUUUUAGAGGUAAUUUUUUUUAAAAUGAUUUCAUCAAUUUUAUUGUGUUAUUUUUUUUUUUACUUUGUUUUGAUCAUUUUGUUAAUAUUGCAGCUUUUUUACAUGGAUUCUAUAUCAUUUGCACGAAAAUUUAUUGAUAAAUCUUUGAGUCCAAUAACUACAUGGACAAAUCGAGAUGUAACUAACUUCUUGAGUUUUGUUAAGAAAAAUGGCGGUUAUGGGAGCUCAAAGGUAUGACAUCUUUUUAUUAAUUAAAUAUUAAUGUAUCAUAUUGAAAUGACAUCUAUACAUCUUUUUAUUAAUUAAAUAUUAAUGUAUCAUAUUGAAAUGACAUGUAUUUAAUAGUAUGUGGUAUUAUUAGGUUAAUUUGCGAGAAAUCCAUCCUCAACAAAACACAGCCCAAGAAACAUUUGAUGGAACGAGUCGGAAGAAUGAAGAAUGCAUACAUAAUUGUCAACAUCAGAAGGAAUUAUCACUUGUUCGAAAAGAUAUUGGCCGUAUGGCAUUGGAGCUUGAUGGUUUAAAGCAUUCAAUGGGUAACUGGAUGCAGCAAAUGCAACAAGUAAUGGAAACCCUUAAAGAGAACUUAACCCAAAAGCAAGUUGAGCAGCAAAAAGAGAAUAAUGGCACUGCUGUUGGAAUUACUUCUCCUUCUCGAAAGCAACAAAAGAACGACGAAUCAAGCCAUGAAAUUUUAACUUUUGCCGAACUAAUGAAGAGAGCCAAAGAAAGGCCAGAUGGAGAUGAUAUUGUUGAGAAAAAAUUAUUGGAUGAGGAGAUUGUUGAAGAGAAAUAUGAUGAAAGAAUUUUGACGGGUGAGUCAGACCUAAAUGAGGGGAAGCGUACGCAAAUUUUCUGCAAUGCAGCUAUACAGGUAUUUAGCAAUAAAUUAUGAUAUUCUUUUUUGCACAAGUAAAACAUAAUAGUGCAUAGAUGAGUAUUAAGUUAUAAAUCAUAAUUUUUGUAGGAUAAUGGCCGAAAUGAGGAUUGUUUUGUUGAAGAGGAAUCAUCAAACCAACUUAGCGUAUUUGAGAUUAAAGAUAUGCGCUCCCGAAAGCGAAAGCCUGGUCCAUACCAAAAAUCACCUUAUAAUCAGUUUCCCAAAAGACGAAGCAAACAAAAAUUUUUUCAUGACUCAAUCACUCUACUAAAUUCAUUUUCAGAGGAAGAUAUGAAGAUGCUGCAAUAUAUAUUUCAAGGAGAAUUGCCUAUGGAGUAAUUAGAUUUUCUCAUGACCCACUUUCCAUAUGUUAUUAUUUUUGCAUUAACACUGUUAUAGUUUUAAUUAUAUUUUUGGAUUCUUAAUGUAGUGAGCAUAUUGUUGAUGGAAUUAGUUUUUUCGUCUCUCGCCAAGAGAUGUUUUCUUUGGCUCCUAAUACUUGGAUCAUUGAUACAGUAAGCAUACCUUCCUUAUAUUUAGUUUAAUCAUUCAAUUUAUUUAUUUUCUUUCUAAAGUAUUUAAGUCUUCUUGUUUAAUGGCUCUAUUCGUAGGUCAUAGAUUGUUUCGUCAACUACUUGACAAACAAAGAACGUGCAAAAACGAGCCUAGAGAUGCGUAUUUGGUAUUUGCCCACCAUCUUUUCGGUAAGUUGUAAAUGUUAUACUGUGAAUUUUUUUACUAACAGUUGACCAUAUAUGUUGAUAAUAUACUAAUUUUGUGUUUAUUUUAUGAUUUUUGCAGCAAAAAAUAGUUGCAAACAUGGCCUGCAAUAAGAAAUCAAGCAUCGAAGACUUUGUCAAAAAUCAUAAUAUUCGAGAUAAAUACAUGUCAGAACUAGCAGUAUGUGAAAAGGUAAGAAAUUAAAUGCAAAAUUACAAUAAAUCAUGCCACUGUUUAAGACAUUUAAUGGUAAUUAUUAAAAAUUAUGCAUUUGUCAUGUAGAUCUAUGUUCCUAUAAAUGAUGGCUCUGCACAUUGGUAUCUAGCGGUGUUGAUUGUUAAAACGCAAACCGUUGAAAUUUGGGACUCUUUACCUAGUACUACUUCGAAUUCACAUCGAGAGGAAAUUGUUAGAGCAAUUGUAAGUGAAGCUUGCAUUUCACCUGUAUUAUUACCAAUAAAUGCAAAUGUAUGCUGACUAUUAUCAUCAUUAUCACAGUUACAGGGACUCGAUGAAGUUUUCCUCGAUGAUUUUUUGGGAAAAUUUCAUUCAUGUUGGGAUUUUUUUAGUUUUAAAAUUUCAUAUCCAGAUAAUGUCCCAGUACAACCAAAUGGAACUGACUGCGGUUUGUUUGUGAUCAAGUUCAUGGAGAUGCAAUGUGAUCUAUUAUCUAUAAAACAUGUAUGUGACAUUAAUUUUAUAUCAUAUUGAUUUAAAGUUUUACAAUGAAUGAUGACUCUGUUUCUCACUUUUUUAUUUUUUCUCGUACUAUAUUUAGUAUAACUCAACAAUAGAAAGAUAUCGCAUUGCACUCCACCUUGUCAACGGAGAUACAAAUAAAGUGAGAGAUAGUAUUAGAUGUAAGGCUGAAGAAUUUUAUGAUUCGCACAAGAAUAAUCUUCCACCGAACAAAGUGACGAACAAAGUUAAUGGUCAAAAGAAUUUGAAGAAGAAAAAGUAGAGUCCAAAAGCUUGCAGCAUGUUAAAAGUAGGUUCUCUUUAACUAUUUCUUUCUUGCUUUUUUUUGCUCCUAUUACAUUUCAUGAUUUGUAUUAGUUAUUUAUUAGUUAUUGCAAUUAUAAUUAUUGUUUCACAUAAAAUUAAUUAGAAACAAUUCCCAAUUUGCAAUUGCGUACCGAGUAUAAGCAUAAUGUGGACUGGAAAUAAUCAAUGUUUUACUGCAAGUUUUCCUUUAUUCUCCAGGUGGCUCACAAUUUCCUCUUCAGUAACAUCUUGUGGGAAGGUGGAUCAUCUUUGUUGGGGAGCAGUAGUAACGAUAGUUCUUUGUUUUACUACCAUUCUAUAAAUUUUAUUUGAAAUUAGCAUUAUUCUUGGUUAUUUAUUUUUAUAAUGAUUCUAAUAUCUUGUUGACUAUUUUUUUAAGAUUUUCUUUUGGAAUUUUUUAGGAUCUGCUAUUGAUUAUUGUGUAAAUUCGAGAUGUGAUUAAAGUUUGAGUAUCAGUGCGUUUUGCUUUGCCCUUUUUCUUUUAAUUGCAGUUGUACCGUCUGUGAGCUUUGCCUUUAUUUGCUUUCAACCACAACACUCCAAUUUUUAUGUAUUAUUUUUUUUUUAUCAUUGUUUGACUCCAAACGAAAUACUCAAGUUAAUGAGCAUAGUUUAUAUUCAUGUUGUUACAGCAACAAAUGAAAUAAAUAUAAUUUUUAACACAAAUAUACCAUAAUAAUUUUACCAUUGACGGAUACAAGCAUAAAUAAUUAAAACAUAUGGUUUCAUUAAAAAAAAUCAAUUGUAAUCACCAUCUCAAUUGUAAUCAUUUUACCAUUGACGGACACAACAAAUUUUCAGUAUCCUGCCUCAUGGUCAAUACUUAUCAUUGUUGUAUAAAAUUGAAUGUGUUAUGAUACUGUGAGCUGUGAGCUGUGAGCUGCCAUCAUCAUUGUCCAAAACUCCAAAAGCUUUUACUACCAUCACUGCCUAAAUUGAAAAACAAGAAGCAAGCAAGGCCUAGUCAAUAAUAAAAAAUAGUUGAGGUUUUACGCAACCAUCAUGACUGUCCAAACUUGCUGCGAUAGCAUGAUAAUAAUCUAAUUAUUUAGAAAAAUAAAAUUGCAAGCAUAAUAGUAACCUAGCUAGAAAAAUAAGACCUAAUAUAAACAAGAUUUCAAACAUUAACCGAGUUAUUUUCAGAACAUUAUCUCAAAUCUAACUCCUACGCACAUGAACACGACACAUUAAUUUGCAACAAAUAAUUUUCAGAACAUUAUAAGAGAAACUAGAGGCAAAACGGGAAAAAAAUUAUAAUUUUAAAAUUACAACCAUAGUAGUAAUCGAUUUAUUUAGGGACAUUGUUAAUAUUUUGACACUGACAAUAAUACUCAACAUGCAAAACAUAAUUAAGGCUGACUUUAUACUUCUGGGGCUGGAUGAGUAUUAUUAAAAUAAAUGGGGUCAUUUGUAAUAUUUUGACUUAAUGGGGACUAAUUUGAAAUUAGCCGUAUUAAAACUUUUGCAACUUGUCUAGAAACGACAGAAUUUAAAUACUUAAUGGGGACUAGUUUGAAAUUUGCCAUAUUAACAACUUUUGCAACUUGUCCAGAAUACGUCUUUUCAUAAUUCAAUAGUUUCAUUCAAAUUGAAAGACUUAAUGGGUACUAAUUUGAAAUUAGCCAUAAUAAAAACUAUUGCAACUUGUCCAGAAUAAGUUGUGAAACGACAGAAUUCAAUAGUUCCAUUCAAUCCUACAAUUUCCUUGCCCAGUUUUUUCUAACGACCACAUAGAACACAAUGAAUGAUGAUCAACAAGGUAAUUCUUCAUUGUCUUUUAAUGAUUUGUUACUGUUGCUAUUAUUUUUUAUGUUAUUUUCUCUCUUGCUAAAAAGAGUAGUGUUGUUUAACCUUUUAAAAUUAAUAUUAAUUGUGUCUAUUAUAAUUUACAGGCUAUUGUCUAGCAGUGCCAUUUAACUUAAUGUAAUAUUUUCUUAUUGUAUUAUGACAGGCAAUAACAAAAAUUACAAAGUGCCAGAGCUUGAUGUUCCAUCAUCAUACGAUAUUCCUUCAACCGCUCAAGCAGAAAUACAAUCAGGUUUUUUAGUUGUUCAUAACAAAACAAUUGAACCAAGUUAUUUUUGUAAUAUUUUGAAUAACAGUAUCAGUUUAUUUUAGUUGUUGAUAAUAAAAUAAUAGAAUUAGACUAUUUUAGCUGUCAAUAAUAAAAUAAUAGUAUCAAUUGAAGUUUGCUACUCAUGAUAAAAAAAUAAUUAUUCAUACUCUAUUAUGACAGGGAGGGAUGGUUCAAACUCUAUUUAUUGGGAUGAUAAAAGCAUGUAUGAACUCACUGCUGAAGAUGUUAUUGGAAAGCGAUUUGCAUCACUUGAAGAAGCUACAGAUUUUUAUAAAAAAUACUCAAAAAUAAUGGGUUUUAGUGUUCGCAUUUAUGAUGGGAGACGUGAUACAAAUGGUGCACCCAUAAUGAAACAUUGGGUUUGCAGUAGAGAAGGUGAAAGGGAUAAAAAGUAUAUUGAGCAUACAAACAGAAUCCGUGAACCUAAAGCUAUUACAAGAGUCAACUGUCGAGCAGCAUUCAGGGUAAAUUUAGAUAAGGAGUCCAAAACUUGGGUUGCUAGAAGCUUUGUUCCGAAACACUCUCAUGAGUUGGCAGCAGAUUUUGAGACUCAAUUUCUUCGAUCUCAUCGAAUGGUUAAAGAUUCUGACAAUGCUCUAGCUAAUUCAAUGCAAACAGUUGGUAUAAAGACAAGUCAGAUUAUGGACUUCUUUGUCAACCAGGCUGGGGGUUAUGACAAUUUGGGCUUCGGAUUAAAGGAUUUAUAUAACAAUUUAGAUAAUAAACGUCGAUCCAUGAUACUCGAAACAGACUCAGAAGCUGCACUUGCAUACUUAAAUGCAAAAGCUGACAUGGAUCCAGAUUUCUUUUGUAAGUACUCUAUAGAUGAGGAGAAUAGACUUGCAAACUUAUUCUGGGCAGAUUCUAUUGCUCGCUUGGAUUAUAGUUACUUCGGCGAUGUUUUGGCUUUUGAUAGUACUUACAAGACAAAUGAGUAUGGGAAGCCUUUAGUUAUUCUAUUGGGUGUUAAUAAUCAUUAUGCAACAAGUUUUUUUGGCUGUGCAAUUCUCACGGAUGAGACGGUUGAGACCUACACAUGGGUGCUUAAAACAUUUUUAUGUGCUAUGAAUAAUAGAAAGCCUAUAUCUAUUGUGACCGAUGGAGAUAGAGCGAUGCGUAAAGCAAUUAAAAAGGUAGUUCCUGAAGCUCGGCAUCGACUGUGUAUUUGGCAUCUACAAAGAAAUGCACAAUCUAAUGUACAUAAAACGCCUGAAUUUGUUACAAGGUUUAAGGAUUUUCUGUUGGGAAAUUACAGACCCGAAGAAUUUGAGCAAUUGUGGCAGAACAUGGUGGAAGAGCUUGGUCUUCAAAAUAAUGAUUGGGUUAAGAAGAUAUACUCAAAACGAGAGAGAUGGGCAGAAGCAUUCUUACGGGGUCAUUUCUUUGGUGGCAUGCGCACAACACAGCGUUGUGAGGGUAUGAAUGCAUAUAUGAAUAGAUUUCUUCAAAGAAAGUUGAAGUUGCAUGAAUUUGUUCGUCAAAUUGAUCGAGCCUUGAGACGUACAAGGAAUAACAAUUUAGGACAUAAUUUUAAAACUAAGCAUUCUAUUCCAAUGAUUAGUACUCAUCUUCCAAGCUUGGAGAAGCAUGCUGCAGGGGUUUACACUCAAAAGUUAUUUUACAAGGUUCGUAAACAGAUUUACAAAGAAGGUCAGUUUAUAUUGUUGAGCAAUGUCACUCUUCUAGAUAUUGAAGUGUACACAUUAACUAGGCAUUUAGAAGCCAAAAAGAAGUGGACUGUGGUUUAUUAUCUAAAAGAACAACAUUUUGAGUGCUCCUGUAAGAAGUUCGAAUCUAUUGGAAUACCAUGCCCUCACUUAUUUUGUGUGAUGAAACAUAUGCAUGUUAGUGAGAUACCUGCUUCAUUGAUUAACAAAAGAUGGACUAUGGAUGUGAAAGUUUACAAACAAUCUCUAAUGCCAUUGGAAAGUCAAUCUAAGGAUGUUCUUAACAAUUUUCGGUAUGGGUCAUUAAAUGCCGAAUUCAAUGAAAUUAGUUUUUAUGCCUCAAAAUCUGAUGCUACCUAUUGGAAAUUAAAAAGUCAUCUUGCUCAACUGAAGAGUGAGAUAAAGGAGUUGAGAAUGUGUGACAACGGAGAUACAGAUAGACCAUGCAGUGCAGAAAAGAAAGCAAGAAUUGUAAAAGAUCCUCUAGUUGUGAAGACAAAGGGUGCACCCAGUACGAAAUUUAACAAAGGUGUCAACACAAGAAAAUGUGGAUAUUGCAAACAAGAUGGACAUACUGCACGGAAAUGCCCAAGUAAGAACGGCCAUGUUACAAGUGUGGACAACUUCGCUGGACCAUUAAACAGCUUCACAAAAUUUAUUUGGUAUGGGAAAAUAGGUCAUUAUUUCUAUAAUUUUUUUUUAGUCCAAAUCAAUGUGUUGUAUCAAUAAUUUUGUUCAAAUUUUCUGCAGAUUAUAUCCUAAGGAGGCUACCUCACUUGCGUCAAUGCACACAAAAUUAUCCUAAAAUAAUCUGCAUAUGCCUGAGGGUGUGGAUUUGGACAAGCUAUUUGCAUUUGAAGAAAACACAAUUUUGACCAAGUAUUUUUUAGACUAUAGUUAUGGCCAUGUGAUGUAGUCUUAUAUUUUAAUGCAUUUUUGGUUAUAAUAAUAAUGAAUAUUAUACCUCUCAUGAACCUAUUACUUUCUCCUACUUUGAUGACAAUGAAAUAUGACAGGAACCUCGAACAAUGUAAUAUUCAUGAAAUUUUAAGCUUACAAAAAAGGGCCUAACAAUGACAUUCUAAAUCUUAACACAUCAAUUGAUCUUAUUUCCUAAGAACUGCUACGUGCAUCGAUUAGGUAUCCUAGGACGUUUAUACAUCACUAAUAAACUAGUAAACCAUACCACAGUUACAAUGUAAUACUCUUUCUUACCUUGCUGAUUAGAAACUUCAGCGGCCAAAUGCCAACUACAUCAACUUUUGCUUCCCCAUAGCUGAGUGAAAUUCUUGUAGUUCCUGAAUCCAAAAUACAAGUAAGAGAAAUCAGUGCAGAUGUUUAUUUAUCUUGAAAUUCCUUUGAAACUGAGGCCCAAAGAGAAGCUAGAAUAAACAGUCAUGCAGGUUUUCUAUUUUAGGAAAAAAAAAGGAAAUUCUUUCUGUAGUAUACUUAUUAAGCAAGAUAACAUAAACCAUGAAUUACAAAAGCUGCCAACAAUUAGAAUAGGCGACCAAAUGGAAUUAAAAAUACGGGCACACUGUGUACAGAAAUUCUGCAGGAUACAAGGCCAAUAUAAUUUACGAUUUAUACCAAACUCAAUUGGCCAAACCUAUGGAAUUGGAAUGAUGCAUUUAUUUAACUCAAAAGGUAAAUAUCAGGCUUAAGGUUCUUACAUAUUAAAACAAUAAUAAUUCAUUCAUUUUGAACAUGAGAUGCAACUUGGACUAUUUCAAGUUAUUCCAAAAGAAAGCAUUAAAAGGAAUUUGUUCAUCCUACGUGGUAUAAGUAGUAUAUUUCAGUUAGUAUUAUACAUCAUCAGUUAAAUCAUUUGGACUAUUAACAUUGAUAACAACAAUAAUAAAAUAAACAUAUGUAGUUAUAAAAUAAAUAGAUAAAUUCAACUUCGGAUAAAUUUGGGUUGUUACAGUAACCCUCCAAGCCACCACUGUAUUAUAACCAAUAGACAUUUGAAUUAUAACAGAUAGACAAGAAUAAAAUGAAAGCCAAUAUUAUUCAUGCAGAAUUAAUCUAAUUUAUUUUUCAGUUAAGGUUAGUAACAAUUUAUCUGUAAAUAACUGAACCAACUUGGUUAUUACAACAUUACUUUUUCAAAGCGUUUAGAGCUCAGAAUAUCAAGACAACAAUUUGGUGGUUGGUUAAUUGAGUACCGGAAUCAGAGAUUUUUACUGCAAGAAUGCAAUUGUAAACACCACACAGUAAGUUUUCAAGGCAUCCAGCAUAUUAACUCAAAAAACCAAAUUCUCAUUACCUGUCUAACCCACCAAUUUUCUGCAUAGGCAAUGGAAAUCAGAAUACUUUAUAAUGUAUUCAGUAAUUGAAGUACCUCUGAUUAUUGUUUCCAACAGAACAAGGUAAAUCAUGUUGGCAAGAAUGCCUGAAAGUUUAUCUAAAUAACUAUCACUUGCUCCUCGCAAAACAAACAUCAAGCAUGGCCUGUUGGAACAUUUAUCCUUUUUGGUCUAAGGGUGUUGGGUUAGUUGACUCAAUUUUCCCCUUUUUGGUCACACAACAUCAAUAAUUUAAGCUCUAAAAUUGUUCUGAAGCACCGCAGCAUUCUAGUUCUGCUUGCUUAUUAAACAACAAUAAUGGACUCCUGUACAUACAUUUAAAACCAAAACUAAAUUCAAGAAUGCCAUAAGAACUGUUAAACAGAAAGUUUACCCACAAGGGUAAAUGGCCUACACGAUAUAGAAGAUAAAGGAGACAGAAACACUUGUAAUUACGAUGAGAAACAAAAAC